GUCUGCAUGUCUUCUCUGUAAAAUUGGAGUUGGCCUUGUUUUAAACUAUGGGAAACAAUGAUCUCGAUAUUUCUAUACUUGAUAGUAUAUGGUUAAUGGAUAAUAAUGUUACUGCAUGAGCUGAAGUGAUGAGGAUGUUUAUAUAUAUAAACAAAUAUGCAGUAUGUGGAAGCUCAAAAUUGCAGAAGGGCAUGGUCCAUGGUUGUACAGCCUCAACAACUAUGUUGGCAGGCAGAUCUAGGAGUUCGACCCUGAAGCUGGGACCCCAGAAGAGCGAGAAGAGGUCAGGAAAGUCCAGGACAAUUUCACAAAGAAUCGGUUUCGCUACAAACCUAAUGGGGAUCUCCUAAUGAGGAUGUAGGUAUACACUCUUUUAUUCAUGAUGGUAUCUUUGGAUCAAAAAUUUUCCUCCACCAUCUUCCAGCAUGGUAUUUUGCUUCUGAGGUUGAUGAAGUGAUCACAAUAAAAUUUAAUAUUAAUUAAAGGGCCUUCAUAGAAAUUUAUACAUACAUACAUAUAUAUAUAUAUAUAUAUAUAUAUAUAUAUACAUGGGUUUUCGACUAAACUUUGUUAUGGGUCUUGGCCUAAAUUCACUAAGUUUCCAGUUGGAUGGGAAGAUGCAGCCUAGGGGUGGGACCGUACUUGCAACUAAUAACUAAGUCAUCUUACCCACACUUUUUGCAACUAACAACUAAGCUCCUCCUUAUAUUGGAAAUUUGAUGAUCAGGAUAUAUAAUGUAGUUACCCAAAAGCAAAUAAGUCACUCAAGGAUUAAUGAACUAUAACUAUGUUUGGUUGUUAAAAAGUUUAAAAUAAAAAAAAAUAAAAAGAAAAAGAGAGGAAAGGGAAAAGAAAGAAAGAAAUUAUAAUUGUUUUUUAUUUGAUUGUCGAUUAAGAAUUGAGGAGAAAAUAAUCUAAAAGAAUGUUUAUUUUUUAAAACUUAUUAGUAAGAGGGUAUUUGUUUUAAAUUUUUUAUUUAACUUAUUACUUAUUUUUUUAAUAUUUUUAAUUGAAUCACAAAAGACAAAAUACUUAAUUUUUUCAAUAUAAAAAAGUAAUAUUUUUAAAUCCAUUAGAAAAUCUCAACUUUUAAUUCUUGUUAUCAAAAUAAAUCUUCUUGUCUUUAUCAUUUUCCUCUUCUAUCAACAUCUUUAUAGACCAUCACUUUUUUUUUUCUUUUUCCACGACUUUAACUUCAACAACUUUUAAAAUCAUUUUUAUUAUCUUAAAACUUUUAGAAAUAUGUUAAAUUUUUUUUUUUUGUGAGAUAAGAAUCAAUUUAAAAAUUAUUUUUCUUAAUACAUUAAGAUGUUGAUUUCUAGCAUAUAAAAAACAAACAACUUAAUGCUUUAUAGUAUUAAGAACUAUUUAAUCUUAAAUUAAAUUAAGUUCUAUUAAAUAUUAAGUUAAAAAAACAAAUACAACCUAAUUAUAAUUUUUAUUUUUAAAAUUAAAUAAUAAUAAUAAUAAUUUUUAUAUAAAAUAUAACAACUCUUUAACAAUUUUAAAAACUGUUUAAACAAAUACCGCCUAGUCAAGAGCCUUCACCUCAAAAAGACCCAUCAAAUGAACAAUUAGUCCGGCUAGCUGAGCCUUCCAAGGUUGAAUCAUUUGGCAUUUAACCGGUCCAAAAUUGGAGCCUGCCUCCCUAAUCCCACCCACAUUACUCAUUUUUACUCGAUUGAUAAUGACUUGAAAGCCCCCUUUUUAUUGUCCAUCCUAUUUAUUAUAUAUUUCUAUCUUCACACUAUAGACAUUUAGACAAUUCCGCAUGCAUGCACAAUGGUCAGGUCUGAUUGGGUUGGGUUAUUAGCUUGAUUUAGAUAAUUUUUAAUAUAACUAUUAUUAUUAUUAUUAUUAUCUAUUUAAUGAUUCAUUAAUCAAAUUGUGAAAAAUUAACAACAUCAAAACCCGAUUAAUAUAAUGUAGUUUUCAAGAAGCCUUUACUUAAUUAAAAUCUAGUACGUAAUUCUUUUCACUUUUAUCAAUCUUUAUUAAAAUUUCUAAUCACUUCAUGUACUUCCUUCAAGUUUACCAACUUUACUAAACCAUUAGUUAUCUUUAAUUUUUAUUUAUUUAUUUAUAAAAUAAAUAUCACUUCAUAAGGUUGACUAAAAAAAAUACUAUUGGUUAUAGGAUAGAGGAAGGGACCUGCAUAUUCGCAUGGAUAUCUGCCCCAUAGUCUAGGUUAUUAUUAUUAUUAUUAUUAUUAUUAUUUCUUAAUUAAUUGAGAAGCAACAAAAUAUCAUUCACGUUAAAAAUGAUUUAUUGCAAUUAUGCACAUUAUUUUUUGCAUCCAUUUCUAUUCCCUGUUUUAAGUAUUUGAUAAAAGAGAGGUUUGGGUAUCACAAGGAGAAAACUUACCUAUUUAUAUUACUGUACAGUUAGCUGGAUGCUUGAUGAGUAUCUCUAAUGCUAAGUCAAGACUUUAAAGCCUGACAAUGACAUAAUUAAUUUUUUAACUACUCAAAAAAAAAAAAUGAAAAAAAAUUAUAGUGGAAAAAAUAAAAAUGUAAUUGAAUGGUCACCACAAAAAUCAAAUCUUCAUCUGCCAACCAAUUUGAUAAUAACUGACCUUCAGCUUUGCAAAAUACAGAGUUGUACCGCAGACAAUGGCCAGGAUGGGUCAAGAAUUGCCUCCUUUUAACCCUAGGCUCACAACCCAAGACUUUGAUGCACGCCAAGACCGACCCUAGCAGUCAGAAAUGGGCCCCUCCCUCGAGUACUUUCUGAGUAGUACUGCCACGAGCUUUGACCCAAAACACUACGUUUAAAAAAAAAAUAAAAAUCCAUAAAGUACCCCAUUUCUAAAAUAAUGUCCAAUGUAACGUGUCUGCACCAUGUAGAUUGUCACGUCAUAAAACUGUAGUUGGUAACUACCAUUUUAUUUUUUAAAAAUAGUCAAAACCGUAGUCACCAACCACGAUUUUAACUUUAAGUUUAAAACCGUAGUUGGUGACUACGACUUUGACUAUUUUAAAAACAGUCAAAGUCGUAAUCACCAACUACGGCUUUAACUUUCCUUUACCUUUUCCCCCUUUCCCGAUUAGUUUUAUUCAUUUAAACUAAUUGGUUUUAGGUUUAAAUUUAAACCAAUUAUAUUUAUAACUAAUUAAUUACAACAACACUAUAUUGAUAUAGAAAAAAUAAUAUAUUAAAAAAAAUUUACAAUCUAAACCUUCAAUCAAAAUAACUUUUUAAAAAUGGAACAUUCACAUGAUUUAAAAUUUGAACUUAAAAAAUUGGUUUUAGGUUUAAAUUUAAAAUUACGAUCACCAACUACUAUUUUGACUUUUUUUUUUUAAAAAAAAAAAUCAAAAAUCAUGAUUACCAAUUACAGUUUUGUGAUGUAAAUACUCACAUGAAUAAUACACACAUCACAUUAAAAAUUAUUUUGAGAAUAAAAUUUUUUUAUGAAUAAAAUUAUUUUAUGAAUUUUCUGUUUUAAAGAAAUCAUUUUUGCCCAAAACUCUCAUUAGUACCCAAUAAAAAACAUUUUUCUUAUUAUCAAUGAAUUUACAAAAAUAUUCCAAAAACAUUUUCAUCUAUUUACUAAAACAAUUAAACUAAAUAGUGAAUUGAUUGGAAAAACAAAGGUAUUUUCUUUCUACAAUUCUAUAUUUUAAGAAGUGGAAAAACAAAUUCUUUUAGGUUGGUAUUUUAAGUUUAACAUUUUAAGCCUUUCCAUUCCAUUUUGAUCCCCAUUUUGAAAGGAGAAAAAUGGAAAAAGAAAAUUAUUUUUGUUGUAUUUAAGUAAUUUUCCAAUUAUUUUACCCACUUGAAGUCAUAUUAUAUUUUGAACAAGUGCAUAAUUGCCUUUAAUUUUUGCAUAAAGUUACAAAAUAAUAUAAUAUUCUUCAUUAUGAGGGUAUAAAAUAGUAUAUUUAUAACUAAUUAUAUUUAUAUUGAGUGUAGUGCCAAAUAUUUUCAUAAAAUUAUCAAAAUAUAUUUUUAUAUCAAAUUAAAGACAUCAAUUAUUUAAUUUUAUAUAUUACUAUUAUUUAAAUAAUGAGAUCAAUUAAAGUUAAAUAUUUUUAUUACACCACUUACAUAUUUUUAAUCAAUAUAAAAUCAAAAUAAUAUAAUAUUUUAUUUUAAAAAAUUAAAGUUAAAUAUAUAUUUAUAUAUAAAAUUAAAAUUAAAGCCGUAGUUGGUAACUACGGUUUUGAUUGUUUUUAAAAAGUAAAGUCGUAGUUACCAACUAUGGUUUUAUGAUAUGGUAACUUACGUGGCACAAAUAUAUUAGAUUGAACAUUAUUUUGGAAAGGUCAAAGCUCACCGUAUAGUAUAGACUGUAUGCUCACCAAAAACAAUUAACCAUUUUAUAAUUAUUUUUAUUAUCAAUUACUAUCUUCAGCCACGUCCUUCCCUUUGCUCAUUGGGAGUCUAUAUAAAGCAGUGACCACCUCUCUCGCUUCUCAUCAACUCCUCAACCUCUCUUCGCCUGCAUCUUGCACAGACAAAGUUCAGGUUCGUACUUUGUAAAAUUUUCUUCUUUUUUCUUUUUCUAUCAAAAUGAUAUAUAUAUAUAUAUAUAUAUUGCUUCUUUAGAAUUCUAUGCAAAAACUAACUUUCUGGGUAGGUUUGUUUUUGAAUUAUAACAUGCAGGCUUCCUUUUUUUUUUUUUUUUUUAAACCUGGAAAAAUCAGUUUUAUCCCAUCUCCUUCCGUAUUUCUUCUGCUUCUGCAAUUGUCUGCAUGUCUUCUCUGUAAAAUUGGAGUUGGUCUUGUUUUAAACUAUGGGAAACAAUGAUCUCGAUAUUUCUAUACUUGAUAGUAUAUGGUUAAUGGAUAAUAAUGUUACUGCAAGAGCUGAAGUGAUGAGGAUGUUUAUAUAUAUAAACAAAUAUGCAGUAUGUGGAAGCUCAAAAUUGCAGAAGGGCAUGGUCCAUGGCUGUACAGCCUCAACAACUUUGUUGGCAGGCAGAUCUGGGAGUUCGACCCUGAAGCUGGGACCCCAGAAGAGCGAGAAGAGGUCUGGAAAGUUCAGGAAAAUUUCACAAAGAAUCGGUUUCGCUACAAACCUAAUGGGGAUCUCCUAAUGAGAAUGCAGGUAUACGCUCUUUUAUUCAUGAUGAUAUCUUUGGAUAAAAAAUUUUCCUCUACUAUCUUCCAGCAUGGUAUUUUGCUUCUGAGGUUGAUGAAGUGAUCACAAUAAAAUUUAAUAUUAAUUAAAGGGCCUUCAUGGAAAUAUAUACAUACAUAUAUAUGGGUUUUCAACUAAAAUUUGUUCUGGGUCUUGGCCUAAAUUCACUGAGUUUCCAGUUAGAUGGGAUGAUGCAGCAAGGGGUGGGUGUGAGAGGACCGUACUUGCCUUUGGGCACCAACUGGUAAUUAAUGGUCAUACUUUGAUAUUCUUUGAAAACUACCCAGGGAAAAAGAUAUUUCAGUUUUAGGACGGUGAUAUGGCGAAACCACACUUUUUGCAACUAACAACUAAGCUCCUCCUCAUAUUGGAAAUUUGAUGAUCAGGACAUAUAUUUAGUUGCCGAAAAGCAAAUAUCUAUAUUUCUUUUAAAAAAAGGCCAAAACCUUUGUCAUCUUUGCCACCUUGUAAAUUGAAAAUUUAGUAAAUGUAAAAUGCUAUUUUUUAUAUAUAUUUAAUACAACUAAUCACUUUUUAGUAAAUAUAAUUUUACUUGCCGGAAAUGUAUAUAAUAAAAAAUGUGAUAAAAGUGAAAACGUAUGUAGUCUCUCCGAUUAGUUAAUUUUCAAAAAUGGUAAGACAUUAGGCCUUAUUUGGUAACUACUUUCGAAAAUAGUUAUGAGAGAUAAUUUUUAAAAACUAUUCUAUAAUGUUUUGUAAUACAAAAGUCUAUUUGGUAACUUGAAAUAUUUUUAAUCUAUUUUUAAUACUUUUAAAUAUAUUUAAAAAUAAUUUUAUAUUUAGUACUUUAUUUUUAAUUAUUCUACAUGUUUAUAUAAUUAAAUUUUAAAAUAACUCUUAAAAACAAGUGAAAACUUUUGAACAAAACUAAAAGAUGUUAUCUUACAAGUUUUUUGUUCCUAAAAAUAAAAAAUUAAAAACAGUUUUCUGUUUACCAAGCAUUUUUCCUUUUUUUCUCUAUUUUUUACUCCGAUAAACAUAAAACUGUUAUUAAAAAUAGUUUUGUAAAAUAAUUUUUGAAAAUAGUUCUUUUAAAACUAUUCUUUAAUGUUUUAUAAAAUAAAGGUUUAUUUAAAAAUCUAAAAUAUUUGUAACUUGUUUUUAAUAUUUUUUAAAUACGUUUAAAAACAAUUUUUAUGUUUAUUGUUUUAUUUUUAAUUAUUUUACAUGUUUGUAUAAUUAUUUUUUAAAAUAACCCUUAGAUAAUAAGUGAAAAUAGUAGAAAACAAGUAAAAUAUGUUAUUUGAAAGUAGAAAAUAGAAAAUAGUUUUUGAUUAACAGACGUAUUUUCUUGAUUUUUUGUUCUAAAAAACCGAAAACUGUUUUCUUGGGUGCUUGAAAUCUUGUGUUGCAUUUUUUUUGUUUUUGUCUUUUUUUUUUUAACUUGCUUGAAUUGAAAAUGAUACAAAAAAAAAAAAAAAAAAUCGUUUGCAUUUGUUACAAAUAAAUUACUUAUGAAAAAUCUUUUUCAAUUCCGCAAGGAAGUUUGAAUUCUGACAACAUAAUCCCCCCAUUCCGAUGUCUAAUUUAAAAAUCACAGCUUAUCAAGGAAAACCAAAUAGAUUUGAGCAUACCACCAGUGAGGCUGGGAGAAAAUGAAGAAGUAACAUGUGAAGCAGUGACAACUGCAGUAAGGAAAUCUGUGAGGCUGAAUAGAGCCAUCCAGGCCAAGGAUGGUCACUGGCCUGCUGAGAACGCUGGUCCUUUGUUUUUCACACCUCCUUUGGUAUGUUUUCUAAGUACCCUUUUUUUGAAGAGAGAAAAAAUGAUUACUGAAUUUAAUUUCUGAAUUAACUAACUCUUAAAAGUGUUAUUUCAAAUUGAUGUGCAGAUCAUGGUGCUAUACUUUACUGGAACCCUGAAUAUAGCCCUAACACCGGAACACAAAGUGGAGCUUCUUCGCUACAUUACUAACCAUCAAGUACUAAUCAAACUCAUCUCAUCAUCUUUAAAUGGCUUACAAUAUGUUCAUCUCCUAUUUGGAAUAGUAAUGGAAUGUGUUGGAUGAUUAGAAUGAAGAUGGUGGGUGGGGAUUCCAUAUUGAGGGGCAUAGCACAAUGCUUGGAACAACCCUGAACUACAUCUCCAUGCGUGUACUAGGAGUAGGACCUGAUGACAAGGCUGUGGCAGCAGGAAGGAAAUGGAUUCUCGAUCGCGGUGGUGCAACCUAUUCACCAUCUUGGGGGAAGUGUUAUCUCUCGGUGAGUUCAUAAGUUGGUGAUCUUCUGUUGGUUUGGAAGAAAGAUUUUCCAUUGCUAUUGGCUUAAUUGGUUUUUGUUUGUUUUAAGGUGUUUGGGUUGUAUGAGUGGUCUGGCUGCAACCCUUUGCCACCAGAGUUCUGGCUUUUCCCUUCAUUUUUGCCCAUGCAUCCAGGUAAGCAAUAUGCAGUACUUGUAUAUUUAGUAUUUUGAUCUCAAUUAGGCUUCAUGGUUUUAUUUUAUGAACUUGUUUUCUAUGGUAAUGUUUGUGUUGCAGAUAAAAUGUGGUGCUACUGUCGAACAAUUUACAUGCCUAUGUCGUAUUUAUACGGCACAAGAUUUCAGGCACCCAUUACUGAUCUGGUUGUACAACUGAGGGAAGAAAUGCACACUGAACCAUACCAUGAAAUCAAUUGGGCUAAAGCACGGCUUUUAUGCGCAAAGGUUGGUUGAUUGUAGAGAAAGUAGUUUGGGAUUUUGCAGUUGCUAGUUUUGGUUUUAUAAUGAGACUCUCUGUAUAUUUUUAGUGCAAUUUUUUUGUGAAAGGGGGCAUGUUAAAUCCAUCUCCCCCCCCCAUUAACCUUGUACUAAAAUAUUGAACGGAUGCAGGAGGAUUACUACUACCCCCAUUCCCUCGUACAAGAUGUGCUUUGGGGUGGGCUUUAUCACUUUGGUGAGCCGAUUCUGAAACAUUGGCCUGUCUCCAAAAUUAGAGAGAGGGCUGUAAAGAAAGCAAUUGAUAUCAUUCACUGGGAAGAUGAGAACAGUAGAUAUAUAACUCCUGGGUGUGUGGAGAAGGUAAGUAAGAGUGUGAGAGGAGAGGGGAAUAGAUUAGAAGGAAUGAUGGAAUGCAUUAGGGUCAAAUAAUUGUAGGUUUAGACAUUGAUCUUAUAUUGCCACAACAUCAAUUUCUGCAGGCUUUCCACAUGAUGGCUGUUUGGGCAGAGAAUCCAGACUCAAAUUCGGAUGUUUUCAAGCAUCACCUUGCCCGAAUUCCUGACUACUUAUGGAUGGCAGAGGAUGGAAUGAAAGUGCAGGUUUGUUACAACACCCAACCAUUUUGGCUCUACUCGAUUAUCACCUCCAAAUUCACCAUCCAUAAUGCUGACUUGUUGCUGCAAUUGCAGAGUUUUGGGAGUCAGCUAUGGGACACUUCUCUUUGCAUUCAAGCCAUCCUGGAAAGUGGUAUGGUUGAAGAAUACGGGACUACUCUCAAGAAAGGUCACGACUACGUUAAAUUAUCACAGGUUUCUUACCUAUUCACUCCCAAAACCUCUACCACUACCAUGCUCUGUAUCUUCAUUAAGCUUACAACCAUUAUUAUACCAAAUUUAAAUUGCAGUGUCAAGAAAAUCCAUCAGGUGACUACCGGAGUAGGUAUCGUCACUUUUCAAAAGGAGCCUGGACUUUUUCUGAUCGUGAUCAUGGUUGGCAAGUCUCUGACUGCACAUCCGAAGCGUUGAGGGUAGGAUAUAUAGCUUUAUUCCGAUCAUAUACUGCAGUAAUUAAUACAGAAGUUCCUCAUGCAUAUCCCAUUUUUUUCCCACAGGUCUUGUUGUUAUUAUCACAAUUUCCAAAAGAACUUGUCGGGGAAAAGGCCGAACCUCAAUGCUUAUUUGAUGCCGUCAAUUUCCUUUUCUCCUUGCAAGUACGUACACAUAUUUUGCUUCACUUGUGACACUCAAAAUUGCUGCCAGAUUAAUAUUCAUAUUUUGUAAAUUCACAAACUCUCAAACCAUGGCCCCUUUUUUGUAAUUUUCCAAAGGGCAAAAGUGGUGGUCUGGCUGUUUGGGAGCCAGCAGGAGCCGAAGAAUGGUUGGAGGUAAUUUCUUUCAAUCACAAAUGGAUGUAGUUGUUACCAAAGUUUUGAGGCCUCAGUGAAUGCAGUUGAGUCUACGACUAACAGAUUCUUGGUUUUGAUUCACUUUCUUUUAUUUCUCAGAAGUUGAAUCCUUCAGAACUUUUCGCCAACAUAGUCACCGAGCAUGAGUAAGUUGUCAUUCAUCUAAUUCAUUUCCAUUUCUAUGUCCGUGUCCAUGUCCAUUUCCAUUUACAUUUCCAUGUCCACUUUCACAACAUAUACACUCAUUAAUGUUACCUAUUCGGCGGUUUAGGUAUGUGGAAUGCACAUCAUCAGCUAUCCAAACUCUCCUGUUGUUCAAGAAAUUGUAUCCUAAUCAUAGAAGGAAAGAAGUAGACAACUUCAUAGAAAAAGCAACCCGUUAUGUCGAGAAUGUACAGAGGCCAAAUGGAUCUUGGUAUGCAUCUCUUUCGAUUUUGGCUACUUAGUUGAGGAGAUGGAAAUGGAUGAUGGUUCUGAGUUUGAAGUAAAAAUUCUCAUAUGAAACAAUAUUGGCAGGUAUGGUGGCUGGGGAGUUUGCUUCACCUAUGCUGCAUGGUUUGCAUUAUCAGGGUUAGCUGCUGUUGGGAAAACAUACUCAAACAGCAAAACCGUUCGUAAAGGUGUCGACUUUUUGCUUUCAAAGCAGAAGGCAAAUGGUGGUUGGGGAGAGAGCUAUCUUUCGUGCCCAGAUAUGGUAAUUCUCAUUCUAACUCAAUGUCAUUGCUUGGAAAAUAUGAGUUCGAGUUUUUACUGUUCAGUUCAAUCUUCAUUGUACAGGUGUAUGUACACUUAGAGGGGGAUCGCACAAAUUUGGUACAAACCGCAUGGUGUUUGAUGGGUCUAAUUGAAGCCGGACAGGUUACUCUCAAAUUUGAUUUGUUUAAUGGUCGCUUUUGAUAAAUGCUAACGAAAUUGAAAUAUAAUUUGAUAGAAAUUCCAAAUUUCCCUUAAUAAUUUGCAUAACUAAAAUUUUUCAUUGUUUCUUCUAAACUAGGUCGAGAAAGAUCCAACCCCUCUGCACAAAGCAGCCAAGCUACUGAUUAACUCACAAUUAGACAGUGGGGAUUUCCCUCAAGAGGUAACUCUCACUAAGAUCUUGGUUGGUUAUAAGUUAUUAACUGAUCAAAACUGUUUUCACCGACAUUAUUUCCUUCUUUGUAUUUGGAUGCAUCUUAACCUUGAAAUAAUGAUCACAGGAAAUCACUGGAGUUUACAUGAAUAACUGUAUGCUACACUAUGCGAGCUAUAGAAACAUUUUCCCGACAUGGGCUCUUGGAAUGUACCAUAGACGUGUUCUGAAGCCUCUCCAGAAGCUCUAAGCACUAAGCUCAAGUAGAAAGUUUUCCUCCAUAUGCUCUCCUCUUUUUCUUUCUUUAAACCAAAAUAAGGUGUUUUGUCAUAUGUGAAACUACUCAUCUUAAAUGUAUAAGUCAAUACAAGCUCAAUAGUAAUAUAAAAAUGGAAGUCUUCAACAUCUUCUGUAAUUUGACAACUUUCAUUCUCAUGUAUUGUCGAAGUUACAAUGGAAGACACUUCUUUUGAGAACAAGAUGCAAGCUACACUUCAAGUGUAGCACCCCAACUUAAUUUUGGGGUAAAAUUGUAAUUUAGAAUAAAUAAAAUGAAAGAAUUAAAUAAAUUAAUUUAUCAAGGAUAGAAAACCUUUUUGCUCUUAAAAGCCUCGAGUAUGAAUUAGAUUUUUCUUAUCUUCUCUAUUAGAAAACCCUUUAACAUGUAGAUUUUUUAGAGCAUGGUAUUGAAAAUUUAUGAAUAUAGGCUGUCUUAAUGAUGGAAUUUGGGAAAUUUCGAAUAUUCAUGGAUCAAACAUUUUCAAUCAUGCUUGCAAAUAGGAGAUAUAACAUAUACUUAUUUUCAUAAAAAACUUUUGAGUUCAAAAUACUAAUACAUUCAAACUUUUUAACAAAACUUUCUCAUAUCCAUUUCAAAACAAUUUCUCAUCAAAACCAAAUCAAAUGCAUUCGAAAUAUCUUUACUCUAGUUAUUAGAUAACAAAUGGUGCACAAUUAGGUGGGACUUCACAAUUGAAUAACUAGUUUCAAAUUUGUUCCAUUUAAGGUUAACAAAACUAAAUGUCAACAAUUAUAACUCGUUGAUUAGGGCCAUAAGGUUAACAAUUAUAACCCGAUGACUAGGGCCAUAAGGUCAACAAGUAUAACCCGUUGACUCGAGCCAUAGAAAUGUCAACAAUUAUAACCCAUUGACUAGGGUUAUAGUCAAACUUACAAAACAAAAUAUCAUAUCUCCAAAAUUAUUCAUUUUUCAUAAACAAAGAAGAUUAUCAAAUAUACUUUUCAUACAAAACACAUAUUUGAUCCAUGCGAAAAGAUAAAAAUAAUAUUUUUACACAUUUCAAAAUACAAUAUAAAAAAAAAAUUAUUUUCUUUUAUAAAAAUUUGCAUUAAUUUCUCUUACCUUGAAAAAAGUACUCAAAAUCUUGAAGUAUUUAACUCUGAAGAAAUUCCUCAUCACCUAACAUAACAUCAUACACGAUAUUGAUUAUUGAUUAUUUAUCUAAAUAUAUAAAUUUGACAAUCUUAAAAAAAAAAAAUUCUAUUUAGUAUUAGGGAUCCUAAUUAAUUUAUCAUAUUAAUUUCAUUACUAUCCAAUAUUAUUUUCAACUUCCUAAAUAAUAAUUUAUUUAUCUUUUCUAACUUAUCUAAAUUAAAUCUUUUAAGAAUAUUUAUUUGCAUUAAACUAUCAUUAAUAUUAUUUAAAUCUCCUACUGAAACUUAACAAAUACCCCAUGCAAUUCUUUUUUUUUUUUUUUUCCAACAACUCCAUUCAUUAUUAUUGUUUCUUUUAUUAUUAUUAUUAUUAUUAUUAUGAUUAUUAAUUUCAAUACCCAACAACACCUUAACCUAUUUCUCUUCCAAGCCAUCAACGUCCUUUUCUUCCUCAUUGUUUACCACAAUACUAUUUACUUCAUUUUCUAGGUCAACGUGCAUGCCAUCUUCUUUUUUUUUUCAACAUGCCAAAUCCUUCCUACGCAUCUUUCAUCAUUUUUUUUUUCUAAAGUCAAAACUUUUAACCUCCAUACUCACAAAGUUUAUGUAAUUUUCACAUCCGAAACUAUAUAAUUUUUUUUUAUCUAGAUCUAUUUAUUUGAGUAAUCAAAAUUUAUCGAUCUCUAUUAAUAAAUCCAACUAUGUUUAUAAAUUUUUAAUAUUUUUGACCUAGAAAUUAAUUAAACGAACUUUAAUCAAAAUUGAGAUAUUCCAAAAAAUAUCUAAAGUGUUCAAAACUAAUUAAUGAAUAUAAGAUAUUAAUUUAAGGAUUAAAAAUCUUACCUGAAAAUUUGAUCUUCAAAACUUAAACCUCCAAAUCUUCAGCCCUAUGCUCUCUGAUCUUUCUGAUCUCUAUGUAAAAGGGUUUUCUAAAUGGAGAAGAUAAGAAAAAUCUAAUUUAUAUCUAGGGGUUUUAAAUACGAAAAAACUUUUUUACCCUUAUUAAAUUACUUUAAUUAAUUAAUAAUUUUUAAAUUAUGAUUUUACCCCUAAAUUGGGUUUGGGGCAUUACAUUCUCCCUUUUUUAAUAGAAGUUUAGUCCUCUAAACUUGACAUACAUAAGUCUUGAAAUAAAUGAAAAUGUUUUUCUCUUAUCUCUUCAUCUACUUCCUAAGUGACCUCUCGAAUACUAAGAUUGUUUCACUAGACCUUUAUCAACCAGACAAUAAUAGAACAUAGUAUCUUUUCCAUCUCACACCACAUAGGCAUAAAACCCUUAACAACCUAUCCUAAGCAAGGAACUAGCCCAUAAAGCUAAGAUCAUGCACAACGGUCUAACCACAUGUUUUCCCUUAAAACUAAACUUAUUAUUGACCAGGAAUAUGGAAAUCACCCUUUUACCAAAAUAAUUAAUAAGAACAUAGAAAGAAACUAACCAAUCCAUUUCCAAAAUCACAUCAAAAUCCGUACUAAGUCAACUAACAUCUCCAUAUAAUUAGUCAUCAUAAGACAACCUCCAAACAUUAUAUUAUCCGAAUGUCCCAUAUGAAUAGCAACAAUCAAAUCAAAGUUUAGGCUACCAACAAGUAUAACCAACAAACCAACAAAAGAUAUUGAAACAAAGAGUGUGUUGAGUUUAGGUCAAUCAAGACUCUAGCAAUAAAGUGUAAAUUCGAAUAGUACCUAUCACCACAUUAGAAGUGGCUUGAGCAUCUUGAUGAGUCAUAGCAAACAUUCGCCCUUGGACUCUAGGUUUCUGUUUAUCCUCCUUAUUAUCCUCCUUAGGUUUCCCAAUUAUAAACUUCUUAUUCUCUAGACAAUCCCGAAUCAUAUGUCCAUGCUUCCUACAACCAAAGCAAGCUCCAAACUCUUUAUAGCAAGGUUUAUCCCAAUGUUUCUUACCACAAAUAGAACAAGUCACAUUUAAAUUUUGCACUACUUCCCCUUUAAUCUGACUCUCAAUUGAAACAAACAUUUUUGGUGCUUGGUUAUCAUGGGCACUAUCACUCCUACUCCUUUACUUUGUUGCUUUUUGUAAUGCUGAAGCUCCUUAUUAUCCUUUUCCACUAUAAGUGCUCUAUCUACAACCUCUGAAUAGACACUAAGUUUCAAAAUAGAUAUUUUGUUCUUUAGAUAUGGUUUCAAUCGAUCCUGAAACUUUAAUGCCUUUUCCUCCUUUGUAGCAAUCAAUUGUGGAGCAAAACAUGACUACUUUGUAAAUUUAGCUUCAUAUUGGUCAUAUCCCCCUGUUCCAAACGAACAAACUCUCCUACUUUUUAUCGUCCAACACUAUCGGGAAAGUAUUUUUUUUGUAAAAUGCCUCCUUAAAUUGUCUCCAAACUAUAGCUCUCUGAUCAUUUGAAAGCCUUUUGGUCAUACGCCACCAAUGAUCUACUUCUUUAUCUAACAUAAAUGCUGCAUAAGAGGUCUUUUGCUCCUCAAAGCAAUCUAUAACAUCAAAGAAUUUCUCUAUCUUAAGAAUCCAAGCUUCUGCUUCCGUUGGGUCUGCAGUACCAAAAAAAUAAGAAGGACCUAACUUCUUAAAGUCAUCAAAUGAGCUACCCCUAGAAGAUGAGGGCUCUCUAAGAGCUUGAGUCUCAAUAGCUCUAGCCUAACGCUCAACCAAACCAGCUAAAGUCUCAAGAUACCUAUAAAGCCCUUCUACAUUCAUGGAAGGCAAACCCUCAAGUGGAUGAGGUACAUCAUUAUUAGCCUAACUAUUUUGGGAAGAUGUUGGUCUUCUUUGUGACAUGUUGUCCUAUAAAGCAUUAGGUAUAACUAAAUAAGUCACUAGAAAACCAAUUAGACAAUUUAGAUUUAUAAAGAAGAAUAUGAAUUUAUACAAGACGAAACUGAAACUUAAACUAAUGGAUCACUCAUCUAUCCCCAAAGUAACUAAAACAUGUUCCCAACAAGAUCAUAACCUAGUGCUCUGAUACCACUCUGUCACGCCCCAAAACCCACUCUAAGGGCAUGACGGUCAUUUCACACCUCAACCCUAAAGGCUCGAAGUAGAAACAACACAAUAUUCAUCUUAUAACUGGAAAUUUUCAAUUAUCAAUUUCCUGUUCAGAGUAGUAAAACAAAUAAAUUCUAUGAUCCCCAAUUCUCAACUUUAAAAACUAACACAUCAACUAGAGUGUUAUUGUCCAAAUAACUCUAAAUUCAAAUAAUUUAAAUGAAAAUUAAAUUUUAACAUCCAAACAAUGUCCAAAAUAAAGUUUGAACCAAAAUCCUAAUAAUGGAAAAUUCCUUAGCCUAGCCAUCAAUCCUUGCCCGAACUGAGAGUACCUAAAAAAUUAUCAACGAUGGGACAUGAACUUAAAGCUCAAUAACGAACAUCAAUACAGUUUCAUGGAUCAAACAUUUUCAAUCAUGCUUUCAAAUAAGAGAUAUAACAUAUACUUAUUUUCAUAAAAAAAUUUUGAGUUCAAAAUACUAAUACAUUCAAACUUUUCAACAAAAUUUUCUUAUAUCCAUUUCAAAACAAUUUCUCAUCAAAACCAAAUCAAAUGCAUUCAAAAUAUCUUUACUCUGGUUAUCAAAUAACAAAUGAUGCCCAAUUGGGUGGGACUUCACAAUUGAAUAACUGGUUUCAAAUUUGUUCCAUUUAAGGUGAACAAAACCAAAUGUCAACAAUUAUAACAUGUUGACUAGAGUCAUAAAGUCAACUAUUAUAACCCGUUGACUAGGGUCAUAUAAUAUCAACUAUUAUAACUCGUUGAUUAGGGUAAAAAAUGUCAACAACUAUAACCCGUUAACUAGGGCCAUAGAAAUGUCAACAAUUAUGACCCAUUGACUAGGGCCAUAGGAACCAGAGUCGAACACUUUAUUUCAUUAAUUCAAAUUUGUAAAACAAAAUAUCAUAUCUCCAAAAUUAUUCAUUUUUCAUAAAAAAAAGAAGAUUCUCAAAUAUACUUUCCAUACAAAACACAUAUUUGAUCCAUGUGAAAAGAUAAAAAUAAUAUUUUUACACAUUUCAAAAUACAAUAUAAAAAAAAAAUUAUUUUCUUUUAUAAAAGUUUGCAUUAAUUUCUCUUAUCUUGAAAAAAGCACUCAAAAUCUUGAAGUAUUUAACUCUGAAGAAAUUCCUCCUCACCUAACAUAACAUCAUACAAGAUAUUGAUUAUUGAUUAUUUAUCUAAAUAUAUAAAUUUGACAAUCUUAAAAAAAUAUUUUAUUUAGUAUUAGGGAUCCUAAUUAAUUUCUCAUAUUAAAAUCAUUACCAUCCAAUAUUAUUUUCAACUUCCUAAAUAAUAAUUUAUUUAUCUUUUCUAACUUAUCUAAAUUAAAUCUUUUAAGAAUAUUUAUUUGCAUUAAACUAUCAUCAAUAUUAUUUAAAUCUCCUACUGAAACUUAACAAAUACCACAUACAAUUCUUUUUUUUUUUUUUUUUUUCCCAACAACUCCACCCUAACUCCAUUCAUUAUUAUUAUUUCUUUUAUUAUUAUUAUUAGUAUUUUUAAUUUCAAUACCCAACAACACCUUAACCUAUUUCUCUUCCAAGCCAUCAACAUCCUUUUCUUCCUCAUUGUUUUCCACAAUACUAUUUACUUCCUUUUCUAGGUCAACUUGUAGGCCUUUUUUUUUUUCAACAUGCCAAAUCCUUCCUACGCAUCUUUUAUCAUUUUUUUUUUCUAAAGUUAAAACUUUUAACCUCCAUACUCACAAAGUUUAUGUAAUUUUCCCAUCCGAAACUAUAUAAUUUUAUUUUAUUUUAUCUACAUUUAUUAAUUUGAGUAAUCAAAAUUUAUCGAUUUCCAUUAAUAAAUCAAACUAUGUUCAUAAAUUUUUAAUAUUUUUUACCUAGAAAUUAAUUAAAAGAACUCUAACAAAAAUUGAGAUAUUCCAAGAUUGUCUAAAGUGUUCAAAACUAAUUAACGAAUAUAAAAUGUUAAUUAAAUGAUUAAAAAUUUUACUUGAAAAUUUGAUUUUCAAACCCUAAACCUCCAAAUCUUCAGCUCUAUGCUCUCUGAUAUUUCUAAUAUUGUAAAAGGGUUUUCUGAAUGAAGAAGAUAGGAAAAAUCUAAUUUAUAUCUAGGGGUUUUAAAUGCGAAAAGACCUUUUUACCCUUAUUAAAUUACUUUAAUUAAUUAAUAAUUUCUAAAUUAUAAUUUUACCCUUAAAUUGGGUUUGGGGUAUUACAUAAAUAGUACCUAAUAAUAUUAAGCAUCACAUUGUUUUUUUUCUUAAUAUUUCAUUUCUACUAAGUGUUAAGAAUUAAAGAAAAACUAAUUAAUUACUUUUAUCAUUAAAAAAAAUUAAAUAUUUUAAUAUUUUUUAUCAUUCAAUACAAAAUUUAAGAAACAAGUAAUAAAUUACUAUAAAAAAAAACUAUUUAAAAUUUGAAAGUAAGCAUGCAUUUGGUAGUAAUUCUAGUAAGUGUUUAUAAUUGUUAUAACACCUAAAAAAUUUUAUCCUUCAAAUAUUAAAAAAACUAAAAACACUUUCUAAAUUUACUACCAAAUACACUCUAUAGAGAAAAACAACUUUAAAAAAAAAAUUUAUUCGCAUUUAAAUUGAGUAUCUAUAGCAUAUAAAUUGGGUGAUGAAUAUCCUUUCAAAUUAAUCCCCUACACCAAUAGCAUUAAUUACAACCAGGGAGGAAAAUAUUGGGAUAUAUUGGCGAUAUAUCGCCGAUAUCGUGUAUCGGAAGGUUUCGACAUGAUAAAUCAUGGUGAUAUAUCGAAGAGGAGAAAUUUCGGUAAUAUCACUAAAAAAUCGUCGAUAUAUAGGCGAUAUAUCGAUUGGAGGCGAUAAAUCGCCGAUUUUUUUCAUUAAUCUGUUGACACAAAAAAAAAUUGCCGAUAUUUCUUCAAUUUAUCGCCGAUAUUUCUUCAAUUUAUUGCCGAUUUUUCGAUGAUAUUUCUGCAAAAAGAAAACGCCCUCCUCUGCCCAGACUGCCUACCCCUCUGCCCAGGCUCCCUUUCCCCAGCCAAUCUCCUGCUUGAGCUCCAUUCCCCACUUUGCCUAUAUAUGAGACCUCCACGGUUCCACCUGCCCCUCUACCCAGGCCUAUCAGUUUGCCCAAGUUCCCCUUCCCCAGCUAGUCUCCUACCUGGGCUCCAUUCCCCACUUUGCCCAUGUAUAAGACCUCCAUUCCCCUUUGUUAAUUUUGACCAAACGUGUGUAAUAUAUAUAUAUAUAUAUAUAUAUAUAUAUAUAUAUAUUAAAAGUAAGCACAAAAGAAUAUUUUUGAAAACAAAUUAAUUAUAAUUAUUAUAAAAAAAUAUAAAAAUUAUCAUCAUAAUUUUUUUCAUAAUAUUUUUAAUAUUAUUAAUAGAUUAAUUAAAUAUUAAAAAAAUUAUAGAUAUAUUAUCGUUUAUUUUAUAUCAUUUAAUAUAAUUAAAUUAAAUGAAUCAUAAAUUUAAUAUUAAAUAUAUUUUAAAAUUAUAUGUAUUAUAAUAUUAUUAUAAAAUAAUAUUUGAUGUAAUUUAAUAAUAAUUGUACACUUAUAAAAUUCAUAUUUUUAUCGAUGCAUACGAUAUUAUUAUUAAAUAUGAUAAAUUAUAUUAUAUAUAUAUCAAAUUAUUUAAUAAAACAAUUUUAAAAUAUCAUUAUACUUCUAAUUACAUUUUUAUAAAGAUUUUCUUAUAUUUUUAUAAAUUUUGAUCAAUUUUAGGCUUAUCGAUAUUUUUUUCCAAAAUAUCCGCCGAUAUAUCCGAUAUAUUCGUAAAAUCGAAAUACCGAUAUAUCCGUAAUUACCGAUAUUUUCAUCAUUGAUUACAACCCACCACUGAGAUUGACCCAAAAAUAAAGUCAUACAACCACCUUUCACUUUCACAUAUUACAAAAAAGACCCAAAAAAUAUGCAUUUGAUGAGUAAAGGCACUAAAUACAAAGACAAUCAAUAAAGGUAUGGGAAUUUUGUUGAUGUUGCAUUAUUCUCAUUAGAAAUUACAAUUGACUUGAACAAAAUUCACCAACUGUGCACAUAUAGGCACUUCACAGAAGGGGAACAUCUAUACGAGUGACAUCUUUCUAUUCCAUCACCUCUAAUCUCAUCUUAAGCAGACUUUCUAAUGGUGAAAGAGACACUAACAAGAUAGGUUUUGUCAUUAUUUGGGUGAUAGCCAUGGAAAAAUGUUUCUUGACAAAGAAACUCAAAUCCCAACAAAAAUAUGGUUAUAACAAUUUAUUUAUUUUUAAAUAAAAACAAUUUAGAGUGAUUUGUCAAUAUUAUUUGCUUUGAAUUUGUUUAAGGAAAGUAUCUUGACUUCUAGGGAUGGUCUCAUAAUAAAAAAUUAAGUUAAGAGUAUUCAUCAUACAAAAAAUGAAAUUGAAAAAGCCCUAGUUGAAUUUCUUGAAGUAGUAAUUAAGUCCACUUAAGGAUUAAUGAACUAUAACUAUUUUUGGUUGUUAAAAAGUUUUUUAAAAAUAAAAAUAAAAAGAGAGGUAAGGAAAAAGAAAGAAAAAAAUUAUAAUUGUUUUUUAUUUGAUUGUCGAUUAAGAAUUGAUGAGAAAAUAAUCUAAGAGAGUGUUUAUUUUUUUAAACUUAUUAGUAAAAGGAUAUUUGUUUUUAAUUUUUUAUUUAAUUUAUUACUUAUUACUUAUUUUUUAAUAUUUUUAAUUAAAUCAUAAAAGACAAAAUACUUAACUUUUUCUAUAUAGAAAAAGUAACAUUUUUAAAUCCAUUAAAAAAUCUCAACCAUCAAUUCUUAUUAUCAUAAUAAAUCUUCUUAUCUUUUAUCUUUUUAUUCUUCUAUUAACCUCUUUACGGACCACCACCUUUUUCUCUUUUUCACCACUUUAACUUCAACAAAUUUUAAAAUAAUUUUUAUUAUCUUAAAAUUUUUAGAAAUAUAUUAAAUUAUUUUGUUUUAUGAGAUAAGAAUUAAUUUAAAAAUUAUUUUUCUUAAUACAUUGAGAUGUUGAUUUCUAACAUGUAAAAAACAAACAACUUAACACUUAAUAAAAAUAAAAUAUUAAAAAAACAAACAGCUUAAUUAAGAACUAUUUAAUAUUAAAUUAAAUUAAGUUCUAUUAAAUAUUAAGUUUAAAAAAACAAAUACCGCCUAAUUAUCAUUUUUAAUAUACUUUAUAUUUUUUAUUUUUAAAAUUAAAAAAUAAUAAUAAUUUUUAUAUAAAAUAUAAGAACUCUUUAAUCAUUUUAAAAACUAUUUAAAAAAUUAAAAAAUUAAAAAAAUUUAGAGUUAGAAUAUUCAAGGAAGGAUCCUCAAUUUUGUUUCACUACAGCAAGUAAAAAUCACAUAACCCGUUUUACAAAGGUAAAACUCCAACAACCUUGUUUUUUUUUAAAUAAAAACAAUUUAGAGUGAUUUGUCAAUAUUAUUUGCUUUGAAUUUGUUUAAGGAAAGUAUCUUGACUUCUAGGGAUGAUCUCAUAAUGAAAAAUUAAGUUAAGAGUAUUCAUCAUACAAAAAAUGAAAUUGAAAAAGCCCUAGUUGAAUUUCUUGAAGUAGUAAUUAAGUCCACUUAAGGAUUAAUGAACUAUAACUAUUUUUGGUUGUUAAAAAGUUUUUAAAAAAUAAAAAGAGAGGUAAGGGAAAAGAAAAAAAAAUUAUAAUUGUUUUUUAUUUGAUUAUCGAUUAAGAAUUGGUGAGAAAAUAAUCUAAAAGAGUGUUUAUUUUUUUAAACUUAUUAGUAAGAGGGUAUUUGUUUUAAAUUUAUUACGUUAACUUGCUUGAAUUGAAAAUGAUACAAGAAAAAAAUGUUUGCAUUUGUUAAAAAUAAUUUACUUUUGAAAAAUCAUUGCAAGGAAGUUUGAAUUGUGACUACAUAAUCCCUCAAUUCCAAUGUCCAAUUUAAAAAUCACAGCUUAUUAAGGAAAACCAAAUAGAUUUGAGCAUACCACCAGUGAGGCUGGGAGAAAAGGAAGAAGUAACAUAUGAAGCAGUGAUAACUGCAGUGAGGAAAGUUGUGAGGCUGAAUAGAGCCAUCCAGGCCAAGGAUGGUCACUGGCCUGCUAAGAACGCUGGUCCUUUGUUUUUCGCACCUCCUUUGGUAUGUUUUCUAAGUACCCAUUUUUUGAAGAAAAAAAAAUGAUUAUUGAAUUUAAUUUAUGAAUUAACUAACUCUUAAAGUGUUAUUCCAAAUUGAUAUGCAGAUCAUGGUGCUAUACUUAAUUGGAACCCUGAAUAUUGCCCUAACACCGAAACACAUAGUACUGGAGCUUCUUCGCUACAUUACUAACCAUCAAGUACUAAUCAAACUCAUCUCAUCAUCUUUAAUUGGCUCACAAUAUCUUCAUCUCCUAUUUGGAAUAGUAAUGGAAUGUGUUGGAUGAUUAGAAUGAAGAUGGUGGGUGGGGAUUCCAUAUCGAGGGGUACAGCACAAUGCUUGGAACAACCCUCAGCUACAUCUCCAUGCGUAUACUAGGAGUAGGACCGGAUGACAAGGCUCUGGCAGCAGGAAGGAAAUGGAUUCUCGAUUGCGGGGGUGCAACCUAUUCACCAUCUUGGGGGAAGUGUUAUCUCUUGGUGAGUUCAUAAGUUGGUGAUUUUAUGUAGGCUUGGAAGAAAGAUUUUCCAUUGCUAUUGGCUUAAUUGAUUUUUGUGUGUUUUAAGGUGUUUGGGUUGUAUGAGUGGUCUGGCUGCAACCCUUUGCCACCAAAGUUUUGGCUUUUCCCUUCAUUUUUGCCUAUGCAUCUAGGUAAGCAAUAUGCAGUACCUGUAUAUUUAGUAUUUUGAUCUCAAUUAGGCUUCAUGGUUUUAUUUUAUGAACUUGUUUUCAAUUGAAAUGUUUGUGUUGCGGAUAAAAUUUGGUGCUAUUGUCGAACAGUUUACAUGCCUAUGUCGUAUUUACACGACACAAGAUUUCAGCCACCCAUUACUCAUCUGGUUCUACAACUGAGGGAAGAAAUGCACACUGAACCAUACCGUGAAAUCGAUUGGGCUAAACCGUGGCUUUUAUGCGCAAAGGUUGGUAGUUUGGUUGAUUGUAGAGAAAGUGGUUUGGGAUUUUGCAGUUGCUAGUUUUGGUUUUAUAAUGAGACAUUUUUGCUAUAUUUGGAGUGCAAUUUUUUUGUGAGAAGGGGCAUGCUAAAUCCACCCCCACCCCCAUUAACCUUGUGCUAAAAUAUUGAACGGAUGCAAGAAGAUUACUACUACUCCCAUUCCCUCAUACAAGAUGUGCUUUGGGGUGGGCUUUAUCACUUUGGUGAGCUGAUUCUGAAACAUUGGCCUGUCUCCAAAAUUAGAGACAGGGCUGUAAAGAAAGCAAUUGAAAUCAUUCACUAGGAAGAUGAGAACUGUAGAUAUAUAACUCAAGGGUGUGUGGAAAAGGUGAGUGAGAGUGUGAGAAGAGAGACAUAAUAGAUUAGAAGGAAUGUUGGAAUGCGUUGGGGUCAAGUAAUUGAAGGUUUAGACAUUGUUCUUAUAUUGGGGCAACAUCAAUUUCUGCAGUCUUUCCACAUGAUGGGUGUUUGGGCAGAGAAUCCAGACUCAAAUUCAGAUGCUUUCAAGCAUCACCUUGCCCGAAUUCCUGGCUACUUAUGGAUGGCAGAGGAUGGAAUGAAAGUGCAGGUUUGUUACAACACCCAACCAUUUUGGUUCUACUCAAUUAUCACCUCCAAAUUCACCAUCCAUAAUGUUCACUUGUUGCUGUAACUGCAGGGUUUUGGGAGUCAGCUAUGGGACACUUCUCUUUGCAUUCAAGUCAUCCUGGAAAGUGGUAUGGUUGAAGAAUACGGGACUACUCUCAAGAAAGGUCACGACUACGUUAAAUUAUCACAGGUUUCUUACCUAUUCACUCCCAAAACCUCUACCACUACCAUGCUUUGUAUCUCCAUUAAGCUUACAACCAUUAUCAUACCAAAUUUAAAUUGCAGUGUUAAGAAAAUCCAUCAGGUGACUAUCGGAGUAGGUAUUGUCACUUUUCAAAAGGAGCCUGGACUUUCUCUGAUCGCGAUCAUGAUUGGCAAGUCUCUGACUGCACAUCUGAAGCAUUGAGGGUAGGAUAUACAGCUUUAUUCUGAUCAUAUACUACAGUAAUUAAUAUAGAAGUUCCUCAUGCAUAUCCCUUUUUUUUUUCCCCACAGGUCGUGUUGUUACUAUCACAAUUUCCAGAAGAACUUGUUGGUGAAAAGGCUGAACCUCAGUGCUUAUUUGAUGCCGUCAAUUUCCUCUUCUCCUUGCAAGUACGUACACAUAUUUUGCUUCACUUGUGACACUCAAAAUUGUUGCUAGAUUAAUAUUCCAAUUUUUUAAAUUCACAAAGUCUAACCAUGGCCCUUUUUUUGUUAUUUUCCAAAGGGCAAAAGUGGUGGUGUGGCAGCAGGAGCUGAAGAAUGGUUGGAGGUAAUUUCUUUCAUUCACAAAUAGAUGUUGUUACCAAAUUUUUGAGGCCUCAGUGAAUGCAGUUGAGUCUAGGACUAACAGAUUCUUGGUUUUGAUUCACUUUCUUUUAUUUUUCAGAAGUUGAAUCCUUCAGAACUUUUCACCAACAUAGUCACUGAGCAUGAGUAGGUUGUUAUAUAUCUAAUUCAUUUCCAUUUCAGUGUCCAUGUCCAUUUCCAUUUCCAUGUCCACUUUCACAUCAUAUACACUCAUUAAUGUUACCUAUUUGGCGGUUUAGGUAUGUGGAAUGCACAUCAUCAGCUAUCCAAACUCUCCUGUUGUUCAAGAAAUGGUAUCCUAAUCAUAGAAGGAAAGAAGUAGACAACUUCAUUUAAAAGGCAACCAGUUAUGUUGAGGAUGUAUAGAGGCCGGAUGGAUCUUGGUAUGCAUCUAUUUCGUUUUUGGCUACUUAGUUGAGGAGAUGGAAAUGGAUGAUGGUUUUGAGUUUGAAGUAAAAAUUAUCAUGUAAAACAAUAAUUGCAGGUCUGGUGGCUGGGGAGUUUGCUUCACCUAUGCUACAUGGUUUGCAUUAUCAGGGUUAGCUGUUGUUGGGAAAACAUACUCAAACAGCAAAACCGUUCGUAGGUGAUUGGGGAGAGAUCUAUCUUUCAUGCCCAGACAUGGUAAUUCUCAUUGUAACUCAAUGCCAUCGCUUGGAAAAUAUGAGCUGGAUAUUUUACUCGUCAGUUUAGUCAUCAUUGUACAGGUGUAUGUACACCUAGAGGGGGAUCGCACAAAUUUGGUACAAACCGCAUGGUGUUUGAUGGGUCUAAUUGAAGCCGGAUAGGUUACUCUUGAAUUUGAUUCAUUUAAUGGUUACUUCUCAUAAGUGCUUAUGAAAGAGAAAAAUAUUUUGACAGAAACUCCAAAUUUCCCUAAAUAAUUUACAGGAAGUAAAAUUUUUCAUUCUUUCUUCUAAACUAGGUUGAGAGAGAUCCAACCCCUCUACACAAUGCAGCUAAGCUACUGAUUAAUUCAUAAUUGGACAAUGGGGAUUUCCCUCAAGAGGUAAUUCUGACUAUGAUCUUGGUUGGUUAUAAGUUAUUAACCGAUCAAAACUGUUUUCACAGGCAUUAUUUCCUUCUUUGUUUUUGGAUGCAUCUUAACCUUGAAAUAAUGAUCACGGGAAAUCAUUGGAGUCUUCAUGAAUAACUAUAUGCUACACUAUGCGAGCUAUAGAAACAUCUUCCUGACAUGGGCUCUUGGAAUGUACCAAAGAUGUGUUCUGAAGCCUUCCUAGAAGCUCUAAGCACUAAGCUCAAGUAAAAUGGUUUCCUCUUUAUGCUUUCUUCUUCUUUGUUUAAACCAAAAUAAGGUGUUUCGUCGUAUGUGAAUGUACUCAUCUUAAAUGUAUAAGUCAAUACAAGCUCAAUAGUAAUAUAAAAAUGCAAGUCUUCAACAUCUUCUGUCAUUUGACAACUUUCAUUCUCAUGUAUAGUCGAAGUUAUUAUUGAAGACACUUCUUUUGAGAACAAGAUGCAAGCUACACUUCAACUGUAGCACCCAAGUUAAUUUUUUGGGGUAAAGUAGUAAAUUUGAAAGAAAUAAAAUAAAAUAAAAGAGUUAAAUAAAUUAAUUUAUCAAGGGUAGAAAAGUUUUUUUGCUCUUAAAAGUCCUGAGUAUAAAUUUAAUUUUUCUUAUCUUCUCUAUUAGAAAACCCUUUUACAUGUAGAUUUUUUAGAGCACGGUAUUGAAAAUUUAUGAAUAUUGGUUAUCUUAUUGAUAGAAUUUAGGAAAUUUCGAAUAUCCAAAUGAAUAAAAAGAAUGAAGAAAGAAAAAUAAAUCAUACACUAUGAGAUUUUUUUUGAAAAAGAAAAUAUAGGAAUUAUAGAAAGAAAUAAAUAAAAAUAAAAGUUGCAUGAUUACUAAUAGUUAUAUAUAUAUAUAUGCUAGGUGAGGAGUAGAUUCUUUGAGGUAGGGGAAAUUAAUACAGAUAUAAUAAAAAAUAAUAAUUUUCUUUUUAUAUGUUAUUUUCAAAUAUGUAAAAUGUUACUUUUGUUUCUAUGCAUGCAUCAAAUAUAUACUUUGCAUGAAACAUAUAUUAGAACUUUUUCUUUUAUGUAUGUGAGAAAAAAUGUUGAGAUAUAUUUUGAAUAAAUGAAACAAAAUCUCGACUCUAGUUUGUUUGACCCUACUCAACCUUUUGACUCUUGUCAAUGAGAUACAACAAUUGAUUUUUUGGCCUUUGUCAGUGUAAUAUAAUAGUUUAUUUUUACAUUUCUUGAUAGGGAAUAUAAUUAUUUUAAAUCUCAAUUUUUAGAGGUUUGGUUAGAAGUUACUAGUACUAGUUUUUUUGUCAAUAAUAGUUGACAUUAUUAGAAUAUUUGUUUUAAUUUUUUUUUUUAACAUUGUUAAAUGUUAGAAUUUACUUACUAUUAAUUAUUGACAGUAAUUGGUUUUUUUUUGACAAAACCAAUGCUGAGAAUUUAGCAUCGUAGGCUUGCUCAGAAUAUCACUAACUCUGCUCACAUUUCCAUGGACUUGCUCCUCCUCGCCAUUUCAGCAUCUGGACAAAGGCUAUGCAUUAAUACCCCACUCAUUCACAGAAUUCUACUAAACUCUUUUCGCUGCAUCUCUUGAUGAGUUUCUUCUCUAAUAGAUGGUAGACUACAGAGUACAGAGUAGAGAGAAUCCCCAACAGCAUUGGGAAAAAGUAGUAAAUUCAAUUAAUACAAUAUGCAAUUCAAAACUAUGAUGAAGUGGGCAAUACCCGUGUUCUAAUGAACACGGAUAUUCAAUCAUAUACUUAUGAGCGCAAACUGAACGUUCAUGAAUUUAAGUCGUGCUCUUUGGAGCAUGGUCUAAUCGUGUGCACUAUGACACGAAACGGAAGUUAUGUCCUAACAAAUAUGAAUAAAGCCGUGUUCCAAUGAAUACAACCUAUGAUUCGUAUUAUUGAGAACACAAACCAUAGUCCGUGUCCAUAAGAACACAAACCAAAAUCUGUGUUCACAAGAACACAAGUAAAAAAUUAUCUCUACAUGAAUUCAGUUACUAGGAUUCAGAUAAUAUUUUCUGUUGUAAACUGUUUUGUUCUACACUACUCUACUGAGAAGAUGACACAUGUAUUCACUAAAAGUAUAAAAAUUGAGAAAAAUUCUAAAAGAUGUUAAACAAAAAAUUAGUGCAACUAGGGAUGGCAAUGGGACCGGUUUUUUUUGGGUACCCGCCCCUAAUGGGACGGGGUUUAAAUUUAAUAAACGAGUUUUAAAUGAGUAUGAGAUUUUUUUUUUAAACCCGGUGCGGGUUCGGGUAUUGCCCCAUCCCGCCCCGCCCCGUCCCGUUUACAUAUACAAUUAAAUUAAAUUUAAAUUUUAAAAUUAAUUUAAUUUAAAAUUUUAUUUUACUAUUUUUAAUAUAUAGAUAAUAAUAAAAAAUUUAAUAAAAUGAUUUAUAAAAAAUAUAAUAAUUUUAUUAUUUAUAAAAUAUAUUUAUUUUAAUGUAAUUAAAAAAAUUAAAAAAAAAAAGCUAAACGGGGCGGGGCGGAGCGGGUAUGAAAAAUUCUCAUACCCGCCCCACCCUGUUUAAUUUUUUAAACGGGACGGGGAUGAGAAUUAUUUUUAAUAAACGGGGCGGGGUUGGGAUGGGGGCGACCUAUCCCGAACCUGCCCCGUUGCCAUUCCUAAGUGAUUCAAGAAAACAAACAAAAUAAAUAUUAUUCUAUAAAAUAUUUUUUUUAUAAAUAUUAUACAAUUUUGAAUCAAAUUUAGAUUACACUUGAAUUAAACUACAUUAAAACCUAAUUAUAGCACUAACAUGAUUACCCAAAUAUAUAUAUAUAUAUAUAUAUAUAUAGGUUAACUUCACUCAUCUUACGAGGUUUAAACUAAAUACAAUUAGCUUCUAUUAAUAAAAUUCGUCAAACACCUCCCUUAUUUUGAAUUAGAAGGGAGGUGAGUAAAAAUAUCAAAUGAAAAUGAUGGGUGAGACAUUUGAUGAAAUUUUAAACUGAUAGAGACCAAAAGAAUUUAGCCUAAACCUUAGAAGGGUUAAUGAAAUUAACCUUUAUAUAUAUUCUUAAUUUUUGUAAACGAGAGAUGGUAGGUAAGAAGGUGCAUUGGUUUCAUUAUAAUAAUUUAAAACAUGGAAUUUGGAAAGACAUAUGUAUAGGGAUUAAUGAGUGUGUAGAAUGGAGCAAAUUGGUUAGGGUGGAGUGACUCAUAAUUGAAUUGGCUAUGAAUCUAAAGUUGAAAACAACGUGGCUCAACUUUCCUCCUCAAAUACCAUGUGGUGCUUAUUUCAAAAGGAUGAAAGUCAAUUUUGACACUCAAAAUUCUAAGUCACCCAUUCCAUAGCAUGCUCACCCCUCAAUUUGAGCUCUUCAUCCAUAUUAUUAAAUUUGAGUCAUUAAAAAAAGUUUAAGUAUUUGACAAAAUCAAAAUUCUAAGUACAACAAUUGAUAUCAAAAGACCAUAUGACAAUUUCCGAUUAAUGUCACCUAAAAUAAUUAUGCUUAAGGUAGCUACUUUAUUCAAAUCUUUAAGUUGACAAAUAGUUUUUCAUUCAACUUUGCAAAAAGUCAUAUUUAGCUAUGAUAUUAUAUUGUACUAAUAGUCUUCCAUUAAAUUUGCAUGAUUUUUUUUUUAUUGUUUCUUUAAUUUGAACUCACUCAAAAGACUUUGAAAUUGAAUAAAAGUAAAUAAAUGUUUUUUUAAUUAUGUUUUCCAUUUUUAAUUUUGUUUUUUAUUUAUAAUUUUUUUUUUGUAAUUCUAUAAUAAGAAGUAAAAAAAUAAUUUUGUAACAUUUUUUAACCAUUUAUAGUAUUUUAUAGACAACAUGUUAUUAUUAUUGAUUUGACAAAAAAACAUAUAAAUAGGUGUUAAUUUUCUAUUUUUAAAUGUGUUUAAAAAUUAAAAAUAAAAACCUUUUAGCUUACGUUUGGUUGGCGGGAUAAGAUAUGAUAAGAUAUAUAUCCUACAAACAUGAUAUUUUAAGGUAGCAUAUCAAACGAGAUAUAUUAUGUUAUAUUAUAUUUACAUUUAAUUUUUGAAAUGAGUAAAAAAUAAUAAUAUGAAAUAUAUAUUAUUUUAAAUGUUUAAAAUGAAAAUUAUAUCACAUUCCAAUAUUUUUAAUUUAAAAAUUGAAAUUUCUCUUAUAUUUAACAAUAUUCAUGAUUAAUAAUUUAUAUAUUAAUAUUAGUUUAUAAUUUUUUGUUAAUUUUAUUUUUUAACCAUAAAUUUAAUUUAUAAAAAAAAAAUUAUUUUGCAAAAUGAGUAUAAAAAAAUUAAAAAUUGAUAAAAAAUAAAUAAAUUUAUGAUACAUCGGAUAUGCAUAGUUUAUAUCUUUGCAUGAGAUUAACAUAUUUAAUUGUAAAAGAGAUAAAAAUAAAAAAUAAAAAAUAGAUGGUGGAUAAUAUAUCUCACUACUUAUCCUAUAUUAUAUUUGGUUGAACAUAAGAUAUGAUAAGUGAUAGAUAAUUUAUCUUAUCCCAUUACCAACUAAACAUUGAAUAUGAUAUAAUAUCACAUCCCUUAUACUAUCUCAUACUAUGUUCAACCAAUAAAACAUGACCUUAAUAUCUUUGCGCACAAAAGCCUUGUAAAAGCUAAAGAUCUCACGUAGAGGAAAUAAAAUGAAAAAAUGUUCAAGUUUAAUGGCUAAAAGAUUUGGUUGGCUAUCAAUGUCUUACUCACCUUUGUGAAAACCCCCAUUUUAAUGACUCCAUUUUCUAGAUGGUAAUUGAUAUUUUUGAGGAAAAAAGAGAGGAAAAGAAUUGAUGUUUCUUACUCAAAUUGCAUAAACCUUGUAAAAAAGUUAGAAGAUCCCACAUAGAGAAAAUAAAAUGAAAAGAUGUUCAAAUUUAAUGGCUAAAAGAGUUGGUUGGCUAUCAAUGUUUUACUCACCUUUGUGAGAAUCCCCAUUUUGAUGAAUCCAUUUUCUAAACGGUGAUUGGUAUUUUUGAAGAAAAAAAUGAAAAGAAUUAAUGUUUUUUACUCAAAUUGUAGAUGUCCUAAUGUUGUCUAGCCCAUGAGCCCAUGUGUUAGGCUAUUUUAUAUUUGGGUAUUCCCUAAGCCCAAAUAUAGAUAUAUAAAUAGCAUUUAAUCUUUGGUAUUAUGAGAGAAAGGAGACUUGAUUGAGAAAAAGAAAGAAAAUUAAGGUUGUUUUUUGGGCACUAUUCUGGGGCUUAAGGUGAAGUUUCAUGUUCUUUCAUAAACCUUUUAGGGAAGUCCCUGUGGUAUGUUUUCUCUCCGAUUUCUUUUUGUUCAUGUUUCCUAGGGUGAUGGAUUCCCGCCUCAAGCAUUGAGAUAUUUAUAUAAGUUUUCAAGGUGAAAAAACAUGUUCUUGAUUAUCAUUCUUGAUUCUUGUUAGGUUGUUAUUAUUGUUGAGGGUGGUUGUUAUUGUGGAGUGGUGGUUAUUAUUAUGGAGGAAUCUUUUAACCUUGACAAGUGAAUACUCUGAUCUCUCUCUUUAUCUUCCCAACAAGUGGUAUUAGAGCCUGGUUGUGGGAACCCUUAUUCUUUAAAGGAAUAGAGAUAGAAGAAAACUCAACCUCCAUAAUAAAACUUAACAAUUCAAAUUGGGCUAUAUGGAAGUCCAUGAUGGAAGAUUUUCUCACCAUCAAAGAUUUGUUAGAUACUCUUAAGGGUGAAUAAGAUAGACCCAAAGAAAUUUUUGAUUUGGAAUAUGAUAAGAUGAACAAAAAGGCAAUUGCUUAUAUUAGGCAAUGGCUUGACACAUCCUCACAUCACCAUGUGGCAAAUGAAACAAAUUCCCAUAAUCUUUGGAAGAAUUUGGAAUAAGUGUUUGAACAAAAAAUUGUUGGGAAUAAACUUUUCUUGUUAAAAAAGUUAGUGAACAUGAAGUUAAAGGAAGGAACACUAAUGACAAAUCACUUGAAUGCUUUUCAGAGUAUUGUUAAUUAGUUGAUUGCUAUGAAAAUGGUUAUAGAUGAUGAGAUGCAAGCAUCUUUGUUGUUGUGUUCACUGCCAGACAGUUAGGAAACUUUUGUUGUGACCAUUUUCGAAUGGUGCAUUGUCUAUGGAGCUUAUGAAGGGAAAUUUGUUCAAUGAAGAGACAAAAAGGAAGGCUUAUGAACAGAAAAUGCACAGACCCUCAUCAUAAAAAGUAGAGGAAGAAACAAGAAUGGAGGAUAGAAAGGUCAUGACAAGUUUGAGAGAAGGUCCUAGUCCAGAGAUAAAAUCAAAUGUUUUCAUCAUGGAAAAGAGGAGCAUAUGAAAAGGAAUUGUCGAAUUUGGAAAAUGGAACAAAAUAAGCAAAAUCAGGAAAAAAAAGAUGAGAAGAAUAUCAUAGCCUCUGUAUCCAACAAUGAUGAAGUUUUAAUGCUCUCAAAUGAGUGUUUGCAAGUAGACGAGCAAUGAGUUGAGUGGAUUGUAGACACUAUAGCCUCUUACCAUGGUACUCUUCACUUGGAGUUGUUUUCUAAUUAUAUAGUUGGAGACUUUAGCACAAUUAAGAUGAAAAACUCUAGUUACUUCAAGAUUGUAGGGAUGAGUGAUGUUUGCUUUGAAACCAACAUGAGGUGCAAGAUGACAUUGAAAUAUGUAAGACAUGUUCCGGAUUUACGCCUUAAUAUGAUGUUAGGUCUUAUCUUGGACAAACAAGGUUAUGAAAACCACUUUGGCAAAGGCAAAUGGAAGCUUACUAAGAGCUCAUUGGUUGUUGCAAAAAGAAAAGCAUGCUACACUUUGUAUAAGACCUAAAGGAAGUUUGUAAUGAUGAGUUAUGCUAUAAAGGGUACUUCCUUAGAGUUGUGACAUAAAAGGUUGGGGCAUAUGAGUGAGAAAGGAUUGCAAGUUUUGACAAGGAAGUUCUUAAUUCCCUUAGCUAAAAAUGAAUCUUUAUCUUCUUGUGAUCAUUUUUUGGUUAGAAAACAACAUAGGGUUUUCUCUAGUAGCGAUCUACGAAGAAGUUAAAAAAGUUAGAGUUGGUACAUUGAUGUUUGUGGCCCUAUGGAUGUGGAAACUCUUGGAGGCAACAAGUACUUUGUCCUUUUUAUUGAUGAUGCUACCAAGAAGGUAUGGAUUUAUUUGCUCAGAUCAAAUGAUCAAGUCUUUUAGUAUUUUCUACAAUUUCAUGCCAUGGUUGAGAGAGAGACUGGAAGAAAAUUGAAGUGUCUCACGUCUGAUAAUGAAAGUGAGUACACCUCAAGGGAGUUUGAAACUUAUUACACUAAGAAUGGUAUAAAGCAUGAGAAAACAAUUCCUGGCACUCCACAACAUAAUGGUGUCGUUAAAAGGAUGGAUCGCACCAUCAUUGAUAGGGUUAGGUGUAUACUGAAGAUUACAAAGUUGUCUAAGGCGUUUUGGGGUGAAGCUGCUCAAAUUGCAUACUAUUUGAUAAACAAAUCUCCAUCAAGUCCAUUGAACUUUGAGGUUUUAGAGAAGGCAUGGAUAGGAAAAAAUGUUUCUUAUUCCCACUUAAAAGCCUUUGGGUGAAAAACUUUUGUGCAUGUUUCCAAAGAACAGAGAUCCAAACUUGAUGAUAAGACAGUUCUACAUGUCUUUGUUGUGUAUGGUGGUAAAGUGUUUGGAUUCAAAUUGUGGGAUCAAACCUUAGGAGAUUUUGACAAAACUAAUCAAUCUAAAGGUACAAGUGAUGAGUUCAUUCAGUUGGUACCUAUUCCUCUAUCAUUAAAGCAACCUAGAAAUGAAGAUGAGGAAAUUAAUGAGCUACCAAGAGAUGAUAGUGCUAGUGACAUACCUGUAUAGGAGCUAAUUUAGCAUGAUGAGUAGGAAGAGCAGUCAUUUCAUCAGGAUGAUUUGGUAACCCAGGCUAGGAGGUCUACUAGAGAGCAUCGUCCCUCUACUAGAUAUCCCUUUUUUGAGUACAUGUUAGUAAUUGAUGAGGGAGAGCCAUAAAGUUUUCAAGAAGCUAUGCAAGAUGAGAGGGAUUCUGAUAACCCGACUCUUGGUAGCUUGGCAUGUAAGGGUAUCAACAAAAUUUAUACCUAAGGUCCUUACACUAAAGUAGCAAAGCUACUAUAGCAUAGUGGCUCUAGGAUCGAACACUGGGAAGGGUUUUUACUUUAACUGGUGAAGUUCGGAGGAUGGAGUGAACUUUUCUUAAUAAAAAUUAGGUUAAGAUGAAAACAUAAAAAGAUGAAGGUGUUGUACUAAACUAACAUGAAAAUAGGUUAAAAGAUGGAAAAAGAAGUUUCUCAAAGCUUUGGAUAGCCAUGCUUAACUCACAGUGUAAAAAUGGAGAUUUUGGAACUUUUCACCUCGAGUUGGGGAAGCAACUCAGGUGAUGCUUACUUCCCGAACCGGUAUGUGUUUAACAACUAAGUUUUAGUCCUUGAAAACUUACAAAAAGGGUAGUUGAACCUCAUAAAUGCUCUUUUAAUGAAUAGGUCAUCUCCUCGACUUGCAAUACAAUGGCUCGUAGGAGAUAACUAAUGAACGUCAGUGGAUCUAACAAUAAGAAUCCACUGAGACCAAAAGGUUNNNNNNNNNNNNNNNNNNNNNNNNNNNNNNNNNNNNNNNNNNNNNNNNNNNNNNNNNNNNNNNNNNNNNNNNNNNNNNNNNNNNNNNNNNNNNNNNNNNNAUACCUAUGCUACCGACUUCCAUCAACAUUUACUCAAUCCAUAGGGAAUAUAUUAUCAGCUUACGACCUCACCCGUAAGUCAAAGCCACUAUUAACUUCAGCACAAACUCAAUAUUCUCUCAAGGUUGAGAGAUAAUACAAUGAAGCAACUUGGUGGAGUCAGGACUACUUGAUAGGCUUAAGUCAUAACUCACCAUAGGUCCCAUCCAAUGUGCAACCAUACACACUAGUGCACUUAUCAUGGGAAACUCAUCCCAUAGCCAAGACUAACCAUCCCUCCUAUUAGAAGGUGGUGCACUACAACCUCUAAUGGUUUGCCUAGGCUCGUGAACUGAUUAUGAACAAAUAAUCUAUUUGCAAGAAACCCAUGACUUAAAUCUUCUGUGGAACUCCUAAUGCACCUAAGUCACGUACAAUGCAAAAGAUGUAGGCAAGAAUGCUCAUAAAGUACAAUGCAUGGAAUAAGUAUAGAUAAAAGUGAAACUAGAACAUCAUUAAAUAAAUAAUGAAUUCCAAAUUUAUUACAUCAUGUUAUGCUUUUAAGGAUUCUAUCCUAACAAAAAAACACCUUAAAGCAUCUAGAAUGGUCAUAGAAUGCAUCAAACACAAUUUUCUAAGGUAUUAUAAAAAACACAAAACCUUGGGUUAAUUUUUUAAUACCUCAAACACACUAAAGUGGGCUCUUUAAAGCUAUUAAAGUAUUAAGUUUGAGUUCUCAUCACUUAGUCCUUACGUUAAUAACAUGCACUUGGAAGUAACAUUAAAGCUUCAAUGUGGCGUUCUAAAGGGCAAGCACCAGUUUUUCAAUAUUUAUAUAUAUAUCAUGUUUCCACAUCUAAGAGGGCCUUUUAGACAUAGUAAAUUGGUAACACUCCACUUACUGAUAACCCGACUCUUGGUAGCUUGGCAUGUAAGGGUAUCAACAAAAUUUAUACCUAACGUCCUUACACUAAAGUAGCAAAGCUACUAUAGCAUAGUGGCUCUAGGAUCGAACACUGGGAAGGGUUUUUACUUUAACUGAUGAAGUUCGGAGGAUGGAGUGAACUUUUCUUAAUAAAAAUUAGGUUAAGAUGAAAACAUAAAAAGAUGAAAGUGUUGUAAACUAAACUAACAUGCAAAUAGGUUAAAAGAUAGAAAAAUAAGUUUCUCAAAGCUUUGGAUAGCCAUGCUUAACUCACGGUGUAAAAAUGGAGAUUUUGGAACUUUUCACCUCGAGUUGGGGAAGCAACUCAGGUGAUGCUUACUUCCCGAACCGGUAUGUGUUUAACAACUGAGUUUUAGUCCUUCAAAACUUACAAAAAGGGUAGCUGAACCUCAUAAAUGCUCUUUUAAUGAUAUAGGUCAUCUCCUCGACUUGCAAUACAAUGGCUCGUAGGAGAUAACUAAUGAACGUCAGUGGAUCUAACAAUAAGAAUCCACUGAGACCAAAAGGUUAUCAAGUAUUGGCCAUUCAAAGCAAGUCAGAGGGAUUAAAAGCUUUACUUUGGAUGAAAACAUUUAUGAUGCUCAACUACUUACAUUCAUGGCUUGGAAAUCUCCAUCCUGACACGGGAGCUUCACAUGGCAUCCAUUACUUCAAGAAACUAAAAGGUUUNNNNNNNNNNNNNNNNNNNNNNNNNNNNNNNNNNNNNNNNNNNNNNNNNNNNNNNNNNNNNNNNNNNNNNNNNNNNNNNNNNNNNNNNNNNNNNNNNNNNUUUUUUUUUCUCCCCAAACUUUAACCAAUUCCCCUUUGUAGCAAGCAGAGGAUUGAUGACUCCCAACCAAUCAAGGUUUAGGGCAUCGGGUUUUAAAGGCUUUUGCCACCCCUUCGGAUCAUGCUUAGGCUUCAAGGAAAGAAUAGAAGCCUAUUCCUUUUUUUUUUUUUUUUUUUUUUUUUUUUUUUUUUUUCUCUUUUUCUUUUUCUAAGACUCAUUGGCCUUUUUGAGGUGUCCCAACACUAUUAAAAAGAGGUUAAGUAAUGAACCAAGUCAAAAUUUUCCUAAGCUUAGAAGGCGAGAAAGUUUUACAUCAUAUACCCGGGAUCUAAUGUGCACUGUGUGUGUAAAGCUUGAAAUGGAAGAAAUAAGUUCGAAAACAAAGAGAGUUUUAAUAGAUUAUCAACUUUGAAAGCAUAAAACAAACUCAAAGACUUAAAUAAUUAAGUUAAAACUCGACUUAUCCUAUUUUAUUUUUGAGAAAUUAUCUUUAACAACCAUAGAGAAAAAUUUUUAAAAUUAAACAAAAGUAACCUAAAUUACCAAAAAAUUUAGUAUUAACAAUAAUAAUAAUAAAAAAACUUCCUUCCUCAACUGUCUCCCCCCAACCAAGCUGAGCAUUGUCCUCAAUGUGGUAUGAGCGAUUGAAAUUACAGGGAGGGAGUGGUGCCUCCUGAGUGGAUGUAAUUUGAGUAGANNNNNNNNNNNNNNNNNNNNNNNNNNNNNNNNNNNNNNNNNNNNNNNNNNNNNNNNNNNNNNNNNNNNNNNNNNNNNNNNNNNNNNNNNNNNNNNNNNNNNNNNNNNNNNNNNNNNNNNNNNNNNNNNNNNNNNNNNNNNNNNNNNNNNNNNNNNNNNNNNNNNNNNNNNNNNNNNNNNNNNNNNNNNNNNNNNNNNNNNNNNNNNNNNNACCGAUAUCAAAACACAUCUCACAUGGUGAACUAAAGAUAUGAAGAUUCAAAAUGCAAUAGGAGUUGUCAAAGCUAAAAACUUAAACAAAAAGUACAAAGAGUGGAGAUUAUGCAAUUAAGUGUCAAAAGAAUCUCUACUCUCAAGGCUCCAAAUCAAACUCUUCCAUAAUGAGCUAAGUGUUAACGAGAUUAGGCUCCGGAUAUAGUAUAUACAACUAUCCUCACCCUCCAACCUAAGCUUUUCUCGAACAAAGGCAAAAUUAACCAACUCUUAAUAGGUUAGGAACGCACCUUCUUAUUCACAAUUCUUUUUACUCACUAAACUUUAACCAAUUCACCUAUGUAGCAAGCAGAGGAUCGAUGACUCCCAACCAAUCAAGGUUUAGGGCAUCGGGUUUUAAAGGCUUUCGCCACCCCUUCGGAUCAUGCUUAGGCUUCAAGGAAAGAAUAGAAGCUUAUUCUCUUUUUCUUUUUCUUUUUCUUUUUCUCUUUUUCUUUUUCUUUUUCUCUUUUUCUUUUUCUUUUUCUCUUUUUCUUUUUCUAAGACUCAUUGGCCUUUUUGAGGUGUCCCAACACUAUUAAAAAGAGGUUAAGUAAUGAACCAAGUCAAAAUUUUCCUAAGCUUAGAAGGCGAGAAAGUUUUACAUCAUAUACCCGGGAUCUAAUGUGCACUGUGUGUGUAAAGCUUGAAAUGGAAGAAAUAAGUUCGAAAACAAAGAGAGUUUUAAUAGAUUAUCAACUUUGAGAGCAUAAAACAAACUCAAAGACUUAAAUAAUUAAGUUAAAACUCGACUUAUCCUAUUUUAUUUUUGAGAAAUUAUCUUUAACAACCAUAGAGAAAAAUUUUUAAAAUUAAACAAAAGUAACCUAAAUUACCAAAAAAUUUAGUAUUAACAAUAAUAAUAAUAAAAAAACUUCCUUCCUCAACUGUCUCCCCCCAACCAAGCUGAGCAUUGUCCUCAAUGUGGUAUGAGCGAUUGAAAUUACAGGGAGGGAGUGGUGCCUCCUGAGUGGAUGUAAUUUGAGUAGACAAGGAGAAACCACAUGUUUCAAAAAGAAAAUAGAUAUGAGUAGAGGAAUAAAAAUAAAAUAAUACCAAGAGUAUGCAAAAAAAUGAUAGAGUUGUAUUACUUCAUGAAAGUACAUUAAAGAUGAUAACAAGUAAUACAACCAAUCCCAAAAUAUAUCAUAACAAAAGCAUGGGAUUGCAAGUGCUACUAUAAUAAGAAAGUGCAUAAAGAAAAUACAUAAAGUAAACUAUGGAAAUGAUCAAGUAGAUGGGUGCUGAUGAUGUGAAGAUAAUGACUCAGGUGGAUGUCUGUGUGUCUCCUGGAGUCGGCUCUGUGGGCUCUAAGGGGGCAGGCAUCUGGUGCUGAGGAGCUGAUGGAAUACCCAGAUGGCUCUGAAUCUGCCUCAGAAUGGCAGUAUGCUGAGUCUGAGUAGCAAUAAUUUGCUCCUGAUGAGCACGAAGAGCUGCCAUCUCCUGAGUAAGAGUGCUCUGUGAAGUGGUCAAUGUCUGCAAAGUGUGACAUAGAGCUCUGUACUCGGAAAUGGAUAUGGUAGUCCUCGGCUCUGCUGAAGAGGAGGGCUGUGAUGUGGAUGAAAAAACAGGGGAAGGCUGUGGUGUGGCAGGAGAAGCAGAGGGUGCAACCUCAGGUAUGGGCUCUGCAGAGGGCACUACAGGGGCAGGUGCUCUCGUGUCAGCUGGUGUAUCUAUGGGCUGUGGCUCCUGUGGCUGCUCUGCAUGUGGAAUCCCUGGAUGCUCUACUCCAGCUGGGGCUCCUGGCUCUGCACUAUAGGCUGUCAUAUUCGUCCAUUUGUCAAGAGUGAAUAACUCUCGACAAAUCCGUUUGCGCUCAAAUUGAGGCUCAGUUGGGUAGCCCAAGUGUUCCAAAAUCUGACAUAACAAUCUGGGGAAUAGCAGAGGAAUGGCAUCAGCUCUGAGCAGCUUCUUCUGAUGGACCUUCUCUUCAAAAUACAGAAGUGCGGCCAUAAUGAGAUGAUGAGGGCCAAAGAAGAAUCCCUCAGAUAUCCGAUAUAAUGCCUCCAGCAAAGCUCCUCGCCUCUGCACCCAGUGCUGUAGUGGAAAGAUAUUGUGGCGGAGGAGAGCAUCUAUGAAAAACAUGCUAGGAGGGAGCUCCUUCCUCUGUAGAUACUGGCCUGUGGAUGCCCCUCUGGACAGAAUACGAACUAUGUCGCUCGGGGAAGGAUUAGUCCAGACUCGAUAAUCCUCUGGCCUAGCUGGCUCGUAGGGAAUGCGCAAUGCCUCUGCUAUGUGCCUAGCUCCCAGAAUACCAUGACGUCCGUCUAUGGUGAAGUGGAUGACAGUAGGAUCGCGGACAUGGUGUGUGGUCAUGGAUUGAUAAAAAUCCAUUGCCACACGGGGAUAAAAGAAAUCCCUUGGAGUAAGCAAUUGUUCCAUAUGAUACCUCCGGAGCAGAUGGAAGGAGUCCCUGAGCUGGGGCUGAAGUCUGAACGCGGCCACGUCAAAACAGAGCUCAGAGUGGAAAGGCCUAGCCCUGCAGUCUAAAUUACCCUCUAUGGGCGGCUGAGUGAGCAUGGGCCGCUUGAUAAUCAUCUCAGGAGUCAUGCCGGAGGGGAUCUGAGAAUCUGAAGGCGGCGGCUGAGACGACUGAGGCUCAGAAGCUGGCUGAGACGGCUGAGAUGGCCGAGACGGCCGAGACGGCCGAGACCCUAAAGCUGGCCGAGAUGGCGGAGACUCUAAAGCUGGCUGAGACGGCUGAGAUGGCCGAGAUGGCGGAGACGGCUGAGGCUCGGUAGCUGGCUCUUCUGGCUCUGAUAAAUCGAUUAACGUUGGCUCCGAGACCUUAGCUUUCUUCUUGGGUGGCUGGCUACUCGCCCGUGUAUGAUAGCGCCUGACCGGAGGGCUCAUUGGUGCGCCCUCAACUGGAGGUGGGACGCGCGGUGGUCGCGGAUGCUCGGAUGUGGAGCCUUGGACAGGGGUCUUUGAUGAAACCUCCUUACGGCUUGACGGGGAGGAGGACUUAGCUCCUCGGGUUCUUGCCAUGGCGGGCCGGCGGAGAUGAGCGGAGGUGCGCGCGGCCGAGGUUCAGGCGAGAGGGAGAAGAUGGAAGGUUGCUCUGUUUUUGGGUCUUCUCUGGUACUAUUUAAAGUUCAAAUGACCGGUUAUAUUAGAAAUUUGGAAUUUAUACCGUUAAAAUUUGGAUACCAAGGGUCACUUAAAUUUUCGCAGCCGAGGGCGGAUUUCGCAGAGAAAGGGCAUUUUCGUAGAGGAGGGCCCUUUUCGCAGCCCAUUUCGCAGCCCAUUUCGCAGCUGCGAAAUUGGGUUACUGUGUUGCGAAAUGGCACACGAGUGCCAAAGGGGUGUUUCGCAGCUGCGAAACACCCUGCGAAAUGAGGCUAUCGCUGCGAAAAUUGAAAAUUUAACUCUUUGGGGAUUUCGCAGCCAUUUCGCAGCUGCGAAAUGGAGUUACUGUGCUGCGAAAUGGCACACGAGUGCCAAGAGGUGGUUUCGCAGCUGCGAAAAUUUUCGCAGAGGAGGGUGUUGGGCUGCGAAAUUUAUUUCGCAGCGGAGGGCCAUUUUCGCAGCCAAACCUCGAUUUCGCAGCAGACACCAAGGGGCUGCGAAAUUAUUUCGCAGCCGAUGGCCAUUUUCGCAGGGGGCUAUUUUGGGCUGCGAAAUUUCGCAGACCAUUGAAAUUUCUUGGUUUUGAGCUCCUUUUUGCUCCCUGGGACCUUCUUUCAUUUUCUUCGCAAUUCCUCCUACAAAAGAUCAUUCAAAAAGAUGAAGUUACAUAUAAUUAACAAAACUUUAAACCAAAAUUAAAAUCAAAAGAAUUAAUAAAGCUUUCAAAUUAAUAAACUUAAGCAAAAAUAUGGACUUUGGUGAAACCAAGCCCAUCUAACCCUUUUCUGAUUAUGCUUUCUGUGGCUCAAGGAGGUUGAUUUCCUCCUUGUCUUGCUUGAAUGGCUCAAUGAAUGGCUUGAGACGAUGGCCAUUGACCUUGAAGGUCUUUGCACUAUUUGAGUUGAGUAACUCAAUUACUCCAUGUGAGUGUACUUGGUGGAUGACAAAAGGCCCUACCCACCUUGAUUUGAGCUUUCCCGGAAAUAGGUGAAGCUUAGAGUCAUAUAGCAAGACUCUUUGUCCCUUGAAAAAUUCUUUCUUGGUCACCAACUGAUCAUGCCAUCUCUUUAGCUUUUCCUUAGCUAUUUUUGAGUUGAGAUAGGCAUCAUUUCUCAAUUCCUCAAGCUCAUUCAAAUCCAAACUCCUCUUUAGCCCAGCCUUAGUUAAAUCCAUGUUGAGCUUUUUAAUGGCCCACCAUGCCUUGAACUCAAUCUCAACGGGAAGAUGGCAAGCUUUGCCAUAAACAAGACGGUACGGUGACAUCCCAAGGAUAGUCUUAUAAGCUGUCCUAUACGCCCAUAGGGAAUCAAGGAGCUUAACAGACCAAUCUUUCCUAUUGGUGUUCACCACCUUCAUCAAGAUGUUCUUAAUUUCCCGGUUGGCUAGCUCUACUUGGCCACUCGUCUGAGGAUGAUAAGGUGUAGCUACCUUAUGCUUGACUCCGUACUUGGCCAAAAGAGCUUCAAAGGGCUUGUUGCAAAAGUGAGUGCCUCCAUCACUGAUGAUUGCUUUAGGCACUCCAAACCUCGAGAAGAUGUUUUCUUUUAGGAAUUUGAGAACCACUUUGUGAUCAUUGGUUCUACAGGGUAUAGCUUCAACCCACUUUGAAACAUAAUCAACUCCUACCAAGAUGUAGGAGUGGCCAAAAGACAUAGGGAAAGGUCCCAUGAAGUCUAUGCCCCAAACAUAAAAAAGAUCCACUAUCAAGAUGGGGUUCAAAGGCAUCAUGUUUCUCCUUGAAAGCUUGCCUAGUCUUUGGCACUUAUCACAUCCUUUACUUACCUCAUGGGCAUCCUUAAAAAGUGAGGGCCACCAAAAACCCGAUUGAAGAACUCUCAUUGCCGUCUUUUGAGAGGCAAAGUGGCCUCCACAUGCAUUCUCAUGGCAAUGAGAUAGGAUCCCAUGCUUCUCUUGUUCAGGCACACACUUCCUUAUAAUUUGGUCCGCACAAUACUUGAAGAGAUAAGGCUCCUCCCAAUAAUAUGCAUGGACCUUGGCAAAGAAAUUCUUCUUGUCCUGAGAGCUCCAUUCACUUGGUAUUUCUCCCGUGACCAAGUAAUUGGCAAUGUGUGCAAACCAUGGCACUUCCUCCACAAGCAUCAAGGAUUCCUCAGGGAAAUCAUCAUUUAUGGGAAGUCCAUGGGUGUCAUGAGCAAUGUUGAGCCUUGACAAGUGGUCAGCUACCACAUUCUCAACACCUUUCUUAUCUCUGAUCUGGAGGUUGAACUCUUGAAGCAAAAGUAUCCACCUAAUCAACCUAGCCUUGGCAUCUUGCUUGGUUAGCAAAUACUUCAAAGCUGAAUGAUCCGUGAAUACCACAAUGGAAGACCCUAUCAAAUAGGCUCUGAACUUAUCCGAAGCAUACACCACAGCAAGUAAUUCCUUCUCAGUAGUGGUGUAAUUCCUUUGAGCAUCAUUCAAAGACUUACUGGCAUAGUAGAUCACAUAAGGUUUACCAUCUUCUCUUUGUCCCAAAACAGCUCCAAUGGCAUAAUCACUUGAGUCACACAUCACUUCAAAUGGCAACUCCCAAUUUGGUGCUCUCACAAUGGGUGCUGAUGUUAAGAAUUGCUUAAGAAGCUCAAAACUCCUUUGACAUUUAUCAUCCCACUCAAACUUGGCAUCCUUCACCAAUAAUUCACAAAGAGGUUUGGCAAUCUUGGAAAAAUCCUUUAUAAACCUCCUAUAGAACCCGGCAUGCCCAAGGAAUUGCCUUAUUCCUUUUACAUUGGUGGGAGGUGGCAACUUCACAAUUAGUUCCACCUUAGCUCUAUCUACCUCUAUACCCUUCUUUGAGAUUACGUGCCCAAGAACAAUACCUUGAUUUACCAUAAAAUGGCACUUCUCCCAAUUGAGUACGAGGUCUUUCUCUAUGCAUCUUUUCAAAACAUCUUCAAGAUGUGACAAACAAUCCUCAAAAGAAGUCCCAUACACAGUUAUGUCAUCCAUGAAGACUUCCAUGAUUCGUUCAACCAUGUCACUGAAGAUGCUAAGCAUGCAUCUUUGGAAGGUAGCAGGAGCGUUGCAUAAUCCAAAAGGCAUCCGCCUAUAAGCAUAGGUGCCGAAUGGACAAGUGAAGGUAGUCUUCUCCUGGUCCUCCACAUCAAUCUCUAUUUGGAAAUACCCGGAAUAACCAUCCAAGAAGCAAUAAAAAGGAUGCCCAGAUACUCUCUCAAGGACUUGAUCCAUGAAAGGUAAAGGGAAGUGAUCCUUUCUUGUUACUGCGUUUAGCUUCCUGUAGUCAAUGCACACCCUCCAACCAGUUGUGAGGCGUGUGGACACUUCAUCUCCAUUUUCCCCCUUGACUACGGUUAUCCCGGACUUCUUUGGAACAACUUGGGUUGGACUCACCCAAGCGCUAUCCGAAAUGGGGUAAAUGAUACCCGCUUGAAGAAGCUUCAACACUUCAGCCCUUACUACCUCUUGCAUAUGAGGAUUCAAUCUUCUCUGUGGCUGACGAGUUGGCUUAGCUCCCUCCUCCAUAUAAAUAUGGUGCGUGCAAAUCAAUGGGCUUAUCCCCUUCAAAUCAGAAAUUUGCCAUCCGAUGGCCUUCUUGUGCUUUCUAAGGAUUCUAAGAAGAUUGUCCUCUUGUGAAACGGUUAAAGAAGAAGAAAUUACCACCGGGGCUUUAUUGCCUUCCUCCAAGUAAGCAUACUUCAACUCGGCAGGAAGGGUCUUCAAUUCAAGCUUAAGAAUUUCAUCCUUAGCUUCUUUCAUCUCUUCCUCAUCCUUGAACAAAGGGAGGAUCACUGGCUUUUGUCUCCAGUUUGACAUAACGACAUUCAUUCCCAUGGGUUCAGCUAACCCGUCAUCAAGAUCUUCAUGGCUUUCAUCUGGAUUCUCUUCAAACUGAUCAAGCAUACUCUGAUUACAAUGCUCCUCUACCAGGGUAUCUAUCAUACAAACUUCUUCUGGGCCCUCAUCUUCUUCAGGAUGGAUGUGCUUUUGACAUAGAUGGAAGAUGUUGAGUUCCAAUGUCAUAUUCCCAAAAGUGAGUUGCAUGACCCCAUUCCUACAAUUGAUGAUUGCAUUGGAUGUUGCAAGGAAAGGUCUUCCAAGGAUGAUUGGAACAUAGUUGAUCCCUUUGACAAUGGGAUCCGUAUCAAGCACCACAAAAUCUACUGGAUAGUAGAAUUUGUCAACUUGAACCAAUACAUCCUCUAUUACCCCUCUGGGGAUUUUCACUGAUCGGUCAGCUAAGGAUAGGGUGAUCGAUGUUGACUUGAGUUCUCCCAACCCCAGCUCCUUGUAUACAGAGUAUGGAAGCAAGUUAACACUUGCCCCCAAAUCAAGCAAUGCCUUCUCCACUUGGGUUCCUCCAAUAUUAACUGAGAUUGUAGGACACCCCGGAUCUUUGUAUUUGAUUGGAGACUUGCAUUGGAUUAUAGCACUCACUUGCUCGGUUAGGAAAGCUUGCUUUGUAACAUUGAGUCCUCUUUUCACAGUGCACAAGUCCUUCAAAAAUUUUGCAUAUGUGGGUACUUGCUUGAUCAUAUCAAGUAAAGGAAUAUUCACCUUCACUUGUCUUAGAACAUCAAGAAUCUCAGAAGCAUUCUUGAUCGGUUUCUUCCCACGCAAGGCUUGAGGAAAUGGAGGAGGCAUGUGCUUCUUCAUCAUGCCUUCCUUUAAAAGAAUUUGAGGUUCCCCAUCCAUGCUAGGAAUGAUGCUUUCUUUCAUCUGAACUUCCUUUCCCUUUCGUUCAUUCUUCUUUUCUUCAUUUCUAUCAGCCUUGUCUUCUUUGGCUUUCCUCUGAUCAUGCUCCGGCUGAUGCACUUCCUUACCACUUCUCAAAGUGAUAAUAGCUUGCACGUCCCUCACCUUUGAAGAAUCCUCGUCUUUGGAUUCCACUUCAUGUAUCCCCUUAGGAUUUUGGUGAGGCUGAGAGGGAAACUUCCCUUUCUCAUUGACAGUGUUCAAAUUUGUGAGCCUUGAGAUGGAAUAUUGGAUGUUGUCAAUUUUCUGAGACAACUCAUUAUACAUCCCAUCUAUCUUCUUGUUCAAUGUACUCUCAACGUUGUCAAUCUUCUGAUUUAGUUGAGAGUUGAUGGAUUUUUGCUCACUCACAAAGUCACCCAUAACCUUGCUAAGGCUUACGAGUGCUUGCUCAACUGAGGAUUGACCUUGACUCUGUUGGCUUGAUUGGGCUGGUGACUGAUAUGGGUUUGGCCUUGGCUUCCAUGCAAAGUUUGGGUGGUUCCUCCAGCUAGAGUUGUACGUGUUGCCAUAGGGAGCAUUUGAAUUUGGCUUCCAUUGGCCAAUCAAGUUAGCUUGUUCCCCAAACAUUUCUCUUACUGCCGGAAUGGUGGGACAUUCUUCCACCAUAUGUUCAAACGACUGACAUAUGGAGCAAGGAUUGGCUGGUUGUUGAGGUUCUGAAAUAGCUUGGACUUCGUGAACUUUUCUCAACUCCAUUUCCUCUAUUUUUCUAGCCAUGGCAGCUACCUUGGCUUUCAUCUCCAUGUCUUCACUCAGAUUGUACAUCCCCCCUUUUGACAUUUGCUGAACUGGUCUCUUCCCUAUUUCCUUGUUAGUGGGCUCAUCCCAUCCACGGGAAACCUCUGAGACAUAACUUAGGAAAUCCAUAGCCUCCUCAGGGUUCUUGCUCAUGAAAUCGCCCCCACACAUUGUCUCCAAUAUCUGCUUCAUUGAAGAUGACAUGCCAUCAUAAAAAUAACCCACCAAAAGCCAUGUAUCAAAGCCGUGGUGAGGGCAUGCAUUGAUGGCUUCCAUGUACCUCUCCCAGCAUUCAUAAAAUUUUUCAUUCUCACGUGCUGAGAAGUUGGAGAUUUGUCUCUUCAAUCCAUUUGUUCUGUGAGUAGGGAAAAACUUCUUCAAAAAAUCAGCUUGAAGUUCUGUCCAUGUUCUUAUGCUUCUCGGCCUCAAGGAAUUGAGCCAUAUCUUGGCUUUGUCCUUUAAUGUGAAUGGAAAGAGCUUCAACCUCAUAAGCUCAAUAGCUGUUCCCCCUUCUUGAAAAGUAUUGCACACAUCUUCGAAUUCCUUUAUGUGUGCAUAUGGAUUUUCACUUUCCAUCCCAUGGAAAGUAGGAAGCAGAGGCACGAUGUGUGGCCUGAUAAUCAAUUGCUCUGUAGGAGGAAUGAUGCAAGAUGGUGCACUCAUCCUCGGAGGGUGCAUCCUGUCCCUCAUGGACCUAUACAAGUUCGGAUCAUUCCCCUGCCCGUGUUGUGAAUGUUGAUCCUCUGGCUGAUUCUCCAUGACUUCUAAAAUAAUCUCUAAUUCAAUAGCUCGUGGAGUCUCUAUCCGCACUAACCUUCCCUCUUGGUCUCUAAUCCAAUAGGGCAUGCACGGAUUCAGCUGGAACAAAGUAAACAAACAAAACAAAGAAAAAGAAGAAAAAACAGAGCAUGCGGAAGGAAAAACAGAGUAUGAAAAAUAAACUAAAAAUGAAAGUUAAAAGCCAAAAGAAACUUAUCUAUACUAAGUUAAAAAUGUUCUAAAACUAAAAUAAAAGGUUAGUAAAUGAAAAUUGAGAUAGAAUUCACCUUACUCAUGAGAAGUCUCACAAGUUACCUCCGGCUGAUAUAUUCACAGUGAAGUAGCACCUUCCCCGGCAACGGCGCCAUUUGAUAACCCGACUCUUGGUAGCUUGGCAUGUAAGGGUAUCAACAAAAUUUAUACCUAAGGUCCUUACACUAAAGUAGCAAAGCUACUAUAGCAUAGUGGCUCUAGGAUCGAACACUGGGAAGGGUUUUUACUUUAACUGGUGAAGUUCGGAGGAUGGAGUGAACUUUUCUUAAUAAAAAUUAGGUUAAGAUGAAAACAUAAAAAGAUGAAGGUGUUGUACUAAACUAACAUGAAAAUAGGUUAAAAGAUGGAAAAAGAAGUUUCUCAAAGCUUUGGAUAGCCAUGCUUAACUCACGGUGUAAAAAUGGAGAUUUUGGAACUUUUCACCUCGAGUUGGGGAAGCAACUCAGGUGAUGCUUACUUCCCGAACCGGUAUGUGUUUAACAACUAAGUUUUAGUCCUUGAAAACUUACAAAAAGGGGUAGUUGAACCUCAUAAAUGCUCUUUUAAUGAAUAGGUCAUCUCCUCGACUUGCAAUACAAUGGCUCGUAGGAGAUAACUAAUGAACGUCAGUGGAUCUAACAAUAAGAAUCCACUGAGACCAAAAGGUUAUCAAGUAUUGGCCAUUCAAAGCAAGUCAGAGGGAUUAAAAGCUUUACUUUGAAUGAAAACAUUUAUGACGCUCAGCUACUUACAUUCAUGGCUUGGAAAUCUCCAUCCUGACACGGGAGCUUCACAUGGCAUCCAUUACUUCAAGAAACUAAAAGGUUUUAGCCUCUCAUCCUUGGGGAUUUCAUCCUCCAAGGAUGUUUGGCUACUAAGAAAAUAGAAAAUAGUAGAGAGAAAAAGAAAGCAAAAGAUACUUCGUAUUUCACUAAAUGUAAACUUUACAAAAAGUUGGUCUCCUGGGGAAAGUUCCCCCGACUGCUUAAAAAUGAAAAUUACAAAACAAUACAUAUCAGGUUGUUUACCCUUGUAUCCUUGCUUAACAACUAAGGAAUCAUCUAAUUGGUGGAUUACAAGGAGAGAAUUGGGAUUUAGACAACAAAUAUCUGAGGCAAAAUAACAAAAAACGUUGGCCGCAAAUAUCUGGAAGCACUCAGGAGAAUUUCGCAGGCGCACAAAACGGCUGCAAAAUUUCGCAGAUGAACAAGAUGGCUGCGAAAUCAUUUCGCAGCCGAAGGCUGAUUUCGCAGCCAAAGGCUGAUUUCGCAGCCCUGCGAAAUUGGCCUUCAGCUUGGAGUGAUCUGCUUCCAUUGGCUCUAACUUCUUCAUUUCAACUCCGAUUUGCGAACCGUUUGAAGCAUUGGAUUGUUGACUUCCCGAUCUUCGAAGCGACAUAAAGUAUGCAUAAAUUGGACUUCAGGAAGUACUCCAAAAGUGGCUGAAAUGACUGUCAUCAAGAAUGCUUCAAGGUGGAUUCUCUCUUUACUUCUCCUCCUUGCAAUCCGGAUUGGUUAUGGCAAAGGACUUUAAGGCUUCAAAUCUCUGAUUCUUCAUGUUCCUGAGCUUUCUAUUGCUUUACCAUGGAUUCCAAAUAACUCUCCUCCAUCUUGGAUUGCUUUGGUGAUCAAAUUACUAACAAAAACACCAAAACUUACACAAAGUGAUUAGAAGUGAUUGCAAAGGUCCUUAAUAUGUUAAUUGGGUUAAAGGGCAAUAAUUACUACUCAAAAGUGUUUAAAAGAGUUAAUUACAAGCUAUCAAAUAGCCCUUUUUGAGUAGUAAUCAGAUUCCUUAUAGAAAAAUGGAAACUAUGAGUUGGUACAACUUCCUAAAGGAAGAAAAUCAUUGGAAAACAAAUGGGUGUUCAAGUGGUUGAGGGAUGUGGUUGAAGAAAAUGCGGCUAAGUUGAAGAAGAUUCACAUAGAGAAGAAUGCCUCAAACAUGUUGACAAAGGUUGUUCCUAAGAAAAAGCUUUAGUUAUGCAUUGGGACAGUAGGUUUGAACUCCAUGUGAUGGAGUUAUAGAUUGAUAUUCCUCUCUCAUGUGUUGGAGGGGGAAAUUGUUGGGCUAAGUUUUUUCAACCCAUGAGCCCAUGUGUUAGGCUAUUUUAUAUUUGGAUAUUCCCUAAGCUCAUAUAUAUAUAUAUAACAUUAGGUCUUUUGUAUUAUGAGAGAAUAGAGAUUUGAUUGUGAAAAGAAAAGGAAAUUAGGGUUGUUUUCUAGGCAAUGUUUUGGGGCUUAAGGUGAAGUUACACGUUCUUUCAUCAACCUUUUAAGGAAGUCCCUAUGGUAUGUUUUCUCCCUAAUUUCUUUCUGUUUAUGUUUCCUAGGAUGAUGGAUUCUCGCCUUAAGCAUUGAGAUAUUUAUAUAAGUUUUCAAGGUGAAGAAAUCUAAGGACUUAAUUAUUAUAUCCCCAUUUAUUGAAGUGGAAGAAAUUUUCUCCGCGGUUUUUUAUCUCCAUUUAGAGGGUUUUUCCACGUUAUAUUUGGUGUCCUUCUUUUUGGUUGAAUGUUCUUGAUUAUCAUUCUUGAUUCUUGUUGGGUUGUUAUUAAUGUUGAGGGUGAUUAUUAUUAUUGAGUGGUGGUUAGUAUUAUGGAUGAAUCUUUUAACCUUGACAGGUGAAUACUCUAGAUCUCUCCCUUUAUCUUCCCAAUACUAGAAGCUGUGUAAAAGUUGAACAUGCCACGAAGAGAAAAUAAAGUGAAAAGAUGUUCAAAUUUAAUGACUACAAGAGUUGGUUGGCUAUUAAUGUCUUACUCACAUUUGUGAAAAUCCCCAUUCUUAUGACUCCAUUUUCUAUAUGGUAAUUGAUAUAUUUUUUAGGGAAAAAAAAGAAUGAAAAGAAUUGAUGUUUCUUACUCAAAUUGCAGAAGCCUUGUAAGAGUUGAAGAUUCCACGUAGAGAAAAUAAAAUGAAAAGAUGUUCAAGUUUAAUGACUAGAAGAGUUGGUUGGCUACUAAUGUCUUACUCACAUUUGUGAAAACCCCAAUUCUGAUGACUGCAUUUCUAGAUGACAACUGAUAUUUUUGAGGCAAAAAAAAAAAAGAAAAAAGAAUUGAUAUUUCUUACUCAAAUUGCAAAAGCCUUGUAAAAGUUGAAGAUCCCACAUAGAGAAAAUAAAAUGAAAAGAUGUUCAUGUUUAAUGGCUAAAAGAGUUGGUUAGCUAUUAAUGUCUUACUCACCUAUGUGAAAACCCUUAUUUUGAGGACUUCAUUUUCUAGAUGGUGAGUGAUAUUUUUGAGGGAAAAAAAAUUGAUGUUUCUUACUUAAAUUGCAGAAACCUUGUAAAAGUUGAAGAUCAAGUUUAAUCGCUAAAAGAGUUGGUUGGCUAUAAAUAUCUUACUCACCUUUGUGAAAACCCCCAUUCUGAUGACUCCAUUUUCUAGAUGGUAAUUGAUCUUUUUGAGGAAAAAAGAGAGUAGAAGAAUCGAUGUUUCUUACUCAAAUUGCAAAAGCCUUGUAAAAGCCGAAAAUCUCACAUAGAGAAAAAAAAAAAGAAAAAAAAAAGUUGCUUAAGUUUAAUGGCUAAAAGAGUUGGUUGGCUAUCAAUGUCAAUGUUGUAACCCUCAUUAUGAUUAUUCCAUUUUCUAGAUUGUAACUGAUAUUUUUGAGGAAAAAGGGGAAAAAAUUGAUGUUUCUUACUUCAAUUAUAGAAGCCUUAUAAAAGCUGAAGAUCCCACAUAGAGAAAAUAAAAUGAAAAGAUGUUCAAGUUUAAUGGCUAAAAGAGUUGAUUAGCUAUCAAUGUCUUACUCACCUUUGUAAAAACCCCCCAUUAUGAGGACUUCAUUUUCUAGAUAAUGAUUGACAUUUUUGAGGAAAAAAAGAAGAGAGGAAAACAAUUGAUGUUUCUUACUCAAAUUGCAUAAGUCUUGUAAAAGUUGAAGAUCCUACCUUAAAAAAAAUGAAAAGAUGAUCAAGUUUAAUGGCUAAAAGAGUUGGUUCAUUAUCAAUGUUUUACUUACCUUAAUGAAAGCUCCCAUUUUGAUGACUCAUUUGGUAAACCCUAGAUUUCUGUGUUUUGUAAACUUCCAUCACAUGUUAACAUUAAAUAUGGUUGUAACAAUUAACUUUCAACAAUUAAUUUGUUUUACGGCAAAAAGUGACAUGUGAUCGCAAAUUUGUUUUGCGGUUAAAUGUCACAAAUUUUGUUUUGUGGUAAAAUUUUAUUUUUGUUUUUUAUUAUUAAAAAUAAUUGCUCAGGAGGCAUGAGCUUUUAUGAAUUUUUUUUAACCAUAAAAUACUAUAUUUUAUUUAUAAAUUUAUUUAUUGUAAAAACUCAUGUUUAUUGGAGUGAUAAUAAAUAUAAUUGUUAUUUAUAUUAUAAUUAAAUAAAAUAUAAGUUUAAUGUUUUUUAAAGUUUUUGUUUUCAAUUAUCUAGAGGGAACAUUGCCAUCUCUCAUGAUUGUUGUGACUUUUUUUUUUCUUUUUUUGUCACUUAAAACAAGGUUUCUUAAUAAGUAGUUUUUAUUUAUUUAUUAUUUAAUAAUUUAAGUUGAUUUCAAUUGAUAUUUAUUCUCAUUAUUUAUUAAACAUUCAUAGUUAAAAUAUUGUAAAUAGUUAAUAUAACCACAAAAUAUUUACCAUAAAAAAUAAGUUAUGGAUGUGGAACUAUAUGGUUGUAAAAUAUAUUAUUAUUAGAUGUAGGCAAAUAAAGUUAAAAAUAUUUAAAAUUAAGAAUAAGUUAUUUAUUUGGACUUAAUAUUUUAAGUUAUGAUAUUAAAUUAUUUUAUUAAAUAUAUCUAAUCUAUUUAAUAACUUAAAUUAAGAUAUUAAAUCAUCCUAAGUUGAUUUAUCAAACACUAAUGAGGUUGUAUUUGUUUUCUUUUUUUUUUUUUAACUUAAUUCUAGAUAAAACUUAAAACUAAAUAGUGCUUAAUAAUAUUAAGCAUCACAUUGUUUGUUUGUUUGUUUUUUUUUUUUUUAAUAUUUCAUUUCUACUAAGUAUUAAGAAUUAAAGAAAAAUGAAUUAAUUACUUUUACCAUUUAAAAAAAUUAAAUAUAUAUAUUUUUUCAUUUGGUACAAAAUUUAAGAAACAAGUAAUAAAUUAUUAAAAAUAUAUAUAUAUAUAUUUAAAAUCUAAAAGUAAGAAUGCAUUUGGUAGUGAUUGUAGGAAGUGUUUUUAGCUGUGUAACACUUGGAAAUUUUUAUCUUUCAAGUAUUCAAAAAAACUAAAAGCGCUUCCUAAAAUUACUACGAAACAAAUUCUAAGAGUGUAUUUGACAGUGAUUGUAGAAAGUGUUUUUAGUCUUUCUAACACUUGAAAUUUUUUAUUUUUCAAGUAUUAGAAAUGUUAGAAACACUUCUCGAAAUUACUUGCAAACAUACCCUAAGUUGGUGGAGGAAAAGAACUUGAAAAAAAAAUGCAUUUAAGUUGAGUGGUGGAUAUCCUUCCAAAUUAAUCCCCAACACCAACAGUAUUAAUUAGAACACACCACUGAAAAUGACCCAAAAAUAAAGUCAUACAAACUACCUUUCACUUUCACAUAUUACAAAAAAGUCCCAAAAAAUAUGUAUUUGAUGAAUAAAGGCACUAAUUACAAAAAGGCAAUCAAUAAAGGAAUGGGAAGUUUGUUGAUGUUGCAUUAUUCUCAUUAGAAAUUAUAAUUGACUUGAACAAAAUCCACCAACUUUGCACAAAUAGACGCUUCGCAGAAGGGGAACAUCUAUAAGAGCAACAUCUUUCCAUUUCAUCACCUCUAAUCCCAUCUUGGGCAGACUUUCUAAUGGUAAAAGAGACACUAACAAGAUAAGUAUUGUCAUUAUUUGGGUGAUAGCCAUGGAAAAAUAUUUUUUGACAAAGAAACUCAAAUCCCAACAAAAAUAUGGUUAUAACAGUUUUUAUAUAUAUAUAUAUAUAUAUAUAAAAUCAAUUUAGAGUGAUUUAUCAAUAUUAUUCGCUUUGGAUUUGUUUAAGGAAAGUAUCUUGACUUCUAGGGAUGGCCUCAUAAUGGAAAAUUAAGUUAAGAGUAUUCAUCAUACAAAAAAUGAAAUUGAAAAAGCCCUAGUUGAAUUUCUUGAAGUAGUAAUUAAAUCCAUUUAAGGAUUAAUGAUAACUAUGUUUGGUUGUUAAAAAGUUUAAAAUAAAAAAUAAAAUAAAAAAAUAAAAAGAAAAAGAGAGGAAAGGGAAAAGAAAGAAAAAAAUAAUUAUAAUUAAUUUUUAUUUGAUUGUCGAUUAAGAAUUGAGGAGAAAAUAAUCUAAGAGUGUUUAUUUUUUAAAUUUAUUAAUAAGAGGGUAUUUGUUUUUAACUUUUUAUUUAACUUAUUACUUAUUACUUAUUUUUUAUUUUUUAAUAUUUUUAACUGAAUCACAAAAGACAAAAUACUUAACUUUUUCUAAAGAAAAAGUAACUUUUUUUAAAUCCAUUAAAAAAUCUCAACCCUCAAUUCUUAUUAUCAUAAUAAAUCUUCUUGUCUUUAUCAUUUUCCUCAUCUAACUACCGCCUUUUUCUCCUUUUCACCACUUUAACUUCAACAACUUUAUUAUCUUAAAAUUUUUAGAAACAUGUUAAAUUAUUUUUUUGUUGAGAUAAGAAUUAAUUUAAAAAUUAUUUUUCUCAAAUGUUGAUUUCUAGCAUAUAAAAAACAAAUAACUUAACACUGAAUAAAAAUAAGAUAUUAAAAAAACAAACAACUUAAUUAAAAACUUUUUAAUCUUAAAUUAAAUUAAGUUCUAUUAAAUAUUAAAUUUAAAAAACAAAUACUGUCUAAUUAUCAUUUUUAAUAUACUUUAUAUUUUUUUAUUUUUAUUUUUAAAAAUUAUAUAAAAUAUAAAAACUCUUCAAUCGUUUUAAAAACUGUUUAAAAAAUUAAAAUAUUAAAAAAAUUUAGAGUUAGAAUAUUCAAGGAAGGAUCCUCGAUUUUGUUUCACUAUAGCAAGUAAAAAUCAUAUAACCCGUUUUACAAAGGUAAAAUUCCAAAAACUUGUUUUUUAUAGGAACGUUUUUAAUAUUGAAAACAUUGUCACAUGCCCUCCAAGGUCCAUUUAACCUGACUUUCAGCUUUGCAAAAUACAGAGUUGUACCGCAGACAAUGGCCAGGAUGGGUCAAGAAUUGCCUCCUCCUUUUAACCCUAGGCUCACAACCCAAGACUUUGAUGCACGCCGAGACCGACCCUAGCUUACCUCUCCUCUCAAUUCAAUUUUUUUUUAUUAUUUUAGAUUCUAUUAUAAAUAUUUUAUAAUUCCAAUAAAAUUUCUAUUGGAACAAAAGUUUUGGUGGAAAAUCACGUGAAAAAACAUUCACAUAAAGCUUGUCCUCUUUUUCUUUAUUCUAUUUUAUUUUUAAUUUUACAUAGAUUUAUGGACAAAUUAUUUUUGUGAGUCAGAAAUUGGCCCCUCCCUCGAGUAUAUAGACUGUAUGCUCACCAAAAACAAUUAAACAUUUUAUAAUUAUUUUUCUUCAGCCACGUCCUUCCCUUUGCUCAUUCGAAGUCUAUAUAAAGGAGUGACCACCUCUCUCGCUUCUCAUCAACUCCUCAACCUCUCUUCGCCUACAUCUUCCACAGACAAAGUUCAGGUUUGUACUUUGUAAAGUUUUCUUCUUCUUUUUUUUUUUCUAUCAAAAUGAUGUAUAUAUAUAUAGCUUCUUUAGAAUUCUAUGCAAAAACCAACUUUCUGGGUAGGUUUGUUUUUGAAUUAUAACAUGCAGGCUUCCCUUUUUUUUUUUUUUUCUUAACCUGGAAAAAUCAGUUUUAUCCCAUCUCCUUCCGUUUCUUCUUCUGCUUCUGCAAUUGUCUGCAUGUCUUCUCUGUAAAAUUGGAGUUGGUCUUGUUUUAAACUACGGGAAACAAUGAUCUCGAUAUUUCUAUACUUGAUAGUAUGUGGUUACUGCGUUAGCUGAAGUGAUGAGGAUGUUUAUAUAUAUAAACAAAUAUGCAGUAUGUGGAAGCUCAAAAUUGCAGAAGGGCAUGGUCCAUGGCUGUACAGCCUCAACAACUUUGUUGGCAGGCAGAUCUGGGAAUUAGACCCUGAAGCUGGGACCCCAGAAGAGCGAGAAGAGGUCAGGAAAGUCCAGGAAAAUUUCACAAAGAAUCGGUUUCGCUACAAACCUAAUGGGAAUCUCCUAAUGAGGAUGCAGGUAUACGCUCUUUUAUUCAUGAUGAUAUCUUUGGAUCAAAAAUUUUCCUCUACUAUCUUCCAGCAUGGUAUUUUGCUUCUGAGGUUGAUGAAGUGAUCACAAUAAAAUUUAAUGUUAAUUAAAGGGCCUUCAUAGAAAUUUAUACAUACAUAUAUAUAUAUAUAUAUAUAUAUAUAUAUAUAUCUUACCCACACUUUUUGCAACUAACAACUAAGCUUCUCCUCAUAUUGGAAAUUUGAUGAUCAGGAUAUAUAAUUUAGUUCCCAAAAGCAAAUAUUUAUAUUUCUUUAUAUAAAAAAAAAAAGGUGAAAACCUUUGUCAUCUUUGCCACCUUGUAAAGUUAAUAUUUAGUCAUUGUAAAAUGCUAACUUUUUUUUUAUAUUUAAUACAACUAAUCACUUUUUAGUAAUUAUAAUUUUACUUACCGGGAAUGUAUAUAAUAAAAAAAUGUGAUAAAAGUGAUAGUGUAUGUAGUAUCUUCCAUUAGUUAAUUUUAAAAAAUGGUAAAACAUUAGGUCCAGUGUAGUAACUAUUUUUGAAAACAAUUAUGAGGGACAAUUUUCCCUUUUUAAAAACUAUUUUAUAAUGUUUUGUAGUAUAAAAAUUUGUUUGGUGACUUGAAAUAUUUUUAACCUAUUUUUAAUACCUUUAAAUAUGUUUUAAAAAUAAUUUUAAUCAUUUUACAUAUUUAUAUAAUUAAUUUUUAAAAUAACCCUUACAAAACAAGUGAAAACAUUUGAAAAAAACCUACAAGAUGUUAUCUUACAAUACUAUGUUUUUUGUUCUUAAGAACAAAAAAUUGAAAACAGCUUUCUAUUUGCCAAACGUUUUUUUUCUUAUUUUCUAUUUUUUGUUAUAGUAAAGAGAAAACUAUUAUUAAAAACAAUUCUGUAAAACAAUUUUUUAAAAUAGUUUUUUUUUAAUUGUUCUUUAAUGUUUUAUAGAAUAAAAGUUUAUUUAAAAACCUAAAAUAUUUGUAACUUGUUUUUAAUAUUUUUUAAAAACAAUUUUUAUAUUUAUUGUUUUAUUUUUAAUUAUUCUACAUGCUUGUAUAAUUAUUUUUUAAAAUAGUCCUUAGAUAACAAGUGAAAAUAGUAUAAAACAAGUAAAAUAUGUUAUUUGAAAGUAGAAAAUAAAAAAUAGAUACGUUCUUGAUUUUUUGUUCUAAAAAAUGGAAAACGGUUUUCUUGGGUGCCUAGAAUCUUGUGCCGUAUUUUCUUGGUUUUUUAUUUUAUUUAAUUAAUUAAUUAAUUAUUUUUUAACUUGCUUGAAUUGAAAAUGGUACAAAAAAAAAAUUAUAUGUUUGCAUUUGUUACAAAUAAAUUACUUUUGAAAAAUCAUUUUCAUUUCACAAGUUUGAAUUCUGACAACAUAAUCCCUUCGUUCCAAUGUCCAAUUUAAAAAUCACAGCUUAUCAAGGAAAACCAAAUAGAUUUGAGCAUACCACCAAUGAGGCUGGGAGAAAAGGAAGAAGUAACAUAUGAAGCAGUGACAACUGUAGUGAGGAAAGCUGUGAGACUAACUAGAGCCAUCCAGGCCAAGGAUGGUCACUGGCCUGCUGAGAACGCUGGUCCUUUGUUUUUCACACCUCCUUUGGCAUGUUUUCUAAGUACCCAUUUUUUGAAGAGAAAAAAAAUGAUUAUUGAAUUUAAUUUCUGAAUUAACUAACUCUUAAAGUGUUAUUCCAAAUUGAUAUGCAGAUCAUGGUGCUAUACUUUAUUGGAACCCUGAAUAUAGCCCUAACACCAGAACACAAAUUGGAGCUUCUUCGCUACAUUACUAACCAUCAAGUACUAAUCAAACUCCUCUCAUCAUCUUUAAUUGGCUCACAAUAUGUUCAUCUCCUAUUUGGAAUAGUAAUGGAAUGUGUUGGAUAAUUAGAAUGAAGAUGGUGGGUGGGGAUUCCAUAUCGAGGGGCACAACACAAUGCUUGGAACAACCCUUAGCUACAUCUCCAUGCGUAUACUAGGAGUAGGACCUGAUGACAAGGCUGUGGCAGCAGGAAGGAAAUGGAUUCUCGAUUGCGGUGGUGCAACCUAUUCACAAUCUUGGGGGAAGUGUUUUCUCUCAGUGAGUUCAUAAGUUGGUGAUCUUCUGUUGGUUUGGAAGAAAGAUUUUCCAUUGCUAUUGGCUUAAUUGGUUUUUGUCUGUUUUAAGGUGUUAGGACUAUAUGAGUGGUCUGGCUGCAACCCUUUGCCACCAGAGUACUGGCUUUUCCUUUCAUUUUUGCCCAUGCAUCCAGGUAAGCAAUAUGCAGUACCUGUAGAUUUAGUAUUUUGAUCUCAAUUAGACUUCAUGGUUUUAUUUUAUGAACUUGUUUUCUAUGGUAAUGUUUGUGUUGCAGAUAAAAUGUGGUGCUACUGUCGAACAAUUUACAUGCCUAUGUCGUAUUUAUAUGACAAGAUUUCAGGCACCCAUUACUGAUCUGGUUCUACAAUUGAGGGAAGAAAUGCACACUGAACCAUACCAUGAAAUCCAUUGGGCUAAAGCGCGGCUUUUAUGCGCAAAGGUUGGUUGAUUGUAGAGAAAGUGGUUUGGGAUUUUGUAGUUGCUAGUUUUGGUUUUAUAAUGAGACUCUGUAUAUUUUUAGUGCAAUUUUUUUGUGAAAUGGGCAUGCUAAAUCCAUCCCCACCCCCAUUAACGUUGUGCUAAAAUAUCGAACGGAUGCAGGAGGAUUACUACUACCCCCAUUCCCUCAUACAAGAUGUGCUUUGGGGUGGGCUUUAUCACUUUGGUGAGCCGAUUCUGAGACAUUGGCGUCUUCAAAAUUAGAGAGAGGGCUGUAAAGAAAGCAAUUGAUAUCAUUCACUGGGAAGAUGAGAAUAGUAGAUAUAUAACUCAAGGGUGUGUGGAGAAGGUGAGUGAGAGUGUGAGAGGAGAGAAGGAACAGAUUAGAAGGAAUGCUGGAAUGCAUUGGGGUCAAGUAAUUGAAGGUUUAGACAUUGUUCUUAUAUUGGGGCAACAUCAAUUUCUGCAGGCUUUCCACAUGAUAGUUGUUAGGGCAGAGAAUCCAGACUCAAAUUCAGAUGCUUUCAAGCAUCACCUUGCCCGAAUUCCCGACUACUUAUGGAUGGCAGAGGAUGGAAUGAAAGUGCAGGUUUGUUACAACACCCAACCAUUUUGGUUCUACUCAAUUAUCACCUCCAAAUUCACCAUCCAUAAUGUUCACUUGUUGCUGUAACUGCAGGGUUUUGGGAGUCAGCUAUGGGACACUUCUCUUUGCAUUCAAGUCAUCCUGGAAAGUGGUAUGGUUGAAGAAUACGGGACUACUCUCAAGAAAGGUCACGACUACGUUAAAUUAUCACAGGUUUCUUACCUAUUCACUCCCAAAACCUCUACCACUACCAUGCUUUGUAUCUCCAUUAAGCUUACAACCAUUAUCAUACCAAAUUUAAAUUGCAGUGUUAAGAAAAUCCAUCAGGUGACUAUCGGAGUAGGUAUCGUCACUUUUCAAAAGGAGCCUGGACUUUCUCUGAUCGCGAUAAUGGUUGGCAAGUCUCUGACUGCACAUCGGAAGCGUUGAGGGUAGGAUAUAUAGCUUUAUUCCGAUCAUAUAUUGUAGUAAUUAAUAUAGAAGUUCCUCAUGCAUAUAUAUUUUUUUCUCCACAGGUCUUGCUGUUAUUAUCACAAUUUCCAGAAGAACUUGUCGGGGAAAAGGCCGAACCUCAGUGCUUAUUUGAUGCCGUCAAUUUCCUCUUCUCCUUGCAAGUAUGUACACAUAUUUUGCUUCACUUGUGACACUCAAAAUUGCUGCCAGAUUAAUAUUCAUAUUUUGUAAAUUCACAAAGUCUCAAACCAUGGCCCCCUUUUUUUGUAAUUUUCCAAUGGGCAAAAGUGGUGGUGUGGCUGUUUGGGAGCCAGAAGGAGCUGAAGAAUGGUUGGAGGUAAUUUCUUUCAAUCACAAAUAGAUGUAGUUGUUACCAAAGUUUUGAGGCCUCAGCGAAUGCAGUUGAGUCUACGACUAACAGAUUCUUGGUUUUGAUUCAUUUUCUUUUAUUUCUCAGAGGUUGAAUCCUUCAGAACUUUUUACCAACAUAGUCACCGAGCAUGAGUAAGUUGUUAUUCAUCUAAUUCAUUUCCAUUUCUGUGUUCGUGUCCAUGUCCAUUUACAUUUCCAUGUCCACUUUCACAUCAUAUACACUCAUUAAUGUUACCUAUUUGGCGGUUUAGGUAUGUGGAAUGCACAUCAUCACCUAUCCAAACUCUCCUGUUGUUCAAGAAAUUGUAUCCUAAUCAUAGAAGGAAAGAAGUAAACAACUUCAUAGAAAAGGCAACCCAUUAUGUUGAGAAUGUACAGAGGCCGGAUGGAUCUUGGUAUGCAUCUCUUUCGAUUUUGGCUACUUAGUUGAGGAGAUGGAAAUAGACGAUGGUUCUGAGUUUGAAGUAAAAAUUCUCAUGUGAAACUAUAUUGGCAAGUAUGGUGGCUGGGGAGUUUGCUUCACCUAUGCUACAUGGUUUGCAUUAUCAGGGUUAGCUGCUAUUGGGAAAACAUAAUCAAAUAGCCAAACCGUUGGUAAAGGUGUCAAACGGUAAUUCUCACUAAGAUCUUGGUUGGUUAUAAGUUAUUAAUCGAUCAAAACUAUUUUCACAGGCAUUAUUUCCUUCUUUGUAUUUGGAUGCAUCUUAACCUUGAAAUAAUGAUCACAUGAAAUCACUGGAGUCUACAUGAAUAACUGUAUGCUACACUAUGUGAGCUAUAGAAACAUUUUCCCGACAUGGGCUCUUGGAAUGUACCGUAGACGUGUUCUGAAGCCUCUCCAGAGGCUCUAAGCAUUAAGCUCAAUUAGAAAGUUUUCCUCCAUAUGCUCUCUUGUUUUUCUUUCUUUAAACCAAAAUAAGGUGUUUUGUCAUAUGUGAAUGUGCUCAUCUUAAAUGUAUAAGUCUAUACAAGCUCAAUAGUAAUAUAAAAAUGGAAGUCUUCAACAUCUUCUGUCAUUUAACAACUUUCAUCCUCAUGUAUUGACCAAGUUACCAUGGAGGACACUUCUUUUGAGAACAAGAUGCAAUCUACACUUCAAGCGUAACACCCCAAAUUAAUUUUUGGGGUAAAAUACUAAUUUAGAAUAAAUAAAAUAAAAUAAUUAAAUAAAUUAAUUUAUCAAGGAUAGAAAAGUUUUUUCAUUAAGCCUUAGGUAUAAAUAAGAUUUUUCUUGUUUUCUUUAUUCAAAUUUUUUUUUUACUCGGGGAUAUUUAGAUCAUAAUAUUAAAAAUUUAUGAAUGUAAAUUGUCUUAUUGAUGAAAUUCGAGGAAUUUUGAACAUUCAAAUGAAUAAAAAUAAAAAAAGGAAAAAUAAAGUGGGUGGUUUUUUUUUUUUUUUUUUGGUAAAAGAAAACAUAAGGAUUAUAGAAGUAAAUAAAUAAAAAUAAAAGUUGCAUGAUUGCUUGAUGUGUGAAGUAGAAAAAAAAAAUUCAAUAAAUUACACGAGGGACGUGGAGUGGUAGUGUAGAAGAAAAAAUGGGAAGUUAGCGUCCGGAAACAAAAACUAUUAUCAUUAUAAUAAUAAUAAUCAUGUUGGGAAGAAUCUUUGUUUUUAAUUUUUUUAGAUUUUGUGUGUGCCGACGAUAAGGUGUAAUGGGUUGGUUGGAUAUUGGAAUUGAAAAUUAAUAAAAAUAAUAAUAUUUAGUUUUAAGUUAAUAAAUGAUAUCAUAGUAAUAAUAGUUUAAUGUAAUAAAUAGAAAGAACAUAUUUUUGAGAGAUUUAAUUAAUAAUAAUAAUAAUUUUAUUAUUUUCGAUAAAAAUUCGUAAUUUUUUGUAAGUAUUACAACUUUUAUGAAAAUUUGGAAACCCAAUUAUUAAAUUGUUAUUGAUUAGAAGUUAAAAAUAAUAUAGGUGAUAAAAAUAUCAACAUAGAUAAUUUUCAUUUUAGAAUUGUCAAACCUAUAAUUUUAGAUAAAUAAUCAAUAGUAAUUGUUUUUUUUUAAUAUAUAUAUAUAUAUAUAUAUUAAUAUAUAUAGGUGAGGAGUAGAUUCUUUAAGAUUAUUUUUGUCCAAGGUUUUUGAGCAAUUCUUUAAGGUAAGGGAAAUUAAUGCAGAUAUUAUGAAAGAAAAAUAAUUUUUUUAUAUGUUAUUUUGAAAUAUGUAAAAUGUUGUUUUUGUUAUAUAUUAGAACCUUUUCUUUUGUUUAUGUCAGAAAAAUGUAGAGAUUUAUGUUUUAAUAAGUUUUGAAUAAAUAAAACAAAGUGUUUGAUUCUGGUUUGUUUGACCUUAGUCAAUGAGAUAUAAUAGUGAAACUGUAUUGAUUUUUCCUUAUUGGGCUUUGAGUUUAUACCUCUUCAUUAACCAUUUUUUAGGUACCUUCAAUUCGGGUAAGGAGUGACAGUUAGGAUGAGUGUGGAUCCACGUUUUGCUCAAUAUGUUCCCACUCGAUGGCAUGACUCGUUUUUUAUUUAUUUGUGAAAAUUUGAUUUUUAGAAAAAGACUUGGAGUCACCACUUAUUAAUUUUUUUUUAAAGAGAAAAACAAAAUAAGAAAGAAAAACUCCAAGUGUGACUCCUAAAGGAAAAAUAGGUUUGUGAAAAAUCGAGUCUGGGUCCGGGGGUCAGGUUACCUGUUGGAAAUGUACGAUGGUAAGUUGUAACACCCUUCGAAGUCCCUAAAAACGGGUCUCUACUAAAUAAGGUGAGACAAGUGUGAAAAUUGAUAAGGGAAUCAAUGGAUACCAAUGAAAUGAUCAAAUAAUAAAACGAAUCAUGCAUGAGAAUAAGCAAAGUGGAAGUGACAUCAUAUCUUAGUAGCAAAUAAUAAUGCGCUAUCAUAAAACGCGGUUAGUGUACAAUAAAUAAUACAAAAUAUAUUGUAUAUGUCACAAAAUAGAGCAAGAAAUCAUCAAUGACAAUUAUUCAUUUCACUCAGAUCAUUUUUAAAGAAAACAUCAUGGAUGUUGGGCCCUCACCAAAGCCCAAUUGAUUUUGCAUGAAUUAAUCCCACAAAUUCCAUUAUUUUGGAAUUAUGAAAGAAACUCAUUCAUGCUUAUUUAAAAAAAAAAUGUGAAAAUCGAAAAUUAUUUGAAAAUAGAAGAAAAUUUGUAAAAAUGCAUGCCGAUGAGAAAAUGACAACAAAUAUUUUAUUAAAAUUGGAUUUUUGACAACCUAAAACUCUAAGGAAAGAAGGAAAAACAAGGACUUAAAAUUAUUCAAAAACCGUUAUGGGAUUAAAAUUAUUUGAAAAACUAGAGUUUUGAAAAUUGUUUGAAAAUUCAAGUUUUGAAAAUUGGAAUUUUGAAAAUUAAAAUUUUGAAAAUUAGAGUUUUGAAAAUUACUUUGAAAUUGGAGUUUUAAAAAAUAAAUUUGAAAAUUGGAAUUUUGAAAAUUGAAUUUGAAAAUUAAAGUUAUGAAAAUUAAAUUUGAAGAUUGGAGUUUUGAAUUUUAAAUUUUGACAUCAAAAGAUGAAAAAUUAAGAGAAUGACACUUGGCCUCUGGGUGGUGCACUAGAGGGUAGCCAUGCAUGGCCAUAUAGGAGUGGGGCCCGGGGUGCAAUUGAGACUGAAGCUAGGCGGUCUUUGAGGGCUCAUAUUUGGUUGGACAAAAAAAUGGAGCUUGUUGAAUGAGUUGGUUGUGCAUUUCCUCCAAGCUGAUAGUUGCCACAUACGGGAAUGAAGUUAUGCAUCUUCAUUUUCAUGCACAUAGGCUGGUGGAGUUGCAAUUAAGAAGUGGUCUAGAUUAGUCUUGAGCUAAAGACCAAUAGGAAUGGGUUAUCCAAGCAAAAUAACCUCACACUACAUCCUUAUGUCUUUCAAAUUUUCCAAUCUAAUCUCUAGUCUCUCACUUUCUGAGCAUGGGAGUAGAAUCCUUAUUGGUGUUGAUAAGUGUUAGAAAUACUGAACAAUUGUAUUGUAUUUCAUUGGAGAAAGAAUAUACAUCAGUGCCUUUAUAUAGGAGGCAUAUGUGUGCGGUACAAGUAACCUAACUGGGCCUAAAGCCCAUAACAUAAUAUACCCAUAUAAUAUACCCAUAAUAUACAUUAACAGCCCCCCUCAAACUCAAGGUGGAUGUGAGACCAACUUGAGGUUGUCAAUUAAAUCACGAGUGCGUCUUGUAGGAAGUGACUUGGUGAAGAUAUCUGCAAGCUGAUCUUUGGAGGAGAUGAAGAAAAGCUUAAGAGCACCAUGGACAAGAUGAUAACGGAUAAAAUGACAAUCAAUCUCGAUGUGUUUAGUCCGUUCAUGAAAGACAUCAUUGUGAGCAAUAUGAAUGGCACUCUGGUUGUCACAAUAAAGGGGAGUAGCAGAGGAGGUGGACACACCCAAAUCCUUAAGAAGCCAUCUUAGCCAAAGGAGCUCAGAUGUGGUAUCAGCAAGGGCACGAUAUUCUGCUUCAGUACUGGAGCGGGCCACAAAAGUUUGUUUCUUACUUCUCCAAGAAAUCAAAGAAGAACCAAGAAGGAAGCAGUAACCUGUAGUGGACCUGCGAUCAGUAGGAUCUCCUGCCCAAUCAGCAUCAGAAAAUGCACGGAGUACAAGAGGAGAUUGAGCUUAGUAGAAAAGGCCAUGAAAAAUGGUACCCUUUAAGUAUCGAAGAAUGCACAGAACAGCAGCAUAGUGAGUUGAUCGUGGAGCAGACAAAUACUGGCUCACCUGAUGAACAGCAUAGGAGAUGUCUGGACGAGUAACUGUGAGAUAAACUAAGUUGCCAACCAAUCGUCUGUAAAGAGAAGGAUUGGACAAUGGUUUCCCCCCGGAGGGUGUCAGAUGCGCAUUAAGUUCGACUGGAGUGUCAACAUUCUUACUGUCAGUGAGUCCGACUUGAGACAGCAGAUCAGAAGCAUACUUGGCUUGAGUAAUAUAAAGACCAUUUGUGGAAUGAGUAAUUUCAAGACCCAGGAAAUAGCUGAGAUGUCCAAGAUCUUUCAUCUCAAACUGCUGACUGAGAAAAUCCUUGAGUUCUUGAAUGCCACUAAGGUCAUUACCAGUUAUGAUCAUAUCAUCCACAUAUAGAAGAAGCAAAAUAGUGCCUUUAUCAGUACGACGAAGAAAUAAGGCAGAAUCAUACGGACUGGCAGUGUAACCCAAGCGAAAAAUAGUGGAGUUGAACUUGGCAAACCAAGCUCGUGGGGCUUGUUUAAGACCAUAAAGUGCACGUCGAAGAUGACAAACCUUGUUUGAUUCAACAGAGAGACCAGGAGGAGGUUGCAUAUAGACUGCUUCACUCAGAUCCCCAUUAAGGAAGGCAUUUUUAACAUCCAUCUGAAAAAGGUCCCAUUGACGUGCAGCAGCAACAGCUAAGAGAGCACGAACAGAUGAGAUACGAGCAACUGGAGCAAAAGUCUCUUCAUAAUCAAUCCUAUAUUCCUGUGUAAAGCCUUUGGCAACAAGACGAGCCUUGUAGCGCUCAACGGAUCCAUAAGAGCGAGUCUUGAUCUUAUAGAUCCACUUACAACCAACCACAGACUAUCCAGGAGGGAGAGGAACCAGGUCCCAAGUAUGGUUUUUGGUUAAUGCAUCAAGUUCCUCUUUCAUAGCAAUCUGCCAUAAAGGGUCAGUAAAGGCCUCACGAUAGGUUUGAGGCUCGUGAAGUGUAGCAAGGGCAGUGUAACAAUGAUAGUCAAGUAGGUGUGGAGGAAUGGAUCUUACCCGGGUUGAGUGGCGAGGUGGAAUGUCUUGUGGAGGAUCUUCAGGCAGAGUAAGAGUAGGAGACCCAGUCUCAAAGUGGGGUAGCUCGUCAUCAAUCUGUUCAUCUGCAACCUGUCUAGGAGAAGCAUCAAAAAUAUCUAGAGAGAAGUCCAAAGGAGGAUCAAAAGUAUUUGUAGAAGGAACAAGAGACUCAUCUAGAAAGAUUUCUAAAACAGAGGAGUUAGUCAAGGAAGAACGAAAGUGAGAGAGUUCAACAAACAAUCGAUGUUCCCAAAAGACAACAUUACGAGAAACACGAAGACGAUGAGAGACAGGAUCAUAACACCUAUACCCCUUUUGAGUUUCACCAUAACCAAGGAAACAACAGAGUCUAGAGCGAGGCUCAAGUUUGUUGUGCUCAUGAGACUGAAGAAGAACAAAACAAGCAGAUCCAAAUGAGCGAAGGUGAUGAUAGACAGGGGGUGACCCAAAGAGACGCUCAUACGGAGUCUGAUUAUGGAUGACAACACUUGGAAUACGGUUAAUUGCAUGAAUAGCAUGAAGAGCCGCUUCACCCCAAAAUGGGGCAGGAAUUUUGGCAGAAAGAAGCAGAGCACGAACAGUGUCAAGAAUAUGACGAAGUUUUCUUUCGGCUCGACCAUUUUUUUGAGAGGUACCUGGACAAGUUAGAUGAUGUACAGUGCCAUAGGAAUGUAACAGAGCUUGAAACGCAUGUUGAGUAUAUUCAAGAGCAUUAUCAGAUCGAAAAGUUUUGAUACGUUUGGAGAAUUGUGUUUCAAUCAUUUUUGCAAAAUUGCUAUAUAUUGAUGAAAUUUCGAAACGAGAUUUCAUAGGGAAAAUCCAACUAUAACGAGAAUAAUCAUCAAUAAAAACAACAAAGUAUUGAGAUCCACCAAUACUAGCAACAGGAGAAGGUCCCCAAACAUCAGAAUGAAUUAACUCAAAAAUACUAUUAGAAAUGGAUUCACUGUUAUUAAAAGGCAAAGCUGGCUGUUUUCCUAACUGACAAGAAGUACAAUAAAAAAUGUCUUUAGACACAGAACCCAACAGACCCCUAGACACUAACUGUUGUACCCGAGAAGAUGAUGCAUGACCAAGACGAGAAUGCCAAAGUGCAAGAGAAGGUAAGGAAGAAACUGCAGCAGCUGCAGUAGCAAUAGAAACAGGAGCAACAGGUGGAAAAUGAAGAUUGCUCACGGGAAACAUACGCCCAACUCUAGGACCGGUCCCAAGCUCCUGCCCCGUCCUCGGAUCCUGCACAAUACACCCAGAAUAGUAAAAAAUAAGGCGAUAACCUAGUUCAGCUAAUUGUCCCACAGAGCACAAAUUAUAGGAUAGGUCAGGAACAUGGAAGACUCUAGGAACAGAAAGAUUAGAGGUUGAAACAAAACCUAGACUAUUCCCAUGCAUGGUGGAACCAUCAGCUAUAUGAAUAUUUAGAGGAUGUGGUGCAGGGUCAAGUUUGGAGAAUAGGGAUGAGUGAGGUGUCAUGUGAUUGCAGCAGGCAGAAUCAAAAAGCCAAGUUUGAGACUUACCAGGUAGAACAGAUAAGGCAGUGGAAAGAGAUGCAUUACCAGCCAUACGAACAGCCUGAGCUAUGAUCUCCUGUAGUUCAGUGGAGGAGAGGUUGAUAGUAGAUCCAGAAGACUUGGACUCAAUUGAGGUGGAAGCCAUUGGCGAAGUAGGCUCAAUAUUAGCAACAGCAGUAGUAGAUUUGUUACGACGGUAACAAGUCUCAAUGGUGUGGCCAGGACGCUUGCAAUAGUUGCAGAACUUUUUGUUGGUCUGCUUGCGACGAUUGCUAGAGCCAUAAGAAUCACCUGAUUGCUGGGGUUGCUCUAUGAGUGGAGUAGAUGGAGUAAUAGCCAAAACAUUGAACUUAUUCUGGGCUUGAAGGGUUGCAAGACGAGCUUCUUCUCUAACCAACUCAUUUACAGCAGUAUCAAGAGAGGGAGCAGGACUGCGAUUGAGUAGCUGACCACGAAUGGGCUCAAAGUCCUUGUGAAGUGACAUCAAGAAUUCAUAGAGGCGAAAUUCAUCUCUAAUGGAAGCAUAUUGCUGAGCAUCUUUUGAGCAUGUCCAAGUUGGAUCAGAAAGGUCAAUUUGGUCCCAAAUAAAGCGAAGCUGAUCAUAAUAGUCAUUGAUGGAUUGCCCUGGUUCUUGCCUGAGUUGAUGUAAUUCAACCACUAACUGAUAUUUCAGGGAUCCAUGAGUAGUGGAGUACCUUUUGACCAACAUAUCCCAUGCAGAUUUUGCAUCAUCAAAGCUGCCCAUCAUAUUGGAAAUAAAGGGAAUGGAAGUGUUCCAAAUCCAUGUGAGGAUCAUGUGGUUAUGACUAUCCCAUUCAAUCAUGCGAUUAAGAAAAACAGCAUCUCCUUCACUUGCUCCCUUGACAAGAAUAGUCAUUACACCAGUACAAUAAUGCCAGAGCAUGCGACCCUUAAGAAAACUGCGCAUAGCUUGAGACCAAGAUAAGUAAUUUUUAUUUCCCUCCAAUACAGUAUUGAUGGGGCGAGAAAGAAAAAUAUCCUUUUUAUCCAUUUAGAGACACAAUAUGCAAAAACAGACUGCAAAAGUGAAAUCUACGCGAAAAACUGGGUAAGGAGAACCUGGUCAACCCUGGAAAAGUCAACGGUCAACACUGGGAAAGUCAACGGCCAACGCCGGUCAAAGUCAACGGCCAACGCUGGUCCACGUGUGGUCAACGGUCAAAGUCAAUGGUCAACACUGGUCAACAGAUGACGUGGAGAUGAUGUCAGCUAGGGUUAACGUGGCACUGACGCGUCAGCAGUGGUGACGUAGCUAGGGCUGACGUGGCGCUGACGUGGCAGAGAGAAUGACGUACGGGCUCCGAUGGCGACGAGGUUUCCACGAAUGUGUAGAUCGAUGCUGGACGAUCUCAAUGGUACCGUCAAAAUUGAAAUCGGAGCAAUAUUCGCAGCGGUGAUGCGAAAAACAAUGAUCUUGUGCGGUGUGAAACUCCUUAAGGACGGUGGCUGCAGGUCCGGAACCCAAGGACGACGCCUGGAUGACGUCGGAGGUUCAACGGCAAAAGGCUGUGGCGGCAGUUGUGAUUGGCGGAAGCGUUAAAAAGAAAGGAAGUCACACUAAUGAAGACAGACUACUAAGAAAGGAUCAGAGCAGUGGCUCUGAUACCAUGUUAGAAAUACUGAACAAUUGUAUUGUAUUUCAUUGGAGAAAGAAUAUACAUCAGUGCCUUUAUAUAGGAGGCAUAUGUGCGCGGUACAAGUAACCUAACUGGGCCUAAAGCCCAUAACAUAAUAUACCCAUAUAAUAUACCCAUAAUAUACAUUAACAAUAAGAAAGAAACCAUCUGAGAUGACGGGACUGUAAGGUCAUGGCGUUGUGGGCAUUGAGAGCUAUUUUCAGUGAGAAUAUGGAGGCAAGUUGCAACCCCCUUCCCACUACAUGAGGACUGUCACCGCGAUCCAACUCCAUUCCUAGAAUACAACCAGUUUUGGUUUGAGCAAAACACGCUUCUUUCCGACAAGUUUUCCUUCCAUCCCCAUAAGCUCUUUCAAUACUAUUAACCUAGUUUAUUCUUCUCCAUGAAUAGAAUUUUAGAUAAGGUAAAUGACCACUCGGGAUUGCAAAGUGAAAAUGUUAGGUACGGUGGUUGCCGGAACAGAACACAAGUGUCUUUGAUCUACAAGCUUUUACACCUUCAGCUUUCAACUUGCUACCAUCACCAAAACUGAGAUAUUCCAUUGAUAGUUGGAGUUACACCACUGCAUGAACAUGAUUCAAGUGUAGCUUAUUCUUCGUCCAAACCAAUAAUGAUGUUUGCCAUGUGUUAGAGCCAAGAAGGAGGACAAUGCACUACAUGCAAAUUGUAGUAAAGUUGCCCAAGACCCAUUCCAUAACCAGUGCUAAAUUUAGAAUCUUCCAAUGGUAUAUAUGGUGGCUGAACAAAUGAGCUACUCUUGGGUAGCUUUGAUAGUGAAGUACAUUUUGCAUGGGAUAUGAUUGAAAGACAUGGUAAUGCACCGGGUGGUGAAUGAAUGAGCCAUUCUGACCAAGCAGGUUGAAGUUGAAGUUUCUGCUCCUCUUCUUAGGCUUAAGAAGGUGGCCAUGCAUGCUUGUGAGAAGGUGGUAAGAAAUGAACUAAAAAUGGGUUAACGGUUGAACUAAGUUGAUUGUGGUUGGUGGGCAUGAUGGUCCAUGAAGACAGCAAACCCAAUGGGCAGUGGAGCCAAAACAGGGACAUGGGAGUCUCUGACGCUUCUCUUAGGGUUAGAGGCUGAGCGAAAAGUGUACAUGAGCACGAAAGUGUUAUUUCAACACCAAGAGCUGUGUCUUUGGAGUAGUAGACAACAACGGAGUUGGCGCCACCACCAAGUGAAUUGUAGAAGGAUUUCAUGAAGGCUUUCACAAACCCAACAUCGCAAAUGGCUCCUAAACACUGAGCCACCAUAUAGGCCAAAGCCCAGAUAAAAGACACCUUCCUGGCCAAGAACAACCCAAAUGUCACAGCAGGGUUGAUGUGCCCACCAGGGACUCUGGCAGUGCAGUGGACGAGAAUGAAGAUUAUCCCACCAAAGACCCAUGUAAUUUGUUCUGCUUAUCAUCAUCAAUGGUUAGAGACGCUUGUUGACUACUAACGUCAUCCUUCUUCAACUAUUCUGUAAGCUUUGAAUUCAAUUUUUGAUCCACCUAUAGCAACCAGUUGAUAGUAAGAAAAGAUGUUGUUACCCAUUUUGGAACUUGAGGUUUCUCGCUUUAGGCGAACCAGCGAAAGACAGAUCAACCUUGAAGUGCGUCACUUCCUUCUUGAAUUUAAUUCAGUUUUGCAAGGGGUAGUUCAACUACUCUUUUCCUAUGUGUCUUCCCCUUUUGUUUAGAAAACAAUCCAGAAUGAUGUGACCACCAUGUAAUCACGUGUCAUCUUGACCAGUAGCUUCUACAUGCAGGAUUUGAAUAUUAGUAAUGCCAAUCAAUAUUCUUUCAUUCGGUAUGACCCUUAUCUAGAGUUGCCUUCUUGAACCAUUUGCUUUAUAUUCUGAGAACUGGAAUCCUUAGCCAUGAAAUUCGAGCUUGCCAGAAAGAGAACCACUCUGUCUAGCCAACAACGAUGAANNNNNNNNNNNNNNNNNNNNNNNNNNNNNNNNNNNNNNNNNNNNNNNNNNNNNNNNNNNNNNNNNNNNNNNNNNNNNNNNNNNNNNNNNNNNNNNNNNNNAACAAAACCCCAAAAAGAAUUAGGGGGAAAUUAACAAAAGGACCUGCCCUUUUCUUUUUUUUUCAAUGAGGGGGGGGGGGGGGGGCGGCGGCGCGGGGCUCGAUUGUGAUGAACCCAAAGAAUGGGUUUAUAACGUAAACAAUUAAUCUCAAAACAUCACACAAUAGAGAUGAAUCCAAAUUUACACAUAUAUUCAAACAAAGCCAUGUAAACAAUAAAUGAGACCAUGCCACAAGUAAUCCAUACACAAACCAUAAUAAGAGUAAAAAACAAACUUUAGCAUUAGUACACAAAUUUGGAAGAUUGAAAAGUGACGUAUGGAGAACCACAAUGAUCAUACCAAAGCAACCUCAUAGACAAUGCAAAAUAAUCACAUGAAAAAGAGAUAAGAGUAGUAUGAUGAUCAGUAAUAAUCAAUGAACCCAAAACAACCUUACUUGGUAAUGCUCUCCUCAAGCAAAGGUUUGUUUAGCUUCCUGCACUUGAUUCCCUAGUUUCUUCAAACAUAGCCAAAGUCUUCCAUCUGCUCAUCCCAACUCUCUUUUUAAUCGCCACCUAUCUUACUUCCUUGAGCUUGUUUUCUUCCCCUCCAAGCCUCCACCAUCUUUACUGCUCCUUGCUCAGAGAUGUCUCCAUCCUAACCACCACCAUGUCGAGGUAGUAGUGUCUUUGGCCAUGCGUUCCAUGCAGCCCGCUCACCUAUGGAACUCGUCCCCCACUCUCCUCUAUAGAGAUGAUGUUUCACCAUUUUGCCCCAAAAAGAACCAAGCUUCCCGGGUGGCAAGAAAGUGGUGACAAAAAUCCCAUAAAAUGUAUUCAAUAAAAGUAAUUAAAAAAAAUGUCCCUUGGUCCAAAAGAAGGGUCUACAAAUAUGCCCCUCUUCGAUAGAGUUCAUCAGCGUAAGGAAUAUGAACACUAUAGUGAAAAGAAAGUGUGAAUAGUGAGUGGAAUGAAGUGAACUCUACCGAAAAAAAAGAAAGACCCCUAAAGGCACACAAGUAGAACACAAACUCGCUCAAACAAACAAAGGAACAAAAGAGGCUCUAAAAUCCUAAGAAAAUGGUAGCUCUCAGAGUUCCUCUAAAGUUGUGCUAUGGAUUUAGACUCCCUCUAAGAUGUCUCCAAAUGUGACUCGCAAAUCUAUGUCAAAGUUGAGUAGCAUUUGAACCAUCUAGGAGCAUAGGGAUGAGCAUAAAGGGAAAAACCAUACAUGUACCAUACGAGGACACAUAGCGUAGAGUAUCCAACAAUAUAAUCAAGACACAUGCUAUGUGAUUCAUGCCUAAUUGGUGUCUCAGCUGAUUCGUGUCCAACUGGCGCUCCUUGAUUGAGGGAUUAAUCAACAAAAUUUAUAACCUAUUACACCAUAUACUAGGGUAGCAAAGACAAAGCUACUAUAGCAUAGUGGCUCUAGGAUCGUUCACUGGGAUGGGUUUUCACUUUGCAAAUGAUAUUAAUUCAAAGCUGAAUUGGUGCCUUUUCAUUUCAAGGUUAGCUUUAAAAGAAAACAUAAAGAUGUUUGAAUGAAAAAGGUUUGGUUUUAAACUAACCAAAGAUAGUAACUGAUUUUACCUACAAAGAAAGAUGUUUCUUGGAGUUUCAGAUCACCAGGCUUAGGUUCCUCAUACAAAAAGGAGAGUUCCGGUCACUUGUUUCUUUUCCUCGCAUUAGAGAAUUAACAUAUAGUUCCUUCUCCAACCGGUGUUGUACAGAGACUCCUUCAAUUAGAUUUCACUUUAAUUCUCUCACUGAUGCACUUUGCAAUGGUUUAAGCCUCUCACUAAGCCUUCACCAUUCAAGGUGAUCUUUAACCUUGGAUUACCCGUCAAAAGCUCGCAAGAGAUAACUAAUGGAUGUCUCCUAGGAGUCCAAAAGCUUACCAAGUGUUGGCUAUUCUAGAAAAUCCUACCCUGAAGUCACCUACCAGAGGCUCGCAAGGGGUAAACUAGUGCAUUUCCAUGGUUGGAAAUCACUUGCCUUACCAAGUGUUGGCCCAGGUGACUCCAAGGUGUUUUAAGUUAACUAAAAACAUAGAAAUCACUAAAGGAUUUCACUUCCUCUUCAUUACUAGCUAAAACCACAAAGCUUUGCAUUCUUGCAUUUGGAACUUUCCCCGGCAACCUUAGCUCCAAGGAAUUAGAGGUUUAGUUACUCAUUCUCUGGGGAAAACUCCUCAGAGAAUUCAUAACUUAGAAAUAAAAUGAAAAUACAAAGUGAGAAGGUAAGGUAGUAGAAAGAAAAUAGACUUUACUUGCUUACCCAAACGUUUACAGAAGGAACUCCUCUCUGAGAACAGGCUCUCGAGAGGUAUAUAUAUCAACAUAAUAUAAAACUAAUUGUUACAAAGAUAUUUAGUCUUUUUACUAACUUAAAAACUAAGGAAUCAUGUAAUUGGUGGUUUACAAGGAGUAUUUUGGGAUUUAGACAACAAAAAUCUAAUGGAAAAUAUCUCCCAAUGUCGGUAGCAAACUUCGGGAGGCUUCAGGAACCAUUUCGCAGGAGAAAAAUGGUGUCUGCGAGAUUUCGCAGACACCCAAGAGGGUUGCGAAAUAUUUUCGCAACACCAAGCUAUCUUCACAGGGCUGCGAAGUUGGCUUCCACCUUGAGCUUCCCAGCUCCCUUCUCGCGGCAUGGUUCGUGCAUCGUCAGAAGGAGAAACACCUUACUGUACAAAAAUGCUGCGAAAUCACUUCGCAACAAAAGGGUGAUUUCGCAACACUUUGCAAAAUGCUUCUUUCAGCUCGGAGUGAUUGGCUUGUAAUGGCUGCAACUUCUUCGUUUCAACUCCAAAUUGCACACCGUUUGAAGCAUUGGAUUGUUGACUUCUUGAGAUUUGAAAUGGGUAUAUAGCAUGCAUCAUUUGGACUUCAGAAAGUACUCCAAAAGUGGCUGCUACGACUGUCAUCAAGAAUAUGCUUUAUGGCAGAUUCUCUUUGCUUUUUCUCCUUGCAAUCCGGAUUCACUCUUGGCAAAUGAAUUCUAAGCUUUGCCCAAGAUUCCUCAUAGUUCUCCUCAGUCUUGACUUGCCUUGGUGAUCAAAAUACUAACAAAAACACCAAAACUUACACAAAGUGAUCAAAAUUGCUUUAAAGGAUCCUUAACAUGCCAAUUGAGUUAAAAGGCCUAAACUACUACUCAAAAGUGUUUAAAAGGAUUAAUUAUAGGCUAUCAAAUAGCACUUUUUGAGUAGUAAUCACUCCCCCCAACCGAUAUAAUGCUAGUCCCUUAGCAAUAUAGGAGAGAAAAAUGAAAAUAAAUAGCAAACUAAUCUAAAAUUUACAACAUCAUGCUAAAGGAAAAUAAUUCUCAAGUGGCAUGAUGAUCUAAUUCUCACAUGAAGCAUUAAAGAAAUACAAACCCAAAUCUCAACAAGAGUCAUAACAAACUAUGCUAAACACUGUCAAUCAAGGGAGUGCAUUAUGCAAACUGAAGUUUUAAAAUCAUUUCCCCUUUCAAAGAACUAAACUUCAAUCUUCCACAAAAAUCUAUGUGUAUUGGCUCCUUAGGUUCCGAGAAUAAUAUGCUAAACUAGUCCCUCCCCCCACCUAUCUCUUUUCAACACUUUAGCAAACUGACCAAAAUCAAUAAGAAAAGAACACACUUUCAUCAUCUUUUUUUUUUUUUUCAAGGCAGCUUUAUGGGGUACUCUUUCUGACUUGUCCAUGUAAUGGGGGUCCAUCGAUGACUCCCAACCAAUUAAGGUUUAGGGCACCAAGUUUUAAGGAUCUUUCAACCACUAACUCCUCGGAUUUUUCCCCGGACUUUUAAGAAUGAGAUUCUAAUACCCAAGCAUCUACCAUAUGCUAACUCUACCUAUUCACCCUUAUAACGAGCAUUGAGGUCGGUGACUCCCAACCAAUUAAGGCUUAGGGCACCAGGCUUCAAAGAUUUUCACCAUAUACCCCUCAGACCUUGCUCGGGUUUCAAGGCAAGCAAACAACUUUCUUUAUUUCAAAGGCUCCUUGGCCUUUUGCAGGGUGUUUCAAUUUUUAUCAAAUGAGGUCAAAUAUACCAAGUCCCAAAAUUAUCCUAAGUCAAGAGGGAAAUAGUUUUUCAUCUUAUAAUCGGAAUCUAUUGUGCACAGUGUGUGGAUAGCUUAAAGUGGAAGAACUCAAUUCAAUUUCAGUAGAAGUUUCAACAAUUGAACCACUUUAGUAAGCAUAAUCCAUACUCUAAGUCAAGUGAAAAAGCAACAGUUCAAUUUCUCUUGGUUUAAUUUGAAAAUUUUUCCUCAAAAUUCAUGGAGAGUAGAAUAAAAAGAGUAAAAAAUAAAAACUACAACUAAUUAACCAAUAUAAUUGCAAUACCAAAAAGGUUUAGCAUACUUCCUUCCUCAUACCCCCCAACCGAACUGAGCAUUGUCCUCAAUGUGAUUUGAGUGACUGUAAUAAAAGGGAGGAAGUGGUACCUCCUUGCUGAUAUCAAAUUCGAAUAUUGAUUGGGGAGAACCACAUGUUUCAAAAAGAAUAGAAUAUGUGAGAAAAGGAAAUAAGAAUAACUUAAUGCUAACUUUUAACAAGAAAUAUUCAACUUGUGUUACUUUGAGUUCAUUCGAGUACAGUGCAAAAGACAAGUAAUCACAAGGAAUCCCAUAUAUAGUACCAAAAUACUGGGAUUUCUUUUCAACUUAAAAAAAACAAAAUGCAUAAAAACAUAAACAGAAAAUAUAUAUAAUGUCUGAUUAGUGGGGUGGUGGUGCUAGGCAGAAGGAUCUGCCUCCUCAGUAGGUGGAUCAGCUGGGGCUCCGGGCUCUGGAGGAUGAGACUCUGAAGGCUGAGAGUGUGGCUCUGGUGGAGUAUCAGUGGAGGGCUCUACAGCUUGUGGCAGAUCGAAAUGGACUUGGAGCUGCCUUAAGAUGGCAGCUUGUUGAGCCUGAGAGGCUAACAUCUGCUCUUGGCAAGCUCUGAUGGCUGCCAUCUCCUGAGCAAGAUUGCUCUGAGAAGCUGUAAGAGUCUCCAAUGCACGGCACAACUCUCGAUAUUCAGAUAUAGGAAUGGUCAUCCUCGGCUCAGCUGAUGUGGAUGGCUGUGAUGGAGCAGGUGCAGCUGGUGGAGCUCUAGGAAUAGCAGGAGCAGCAACUGUUAUACCCUCAGGUAUACGUCUUGGGGAGGCUCUCCUUGCAGCUGGUUGAGGCUGCCCAGGCUGAUCAACUUUGUAGGCCGUCAUAUUAUUCCAUUUAUCAAGAGUAAAUGGCUCAUGGCAUAUUCGCUUUCUCUCCAGCUGAGGCUCAGAGGGGUAUCCCAGAUGCUCCAAAAUUUGGCAUAGCAGCCGUGGGAAGAGGAGGGGAAUGCAAUCUGCUCUUUGAAGCUUCUUCUUGUGAACCUUCUUUUCAAAAUAGAGAAGGGCUGCCAUGAUCAGAUGAUGAGGCCCAAAGAAAAAUCCUUCUGACAUCUUAUAAAGAGCUUCCAGUAGAACUCCCCUUCUUUGGGUCCAAUGCUGCAAUGGAUAGAUAUUAUGGCGCAAAAAGGCAUCAAUCAAAAACAUAACUGGGGGAAGCUCCCCCCUCAGCAGAUGUGAUCGAUUUCCAGCUCCUCUGGAAAGGGUGCGCACCAUCUCUAGCUCAGUAGGAUUUGCCCAAGCUCUAAAAUUAUCGAAUUGGGUUGGCUCAAAAGGAAUUUGCAGGGCUUCAGCAAUAUGUCGUGCUCCCAAUAUACCAUGUCUCCUAUCGAUUGUGAAAUGAAUCAAGGUUGGAUUUCUUACCUCUUUGGUUGUCAUGGAUUGGUAGAAAUCCGUGGCUAUCCGGGGAUAGAAAAAGUCUCUUGGAGCUAGCAAUUGCUCCAUAUGAUACCUCCUCAGCAGCUGGAAUGAUUGGGCAAGCUCCGGCCUCACUCUGAAUGUUGCUAAGUCGAAGCAAAGCUCGGAAUGGAAUGCCCGUGUUCUACAAUCCAAGUUUCCCUCAAUUGGGGGCUGAGGUAGCAUUGACCUCCUAAUCACUUCUUCUAGAGGUGUUUCCGCUUGAAUUUGGGGCUCGGGAAGUGGCACUUGAGGCUCCUGAGAUUUUUCUUGCAGCGCCGGAGAUGGUACCGGCGAUGGAACUGGCAGGGGAUUUGGCGAGGGAACCGGCGACGGCACUGGAUUUUGAACCGGUGAUGGAAUUGGUGAAGGCUCUAGAGAUUGCUCAGUCAAAUCGAUGGGUUCUGAGCUCUCCACCCUGGGUCUCUUCUGCAAUGGCCGACCUCCUGACCUGGUAAGGUAUCGUCUUGCCGGAGGCUUUGGCGGCGCUGGUUUCACCGGAGGUGGAAUUGGUCUCGACGGCGAAGGCUUUGGAGCAGGUUCUGGAACUGACUCCUUUCGCAGACUCUUCUUGCGGUUCGAAGGAGAUGAAGACUUAGCCCCUCGUGUUCGCGCCAUUUUGGGCUAUCGAACUUUGGCCGGCGUUGCUGAUCGGAGAAGAUGACCGGAGGCUCGGACGGCGUGGCUUGGUGAAGAAGACGAACAGGCUGCGAGAAUGGUGCUCUGAUUUUUGAAACCCUUUUCGCAGCUCAAAUGACCGGUAUAAAUAGGAAAAACGGAAGCCUAAGGGUUAGUUUAAGUUUCGCAACAAAACGCCAAUUUCGCAGCAAAAUGUCAUUUUCGCAACAACUUCGCAGUGAGUUUCGCAGCUGCGAAAUUGAUGUUACUGUGCUGCGAAGUGGCACUCGUGUGCCAAAACCACUUUCGCAAUUGCGAAAUACCCUGCAAAAUGGGACUUUUGGUGCGAAAUCACGCUUUUCCACUUCGCAAUGGGUUUCGCAGCUGCGAAAUGUAUGCUAUUGUACUGCGAAGUGGCACUCGUGUGCCAAAUUCACUUUCGCAGCUGCGAAAUACCCUCGCAGAGACUUCUACAGUGUUGCGGAAUGGUUUGGCAACAAAAUGCUCAUUUCGCAGAAGUUUCCUUCACUCUGCGAAAUUUCGCAGAGCUCUGUUUUUCCCCUGUUUUUGCUCUGUUUUGGCUCCGAUUUCGACCCGAUUUUUUUUCUUUCAAUCUCCUUGAAAUUUCUUCCACCUGGGAUCAUUCAAAACGAUUAAAACACACCUAAAAACAUGAUUUAAGAUCAAAAACUAAGAUCAAAAGUAUAGAAACAACUUGAAAAUUUACAAAAUUUACAAAAAUUUUGGACUGUGGUAAAACCACAUCCAGCAAACCCUUUUUCACUUAGGCUUUUUGAGGCUCAAGGAGGUUGAUUGCCUCAUUUUCUGGUUUGAAUGGCUCCAUGAAUGGCUUGAGACGAUAUCCAUUGACUUUAAAGCUAUCCUUGCCAUUGGAAUUCAAUAAUUCCACCACUCCAUUGGACCAUACUCGGUGAAUAAUAAACGGGCCUAUCCACCUCGACUUGAGCUUCCCAGGAAAGAUAUGGAGUCUUGUGUCGUACAUCAAAACUCUUUGCCCUUCCUGAAAUUCCUUGUUGGAGAUGAGUUGAUCAUGCCACUUCUUCAUCCUCUGUUUUGCAACUUUGGAAUUGAUAUAAGCAUUAUUUCUUAAUUCCUCCAUCUCAUUAAGGUCUAGAAAUCUCUUUUCUCCUGCCUUGAUCAAAUCCAUAUUCAGCUUCUUUAUUGCCCACCAAGCUUUGUAUUCAACUUCCACAGGGAGAUGGCAUGCUUUACCAUAGACAAGACGAUAGGGAGACAUCCCAAGAAUAGUCUUAUAAGCUGUUCUAUAUGCCCACAAUGAAUCAUGAAGCCUAAUAGACCAAUCCUUUCUAUUGGAAUUCACCACUUUCAUCAAGAUGUUCUUUAUUUCCCUGUUAGCUAGUUCAACUUGCCCAGAAGUCUGAGGAUGAUAAGGUGUAGCCACCUUAUGCUUCACUCCAUACUUGGAUAACAGAGCUUCAAAAGGUUUGUUGCAAAAAUGAGCACCUCCAUCACUGAUUAUGGCCUUGGGCACCCCAAAUCUUGAGAAAAUGUUCUCUUUAAGAAACUUGAGAACCACCCUAUGAUCAUUUUGUUUACAGGGGAUUGCCUCAACCCAUUUAGAAACAUAAUCCACCCCCACCAAGAUGUAAGAAUUACCAAAAGACAUUGGGAAAGGUCCCAUGAAGUCAAUGCCCCAAACAUCAAAUAACUCUACUAUUAGAAUGGGGUUCAUAGGCAUUUGAUUUCUUUUUGUUAGCUUUCCAAGCCUUUGGCAUCUAUCACAAUUUCUACACAUGAUGUGGGCAUCUUUGAAAAGAGAUGGCCAAGUAAACCCUGAUUGCAAUACCUUCAUGGCUGUUUUCUGAGAGGCAAAGUGGCAUCCACAUGCAUUCUCAUGACAAUGAGAUAGAAUCCCUUGCUGCUCAUCUUCAGGGACACACUUCCUAAUAAUCUGAUCUGCACAAUACUUAAAGAGAAAGGGCUCUUCCCAAUAAUAAGCAUGAAUUUUGGCAAAGAAGUACUUCUUGUCCUGUGCAUUCCACUCACUUGGAAUUUCACCAGUUACUAAAUAAUUAGCAAUAUGAGCAUACCAAGGAGUUUUCACUAGGAACAUGAGUGAUUCUUCAGGAAAAUCAUCAUUGAUAGGCAAGGGAUGGGAAUUAUGUGCUAUAACUAACCUUGACAAGUGGUCAGCUACUACAUUCUCCACUCCUUUCUUAUCUUUGAUUUGAAGAUCGAAUUCUUGUAACAAAAGAAUCCAUCUAAUCAACCUUGCUUUUGCAUCUUGCUUUGUCAAUAAAUACUUCAAGGCUGAAUGGUCAGUAAAGACAAUAAUGAAAGACCCCACUAAAUAAGCUCGAAAUUUGUCCAAAGCAAAUACCACAGCUAACAAUUCUUUCUCUGUAGUUGUGUAGUUCCUCUGAGCUUCAUUUAGUGUUUUAUUUGCAUAGUAAAUCACAUAGGGCUUCCCAUCUUCUCUUUGGCCAAGCACAGCUCCUAUAGCAAAGUCACUGGCAUCGCACAUCAGUUCAAAAGGUAAUUGCCAGUUAGGGGCUCUCACUAUUGGAGUUGUUGUUAAAAACUUCUUCAGUUGAUCAAAGCUAUUCUGACACCUUUCAUCCCAUAUAAACUUAGCAUCCUUAGCUAACAGCUCACAAAGAGGUUUUGAAAGACUUGAAAAACCUUUUAUAAACCUUCUAUAGAACCCUGCAUGGCCAAGGAACUGCCUUACUCCUUUUACAGUUGUUGGAGAUGGUAAUUUGACAAUAAGCUCCACCUUUGCUUUAUCAACUUCAAUGCCUCUUUCAGAGAUGAUAUGACCAAGGACAAUUCCUUGACGUACCAUAAAAUGGCAUUUCUCCCAGUUGAGCACCAGGUCUUUUUCAAUGCAUCUAUGAAGAACUGCUUCCAAAUUAACCAAGCAUUCCUCAAAUGUACCUCCAUAUACGGUGAUGUCAUCCAUGAAAACCUCCAUAAUUCUCUCCACCAUAUCACUGAAAAUACUCAACAUACAUCUUUGAAAUGUAGCAGGUGCAUUGCAUAAACCAAAAGGCAUUCUUCUAUAAGCAAAUGUUCCAAAUGGACAUGUAAAAGUGGUCUUUUCCUGAUCUGCCAAAUCAAUUUCAAUCUGAAAAUACCCUGAAUACCCAUCCAAGAAACAAUAGAAUGGAUGUCCAGAGACUCUCUCCAGCACUUGAUCAAUAAAUGGCAAUGGAAAAUGAUCCUUCCUGGUGACAGCAUUCAGCUUUCUAUAAUCAAUACACACCCUCCAACCUAAAGUGAGGCGUGUAGUAAUUUCUUCCCCUUUUUCAUUUUGAACCACUGUGAUCCCUAACUUCUUUGGUACCACUUGAGUAGGACUCACCCAAGGGCUAUCAGAUAUAGGGUAAAUGAUUCCUGCUUGAAGUAGCUUCAGCACCUCAGCUCACACCACCUCUUGUAGAUGAGGAUUCAACCUUCUUUGAAAUUGUCGAAUUGGCUUUGCUUCCUCCUCCAUAUAUAUAUAUGAUGAAUACAAACUAAAGGACUAAUGCCUUUCAAAUCAGAUAUUUGCCAUCCUAUUGCCUUCUUACACCUCCUGAGAACUUCCAUUAAACAAUUCUCUUGAUGACUGGUCAGAGAUGAAGAUAUCACAACAGGACAUUGAUUAUUUGCUUCAAGAUAUGUAUAUUUCAGCUCCACAGGUAAAGGCUUCAGAUUGAGUUUUGGAAUUUCUUUUUCAACAGCUGUCUCCUCUUCCUUAUUGAACAAAGGUAGAAUUCCUUCUAUCUUUUUCCAACUUUGUAGAGUAGCAAGCCCAAUAGGAGGUUCAGAAAAACCUUCCUCAAUAUCCUCAAGACUUUCAUUCAACUUUUCUUGCAUAUGUUGAUUGCAGUGCUCCUCCACCAAAGUAUCAAUUAUACAUAGCUCUUCUGGACCUUCUUCUUCUUCCUGAGUGAUUUGCUUUUUAGACAUAUAGAAAAUAUUGAGAUCCAGUGUCAUGUUACCAAAAGUGAGUUGCAUAAGCCCAUUUCUACAGUUGAUGAUUGCAUUUGAAGUAGCAAGAAAUGGCCUUCCAAGGAUGAUAGAAACUAAAUUAGCUUCCUUUACAGUAGGAUCUGUAUCAAGAACAAUAAAAUCUGCUAGAUAGUAGAAAUUAUCCACUUGAACCAAUACAUCCUCAAUUACCCCUCUUGGAAUUUUCACUGAUCUAUCUGCCAGAGAUAAAGUGAUUGCUGUUGGCUUCAACUCUCCAAGUCCUAAUUGCUUGUAGACAGAGUAUGGAAGCAAAUUCACACUUGCUCCCAAGUCUAGCAAGGCUUUCUCCACUACCUUUCCUCCAAUCAUGACUGAAAUGGUAGGACUUCCAGGGUCUUUGUACUUCAAAGGGGACUUACAUUGUAAGAUUGCACUUACUUGCUCAGUCAAGAAAGCUUUCUUGUUUACAGUCAACCCUCUUUUGAUAGUACACAAGUCCUUUAAGAAUUUUGCAUACGUUGGAACUUGUUUGAUCAUAUCCAGCAGUGGAAUAUUGACUUUCACUUGCCUCAAUACUUCAAGGAUCUCAGCUGCAUUUCUAAUCCCCUUUUUCCCAUGUAAUGCUUGAGGAAAAGGUGGAGAAGUUGAUUUCUUCAGCAUUUCUUCCUUCAGAAGCUCCUUCUCUGGAAUUGCUUUCCUUAUUGAAUCAGAGUCCUUCUUUUCUUCACUGAUCUCAUUCUCUUUAUCUUCCAUUUCCUCCCCUUUCUUUAUCUCUUCUUCUUUCUCAACAUGUGGCUUGGGUGUUGGCUGCUCAAUUUUUUUACCACUCCUUAGAGUGAUUAAGGCCUUCACAUCUUUCACCUGUGAUGAUUCUCCCUCCUGGCUUUCCACUUCAUGGACACCUUUGGGAUUUUGGUGAGGUUGAGAAGGAAAUCUUCCCUUUUCUUGCAGUGUAUUCAAAUUUGUAAGCCUUGAAAUUGAAUAUUGGAUGUUGUCAAACUUUUGGUUCAUAUCAUUUUGCAUUCCAUCCAUCCUUUUAUUCAACAUACUCUCUACUCUAUCAAUUCUUUGAUCGAGUCGAGCAUUGGUGGCUUCUUGCUUUUCAAUAAAAUCUCCCAUUACCUUGCUGAGAUUGGCUAUUGCUUGUUCAAUACUUGAAGAUUGCUGAGAUGGUGGAUCCGGCUGUUGGUACUGAGUUGCUCUGGCCUUCCAUGAGAAAUUUGGAUGAUUCCUCCAACUAGAAUUGUAGGUAUUUCCAUAAGGAGCAUUGUUAUUGGGCCUGAAUUGUCCAACAACAUUUGCUUGAUCUCUAAACAUUUCCCUUUCAGUUGGAAUUGCAGGGCAUUCCUCCACCAAAUGUCCAAAUGAUUGACAAUUGGGACACAGCUUCACUUGCACAGGUGCUUCAGCAACAGCUUGCACUUCAUGUAUUCUUUUCAGCUCCAGCUCCUCCAAUCUUCUUGUCAUAGCUGCCAACUUUGCUUUCAUGUCAUCAUCUUCUUUCAAAUUAUACAUCCCAGCCUUUGCAUUGUAAGCAUUCAACUGAGACUUCAUCUUUCCCACUUCUCCUUUAGUUGGUUCAUCCCAUCCCCUUGAAACAUCAGCUACAUAGCUCAAGAAAUCCAUAGCUUCCUCUGGAUUUUUUCUCAUGAAAUCUCCUCCACACAUUGUCUCGAGGAGUUGCUUCAUUGAGGAUGACAUACCAUCAUAAAAAUAGCUCACCAAUAGCCAAGUAUCAAAGCCAUGGUGAGGACAAGCAUUUAUAGCUUCCAUGUAUCUUUCCCAACACUCAUAGAAUUUCUCAUUCUCUUUAGCUGAGAAGUUUGAAAUUUGCCUUUUCAAGCCAUUUGUUCUAUGAGUAGGAAAAAAAUUCUUGAGGAAUUCAGCUUGUAAAUCAGUCCAAGAGCGGAUACUCCUUGGCCUUAAAGAAUUAAGCCAAAUUUUGGCCUUAUCCUUUAAAGUAAAAGGAAAUAACUUAAGCCUCAUCAAAUCAAUUAAAGUUCCUCCCUCUUGGAAUGUAUUACAAACAUCUUCAAAUUCCUUGAUGUGUGCAUACAGAUUCUCACUUUCCAUCCCAUGGAAAGUUGGUAGAAGUGGAACAAGAUACGGUCUGAUCACUAGCUGCUCUGUAGGGGGCACUAUACAUGAUGGUGCACUCAUACAAGGUGGAUGCAUACGGUCCCUCAUAGAUCUGAAUUCAUUGAGAUUGUCUUGACGACCUUGGUGACUAUGCUGAUCUUCAGGUGUAGCCUCCAUGAUAUUCAAGAUUACUUCCAAUUCUCUUCUCUAAGGUGUAUCACACUUAACAAGCCUACCUCCAAUGUCUCGUAUCCACUUAGGCAUACACAACUAGUAUCUAUCUGCAACUUAAAUAAAAACAGAGGACAACAAGAGAAACAGGGCUACAACAACAAAAUUAAACUAGACUAAAUUUUAAAAAGAUAAACUUAGAUUAUGAAUAACUAAAGAAAGAAUGAAAAUUAGUAAAGUGAAAGAAACUUUACCAACUUGUGAUGAAAAUCACAAGUGCUCAACAAUGGUAUCACAAUGAACUUGACACUCAUUCCCCGGCAACGGCGCCAUUUGAUUCAUGCCUAAUUGGUGUCUCAGCUGAUUCGUGUCCAGCUGGUGCUCCUUGAUUGAGGGAUUAAUCAACAAAAUUUAUAACCUAUUACACCAUAUACUAGGGUAGCAAAGACAAAGCUACUAUAGCAUAGUGGCUCUAGGAUCGUUCACUGGGAUGGGUUUUCACUUUGCAAAUGAUAUUAAUUCAAAGCUGAAUUGGUGCCUUUUCAUUUCAAGGUUAGCUUUAAAAGAAAACAUAAAGAUGUUUGAAUGAAAAAGGUUUGGUUUUAAACUAACCAAAGAUAGUAACUGAUUUUACCUACAAAGAAAGAUGUUUCUUGGAGUUUCAGAUCACCAGGCUUAGGUUCCUCAUACAAAAAGGAGAGUUCCGGUCACUUGUUUCUUUUCCUCGCAUUAGAGAAUUAACAUAUAGUUCCUUCUCCAACCGGUGUUGUACAGAGACUCCUUCAAUUAGAUUUCACUUUAAUUCUCUCACUGAUGCACUUUGCAAUGGUUUAAGCCUCUCACUAAGCCUUCACCAUUCAAGGUGAUCUUUAACCUUGGAUUACCCGUCAAAAGCUCGCAAGAGAUAACUAAUGGAUGUCUCCUAGGAGUCCAAAAGCUUACCAAGUGUUGGCUAUUCUAGAAAAUCCUACCCUGAAGUCACCUACCAGAGGCUCGCAAGGGGUAAACUAGUGCAUUUCCAUGGUUGGAAAUCACUUGCCUUACCAAGUGUUGGCCCAGGUGACUCCAAGGUGUUUUAAGUUAACUAAAAACAUAGAAAUCACUAAAGGAUUUCACUUCCUCUUCAUUACUAGCUAAAACCACAAAGCUUUGCAUUCUUGCAUUUGGAACUUUCCCCGGCAACCUUAGCUCCAAGGAAUUAGAGGUUUAGUUACUCAUUCUCUGGGGAAAACUCCUCAGAGAAUUCAUAACUUAGAAAUAAAAUGAAAAUACAAAGUGAGAAGGUAAGGUAGUAGAAAGAAAAUAGACUUUACUUGCUUACCCAAACGUUUACAGAAGGAACUCCUCUCUGAGAACAGGCUCUCGAGAGGUAUAUAUAUCAACAUAAUAUAAAACUAAUUGUUACAAAGAUAUUUAGUCUUUUUACUAACUUAAAAACUAAGGAAUCAUGUAAUUGGAGGUUUACAAGGAGUAUUUUGGGAUUUAGACAACAAAAAUCUAAUGGAAAAUAUCUCCCAAUGUCGGUAGCAAACUUCGGGAGGCUUCAGGAACCAUUUCGCAGGAGAAAAAUGGUGUCUGCGAGAUUUCGCAGACACCCAAGAGGGCUGCGAAAUAUUUUCGCAACACCAAGCUAUCUUCACAGGGCUGCGAAGUUGGCUUCCACCUUGAGGUUCCCAGCUCCCUUCUCGCGGCAUGGUUCGUGCAUCGUCAGAAGGAGAAACACCUUACUGUACAAAAAUGCUGCGAAAUCACUUCGCAACAAAAGGGUGAUUUCGCAACACUUUGCAAAAUGCUUCCUUCAGCUCGGAGUGAUUGGCUUGUAAUGGCUGCAACUUCUUCAUUUCAACUCCAAAUUGCACACCGUUUGAAGCAUUGGAUUGUUGACUUCCUGAGAUUUGAAAUGGUAUAUAGCAUGCAUUAUUUGGACUUCAUAAAGUGCUCCAAAAGUGGCUACUACGACUGUCAUCAAGAAUAUGCUUUAUGGCAGAUUCUCUUUGCUUUUUCUCCUUGCAAUCCGGAUUCACUCUUGGCAAAUGAAUUCUAAGCUUUGCCCAAGAUUCCUCAUAGCUCUCCUCAGUCUUGACUUGCUUUGGUGAUCAAAAUACUAACAAAAACACCAAAACUUACACAAAGUGAUCAAAAUUGCUUUAAAGGAUCCUUAACAUGCCAAUUGAGUUAAAAGGCCUAAACUACUACUCAAAAGUGUUUAAAAGGAUUAAUUAUAGGCUAUCAAAUAGCACUUUUUGAGUAGUAAUCACUAUGGGCUCAAAGAGUUAUAUCACACACAAUGGAAAAGGACAAACCUUAGAAAAUCAUGACUCUGAACACCUGAAAUGUGGCUUUGAAUGCCAAGACUGAGAAGAAAGAUUUUGAACAACUAAACUAUGACUCUAAAUGCCUAUGGGAAGAAUGGCUCUGAAGGUUUGUGGCUCUAAACGCCUAUGAAAGAAAUAACUCUAAACGUCUAUGAAAAUGGUGGCUCGAAGCACCUAAAAAUAUGGCUUUGAAUGCCUAUCUGAGAUGGUGGUUUUGAACGCCUAUGAAAGAAAGUGGUGGCUUUGAACGCCUAUGGGGAGAAUGACUCUAAAGGCCUAUGAAGGGAAAUGGCUCUAAAGGCAUAUGACUGUGGCUAUGAACGCCUAAAUUGAAAAAAAUGGCUCUGAAUGCCUAAAAUUGAAAAAUGGUCGCUUUGAAUGCCUAAAACUGUGGCUAUGAACGUCUGGACUGAAAGAGGUGGCUCUAAAUGCCUAAAACUAUGACUCUGAAUGCCUAAACUGUGAAAGUGGGUGGCUCUGGAUGCCUAACUGAGGAUGGUGGUUCUGAACGCCUAAACUGGAGAAGAGAGUGGCUAUGAACAUGUAAAAUUGUGGCUUAGAAUGCCUAAUCAAGGAAGGUGGCUCUGAACGCCUAAACUGAAGAACGUGGCUCUGAGCGCCUAUGGGGGUAAUGGCUCUGAAUACCUAAACUAAAAGUGGGUGAUUGGGAAUGCUAAUGUGAGAGCAAUGGUGGCUCUAAAUGCUUAUGAAAGGAAAUGGCUCUACAGGCCUAUGACUUUGAAUGCCUAUGAAGGAAAGUGGCUCUGAACGCCUAAUAGUUCUGAACACCUAGUGGAUUUGAAUGCCUAGUGGGUAUGAACGCCUAGUGGCUCUGAAUGCCUAAAUUGAAGAAUACGACUUUGAAUGUCGAACUAAAAGAAAAUGACAACUUUAAAUGUUAGGAAUGUAGCUCUGAAUGCCAUAACUAUGAACAACAGCUCUGAACGUCAAGAAUACGACUUUAAACACCAUAAUUAUGGAUAAAUGGUGGCUCUAAACACUAUAACUAUGAAGAGAUGGUGGCUCUGAAUGCUAAGCUGCGAGGAAAAAAUGAGGGGAAAUAUACCCCAAUGUGGCGUGUCGCCAUUACUCUCAAUCCACUAAAAGGGUCUAAAAUAGACUCCAUGAGUCUCAAAAGAUACUCCGCUAAUGAGUCGAAAUGGUCAAAUCAACUAUAAAAAAAAAAAAAGUUCUCACAACCCAUCUAAAAAAAUCAUGAGGCCUGACGAAACGUCAUGAUAAUCUGGAUGCCUCUAACUCGAGAUACCUUGCUGGAGGAAUCUAUUGUCUCCUCAAAGGAACAAUCCACUAGUAGGUCUCAAACAAAAUAGUUCACUAGAGAAACUAUCAUCGCCUCAACAUAAUGAUCUACUGAGGAGUCAUAGGUACCGGAACAGUUAAAGCUCAAAAGUCAUGCUCUCUUGAAGGUUUGUCUCAACAAAAUCAUCGAAACUGUGACCAGCAAAAUCAGUUUUUGAAUUAUAACAUGCAAACUUCUUCAUUUUUUUUUUUUUUUAAAAAAAAAUUUAACCUUGAUAGGCGAAUACUCUAGAUCUCUUCCUUUAUCUUCCCAAUGGUAGAAGCCUUGUAAAAGUUGAAGAUUCCACGAAGAGAAAAUAAAAUGAAAAGAUGUUCAAAUUUAAUGACUACAAGAGUUGGUUAGCUAUUAAUGUCUUACUCACAUUUGUGAAAAUCCCCAUUCUAAUGGCUCCAUUUUCUAUAUGGUAAUUGAUAUUUUUGAGGGGAAGAAAGAAGAAGAAAAUAAUUGAUGUUUCUUACUCAAAUUGCGGAAGCCUUGUAAAAGUUGAAGAUUCCACGUAGAGAAAAUAAAAUGAAAAAAUGUUCAAGUUUAAUGACUAGAAGAGUUAGUUAGCUAUUAAUGUCUUACUCAUAUUUGUGAAAACCCCCAUUCUGAUGACUCCAUUUCUAGAUGACAAUUGAUAUUUUUGAGGAAAAAAAAAAAAGAAUUGACAUUUCUUACUCAAAUUGCAAAAGCCUUGUAAAAGUUGAAGAUCCCACAUAGAGAAAAUAAAAUGAAAAGAUGUUCAAGUUUAAUGGCUAAAAGAGUUGGUUAACUAUUAAUGUCUUACUCACCUUUGUGAAAACCCCUAUUCUGAGGACUUCAUUUUCUAGAUGGUGAUUGAUAUUUUUGAGGGAAAAAAAGGGAAAAAUAUUGAUGUUUCUUACUCAAAUUGCAAAAGCCUUGUAAAAGUUGAAGAUCAAGUUUAAUCGCUAAAAGAGUUGGUUGGCUAUCAAUAUCUUACUCACCUUUGUGAAAACCCCCAUUCUAAUGACUCCAUUUUCUAGAUGGUAAUUGAUCUUUUUGAGGAAAAAAAAAGUAAAAGAAUUGAUGUUUACUCAAAUUGCAGAAGCCUUGUAAAAGCUGAAAAUCUCACAUACAGAAAAAAAAAAAUGAAAAGUUGUUUAAUCUUAAUGGAUAAAAGUGUUAGUUGGCUAUCAAUGUCAAUGUCUUAACCUUCAUUAUGAUUAUUGAGGAAAAAAGGGAAAAAAAAUUGUUGUUUCUUACUUCAAUUGUAGAAGCCUUGUAAAAACUGAAGAUCCCACAUAGAGAAAAUAAAAUGAAAGGAUGUUCAAGUUUAAUGGUUAAAAGAGUUGGUUAAUUAGCUAUUAAUGUCUUACUCUCCUUUGUGAAAAACCCCAUUAUGAGGACUUCAUUUUCUAGAUAAUAAUUGAUAUUUUUGAGGAGAAAAAAAAUUGAUGUUUCUUACUCAAAUUGAGUCUUGUAAAAGUUGAAGAUCCCACUUAAAGAAUAUAAAAUGAAAAGAUGAUCAAGUUUAAUGGCUGAAAGAGUUGGUUGGCUAUCAAUGUCUUACUCACUUUAAUGAAAACCCCCAUUAUGAUGACUCAUUUGUUAGACCCUAGAUUUUUGUGUUUUGUAAACUUCCAUCACAUGUUAACAUUAAAUAUAGUUGUAACAAUUAACUUUCAACAAUUAAUUUGUUUUAUGGCAAAAAGUGACGUGAUCGCAAAUUUGUUUUGCGGUUAAAUGUCACAAAUUUUGUUUUGUGGUAAAAUUUUAUUUUUGUUUUUUAUGAUUAAAAAUAAUUGCUCAUGAGUCAUGAGCUAUCAUGAUUUUUUUUUUACCAUAAAAUACUAUAUUUUAUUUAUUGUAAAAAAUCAUGUUUAUUGGAGUGAUAAUAAAUAUAAUUGUUAUUUAUAUUAUAAUUAAAUAAGAUAUAAGUUUAAUGUUUUUUAAAGUUUUUGUUUUCAAAUAUCUAGCGUGAACAUUGUCGUCUCUCAUGAUUGUUGUGACUUUUUUUUCUUUUUAUAUCACUUAUAACAAGGUUUCUUAAUAACUAGUUUUUUUUAUUUAUUAUUUAAUAAUUUAAGUUGAUUUUAAUUGAUAUUUAUUCUCAUUAUUUAUUAAACAUUCAUAGUUAAAAUAUUGUAAAUAGUUAAUAUAACCACAAAAUAUUUACUAUAAAAAAUAAGUUAUGGAUGUGGAACUAUAUGGUUGUAAAAUAUAUUAUUAUUGAUGUAGGCAAAUAAAGUAAAAAUGAUUUAAAAUUAAGAACAAGUUAUUUAUUCGGACUUAAUAUUUUAAGUUAUGAUGUUAAAUUAUUUUAUUAAAUAUAUCUAAUCUAUUUAAUAACUUAAAUUAAGAUAUUAAAUCACCCUAAGUUGAUUUAUCAAACACUAAUGGGGUGGUAUUUGUUUUUUUGACUUAAUUCUAUAUAGAAUUUAAAGCUAAAUAGUGCUUAAUAAUAUUCAGUCUCAUAUCGUUUGUUUUCUUAAUAUUUCUUUCUACUCAGUAUUAAGAAUUAAAGAAAAACUAACUGAUUACUUUUACCAUAAAAAAAAUUAAAUUUUUAAAUUUUUUUUCUUUCAGUACAAAAUUUAAGAAACAAGUAAUAAAUUGCUAAAUAAAUAAAUAAAUAAUUUAAAAUCCGAAAGUAAGAUUGCAUUUAGUAGUGAUUUUAGGAAGUAUUUUUACCUUUUAUAACACUUGAAAAUUUUUAUCUUUCAAAUAUUAAAAAAACUAAAAAUACUUCCUAAAAUUACUAUUAAACACACUCUAAGUUGCUUGGAGGAAAACAACUUAACAAAAAAAUCUAUCGCAUCCUUCCAAAUUAAUCCCCUACACCAACAAUAUUAAUUAGAACCCACCACUGAAAUUGACCCAAAAAUAAAGUCAUACAACCACCUUUCACUUUCACAUACUACAAAAAAGACCGAGAAAAAAUGUAUUUGAUGAAUAAAGGCGCUAAAUACAAAGAGGCAAUCAAUAAAGGUAUAGAAAUUUUGUUGAUGUUGCAUUAUUCUCAUUAGAAAUUAUAAUUGACUUGAAUAAAAGGUUGACUCGGCAGAAGGGGAACAUCUAUGAGGGCAACAUCUUUCCAUUCCUCAUCCUAAGCAGACUUUCUAAUGGUAAAGAGACUAACAACAUAAGUUUUUUCAUUAUUUGGGUGAUAGCCAUGGAAAAGUAUUUCUUGACAAAGAAACUCAAAUCCUAACAAAAAAUAUGGUUACAAAAAUCAUUUUUUUUUUUAAAUAAAAACAAUUUAGAGUCAUUCACCAAUAUUAUUUGCUUUGAACUUAUUUAAGGAAAGUAUCUUGACUUCUCAUGAUGGCCUCACAAUGGAAAAUUAAGUUAAGAGUAUUCAUCAUACAAAAAAUAAAAUUAAAAAAGCCCUAGUAAUUAGGUCCACUUAAGAAUUAAUGAACUAUAACUAUGUUUGGUUGUUAAAAAGUUUAAAAUAAAAAAAAAAAAAAAAGAAAGAAAAAAAGGGGAAGGGGAAAAGAAAGAAAAAAAUUAUAAUUGUUUUUUAUUUGAUUGUCCAUUAUGAAUUGAGGAGAAAAUAAUCUAAAAGAGUGUUUAUUUUUUAAAACUUAUUAGUAAAAGGGUAUUUGUUUUUAACUUUUUAUUUAACUUAUUACUUAUUUUUUAAUAUUUUAAAUUGAAUCACAAAAGACAAAAUACUUCAUUUUUUCUAAAAAAGUAACAUUUUUAAAUCCAUUAAAAAAUCUCAACCCUCAAUUCUUGUUAUCAUAAUAAAUCUUUGUUUUUAUCAUUUUUCUCUUCUAUCAACAUCUUUAUAGGCCACCAUCUUUUUCUCUUUUUUCACCACUUUAACUUCAACAACUUUUAAAAUAAUUUUUAUUAUCUUAAAAUUUUUAGAAAUAUGUUAAAUUUUUUUUUUUGUGAGAUAAGAAUUAAUUAAAAAUUAUUUUUCUUAAUACAUUAAGAUAUUGAUUUCUAGUAUAUAAAAAACAAACAACUUAACCCUUAAUAAAAAUAAAAUAUUAAAAAAAAAAAACAACUUAAUGCUUUAUAGUAUCAAGAACUAUUUAAUCUUAAAUUAAAUUAAGUUCUAUUAAAUAUUAAGUUGAAAAACAAAUAAUUAUAAUUUUUAAUAUACUUUAUAUUUUUUAUUUUUAAAAUUAAAAAAUAAUAAUAAUUUUUAUAUAAAAUAUAACAACUCUUUAAUAAUUUAAAAAAACUCACCUCAAAAAGACCCAUCAAAUGAAUAAUUAAUCCGGCUAGCUGAGCCUUCCAAGGUUGAAUAAUUUGGCAUUUGAUUGGUCCAAAAUUGGAGCCUGCUUCCCUAAUUCCACCCACAUUACUCAUUUUUACUUGAUUGAUAAUGACUUGAAAGUACUCUUUCUAUUGUCCAUACUAUUAUAUAUUUCUAUCUUCACACUUUAGACAUUAGACAAUUCCGCACGCAUGCACAAUGGUCAGGUCGGAUUGGGUUGGGUUAUUAGCUUGAUUUAGAUAAAUUUUAAUAUAAUUAUUAUUAUUAUUAUUAUCAUUAUAUAUUUAAUGAUUCAUUAAUCAAAUUGUGAAAAAUUAAUAACAUUGAAAACCCGAUCAAUAUAAUGUAGUUUUCAAGAAGCCUUUACUUAAUUAAAAUCUAGUACAUAAUUCUUUUCACUUUUAUAAUCUUUCCUAAAAUUUCUAAUCACUUCAUGCACUUCUCUUCAAGUUUAUCAACUUUACUAAACCAUUAAUUAUCUUUAACUUUUAUUUAUUUAUUUAUAAAAUAAAUAUCACUUCAUAAGGUUAACUAAAAAAAUACUAUUGGUUAUUAUUAUUAUUAUUUCUUAAGUAAUUGAGAAGCAACAAAAUAUCAUUCACGUUAAAAAUAAUUUAUUGCAACUAUGCACAUUAUUCUAUAUUAUAGUUGGUUUUUUUUUCUUCUUUUUGCAUCCAUUUCUAUUCCCUGUUUUAAGUAUUUGACUUUUUAAUAAAUAUUUUUUGAAAAAAAAAAACUUAAUUAUUUUUGUCCGAAGUUAAUAUCUAAACCUAUCCCUAUGAUCUUAAGAUAAAAGGGUAGGUUUGGGUAUCACAAGGAGAAAACUUACCUAUUUAUACCGUACAGUUAGCUGGAUGCUCGGUGAGUAUCUCUAAUGCUAAGUCGAGACUGCAAAGCCUCCAAAAAAAAAUAAAAAUGUAAUUGAAUGGUCACUACAAAAUCAAAUCUUCAUCUGCCAACCAAUUUGAUAAUAACUGACCUUCAGCUUUGCAAAAUACAGAGUUGUACUGCAGACAAUGGCCAGGAUGGAUCAAGAAUUGCCUCCUCCUUUUAACCCUAGGCUCACAAGCCAAGACUUUGAUGCACGCCAAGACCGACCCUAGCUUAACUCUCCUCUCAAUUCAAUUUUAUUUUUUAUUUUUAGAAUCUAUUAUAACUGUUUUAUAAUUCUAAGAAAAUUUCUAUUGGAAUAAAAGUUUUGGUCGAAAAUCACGUGAAAAAUCAUUCACAUAAAGCUUGUCCUCUUUUUCUUUAUUCUAUUUUAUUUUUAAUUUUACAUAGAUUUACGGACAAAUUAGGGGCAUGAAUUACCAAAGCCCAGACCUACAUUUCUCCACGUAGCUGGAAUAAAUAAGUUGACGUGCCAACUGCCAACUACGGGAUUCAUUUAUUAAUUAAUUGAAGCAUUAACGACGCAGUCAGAAAUUGGCCCCUCCCUCGAGUGUUGGAAAUCAAGUCAGCAUCCUCUGUUUACUUCCCUAAUUAGUGUAAUGUACAGCCUUUAUUAUAAUUGAUUUAGGAGUAAUUCUAGCAAGGUAGUUUAUUCACUUUCCAUGUAAGAGUAGUUUAUUCACUUUCCAUGUAAGAGUAGUUUAUUCACUUCCCAUGUAAGAGUUUAUUCACUUUCCAUGUAAGGGAAAUUCCAUUCCGGAAUUGUCUCAUAUCUGUAGGCUAUUUAUUUAUGCUUUCAUUCAUUGUAAAAAAAAAAAAAAAAUCAUAGAAUGAAUUGAGGUGUUCCUCCAUAGUUUGUCUUCAAAUUCUUCAUAUUUUUCUUCAAAUUCUUCAUGGUAUCAGAGCAGGUUUAAUCCUGUCUCAUCGUCUUCAUCUUUAGUCAGUUUUUUUUUACUCAAUUCUAUUCUUCUAAUUUAUGCCUAAAUACGGUCCAGCCUUUGGAAUGGCUACCAACUCAUCAUCCUCUACUUCUGAUAUCAUCAUCUCAUCGUCUUCAUCCUCUCAUCAGAUGGAAACCUCUCAUCAGAUGGAAACCUCUCAUCUUCCAAUCACAGCCCAUAAACUGAAUGGGCAAAAUUAUUUGCAAUGGUCUCAGUCCAUAUUAAUGUUUAUACGGGGAAAGGAGAAAGAUGACUACAUCACCGGAGCUUCGACGGCACCAGAAACCACAGCAUCAACCUACAAAAAGUGGAUAGCAGAAAAUAAUAUGGUCAUGUCCUGGCUAGUCAACUCUAUGACCGCUGACAUUGGUGAAAAUUUUCUGUCAUUUGAUACUGCCAAAGAAAUCUGGGACACUGCAAAAGAAACUUUCUCAGACAAGGAAAACACAUCUGAAAUCAUCCAGAUUGAAGGCAUCCUCCAUGAUUUGCGUCAAGGAAACCUUACGGUAACUGAAUAUUUCAAUACUCUUACUCGUCUAUGGCGUCAACUUGAUACGUUUGAGGUUCAUAACUGGAAUUGUGUUACAGAUGGUUUUUUGUAUAAAAAGAUUGUCGAAGGGAAACGUGUGUUUAAAUUUUUGUUAGGUUUGAACAAAAAUCUUGAUGAAAUCAGAGAAAGAAUCAUGGGAGUAAAACCCCUACCUAGCCUCAGAGAGGCAUUCUCUGAAGUCCGUCGCGAAGAAAGUCGGAAAAAUCUCAUGAUGGGAUCCCAUCAACAACUGAAUAUGGCAGAAAGCUCGGCUCUUAAGACUCAAUUCGCUCCUUUUGACAACCGUCAAAAAAUUAAAGGAGGUAGACCUUGGUGUGAUCAUUGCAGAAAGCCGGGACACUCAAGAGAAACUUGCUGGAAGAUUCAUGGAAAGCCAGUAGAUUGGAAGCCACGUCAACCACUUGAGAAAGAAGGACGAGGCAAUCAUGUGGCUACCGAUGAACAAUCGCCACAACCUGAAGCUAGCCCUUUUAAUAAGGAGCAAAUAGAGAUGCUUCAGAAACUACUGUCUCCUCUUUUGUCAGUACAAUCACAAACUGGCUCAUCUUCCAACCAGGUCAUUGGUUUCGGAGCCUUGGCUCACAAAGGUAAUUUUUUGAGUGCCUUCACUGCUGGUAAGAAACGUAAAAAACCUUGGAUAGUGGACUCAGGAGCAUCUGAUCAUAUGACGGGAGAUGCGACAAUUUUUGAUACAUAUAGCUCAUGUCCAAAUAAUUUAACAGUCCGAAUAGCAGAUGGUUCACUAUCAAAGGUUGCCGGAACAGGUUCAGUUGUGCUAUCAAGGGAUCUUACUCUCAACUCUGUUCUCCUUGUUCCUAACUUGGACUGUAAUCUAUUGUCAAUUAGUAAAAUCACUAAGGAAAAGAGGUGUAUUACUAAUUUUUCCUCCACUCACUGUGAAUUUCAGGAUUUGGAUUCGGGGAAGACGAUUGGCAAUGCUGAGGAAUGCUCUGGACUCUACAUCCUUAAGGAGCGCCACGAUCCACAAGAACAACCUCAAAUGACAAUUGGUAGUAAUUCUUUUUCGAUUUCAUGUCAAAAUAACGAUAGUGCAAUUAGGUUGUGGCACUAUCGCUUAGGUCAUCCAAAUGUUAUGUAUCUCAAGCAUUUAUUUCCUUCAUUAUUUAAUAAAAAUCCAAAAUCCUUUGAGUGUGAAAUCUGUCAAUUAUCAAAGCAAGUCCGGUCUCAUUUUCCCAUUCAAUCCUAUAAAGAGUCUAGUCCAUUCUCAAUGAUUCAUAGCGAUAUCUGGGGUCCGUCAAGAAUAAAAAAUGUAACUGGUACUAGGUGGUUUUUCUCAUUCAUAGAUGAUCACACUAGAUUAACUUGGGUAUUCCUCAUGAAAGAAAAAUCUGAAACGAGUCAAAUUUUCAAAAAUUUUAAAAAUAUGAUUCAGACCCAAUUCCAGUCAAAAAUACAAAUUCUAAAGUCUGAUAAUGCUAAGGAUUAUUUCAACUCCAUUCUAGGAGAAUUUCUAGCACAAGAAGGGAUAGUUCACUUAAGUUCAUGUGUUGAUACCCCACAACAAAACGGAAUCGCUGAAAGGAAAAAUAGGCAUUUGUUAGAGGUGGCUAGAUCACUAAUGUUCUCCAUGAAUGUUCCAAAAUUAUUCUGGGGGCAAGCUAUCCUUACGGCAGCCUACCUCAUCAAUAGGAUGCCGUCUAGGGUACUAAAAUUCCAAACACCUUGUCAAACACUCCUAAAAUCCUUUCCGACUACUCGUCUCAUCUCCACUGUCCCACCCAAAAUUUUCGGGUGCUCUGUCUUUGUUCAUAUCAAUCAACAACAUAGAAGUAAACUUGAUCCUAGGUCACUCAAGUGCAUCUUUCUUGGGUAUUCUUCAAAUCAAAAAGGGUAUAAGUGUUACUCUCCAGUCAUAAGAAAAUUCUACAAUUCAAUGGAUGUCACCUUUUUUGAACCCAGCCUUACUAUCCCAAAAACGAUAUUCAGGGGGAGAAUUCAACUCAGGAAUAUCAAUUUUGGGAUCUUGAGUCAUUCAGUGAGUCACCCAUCACCACUGAAAAUCACAUUCCUCCAGAGUCAUUUAACUAACCCGAGUCCAUUGUUGACUUGUGGGAUAAGGAGCACAUCCAAGAGGAAACGGAGGAAAGAGCACUUUCUCAACAAACCCAUGAGGCAGAACCGAGUCCUAAUCCAAGCAAACUUCCAGGUAACAACGCUCCUGAUGGUACUGUUGAUUCCGAGUUAGAAAAUGAUAUUCUUAAUAUGCCCAUAGCUUGGAGGAAAGGAGUUAGAUCAUGCACUCAGCAUCCCAUUGGAAAUUUUAUUUCUUAUGAUAAGCUAUCACCCACGUUUCGUGCAUUCACUUUUAGCAUCACAGAUAUAUAAGUUCCUCAGAAUAUUCAGGAAGCUUUCAAGUAUCCUAAGUGGAAGGCGGCAGUUGAAGAGGAAGUUCGGGCACUGGAAAAGAAUGGUACGUGGGAAAUUACUGACCUCCCAAGAGGUAAGAAACCAGUUAGGUAUAAGUGGAUUUUCACAGUAAAGUACAAGGCAGAUGGUAAUGUGGACAGGUAUAAGGCUCGGUUGGUCGCCAAAGGAUUCACCCAAUCCUAUGGCAUUGACUAUCAAGAAACUUUUGCUCCAGUUGCCAAGCUCAAUACUGUUCGUGUACUUUUAUCCUUGGCAGCUAAUCUCGAUUGGUCGCUUCACCAACUUGAUGUGAAGAAUGCCUUCCUCAAUGGUGACUUAGAGGAAGAAGUUUACAUGGACAUUCCUGCUGGACUUGAGACGACAUCAAAUUUCUACAAGGUUUGCAGACUCCGAAAAUCCUUGUAUGGCCUCAAACAAUCUCCCAGGGCCUGGUUUGAACGGUUCACUAAGGUAGUGAAAGGGUACGGAUUCGUUCAAUGUCAAUCCGAUCACACAUUAUUUGUGAAACACUUCCCAGAAGGGAAACUGGCAAUUAUCAUUGUAUAUGUGGACGACAUAAUUUUGACAGGUGAUCAUGAAGAGAAAAUUGACUUACUUAAAAAAUUACUGACAAAGGAAUUUGAGAUCAAGGAUCUUGGAAACCUUAAGUACUUUCUCGGAAUGGAGAUUGCUAGGUCAAAGAAAGGUAUAGCAGUCUCACAACGCAAAUACGUUCUGGACUUAUUGAAUGAAACAAGAAUGCUAGGAUGCAAGCCGGCAGAAACACCUAUGGAUACAACUGACAAACUUGAAGAAAGUGAUGGAAGUGCGCCAGUUGAUAAAGGAAGAUAUCAACGUCUUGUGGGGAAACUCAUCUAUCUUUCUCAUACAAGGCCAGACAUCGGCUUCUCCGUUAGUGUGGUAAGUCAAUUCAUGAAUAAUCCAACCGAAAAACACAUGACUGCUGUGAUCAGAAUAUUGAGAUACCUCAAGAUGACACCGGGAAAGGGUCUCUUCUUUCAAAGAACAACAAAGAAAGAGAUUGAGAUUUUUUCAGAUGCAGAUUGGGCAGGUUCAGUGACUGAUCGGAGAUCAACUUCAGGCUAUUGUUCAUUUGUCUUGGGGAACUUGGUUACAUGGCGAAGCAAGAAACAGUCAGUGGUAGCCCGUAGCAGUGCUGAGGCAGAAUUUCGUGCUAUGGCACAAGGUAUCUGCGAGGGAAUCUGGUUGAACAGGCUGUUAGAAGAAUUACGGGUUCCAUUGAAGCAUCCCAUGGAGUUAUACUGCGACAAUCAAGCUGCCAUCAGUAUCGCUAAGAAUCCGGUUCAUCAUGAUCGAACUAAGCACGUGGAGAUAGAUCGACACUUUAUCAAGGAAAAGAUUGAAGAAGGAGUUUUCAAAGUCAGCUACACUCCGACAAACUGUCAAACGGCUGACAUUCUCACAAAAGCUCUUGCUCGAGUUAACUUCGAAGAUCUGACAGAAAAACUUGGAAUGAUCAACAUCUACAACGCGGCUUGAGGAGGAGUGUUGGAAAUCAAGCCAGCAUCCUCUGUUUACUUCCCUAAUUAGUGUAAUGUACAGCCUUUAUUAUAAUUGAUUUAGGAGUAAUUCUACCAAGGUAGUUUAUUCACUUUCCAUGUAAGAGUAGUUUAUUCACUUUCCAUGUAAGAGUAGUUUAUUCACUUCCCAUGUAAGAGUUUAUUCACUUUCCAUGUAAAAGAAAUUCCAUUUCGGAAUUGUCUCAUAUCUGUAGGCUAUUUAUUUAUGCUUUCAUUCAUUGUAAAAAAAAAAUAAAAAAAAAUCAUAGAAUGAAUUGAGGUGUUCCUCCAUAGUUUGUCUUCAAAUUCUUCAUAUUUUUCUUCAAAUUCUUCAUCGAGUACUUUCUGAGUAGUAUAGACUGUAUGCUCACCAAAGACAAUUAAACAUUUUAUAAUUAUUUUUAUUAUCAAUUACUAUCUUCAGCCACGUCCUUCCCUUUGCCAAUUGGGAGUCUAUAUAAAGGAGUGACCACCUCUCUCGCUUCUCAUCAACUCCUCAACCUCUCUUCGCCUACAUCUUCCACAGACAAAGUUCAGGUUUCGUAUUUUAUAAAAUUUUCUCUUUUUUUUUUUUUUUCUCUAUAUCGCUUCUUUAGAAUUCUAUGCAAAAACUUUCUGGGUAGAUUUGUUUUUGAAUUAUAACAUGCAGGCUUCCUUUUUAUUUAUUUAUUUAUUUAUUUAUUUUUAUUUUUUAUUUUGUAACCUGGAAAAAUCAGUUUUAUCCCUUCUCCUCCCGUUUCUUCUUCUGCUUCUGCAAUUGUCUGCAUGCCUUCUCUGUAAAAUUGGAGUUGGUCUUGUUUUAAACUAUGGGAAACAAUGAUCUCGAUAUUUCUAUACUUGAUAGUAUAUGGUUAAUGGAUAAGAAUGUUACUGCAUGAGCUGAAGUGAUGAUGAUGUUUAUAUAUAUAAACAAAAAUGCAGUAUGUGGAAGCUCAAAAUUGCAGGAGGGCAUGGUCCAUGGCUGUACAGCCUCAACAACUUUGUUGGCAGGCAGAUCUGGGAGUUCGACCGUGAAGCUGGGACCCCAGAAGAGCGAGAAGAGGUCAGGAAAGUCCAGGAAAAUUUCACAAAGAAUCGGUUUCGCUACAAACCUAAUGGGGAUCUCCUAAUGAGGAUGCAGGUAUAUGCUCUUUUAUUCAUGAUGAUAUCUUUGGAUAAAAAAUUUUCCUCUACUAUCUUCCAACAUGGUAUUUUGCUUCUGAGGUUGAUGAAGUGAUCACAAUAAAAUUUAAUAUUAAUUAAAGGGCCUUCAUGGAAAUUUAUACAUAUAUAUAUAUAUAUAUGGUUUUUCAACUAAAAUUUGUUCUGGGUCUUGGCCUAAAUUCACCGAGUUUCCAGUUGGAUGGGAAGAUGCAACUAGGGGUGGGCGUGAGAGGACCGUACUUGCCUUUGGGCAUCAACUGGUAAUUAAUGGUCAUACUUUGAUAUUCUUUGAAAACUAGCCAAGGAAAAAGAUAUUUCAGGUUUAGGACAAUGAGACCUGGAUAGUGAUAUGGCCAAACCACACUUUUUGCAACUAACAACUAAGCUCCUCCUCAUAUUGGAAAUUUGAUGAUCAGGACAUAUAAUUUAGUUGCCCAAAAGCAAAUAUUUAUAUUUGUUUAAAAAAAGGCCAAAACCUUUGUCAUCUUUCUCACCUUGUAAAGUGAAAAUUUAGUAAUAGUAAAAUGCUAUUUUUUUUAUUUAAUACAACUAAUCACUUUUUAGUAAAUAUAAGUUUACUUGCCGGAAUGUCUAUAAUAAAAAAUGUGAUAAAAGUGAUAGUGUAUGUAGUAUCUUCCAUUAGUUAAUUUUUAAAAAUGGUAAAACAUUAGGCCUUCUUUCGUAACGACUUUCGAAAAUAGUUAUGAGAGAUAAUUUUUAAAAAUUGUUCUAUAAUGUUUUGUAGUACAAAAGUUUGUUUGGUAACUUGAAAUAUUUUUAAUCUAUUUUUAAUACUUUAAAAUAUGUUUUAAAAAUAAUUUUAUAUUUAGCACUUUAUUUUUAAUCAUUCUACAUAUUUAUAUAAUUAGUUUUUUAAAAUAACUCUUACAAAACAAGUGAAAACAUUUGAAAAAAACUAAAAGAUGUGAUCUUACAAGUUUUUUUGUUCCUAAAAACAAAAAAUUGAAAAUAGUUUUCUAUUUACCAAAUGUUUUUCUUUUUUCUUUUUUUUCUAUUUUUGUUCUAUUAAAUAGAAAACUGCUAGAAAAAAUAGUUAUGCAAAACAGUUAUGUAAAACAGUUUUUGAAAAUAAUUUUUUUUAAAUUGUUCUUUAAUGUUUCAUAAAACAAAAGUUUAUUUAAAAACCUAAAAUAUUUGUAACUUUUUUUAAAUAUUUUUUAAAAAUGUUUUAAAAACAAUUUUUAUGUUUAUUGUUUUAUUUUUAAUUAUUCUACAUGUUUGUAUAAUUAUUUUUUUAAAUAGCCCUUAGAUAACAAGUGAAAACAAUAGAAAACGAGUAAAAGAUAUUAUCUGAAAAUAGAAAAUAGAAAAUAGUUUUUGAUUGAAAGACGUAUUUUCUUGAUUUUUUGUUCUAAAAAAUCGAAAACUGUUUUCUUGGGUGCCUAAAAUGUUGUGCCAUAUUUUCUUGGUUUUUUUUUUUUUUUCUAUAACUUGGUUGAAUUGAAAAUGAUACAAAAAAAAAUGUUUGCAUUUGCUAAAAAUAAUUUACUUUUGAAAAAUCAUUUUAAUUUCGCAAGGAAGUUUGAAUUCUGACAACAUAAUCCCUCCAUUCCAAUGUCCAAAUUAAAAAUCACAGCUUAUCAAGGAAAACCAAAUAGAUUUGAGCAUACCACCAGUGAGGUUGGGAGAAAAGGAAGAAGUAACAUAUGAAGCAGUGACAACUGUAGUGAGGAAAGCUGUGAGGCUGAAUAGAGCCAUCCAGGCCAAGGAUGGUCACUGACCUGCUGAGAACGCUGGUCCUUUGUUUUUCACACCUCCUCUGGUAUGUUUUCUAAGAACCCCUUUUUUUUGAGAAAAAAAAAAUUAUUGAGUUUAAUUUCUGAAUUAACUAACACCUAAAGUGUUAUUCCAACUUGGUAUGCAGAUCAUGGUGCUAUACUUUACUGGAACCCUGAAUAUUGGCCUAACACUGGAACACAAAGUGGAGGUUCUUCACUACAUUAAUAACCAUCAAGUACUAAUCAAACUCAUCUCACCAUCUUUAAUUGGCUCACAAUAUUUUCAUCUCCCAUUUGGAAUAGUAAUGGAAUGUGUUGGAUGAUUAGAAUGAAGAUGGUGGGUGGGGAUUCCAUAUCGAGGGGCACAGCACAAUGCUUGGAACAACCCUCAACUACAUCUCCAUGCGUAUACUAGGAGUAGGACCUGAUGACAAGGCUGUGGCAGCAGGAAGGAAAUGGAUUCUCGAUCACGGCGGUGCAACCUAUUCACCAUCUUGGGGGAAGUGUUAUCUCUCGGUGAGUUCAUAAGUUGGUGAUCUUUUGUUGGUUUGGAAGAAAGAUUUUCCAUUGCUAUUGGCUUAAUUGAUUUUUGUGUGUUUUAAGGUGUUUGGGUUGUAUGAGUGGUCUGGCUGCAACCCUUUGCCACCAGAGUUCUGGCUUUUCCCUUCAUUUUUGCCCAUGCAUCCAGGUAGGCAAUAUGCAGUAACUAUAUAUUGAGUAUUUUGAUCUCACUUAGGCUUCAUGGUUUUAUUUUAUGAACUUGUUUUCUAUGGAAAUGUUUGUGUUGCAGAUAAAAUGUGGUGCUACAGUCGAACAGUUUACAUGCCUAUGUCGUAUUUAUACGGCACAAGAUUUCAGGCACCCAUUACUGAUCUGGUUCUACAACUGAGGGAAGAAAUGCACACUGAACCAUACCAUGAAAUUGAUUGGGCUAAAGCGCGAAUUUUAUGCGCAAAGGUUGGUUGAUUGUAGAGAAAGUGGUUUGGGAUUUUGCAGUUGCUAGUUUAGGUUCUAUAAUAAGACUCUUUGUAUAUUUAAAGUGUAGUUUUCUUGUGAAAAGGGGCAUGCUAAAUCCAUCCCCACCCCCAUUAACCUUGGGCUAAAAUAUUGAAUGGAUGCAGGAGGAUUACUACUACCCCCAUUCCCUAAUACAAGAUGUGUUUUGGGGUGCGCUUUAUCACUUUGGUGAGCCAAUUCUGAAACGUUGGCCCGCCUCCAAAAUUAGAGAGACUGCUGUAAAGAAAGCAAUUGAAAUCAUUCAUUGGGAAGAUGAGAAUAGUAGAUAUAUGACUCCUGGGUGUGUGCAUAAGGUAAGUGAGAGUGUGAGAGCAGAGAUGGAAUAGAUUAGAAGGAAUGCUGGAAUGCAUUGGGGUCAAAUAAUUGAAGGUUUAGACAUUGUUUUUAUAUUAGGGCAACAUUAAUUUUUGCAGGCUUUCCACAUGAUGGCUGUUUGGGCAGAGAAUCCAGACUCAAAUUCAGAUGCUUUCAAGCAUCACCUUGCCCGAAUUCCCGACUACUUAUGGUUGGCAGAGGAUGGAAUGAAAGUGCAGGUUUGUUACAACACCCAACCAUUUUGGUUCUACUCAAUCAUCACCUCCAAAUUCACCAUCCAUAAUGCUAACUUGUUGCUGUAACUGCAGAGUUUUGGGAGUCAGCUAUGGGACACUUCUUUUUGCAUUCAAGCCAUCCUGGAAAGUGGUAUGGUUGAAGAAUAUGGGACUACUCUGAAGAAAGGUCACGACUUCGUUAAAUUAUCACAGGUUUCUUACUUAUACACUCCCAAAACCUCUGCCACUACCAUGCUCUGCAUCUUCAUUAAGCUUACAACCAUUAUCAUACCAAAUUUAAAUUGCAGUGUCAAGAAAAUCCAUCUGGUGAUUACCGAAGUAGGUAUCGUCACUUUUCAAAAGGAGCUUGAACUUUCUCUGAUCGCGAUCAUGGUUGGCAACUCUCUGACUGCACAACCGAAGCAUUGAGGGUAGGAUAUAUAGCUUUAUUCGGAUCAUUUUCUGUGUCAGCUUGUGUUCUUAGGACCGCACCUAUAUCGAUCGGUCAUUUUCCUAUCAGUUUGUGUUUAGCUUGAGUCGGGACCGCACCCAUAUCGAUUGGUCAUUCAUCUUAUCAAUUCAGUUCGACGUCCAGGGUCUUUGUUCAGUAUGACAUUCAGAGUCACAUCUUCAGUUUUGGCAUUCAGAGUCAUUAUGCAUACUCAUUCAGGCAUUUUUGGGUCACCAUGUAUCAUCCAUUUUUCACACUUAUCCUCAUUUUUCCUCACUUUGUUACCCUGUGCUCAUUGCCUAUUCAUCAUUGCUUUUUCAGAUUUCCCUUCUCACUGCUCAUGGCACGGUCCUUUGAGUUCACGAUACGUAUUUUUGUCAUGUUAUUGGGCACCCUACACUCGGCAUUCUCGUAUAGCUCGCCUAGGGCAGUCUCCUUUGAGCGUAGUCUUUUCUAUACUCCAGGGUGGUUCGACCGUUACUCAUCUUUGACAUCGAUUUUUGAAUCACUCUCGGAGACGUUUUAGAGGGAGUCUGGGUCCUUAGUGCGGCUGCAGAGGCAUUUUGAGACAUCCUUCCUUAUUGGGAUUAUAGCCUCGUUGUCCAUCUGUUAGUCUGAGCGAGUUCGUGUUUCACCAGUGUCCCUAUGGGGGUCUCCUUGGUUCUUCGGUAAAGUCCACUUCAUUCCACUCACUAUUCACACUUUCUUUUCACUCUAGUGUUCAUGUCUUUUACAUUCGUGAACUUUACCGAAGAGGGGCAUAUUUGUAGACCCCCAUCUAGCUGCAGCUCAUUUCUUAUCAGGUGGAGCAUUUCUAAGGUUUUAUGUGUGUCAACUUGAGAAAGGCUGGGGCGAGGACCGUUUUCUGGAAACAUCAGUUGCAUGAAACGUGUGGGGAGCAACUGACCAUAGCCAUAGUGGUGGUUGGGGCUCCAGACAUGCUGAGCAGGGGAACAGGGGAGUGGAUAUUAGCUUGUGAAGGAGAGAUAUUUUCAACGGCAAAGGAGGUCUCUUGCCUGGCCGCUGGGGGAUAUUUUGAGAGAGAGCUUUUUCCAUUACUAGGGAGCUUUUCUGCCAUUUAGAAAGGAGAUAUUUCAGAGAAGAGAAAGGAGGAGGCGGAAGCUUUUGUUUGAGGGAACCCCCCCCCCCCCCCCCCGCGCCCUGGGGGUUGUCGCUUAAGUAUGCAUCUUUUCUCAUUCUGGGAUUUCUAUAUGCCUAUUUUGAUUCUCACGUGUGCCUGAUCCCCCUAUGUAUUCCUUGAUUUACUCAUCAAUUACCAUGAUUGCUUCACUUUAUUAAUGAAGACCUGUUUUCUAGGGACUUAAAGGGGUGCCACGGGCUUUUCCGUACCUUCCCGAAAAAUAACCUGACCUUCGAAACCCAUCCGGUUUUUCGCAAACCACCUUUUUUAAACUAAGGGGUCACACUUUGGGGUUUUUCCUUCCUAUUUUGUUUACCCUUUAAAAAAAAACAAAANNNNNNNNNNNNNNNNNNNNNNNNNNNNNNNNNNNNNNNNNNNNNNNNNNNNNNNNNNNNNNNNNNNNNNNNNNNNNNNNNNNNNNNNNNNNNNNNNNNNAGGGGGGGGGAAAACUGCCCAAUACCAUUGGGGGGGGGGGGGCCCCCAAACUUGUGGCCGGGGGAAACGGGGGGGGGUUUUUUGUUUGGAAAGGAAGAAUUUUUUUAACGGAAAAGGGGGUUUUUUCCCCGGCCCGGGGGGGAUUUUUUGGAAAAAGAUUUUUUCCCUUUAUGGGGGGUUUUUUUCCCCUUUAAAAAGGGAAUUUUUUCAGAAAGGAAAAGGGGGGGGGGGAAGUUUUUUUUUGGGGGAACCCCCCCCCCCCCCCCCCAGCGCCUUGUGGUUUGUCGCUUAGGUAUGCAUCUUUUCUCAUUCUGGUAUUUCUAUAUGCAUAUUUUGAUUCUCACGUGUGCAUGAUCACUCUAUGUAUUCAUUGAUUUACUCAUCAAUUACCAUGAUUGCUUCACUUUAUUAGUGAAGACCUGUUUUCUAGGGACUUAAAGGGGUGCUACGGUCUUUACCGUACCUUCCCGAUAAGUAACCUGACCUUCGAACCCGAUCCGGUUUUUCGCAGACCACCUUUUUCAAACUAAGGAGUCACACUUAGGGUUUUUUCUUUCUUAUUUUGUUUACCCUUUAAAAUAAAACAAAAAUAAGUGGCGACUCCAAGUCAUUUUCAAAUAAUCAAUAAAAAUCAAUUUUUCAAAUAAAAAUCGAGCUCGUCAUUCGAGUGGGAAACGCAUUGAGAUAGAUCGAAAUACAGGGUCCACACUAUGGCAUUUAAAUUGAGUGGUGGAUAUCCUUCCAAAUCAAUCCCCUACACCAACAACAUUAAUUGCAACCCACCACUGAAAUUGACCCAAAAAUAAAGUCAUACAACCACUUUCACUUUCACAUAUUAUAAAAAAAGACCCAAAAAAUAUGUAUUUGAUUAAUAAAGGCACUAAAUACAAAGAGGCAAUCAAUAAAGGCAUGGGAAUUUUGUUGAUGUUGCAUUAUUCUCAUUAGAAAUUACAGUUGACUUGAACAAAAUCCACCAACUUUGCACAUAUAGACACUUCACAGAAGGGGAACAUCUAUAAGAGCAACAUCUUUCCAUUCCAUCACCUCUAAUCUCAUCUUGAGCAGACUUUCUAAUGGUGAAAGAGACACUAACAAGAUAAGUUGUCAUUAUUUGGGUGAUAGCCCUGGAAAAAUGUUUCUUGACAAAGAAACUCAAAUCCCAACAAAAAUAUGGUUAUAACCGGUUUUUUUUUUUAAAUAAAAACAAUUUAGAGUGAUUUGUCAAUAUUAUUUGCUUUGAAUUUGUUUAAGGAAAGUAUCUUGACUUUUAGGGAUGGCCUCAUUGUGAAAAAUUAAGUUAAAGAGUAUUCAUCAUAUAAAAAAUGAAAUUGAAAAAGUCCUAGUUGAAUUUCUUGAAGUAGUAAUUAAGUCCACUUAAGGAUUAAUGAACUAUAACUAUUUUUGGUUGUUAAAAAGUUAAAAAUAAAUAAAAAUAAAAAUAAAAAGAGAGGAAAGGGAAAAAAAAGAAUAAAAUUAUAACUGUUUUUUAUUUGAUUGUCGAUUAAGAAUUGAUGAGAAAAUAAUCUAAGAGAGUGUUGAUUUUUUUAAACUUAUUAGUAAGAGGGUAUUUGUUUUAAAUUUUUUAUUUAACUUAUUACUUAUUUUUUAAUAUUUUUAAUUGAAUCACAAAAAACAAAAUACUUAACUUUUUCAAUAUAGAAAAAGUAACAUUUUUAAACCCAUUAAAAAAUCUCAACCCUCAAUUCUUGUUAUCAUGAUAAAUCUACUUUAUCUUUAUCUUUUUACUCAUCUAUCAACCUCUUUAUAGACCACCGCCUUUUUCUCUUUUUCACCGCUUUAACUUCAACAAAUUUUAAAAUAAUUUUUAUUAUCUUAAAAUUUUUAAAAUAUGUUAAAUUAUUUUUUUGUGAGAUAAGAAUUAAUUUAAAAUUAUUUUUCUUAAUACAUUGAGAUGUUGAUUUUUAACCUGUAAAAAACAAACAACUUAACACUUAAUAAAAAUAAAAUAUUAAAAAAACAAACAACUUAAUUAAGAACUAUUUAAUAUUAAAUUAAAUUAAGUUCUAUUAAAUAUUAAGUUAAAAAAAAUAAAUACCGUCUAAUUAUCAUUUUUAAUAUACUUUAAAUUUUUUAUUUUUAAAAUUAAAAAAUAAUAAUAAAUUUUAUAUAAAAUAUAAGAACUUUUUAAUCAUUUUAAAAACUGUUUGAAAAAAUUAAAAUAUUAAAAAAAAAUUUAGAAUAUUCAAGGAAGGAUCCUCAAUUUUGUUUCACUACUGCAAGUAAAAAUCACAUAACCCGUUUUACAAAGGUAAAACUCCAACAACCUUGUUUUUUUUUUAGGAACGUUUUUAAUAUUGAAAACAUUCUCACAUGCUCUCCAAGGUCCAUUGAACUAAAGCCUGUCAAUGACAUAAUUAAUUUCUCAACUACUCCGAAAACAAAAUUAUAAUGAAAAAAAUAAAAAUGUAAUUGAAUGGUCACCAGACUCACCACAAAAUAAAAUCUUCAUCUGCCACCAACCAAUUUAAUAAUAACUGACAUUCAGCUUUGAAAAAUACAGAGUUGUACGUACCGCAGACAAUGGCCAGGAUGGGUCAAGAAUUGCCUCCUCCUUUUAACCCUAGGCUCACAACCCAAGACUUUGAGGCAUGCCAACACCGAUCCUAGCUUACCUCUCCUCUCAAUUCAAUUUUUAUUUUUUACAUUCUAUUAUAAAUAUUUUAUAAUUCUAAUAAAAUUUCUAUUGGAACAAAAAUUUUGGUCGAAAAUCACGUGAAAAAUCAUUCACAUAAAGCUUGUCCUCUUUUUCUUUAUUCUAUUUUAUUUUUAAUUUUACAUAGAUUUAUGGACAAAUUAAUUUUGUGAGUCAGAAAUUGGCCCCUCCCUCGAGUAUUUCCUGAAGUACUGCUACUAUGCUCUCCAAAAACAAUUAAACAUUUUAUAACUAUUUUUAUUAUCAAUUACCAUCUUCAGCCUCGUCCUUCCCUUUGCACAUUGGGAGUCUAUAUAAAGGAGUGACCACCUCUCUCGCUUCUCAUCAACUCCUCAACCUCUCUUCGCCUGCAUCUUGCACAGACAAAGAAUCGGUUUGUUUUUGAAUUCUAUGAAAAAACCAACUUUCUGGGUAGGUUUGUUUUUGAAUUAUAACAUGCAGGCUUCCUUUUUUUUUCUUUUUUUAACCUGGCAAAAUCAGUUUUAUCCCAUCUCCUUCCGUUUCUUCUUCUGCUUCUGCAAUUGUCUGCAUGUCUUCUCUGUAAAAUUGGAGUUGGCCUUGUUUUAAACUACGGGAAACAAUGAUCUCGAUAUUUCUAUACUUGAUAGUAUAUGGUUAAUGGAUAAUAAUGUUACUGCAUGAGCUGAAGUGAUGAGGAUGUUUAUAUAUAUAAACAAAUAUGCAGUAUGUGGAAGCUCAAAAUUGCAGAAGGGCAUGGUCCAUGGCUGUACAGCCUCAACAACUUUGUUGGCAGGCAGAUCUGGGAGUUCGACCCUGAAGAUGGGACCCCAGAAGAGCGAGAAGAGGUCAGGAAAGUCCAGGAAAAUUUCACAAAGAAUCGGUUUCGCUACAAACCUAAUGGGGAUCUCCUAAUGAGGAUGCAGGUAUACGCUCUUUUAUUCAUGAUGAUAUCUUUGGAUUAAAAAAUUUCCUCUACUAUCUUCCAACAUGGUACUUCGCUUCUGAGGUUGAUGAAGUGAUCACAAUAAAAUUUAAUAUUAAUUAAAGGGCCUUCACGGAAAUUUAUACAUACAUAUAUAUAUAUAUAUAUAUAUAUGGGUUUUGAACUAAAAUUUGUUCUGGGUCUUGGCCUAAAUUCACUGAGUUUCCAGUUAGAUGGGAUGAUGCAGCAAGGGGUGGGUGUGAGAGGACCGUACUUGCCUUUGGGCACCAACUGGUAAUUAAUGGUCAUACUUUGAUAUUCUUUGAAAACUACCCAAGGAAAAAGAUACUUCAGGUUUAGGACAGUGAUAUGGCCAAACCACACUUUUUGCAACUAACAACUAAGCUCCUCCUCAUAUUGGAAAUUUGAUGAUCAGGACAUAUAUUUACUUGCCAAAAAGCAAAUAUCUAUAUUUCUUUUUUAAAAAAAGGCCAAAACCUUUGUCAUCUUUGCCACCUUGUAAAGUGAAAAUUUAGUAAAUGUAAAAUGCUAUUUUUUUUAUAUAUAUUUAAUACAACUAAUCACUUUUUAGUAAAUAUAAUUUUACUUGCCGGGAAUGUAUAUAAUAAAAAAUGUGAUAAAAGUGAAAGCGUAUGUAGUAUCUUCGAUUAGUUAAUUUUCAAAAAUGGUAGGACAUUAGGCCUUAUUUGGUAACCACUUUCGAAAAUAGUUAUGAGAGACAAUUUUUAAAAACUAUUCUAUAAUGUUUUGUAGUAUAAAAGUCUAUUUGGUAACUUGAAAUAUUUUUAAUCUAUUUUUAAUACUUUUAAAUAUAUUUAAAAAUAAUUUUAUAUUUAGUACUUUAUUUUUAAUUAUUCUACAUGUUUAUAUAAUUAAUUUUUAAAAUAACUCUUACAAAACAAGUGAAAACGUUUGAAAAAAACUAAAAGAUGUUAUCUUACAAGUUUUUUUGUUCCUAAAAAUUAAAAAUUAAAAACAGUUUUCUGUUUACCAAGCAUUUUUCCUUUUUUUUUCUCUAUUUUUUGCUCCGAUAAACAGAAAACGGUUAGUAAAAAUAGUUCUAUAAAAUAAUUUUUGAAAAUAGUUUUUUUAAAACUAAUCUUUAAUGUUUUAUAAAAUAAAAGUUUAUUUAAAAAUCUAAAAUAUUUGUAACUUGUUUUUAAUAUUUUUUAAAUACGUUUUAAAAACAAUUUUUAUGUUUAUUGUCUUAUUUUUAAUUAUUCUACAUGUUUGUAUAAUUAUUUUUUUAAAUAACCCUUAGAUAAUAAAUGAAAAUAGUAGAAAACGAGUAAAAUAUGUUAUUUGAAAGUAGAAAAUAGAAAAUGUUUUUUAAUUAAAAAACAUAUUUUCUUGAUUUUUUGUUCUAAAAAACCGAAAAUUGUUUUCUUGGGUGCCUGAAAUCUUGUGUCGCAUUUUUUUUGUUUUGUUAACUUGCUUGCAUUGAAAAUGAUACCAAAAAAAAUAAAAUAAAAAUCGUUUGCAUUUGUUACAAAUAAAUUACUUAUGAAAAAUCAUUUUCAAUUUCGCAAGGAAGUUUUAAUUCUGACAACAUAAUCCCUCCAUUCCGAUGUCUAAUUUAAAAAUCACAGCUUAUCAAGGAAAACCAAAUAGAUUUGAGCAUACCACCAGUGAGGCUAGGAGAAAAUGAAGAAGUAACAUGUGAAGUAGUGACAACUGCAGUAAGGAAAUCUGUGAGGCUGAAUAGAGCCAUCCAGGCCAAGGAUGGUCACUGGCCUGUUGAGAACGCUGGUCCUUUGUUUUUCACACCUCCUUUGGUAUGUUUUCUAAGUACCCCUUUUUUGAAGAAAAAAAAAUAAUUAUUGAAUUUAAUUUCUGAAUUAACUAACUCUAAAAGUGUUAUUCCAAAUUGAUAUGCAGAUCAUGGUGCUAUACUUUACUGGAACCCUAAAUUUUGCCCUAACACCGGAACACAUAGUACUGGAGCUUCUUCGCUACAUUACUAACCAUCAAGUACUAAUCAAACUCAUCUCAUCAUCUUUAAUUGGCUCACAAUAUGUUCAUCUCCUAUUUGGAAUAGUAAUGGAAUGUGUUAGAUGAUUAGAAUGAAGAUGGUGGGUGGGGAUUCCAUAUCGACGGGUACAGCACAAUGCUUGGAACAACCGUCAGCUACAUCUCCAUGCAUAUACUAGGAGUAGGACCGGAUGACAAGGCUCUAGCAGCAGGCAGGAAAUGGAUUCUCGAUCGCGGGGGUGCAACCUAUUCACCAUCUUGGGGAAAGUGUUAUAUCUCGGUGAGUUCAUAAGUUGGUAAUCUUCUAUUGGCUUGGAAGAAAGAUUUUCCAUUGCUAUUGGCUUAAUUGACUUUUGUGUGUUUUAAGGUGUUUGGGUUGUAUGAGUGGUCUGGCUGCAACCCUUUGCCACCAGAGUUCUGGCUUUUCCCUUCAUUUUUUCCCAUGCAUCUAGUAUUUUGAUCUCAAUUAGGCUGCAUUGUUUUAUUUUAUGAACUUGUUUUCAAUGGAAAUGUUUGUGUUGCAGAUAAAAUUUGGUGCUACUGUCGAACAGUUUACAUGCCUAUGUCGUAUUUACACAGCACAAGAUUUCAAUCACCCAUUACUGACCUGGUUCUACAACUGAGAGAAGAAAUGCACACUGAACCAUACCAUGAAAUUGAUUGGGCUAAACUACGGCUUUUAUGCGCAAAGGUUGGUAGUUUGGUUGAUUGUAGAUAAAGUGGUUUGGGAUUUUGCAAUUGCUAGUUUUGGAUUUAUAAUGAGACAUUUUUGCUAUAUUUAGAAUGCAGUUUUUUUGUGAGAAGGGGCAUGCUAAAUCCACCCCCACCCCCAUUAACCUUGUGCUAAAAUAUUGAAGGGAUGCAAGAGGAUUACUACUACUCCCAUUCCCUCAUACAAGAUGUGCUUUGGGGUGGGCUUUAUCACUUUGGUGAGUCAAUUCUCAAACAUUGGCCCUUCUCCAAAAUUAAAGAGAGGGCUGUAAAGAAAGCAAUUGAAAUCAUUCACUAGGAAGAUGAAAUGAUGGAAUGCAUUGGGGUUAAGUAAUUAAAGGUUUAGACAUUGUUCUUAUAUUGGGGCAACAUCAAUUUCUGUAGGCUUUCCACAUGAUGGUUGUUUGGGCAGAGAAUCCAGACUCAAAUUCAGAUGCUUUCAAGCAACACCUUGCCUGAAUUCCCGACUACUUAUGGUUGGCAGAGGAUGGAAUGAAAGUGCAGGUUUGUUACAACACCCAACGAUUUUGGUUCUACUCAAUUAUCACCUCCAAAUUCACCAUCCAUAAUGUUCACUUGUUGCUGUAACUGCAGGGUUUUGGGAGUCAACUAUGGGACACUUCUCUUUGCAUUCAAGCCAGGAAAGUGGUAUGAUUGAAGAAUACGGGACUACUCUCAAGAACGGUCACGACUACGUCAAAUUAUCACAAGUUUCUUACCUAUACACUCCCAAAACCUCUACCACUACCAUGCUCCAUAUCUUCAUUAAGCUUACAACCAUUAUCAUACCAAAUUUAACUUUCAGUGUCAAGAAAAUCCAUCAGGUGACAACCGGAGUAGGUAUCGUCACUUUUCAAAAGGAGCCUGGACUUUCUCUAAUCGCGAUCAUGUUUGGCGAGUCUCUGACUGCACAUCAGAAGCAUUGAGGGUAGGAUAUAUAGCUUUAUUCUGAUCAUAUACUGUAGUAAUUAAUACAGAAGUUCCUCAUGCAUAUCCCACUUUUUUUUCCCACGGGUCUUGUUGUUACUAUCACAAUUUCCAGAAGAACUUGUUGGUGAAAAUGCUGUACCUCAGCGCUUAUUUGAUGCGUCAAUUUCCUCUUCUCCUUGCAAGUACGUACACAUAUUUUGCUUCACUUGUGACACUCAAAAUUGUUGCCAGAUUAAUAUUCCAAUUUUGUAAAUUCACAAAGGCUAACCAUGGUCCCUUUUUUGUAAUUUUCCAAAUGGCAAAAGUGGUGGUGUGGCUGUUUGGGAGCCAGCAGGAGCUGAAGAAUGGUUGGAGGUAAUUUCUUUCAUUCACAAAUAGAUGUAGUUAUUACCAAAUUUUUGAGGCCUCAGUGAAUGCAGUUGAGUCUAGGACUAACAAGUUCUUGGUUUUGAUUCACUUUCUUUUAUUUCUCAGAAGUUGAAUCCUUCAGAACUUUUCACCAACAUAGUCAUCGAGCAUGAGUAGGUUGUUAUAUAUCUAAUUCAUUUACAUUUCUGUGUCCAUGUCCAUUUCCAUUUACAUUUCCAUGUCCACUUUCACAUCAUAUACACUCAUUAAUGUUACCUAUUUGGCGGUUUAGGUAUGUGGAAUGCACAUCAUCAGCUAUCCAGACUCUCUUGUUGUUCAAGAAAUUGUAUCCUAAUCAUAGAAGGAAAGAAGUAGACAACUUCAUUGAAAAGGAAACCAGUUAUGUUGAGGAUGUACAAGGUCGGAUGGAUCUUGGCAUGCAUCUCUUUCGUUUUUGGCUACUUAGUUGAGGAGAUGGAAAUGGAUGAUGGUUUUGAGUUUGAAGUAAAAAUUCUCAUGUAAAACAAUAAUUGCACGUCUUGAUUACUACUCAAAAAGUGCUAUUUUGUAGCUUGUAAUUAAUCCUUUUAAACACUUUUGAGUAGUAGUUAUUGCCUUUUAACUCAAUUAACAUGUUAAGAACCCUUGCAAUCAUUUCUAAUCAAAUUGUGUAAGUUUUGGUGUUUUUGUUAGUAAUUUGAUCACCAAAACAAUCCAAGAAUGAGGGAGAAUUGUAUAUAGUUCAUGGCAAAGCUUUUGGAAGCUCAAAUUCAUGAAGAAACCAAGCUUUGGAGCCCCAUAUCCCUUUCCCAAAGUCGUUCAAAGUAUGCAAGGAAAGAGCACUGGAGAGAGGAAAAACAGAGUGAAGAAAACAGAGGAAAGCCAAUUGCAGUCUUCUUUUGCACUUUUGGAGCACUUUCCGAAGUCCAUUUUCUACAUUCUAUAUACCAUUUCAAAGCUCGGGAAGUCAAGAAUCCAAUGCUUCAAACGGUGUGCGAUUCGGAGUUGAAACGAAGGAGUUACAGCCAUUGCAAGCAGAUCACUCCAAAGUGUUGCGAAAUCAGCCUUUUGUUGCGAGAAUUUCGCAGCCUUUUUGUACAGUGCUAUGGAAUUCCUCCUGAAGCUACCCGAUACAUGCCGCAAGCUGGAACGCUGAGAACCUCAAGGUGGAAGCCAAUUUCGCAGCCCUGCGAGUUUAACUUGUUGUUGCGAAAAUAUUUCGCAGCCCUCUUGAGUGUCUGCGAAAUCUCGCAGACACCAUUUUCACCUGCGAAAUGUGCCUGAAGCUUCCCGAUAUUUUUGCACCGACUCUUUUAGAUCUUUUCUUCAGAUAUUUUUGUAUAAUUUCCAUUUUCUCCUUGUAUUCAACCACUCAUGUAAUUCCUUAGCUAGGAAGUAUCCAAGGAAGGGUAAAUUACCUUCCUAUAUAAACUCUCUUGUAAACACUCUCAGGGAACGCUGGGGGAGAUCAUGUAAUCCAAUAUAUAGAAUCAACGAACAGAGCACUUGCUCUAUUUUUGAUAUAUAUUCUUGUCUUCUCUUUCAUUUUCAUUUUCUAGCCAACCAAACUCUGAGGAUUUUUCCACAGAGGAUGAGAGGCUAAGCUUUUUGUCUCUUGGAGUGAGGAAAGCCAGGUAAGUUUCCACAUGCAUAAUUUGGAAGUUUUGUUGUUUUAGUUUUUAAUGAAGAGAAAGUGUAACCCGUUAGUGAUUUCUAUGUUUUUAGUUAACUUAAAACACCUUAGAGUCACCUGGGCCAACACUUGGUAAGGCAAGUGAUUUCCAACCAUAGAGAUGCACUAGUUUACCCCUUGCGAGCCUCUGGGAGGUGACUUGUAGGUAGGAUUUUCUGGAAUUGCCAACACUUGGUAAGCUUUUGGACUCCAAGGAGACAUCCAUUAGUUAUCUCUUGCGAGCUUUUGAAGGGAAGUCCAAGGUUAAAGAUCACCUUGAAUGGCAAGUGCUAGGUGAGAGGUAUGAGCCAUUGCAAGGUGCAUCAGUGAGAGGGAUUUAAUGUUUGAACCCAUUAAUGGGAAGCAUCUGUACAACACCGGUUAGAGAAUUAACUAUAUGUUAAUUCUCUAAUGCGAGGAAAAUAAACAAGUGACCGGAACUCCCUUUUUGCAUGAGGAAUCUGAGCCUAGUGAUCUGAAACUCCAAGAAACAUCUUUUCUUUGUAAGUAAAAUCAGUUACUAUUUUUGGUUAGUUUAAAACCGAACCUUGUUCAUUCAAACAUCUUUGUGUUUUCUUUUAAAGCUAACCUUGAAAUGAAAAGGCACCAAUUCAUCUUUGAAUUAAUAUCAUUUGUGAAGUGAAAACCCAUCCCAGUGAACGAUCCUAGAGCCACUAUGCUAUAGUAGCUUUGUCUUUGCUACCCUAGUAUAUGGUGUAAUAGGUUAUAAAUUUUGUUGAUUAAUCCCUCAAUCAAGGAGCACCAGCUGCACACGAAUCAGUUGAGACACCAAUUGGGCACGAAUCAAAUGGCGCCGUUGCCGGGGAUCGAACCUCGAAUCAAAUGGUGCCAUUGCCACUGCCAUUGCUAGGGACGAAUCAAAUGGCGCCGUUGCCGGGGAUCGAACCCCGAAUCAAAUGGUGCCAUUGCCACUGCCACUGCUAGGGACGAAUCAAAUGGCGCCGUUGCAGGGGAUGGUGCCACUUUACAGUGAUAACACCUUUCUAGAGUACUUGUGAUCUUCAUCACAAGUUUGGUGACUUUUCUUUUCCUUUUACUAACUCUUUUUAUUUCUUUAUUGUUCAUGUUUUAGUAUAUCUUUUAUUUAGUUUUUAGUUUACCUUAAUCUUCUUUCUUUGAAUUGUUUUUCUUUUGUUUUCUUUUGUGUUCUCUGUUUUUAAUUCACAAAUUGCUAGUUGUGCAUGCCAUAUUGAAUACCAUAGCAGAGGAAGCCAUGAACUUCAUGAGUUAUGUGGCUGAAGUUUCAAGAGAAUGGGGUGAACCAAAUGCUAGAGAUAUGGGAAGAAUGACGUCUCAACCUAAAGCUAAGGGUGAGAUGUAUAUUUUGAAUGAUGGUAUGAACAUGAAGGCAGAGAUUGCAGCUAUGGAAAGGAGAUUGGAAGAGCUAGAAAUGAAGCAUAUGCAACCAGUGCAAGCCAUUUCUCAGACACCAUUGCAAGCUAUGCCUUGUGCCAUUUGUCUAUCUUAUGAGCACUUGGUGGAUGAGUGUCCUACCAUUCCAGCCGAGAGGGAAAUGUUAGGUGAUUGCAACACCUACAAUUUCAAUUGGAGGGACCAUCCAAAUUUCUCUUGGAAACCACAGCCACCUCAGUAUCAGCAACCUGCUCAAGCACCACAGCAAGCCUCAAACCUUGAACAAACUAUGGUGAAUCUUUGCAAGGUCGUGGGAGAUUUUAUUGAAAAGCAAGAAGCCACCAAUGCUCGAGUCGAUCAAAGAAUUGAUAGAGUGGAGAGUACUUUGAAUAAAAGGAUGGAUGAAAUGCAAAAUGAUCUAUCUCAGAAGUUAGAUAUUCUCCAAGAUUCAAUCUCAAGGCUUGCCAACCUCAACACAGUGCAAGAGAAAGAAAACUCUCCUUCUCAACCUAGUCAAAAUUCUAUGAGUAUCCAUGAAAUGGAGGCUAAGGAGGGAAAACCUUCACAAAAGAAGGAAGUCAAAGAAGUGAUCACUCUGAGGAGUGAUAAAGAGGUUGAUCUGCCCACAUGCAAGCUAGAGCAUAAGGUAGAGAGUGAAACAGAGAAAGAAAAGAGGGAGGAAAUCAAAGGAAAGAAAAAGGGGAAAAGUACAGAGAAAGAUGACUAUAUAGAUGAAGAACCACAGAGGAUAGUCAUCAAGAAAGAAUUGAUGAAGAAACACAUGCUUCCACCUUUUCUCCAAGCUUUGUUUGGCAAAAUCAUACAGAGAAAGCCCCAAGUGAGAGAUGCAAGCUUCAUAUGGGAUCCGGGCAAGCUAAAUCAGGAUCAAAUUUUUUGAUGGACUUAGUCUUUUUAAAGACUAGCUAGUCCAUAUCUUUUUGUUUUGUUAAUUUCUUGUUUUAAUUUUGAUUUCAAUGCUUUAAUUUUGAUUUCAAUGCUUUAAUUCUAAUUUGUUUUGAUGUAAUAUAGGUUUUUGGAUGAUCAAAAUCAAGAGGAAUUGCAAAGAAAUUGAAGAAAAAAAAUCGGAGCAAAAUCGGAGUCAAACGGAGCGAAAACAGGGGAAAAACAGGGGUCUGCGAGAUUUCGCAGCCUCUGCGAAAUCGGCAUUUUGUUGCCAAACCAUUUCGCAACACUAUAGAAGUCUCUGCGAAAAUUUCGCAGCUGCGAAACCCAUUUUGGCACACGAGUGCCACUUCGCAGCACAGGAGCAUCUGUUUCGCAGCUGCGAAACGCAUUGCGAAGUGAAAAAGGCUGAUUUCGCAACAAAAGUCCCAUUCCGCAAAGGAUUUCACGGCUGCGAAAGCACUUUUGGCACACGAGUGCCAUUCCGCAGCACAGUGACCCUCAUUUCGCAGCUGCGAAACGGCUGCGAAGCUCCAAAGCGUGAAAAUUCUCAAUUUCGCAGUCAAAGCUCCAUUCCGCAGGGUAUUUCGCAAUUGCGAAGCAGGUUUUGGCACACGAGUGCCAUUUCGCAGCACAGUGACCCUCAUUUCGCAGCUGCGAAACGGCUGCGAAGUCCCAAAAUGUGAAAAAACCCAAUUUCACAGCCGCACCCCCAUUUCGGCAAUUGUUGGACACAUCUCGAUCACUUCUCAAAGUUCAAAUUAUACAUGCAAUAUCUCAUUUGAAAGCUUGGUAAGUCAUGAGUCCACAGCUUCAAACGGUGCUAGAUUUGGAUUUGAAACGGAAAAGUUAUGGCCGUUUGAAGAUGACUGUGCAAACCAUGAGCGGAAAUGUCGCACCUCAAUUUUGCUACUGUUGGACACAUUUUUGAAGCACUUCAUGGAGCUCAAAUUAUGCAUAUGAUAUCUCGUUUCAAAGCUUGGGAAGUCAGGAGUCCAGCGCUUCAAACAGUAUGUGAUUUGGAGGUGAAAUGAAGAAGUUAUGGUCAUUUGAAGACAAGCGCGCAAAGCUGAGCGAGAAUUUCGCAACCGAGACGCCAUUUGGAAGGGUGUUUCGCAGCUGCGAAACCACUUUUUGGCACACGAGUGCCAUUUGCAGCACAGUUCCCCUCAUUUCGAAGCUGUGAUACAGCUGCGAAAUCAUCUUUGAGCUGCGAAACCUCUUUUUGGCACAUGAGAACCAUUUUGCAGCCCCGUACACUCAUUUUAGAGCUGGGAAAUCACUUUUGAGCAUCGAAAUGGCUGCGAAAUGAUCUCCAAGCUUUGAAAUGGUUGCGAAAUCACCUCCAAGCUCAGAAAUGGCCUGCAAAUUGCGAAAUUGACUUGUGAAAUGGAGGGAGGUUUGCAAAAACACCUUGCAAAGCCAAGGGAAGUUGCUAAAAUGCCAAUAGAGCCCUGCAACCAUGCAUAUGAAGAGGAGAGCCCCGAGCACCCUGGGAUCACACACACCAAGCCUCUCACUCCAUUUUUGACCUCCUUAAACCAUCAAAUCCCAUAGCUACCAACUGAGAGCUCCAGUUGGGGAGACUAUGCCACCUAAGGAGACUACCAGAACAGAGGCCAAAGUCCUGAUCCAACCCACUCAAGAGGCCACCAUAGAUACAUCAGCUCCACAGGACCUUACCACUACUUGAUCAUCUCUUUAUUUUUGUCUUUACAUAUUAUAUUAGUAUAGAUAAUUCCAUGUUUUGAUGUCUUAUAUUCUGAGAUUGGAUGUAUUACUGAUGAUACAUCAUAUAUAGACAUCAUUUUUGUUUAAACUUGGCAUUUUUCUAUUUCCUCUACUCACUAACUCUUAUGUUUUCUUUGAAACAUGUGGUUUCUCCUAUACGACUCAGACUCCAUGUCACUAAGGAGGUACCACUUCCUCCCUAUUUUUCAAUCGCUUUUGUCACAUUGAGGACAAUGUUCAGCUUGGUUGGGGGGAGAGUUGAGGAAGUAAGUAUUGUUAAUAAUGCUAAGUUAUUUUGGUAAUUUAGUUGUUUUUUGCUUAAUUUUUAAAAUUUUUGCUUUAAACUCCAUGGAUAUUAAGGAUUAACUCUCAAAAUUAAAUGAGAGAAGUCGAGUUUCAACUUGAUUACAUGAGUCUUAGAGUUUGUAUUAUGCUCUUCUAAAAGUUGAUGAAUUGUUGAAACUCUCAUUGCAUGCAAACUUAUCUCUUCCACCUUAAGCUAUUCGCACACACAUACAUUAGAUUCCGGUUAUAAGAUGUGAAACUUUCUCACCCUCUAAGCUUGAGAAAUCAUAAUUUGACACCUUUAACCUCUCUUUAAUAGUGUUGGGACACCUCAUAAAGACCAAUGAGUCUUUGUAAAAAAAAAAAAAAAAAAAAAAGAAAAAGAAAAAAAAAAUAGAAUAAACUUCUUUACUUGCCUUGAAACCUGAGCAUGGUCCGAAGGGGUGGCGAAAGCCUUUAAAGCCUGGUGCCCUAAGCCUUUAUUGGUUGGGAGUCACCGAUCCUCUGCUUGUUACAUAGGUGAAUUGGUUAAGUUUAGUAAGUGAAAAGAAUUGUGAAUAAGAGGUGCGUUCCUAGCCUAUCAAGAGAUGGUUAAUUUUGCUAAGCUUAAAGAAAGCCUUAGGUUGGGGGGAGAUGAUAGUUAUCCAUACUAUACUCGGAAGCUAAUCACAUUAACACUUAGCUUUUAGUGGAAGAAUUUGAUUUGGAUCUUUUGAGAGUGGAAAUUCUUUUGAUGCUUAAACUUGCAUAAUAUCCAUUCUUUGUACUCUAUGAUCAAGUGAAUGCUUUGACAACUCUUAUUAUAGGUUGAGUUUCACAUCUUUAUUGAUCCAUGGAUGUCCAUCAUGCCACUCAUAUAAUUUUUUGGAGUGAUUUGCAUGAUCCCUUUUAUGUAUAUUAUUAUAGUUUACUUAGUUUUUAUCUCCUUCAUUGCUAAGGGACUAGCAAUAUGUCGGUUGGGGGGAGUGAUUACUACUCAAAAAGUGCUAUUUUGUAGCUUGUAAUUAAUCCUUUUAAACACUUUUAAGUAGUAGUUAUUGCCUUUCAACUCAAUUAAAAUGUUAAGGACCCUUGCAAUCAUUUCUAAUCAAAUUGUGUAAGUUUUGGUGUUUUUGUUAGUAAUUUGAUCACCAAAACAAUCCAAGAAUGAGGGAGAAUUGUAUAUAGUUCAUGGAAAAGCUUUUGGAAGCUCAAAUUCAUGAAGAAACCAAGCUUUGGAGCCCCAUAUCCCUUUCCCAAAGUCGUUCAAAGUAUGCAAGGAAAGAGCACUGGAGAGAGGAAAAACAGAGUGAAGAAAACAGAGGAAAGCCAGUUGCAGUCUUCUUUUGCACUUUUGGAGCACUUCCCGAAGUCAAUUUUCUACAUUCUAUAUACCAUUUCAAAGCUCGGGAAGUCAAGAAUCCAAUGCUUCAAACGGUGCGCGAUUCGGAGUUGAAACGAAGGAGUUACAGCCAUUGCAAGCAGAUCACUCCAAAGUGUUGCGAAAUCAGCCUUUUGUUGCGAGAAUUUCGCAGCCUUUUUGUAUAGUGCUAUGGAAUUCCUCCUGAAGCUACCCGAUACAUGCCGCAAGCUGGAACGCUGAGAACCUCAAGGUGGAAGCCAAUUUCACAGCCCUGUGAGUUUAACUUGUUGUUGCGAAAAUAUUUUGCAGCCCUCUUGAGUGUCUGCGAAAUCUCGCAGACACCAUUUUCACCUGCGAAAUGUGCCUGAAGCUUCCCGAUAUUUUUGCACCGACUCUUUUAGAUCUUUUCUUCAGAUAUUUUUGUAUAAUUUCCAUUUUCUCCUUGUAUUCAACCACUCAUGUAAUUCCUUAGCUAGGAAGUAUCCAAUGAAGGGUAAAUUACCUUCCUAUAUAAACUCUCUUGUAAACACUCUUAGGGGACGCUGGGGGAGAUCAUGUAAUCCAAUAUAUAGAAUCAACGAACAGAGCACUUGCUCUAUUUUUGAUAUAUAUUCUUGUCUUCUCUUUCAUUUUCAUUUUCUAGCCAACCAAACUCUGAGGAUUUUUCCACAGAGGAUGAGAGGCUAAGCUUUUUGUCUCUUGGAGUGAGGAAAGCCAGGUAAGUUUCCACAUGCAUAAUUUGGAAGUUUUGUUGUUUUAGUUUUUAAUGAAGAGAAAGUGUAACCCGUUAGUGAUUUCUAUGUUAUUAGUUAACUUAAAACACCUUAGAGUCACCUGGGUCAACACUUGGUAAGGCAAGUGAUUUCCAACCAUAGAGAUGCACUAGUUUACCCCUUGCGAGCCUCUGGGAGGUGACUUGUAGGUAGGAUUUUAUGGAAUUGCCAACACUUGGUAAGCUUUUGGACUCCAAGGAGACAUCCAUUAGUUAUCUCUUGCGAGCUUUUGAAGGGAAGUCCAAGGUUAAAGAUCACCUUGAAUGGCAAGUGCUAGGUGAGAGGUAUGAGCCAUUGCAAGGUGCAUCAGUGAGAGGGAUUUAAUGUUUGAACGCAUUAAUGGGAAGCAUCUGUACAACACCGGUUAGAGAAUUAACUAUAUGUUAAUUCUCUAAUGCGAGGAAAAUAAACAAGUGACCGGAACUCCCUUUUUGCAUGAGGAAUCUGAGCCUAGUGAUCUGAAACUCCAAGAAACAUCUUUUCUUUGUAAGUAAAAUCAGUUACUAUUUUUGGUUAGUUUAAAACCGAACCUUGUUCAUUCAAACAUCUUUGUGUUUUCUUUUAAAGCUAACCUUGAAAUGAAAAGGCACCAAUUCAUCUUUGAAUUAAUAUCAUUUGUGAAAUGAAAACCCAUCCCAGUGAACGAUCCUAGAGCCACUAUGCUAUAGUAGCUUUGUCUUUGCUACCCUAGUAUAUGGUGUAAUAGGUUAUAAAUUUUGUUGAUUAAUCCCUCAAUCAAGGAGCACCAGCUGCACACGAAUCAGCUGAGACACCAAUUGGGCACGAAUCAAAUGGCGCCGUUGUCGGGGAUCGAACCUCGAAUCAAAUGGUGCCAUUGCCACUGCCACUGCUAGGGACGAAUCACGUCUGGUGGCUGGGGAGUUUGCUUCACCUAUGCUACAUGGUUUGCAUUAGCAGGGUUAGCUGUUGUUGGGAAAACAUACUCAAACAGCAAAACCGUUCGUAAAGGUGUCGAUUUUUUGCUUUCAAAGCAGAAGGUAAAUGGUGAUUGGGGAGAGAGCUAUCUUUCAUGCCCAAACAUGGUAAUUCUCAUUCUAACUCAGUGCCAUCGCUUGGAAAAUAUGAGCUGGAUAUUUUACUCGUCAGUUUAAUCAUCAUUGUACAGGUGUAUAUACACCUAGAGAGGGGGAUCACAUAAAUUUGGUACAAACCGCAUGGUGUUUGAUGGGUCUAAUUGAAGCCGGAUAGGUUACUCUCGAAUUUGAUUCAUUUAAUGGUUACUUCUCAUAGGUGCUUAUGAAAGUGAAAAUAUUUUGACAGAAACUCCAAAUUUCCCUAAAUAAUUUACAGGAAGUAAAAUUUUUCAUUCUUUCUUCUAAACUAGGUUGAGAGAGAUCCAACCCCUCUACACAAUGCAGCUAAGCUACUGAUUAAUUCACAGUUAGACAAUGGGGAUUUCCCUCAAGAGGUAAUUCUGACUAUGAUCUUGGUUGGUUAUAAAUUAUUAACCGAUCAAAAUUGUUUUCGCAGGCAUUAUUUCCUUCUUUGUUUUUGGAUGCCUCUUAACCUUGAGAUAAUGAUCACAGGAAAUCAUUGGAGUCUUCAUGAAUAACUGUAUGCUACACUAUGCGAGCUAUAGAAACAUCUUCCUGACAUGGGCUCUUGGAAUGUACUGUAAACGUGUUCUGAAGCCUUCCCAGAAGCUCUAAGCACUAAGCUCAAGUAGAAAGGUUUCCUCUAUAUGCUUUCUUCUUCUUUGCAAAAUAAGGUGUUUCGUCAUAUGUGAAUCUACUCAUCUUAAAUGUAUAAGUCAAUACAAGCUCAAUAGUAACAUAAAAAUGCAAGUCUUCAACAUCUUCUGUCAUUUGACAACUUUCAUCCUCAUGUAGAGUCGAAGUUAUUAUUGAAGACACUUCUUUUGAGAACAAGAUGCAAGCUACACUUCAACUGUAGCACCCAAGUUAAUUUUUUGGGGUAAAGUAGUAAAUUUGAAAGAAAUAAAAUAAAAUAAAAUAAAAGAGUUAAAUAAAUUAAUUUAUCAAGGGUAGAAAAGUUUUUUUGCUCUUAAAAGCUAACCCUGAGUAUAAAUUAAAUUUUUCUUAUCUUCUCUAUUAGAAAACCCUUUUACAUGUAGAUUUUUUAGAGCACAGUAUUGAAAAUUUAUGAAUAUAGGUUGUGUUAUUGAUGGAAUUCGGGCAAUUUUGAAUAUCCUAAUGAAUAAAAAGAAUAGAGAAAGAAAAAUAAAUCAUACACUGAGAUUUUUUUUGAAAAAGAAAAUAUAGGGAUUAUAGAGAGAAAGAAAUAAAAAUAAAAGUUGCAUGAUUACUAAUAGUUUUAUAUAUAUAUAUAUAUAUAUAUAUAUAUAUAUAUAUGAGGAGUAAAUUCUUUGAGGUAAGGAAAAUUAAUGCAGAUAUAAUAAAAAAUAAUAAUUUUCUUUUUAUAUGUUAUUUUGAAAUAUGUAAAAUGUUACAUUUGUUUCUAUGCAUGUAUCAAAUAUAUAUUUUGCAUGAAACAUAUAUAUUAGAACUUUUUCUUUUAUUUAUGUCAGAAAAAUGUGGAGAUAUAUUUUGAAUAAAUGAAACAAAAUCUCAACUCUAGUUUGUUUGACCCUACUCGACCUUUUGACUCUUUUCAAUGAGAUACAAUAGUUGAUUUUUAUAUUUCUUGAUAGGGAAUGUAAUUAUUUUAAAUCUCAACCUUUAGCGGUGUGGUUAGAAGUUACUAGUACUAGUAAUGGCUGAUUUCAUCCAUUUUAAAAGGAAUAAUUUGAGGCUAACCAUCCAUUUAUAAACGCCUACUUAAUUGGAUACCAUUUGUUAUUUGAUAACUAAAACACAAAUAUUUUGAAAUGCUUUUGAUUUGAAUUUGAUAUGCAAUUGUUUUGAUACAAAUAUGAAAAUGUUUGAUAGAAAAGUUUUGAAUGUUUUAACAUGUUUGAACUCAAAAGUUUUUAUAAAAAAAAAUACACAUUAUAUAUUUUAUUUGUAAUUAUAAUUGAAAAUGUUUAAUCCAUUUUCUUAUUGGGCUUUGAGUUUAUUUCCUUCUGUGAACCAUUUUUAAGUACCCUCAGUUUGGGUGAGGAAUGAUAAUUAGGAUGAGAAUUUGACAUUAUUAGAAUAUUUGUUUAAACUUUUUUUUUUUAACAUUGUUAAAUGUUAGAAUUUACUUACGGUUAAUUAUUGUUCAUGUUUGAAGUUGCUUGAACAAAAAUAUUUUGGUUGAUAUAUUAGUUUUAAAGCCGAGAUUUGAAGAUUUUAGAAUUUUAGUUAUACUAUUUUGAAUAAGAAUUUGAUAAUUGGCAACUUCUAAUCAUAAAAUAAAUAUUUGAAUAAAUUUACACUUUGAGCGUUGAAACUUUGAGCAUUGAAGCUUCAAGUGUGAAAUGAUCGUGAUUGCCUUGGAGUGGGGCUUGGGGCAUGACAUCAACCUUGGCCUAAACCAACUGAUUUGGGACUUGGACCAAGUUCAAGUUCAACUACAGGCCUUUCAAGCUUUCUCUAACAAGCCCUGUAGCAUAAACGGCGUACUUGAAAAUAGUACACCACUGAAGUUACUGACGCCAAUCCUUUUGCCAGUUUGGCAACCAAAUGGGAUGGCAGAAUCAUUUCUAUUUUGUCUUGAACUCGACAUCAAUGGAAUGUUGAGUAUCAUAGGUACCAAGUGCAUUCACUGUUUGCAAUUCCAAUCAAUGGAACAACUAGAAUAUCUUACCAAAAGACAAAAGGUAGUGGAGGCACCACAAGAACAAAACCAAUGCUGAGAAUUUAGCAUCGUAGGCUUGCUCAGAAUAUCACUAACUCUGCUCACAUUUCCAUGGACUUGCUCCUCCUCGCCAUUUCAGCAUCUGGACAAAGGCUAUGCAUUAAUACCCCACUCAUUCACAGAAUUCUACUAAACUCUUUUCGCUGCAUCUCUUGAUGAGUUUCUUCUCUAAUAGGUGGUAGACUACAGAGUACAGAGUAGAGAGAAUCCCCAACAGCAUUGGAAAAAAGUAGUAAAUUCAAUUAAUACAAUAUGCAAUUCAAAACUAGGAUGAUUUGCAAAGAAAGACCUGAAGUGGGCAAUACCCGUGUUCUAAUGAACACGGAUAUUGAAUCAUAUACAUAUGAGCGCAAACUGAACGCUCAUGAAUUUAAGUCGUGCUCUUUGGAGCAUGGUCUAAUCGUGUUCACUAUGACACGAAACGGAAGUUAUAUCCUAACCAAUAUGAAUAAAGCCGUGUUCCAAUGAAUAUGACCUAUGAUUCGUAUUAUCGAGAACACAAAUCAUAGUCCGUGUCCAUAAGAACACAAACCAAAAUCCGUGUUCACAAGAACACAGGUAAAAAAUUAUCUCUACAUGAAUUCAGUUACUAGGAUUCAGAUAAUGUUUUCUGUUGUAAACUAUUUUGUUCUACACUACUGAGAAGAUGACACAUGUAUUCACUAAAAGUAUAAAAACUGAGGAAAAUUCUAAAAGAUGUUAAACAAAAAAUCAGUGCAACUACAAUACCCAUUCCAUGUUAUGUUUUACUUACAAAUUGUUCAGGAAGAAGUCUUAUCUAAAGUUCACCUUCCCACAUGAAGCAUCCAAAGUUUUAUUUACCAUCUUCACAUUUACAGUUAGAAUAGUCAAGGAAGGAUCCUCAAUUUUAUUUCACUACAGCAAGUAAAAAUCAUAUAACCAUUGAAACUCAGCAUCGUUGGACAAAGGUAAAACUCCAACAACCGUCCAAGGUACAUUGAACUAAAGAGGGUCAUGAUUUCGUCCAGGCCUAACGUGCAUUGAACUAAUCCUACCAUUAACGUGACCUUAACCAAUUCAACCCCGUUUCUUUUGAAUAAUAUUGGGUUGGAUUGAACUUACUUUUAUACCAAAGCCUAAAUAGCAUAUAAAACAACAAUAAAAAAAAUAUUUUUAUUAUUAUAAAAUGAAAUAAUACAUAAUAUAACUAUAAUUUGAUUCAAGAAAACAAACAAAAUAAAUAUUAUUCUAUAAAAUAACAUAAAUUUUAAAUCAAAUUUAGAUUACACUUACAUUAAACUACAUUAAAACCUAAUUAUAGCAUUAACAUGAUUAUCCAAAUAUAUAUAUAGAUUAAUUUCACUCAUCUUCUGAGGUUUAGACUAAAUACAAUUAGCUUCUAUUAAUAAAAUUCGUCAAAUACCUCCCUUAUUUUGAAUUAAAAGGGAGGUGUAAAAAUUUUAAAUGCAAAUGAUGGGGGAGAUAUUUGAUGAAAUUUUAAACUGAUAUAGACUGGAUGUAUUUAGUCAAAACCUUAGAAGGGUUCUUAAUUUUUGUAAAGAUGAUAGGUAAGAAGGUGCAUUGGUUUCAUUAUAAUAAUUUAAAACAUGGAAUUUGGAAAGACAUAGGUAUAGGGAUUGAGUGUGUAGAAUGAAGCAAAUUGGUUAGGGUGGAGUGACUCAUAAUUGAAUUGGCUAUGAAUCUGAAGUUGAAAACAACCUAGCUCAACUUUCCUCAACUUUCCUCCUCAAGUACCAUGUGAUGCUUAUUUCAAAAGGAUGAAAGUCAAUUUUGACACUCAAAAUUCCAAGUCACCCAUUCCAUAGCAUGCUCACCCCUCAAUUUGAGCUCUUCAUCCAUAUUAUAAAAUUUGAGUCAUUCAACAAAGUUUAAGUAUUUGAAAAAAUCCAAAAUUCUAAGUACAACAAUUGAUAUCAUUGCAAAGAACAAAAGACCAUAUGACAAUAUCUGAUUAACAUUCUUUUAUGUAGUACUAAAAAGUAGUACUUUGUGGUAUGAUAGAAAAUGUCACCUAAAAUAAUUAUGCUUAAGGUAGCUACUUUAUUCAAAUCUUUAAGUUCCAGACAAAUAGUUUUUCAUUCAACUUUGCAAAAAGUCAUAGAAAAUGACUUCUUUUUUUUUUUUUUUCAGAACAAAAAGUCAUAUUUAGCUAUGAUAUUAUAUUGUACUAAUAGUCUUCCAUUAUAUUUGCAUGAAUUUUUUUAUUGUUUCUUUAAUUUAAACUCACUUAAAAGACUUUGAAACUGAAUAAAAGUAAAUAAAUGUUUUUUUAAUUAUGUUUUCCAUUUUUAAUUUUGUUUUUUAUUUAUAAUUUUUUUUAUUUUGUAAUUCUAUAAUAAGAAGUAAAAAAAAUAAUUUUAUAACAAUUUUUUAACCAUUUAUAUUAUUUUAUAGACAACACGUUAUUAUUAUUGAUUUGACAAAAAAAACAUAUAAAUAGGUGUUAAUUUUCUAUUUUUAAAUAUGUUUAAAAAUUAAAAAUAAAAACCUUUUAGUUUACGUUUGGUUGGCGGGAUAAGAUAGGAUAAGAUAUAUAUCUUACAAAUAUGAUAUUUUAAGGUAGCAUAUAUAUCCAAUGAGAUAAAUCAUGUUAUAUUAUAUUUAUAUUUAAUUUUUGAAAUGAGUAAAAAAAAAAUGAAAUAUAUAUUAUUUUAAAUGUUUAAAAUGAAAAUUAUAUCACAUUCCAAUUUUUUUUAUUUAAAAAUUGAAAUUUCUCUUAUAUUUAACAAUAUUCAUGAUUAAUAAUUUAUAUAUUAAUAUUACUUUAUAAUUUUUUUUAGUUUUUCUUUUUAACUAUAAAUUUAAUUUAUAAUAAAAAAAAGUUAUUUUGCAAAAUGAGUAUAAAAAAUUUAAAAUUGAUAAAAAAAAAAUUAUGAUACAUCGGAUAUGCAUAGUUUAUAUCAUAACAUGAGAUUAACAUAUUUAAUGUAAAAGAGAUAAAAAAAAAAAAUAAUAAAUGGUGGAUAAUGUAUCUCACUACUUAUCCUAUAUCAUAUUUGGUUGAACAUAAGAUAUGAUAAGUGAUAGAUAAUUUAUCUUAUCCCAUUACCAACCAAACAUGGAAUAUGAUAUAAUAUCACAUCUCUUAUACUAUCUCAUACUAUGUUCGGCCAAUAAAACAUGACCUUAAUAUCUUUGUGCACAAAAGCCUUGUAAAAGCUAAAGAUCUCACGUAGAGGAAAUAAAAUAAAAAAAUGUUCAAGUUUAAUGGCUAAAAGAAUUGGUUGGCUAUCAAUGUCUUACUCACCUUUGUGAAAACCCCCAUUUUAAUGACUCCAUUUUCUAUAUGGUAAUUGAUACUUUUGAGGAAAAAAAAAAGGAAAAGAAUUGAUGUUUCUUACUCGAAUUUCAUAAACCUUGUAAAAGUUAGAAGAUCCCACAUGGAGAAAAUAAAAUGAAAAGAUGUUCAAAUUUAAUGGCUAAAAGAGUUGGUUGGCUAUCAAUGUCUUACUCACCUUUGUGAAAAUCCCCAUUUUGAUGAAUCUAUUUUCUAAAUGGUGAUUGGUAUUUUUGAGGGAAAAAAAUGAAAAGAAUUAAUGUUUUUUUACUCAAAUUGUAGAUGUCCUAAUGUUGUCCGGCAACCCAUGAGCCCAUGUGUUAGGCUAUUUUAUAUUUGGGUAUUCCCUAAGCCCAAAUAUAGAUAUAUAAAUAGCAUUAAGGCUUUGGUAUUAUGAAAGAAGGGAGAUUUGAUUGAGAAAAAGAAAGAAAAUUAAGGUUGUUUUUUGGGCACUAUUAUGGGGCUUAAGGUGAAGUUACAGGUUCUUUCAUAAACCUUUUAGGGAAGUCCCUAUGGUAUGUUUUCUCUCUGAUUUUUUUCUGUUCAUGUUUCCUAGGGUGAUGGAUUCCUGCCUCAAGAAUUGAGAUAUUUAUAUAAGUUUUCAAGGUGAAAAAACAAGUUAUUGAUUAUCAUUCUUGAUUCUUGUUAGGUUGUUAUUAUUGUUGAGGGUGGUUGUUAUUGUUGAGUGGUGGUUAUUAUUGUGGAGGAAUCUUUUAACCUUGAUAGGUGAAUAUUCUAAAUCUCUCUCUUUGUCUUCCCAACAAGUGGUAUUAGAGCCUAGUUGUGGGAACCCUUAUUCUUAAAAGGAACAGAGAUAGAAGAAAACUCAACCUCCAUAAUAAAACUUAACAAUUCAAAUUGGGCUAUGUGGAAGUUCAUGAUGCAAUAUUUUCUCACCAUCAAAUAUUUGUUAGAUACUCUUGAGGGUGAAUAAGCCAGACCCAAAGAAAUUUUUGAUUUGGAAUACAAUAAGAUGAACAAAAAGGCAAUUGCCUAUAUUAGGCAAUAGCUUGACACAUCCUCACAUCACCAUAUGGCAAAUGAAACAAAUGCCCAUUAUCUUUGGAAGAAAUUGGAAUAAGUGUUUGAACAAAAAAUUGUUGGGAAUAAAAUUUUCUUGUUAACAAAGUUAGUGAACAUGAAGUUAAAGGAAUAAACACUAAUGAAAAAUCACUUGAAUGCUUUUCAGAGUAUUGUUAAUUAGUUGGCUGCUAUGAAAAUGGUUAUAGAUGAUGAGAUGCAAACAUCUUUGUUGUUGUGUUCACUGUUAGACAGUUGGGAAACUUUUGUUGUGACCAUUAGCAACUUUGUUCCGAAUGGUGCAUUGUGUAUGGAGCUUAUGAGGGAAAAUUUGUUCAAUGAAGAGACAAAGAGGAAGGCUUAUGAACAAAAAAUGCACAACCUCUCAUCAUAAAAAGUAGAGGAAGAAACAGGAAUGGAGGAUAGAAAGGUCAUGACAAGUUUGAGAGAAGGUACUAGUCUAGAGAUAAAAUCAAAUGUUUUCAUUAUGGAAAAGAGGGGCAUAUGAAAAGGAAUUGUUGAAUUUGGAAAGUGGAACAAAAUAAGCAAAAUCGGGAAAAAAAAAAUGACAAGAAUAUUAUAGCCUUUGCAACCAACAAUGAUGAAGUUUUAAUGCUCUCAAAUAAGUGCUUGCAUGUAGAUGAGCAAUGAGUUAAGUGGAUUGUAGACACUACAACCUCUUACCAUGCUACUCUUCACUUGUAGUUGUUUUCUAAUUAUAGAGUUGGAGACUUUAGCACAAUUAAAAUGAGAAACUCUAGUUACUCCAAGAUUGUAGGGAUGAGUGAUGUUUGCUUUAAAACCAACAUGAGGUGAAAGAUGACAUUGAAAGAUGUAAGACAUGUUCCAGAUUUAUGCCUUAAUUUGAUGUCAGGUCUUAUCUUGGACAAACAAGGUUAUGAAAACCACUUUGGCAAAGGCAAAUGGAAGCUCACUAAGAGCUCAUUGGUUGUUUCAAAAAGAAAAGCAUGCUACACUUUGUAUAAGACUUAAAGGAAAGUUUGUAAUGAUGAGUUAUAUGCUAUAGAGGGUACUUCCUUAGAGUUGUGGCAUAAAAGGUUGGGACAUAUGAGUGAGAAAGGAUUGCAACUUUUGGCAAGGAAGUUCUUAAUUCCCUUAGCUAAAAAUGAAUCUUUAUCUUCUUAUGAUCAUUUUUUGGUUAGAAAACAACAUAGGGUUUUCUUUAGUAGUGAUCUAAGAAAAAGUUAAAAAAAGUUAGAGUUGGUACACUUUGAUGUUUAUGGCCCUAAGGAUGUGGAAACUCUUGGAGGCAACAAGUACUUUGUCAUUUUUAUUGAUGAUGCUACCAAGAAGGUAUGGAUUUAUUUGGUCAGAUCAAAUGAUCAAGUCUUUCAGUAUUUUAUACAAUUUCAUGCCAUGGUUAGGAGAGAGACUAGAAGAAAAUUGAAGUGUCUCAGGUCUGAUAAUGAAAGUGAGUACACCUCAAGGGAGUUUGAAACUUAUUGCACUAAGAAUGGUAUAAAACAUGAGAAAACAAUUCCUGGCACUCCACAACAUAAUGGUGUGGCUAAAAGGAUGGAUCGCACCAUCAUUGAGAGGGUUAGGUGUAUACCAAAGAUUGCAAAGUUGUCUAAGGCAUUUUGGGGUGAAGCUACUCAAACUGCUUACUAUUUGAUAAACAGAUCUCCAUUAAGUCCAUUGAACUUUGAGGUUUUAGAGAAGACAUGGCUAGGAAAAAAAUGUUUCCUAUUCCCACUUGAGAGUCUUUAGGUGAAAAACUUUUGUGCAUGUUUCCAAAGAACAGAGAUCCAAACUUGAUGAUAAGACAGUUCUACAUCUCUUUGUUGUGUAUGGUGAUGAAGUGUUUGGAUUCAAAUUGUGGGAUCCAACCAAGAAAAAAUUGGUGAGAAGUAAAGAUGUGGUCUUCCAAGAGGAUCAAACCUUGGGAGAUUUUGACAAAACUAAUCAAUCUAAAGGUACAAGUGAUGACUUCAUUCAAUUGGUACCUAUUCCUCUAUCAUUAAAUCAACCUAGAAAUGAAGAUGAGGAAAUUAAUGAGAUACCAAGAGAUGAUAGUGCUAGUGACAUACCUGUAUAGGAGCUAAUUUAGCAUGAUGAGCAGUCACUUCAUCAGGAUGAUUUGGUAACCCAGGCUAGGAAGUCUACUAGAGAGCAUCGUCCCUCUACUAGAUAUCCCUCUUCUGAGUACAUGUUAGUAAUUGAUGAGGGAGAGCCACAGAGUUUUCAAGAAGCUAUGCACGAUGAAAGGGAUUCCUUGUAGAAAAAUGGAAACUAUAAGUUGGUACAACUUCCUAAAGGAAGAAAAUCAUUGGAAAACAAAUGGGUGUUCAAGUGGUUGAGGGAUGUGGUUGAAGAAAAUGUGGCUAAGUUGAAGAAGAUUCACAUAAAGAAGAAUGCCUCAAACAUGUUGACAAAGGUUAAUCCUAAGCAAAAGCUUCAGUUAUGCAUUGGGAUAGUAGGUUUGAACUCCAUGUGAUGAAGUUAUAGAUUGAUAUUCCUCUCUCAUGUCCUGGAGGGGGAAAUUGUUGGGUUAAGUUUGUUCAACCCAUGAGCCCAUGUGUUAGGCUAUUUUAUAUUUGGAUAUUCCCUAAACUCAAAUAUAUAUAUAUAUAACAUUAGGUCUUUGGUAUAAUGAGAGAAGAGAGAUUUGAUUGUGAAAAGGAAAGGAAAUUAGGGUUGUUUUCUGGGCAUUGUUUUGGGGCUUAAGGUGAAGUUACAGGUUCUUUCAUCAACCUUUUGAGGAAGUCCCCAUGGUAUGUUUUCUCCCUAAUUUCUUUUUGUUUAUGUUUCCUAGGAUCAAUGAUGGAUUCUCGCCUUAAGCAUUGAGAUAUUUAUAUAAGUUUUCAAGGUGAAGAAAUCUAAGGACUUAAUUAUUAUAUCCCCAUUUAUUGAAGUGGAAGAAAUUUUUUCCAUAGUUUUUUUAUCUCCAUUUGGAGGGUUUUUCCAUGUUAUAUUUGGUGUCCUUUUUGGUUGAAUAUUCUUAAUUAUCAUUCUUGAUUCUUGUUGGGUUGUUAUUAUUGUUAAGGGUGGUUAUUAUUAUUGAGUGGUGGUUAGUAUUAUGGAUGAAUCUUUUAACCUUGACAAGUGAAUACUCUAGAUCUCUCCCUUUAUCUUCCCAAUAGUAGAAGCCGUGUAAAAGUUGAAGAUGCCACGAAGAGAAAAUAAAAUGAAAAGAUGUUCAAAUUUAAUGACUACAAGAGUUGGUUAGCUAUUAAUGUCUUACUCACAUUUGUGAAAACCCCCAUUCUGAUGACUCCAUUUUCUAUAUGGUAAUUGAUAUUUUUUAGGGAAAAAAAAAGAAGAAAAAGAAUUGAUGUUUCUUACUCAAAUUGCAGAAGCCUUGUAAGAGUUGAAGAUUCCACGUAGAGAAAGUAAAAUGAAAAGAUGUUAAAGUUUAAUGACUAGAAGAGUUGGUUGGCUACUAAUGUCUUACUCACAUUUGUGAAAACCCCCAUUCUAAUGACGCCAUUUCUAGAUGACAAUUGAUAUUUUUGAGGGGGAAAAAAAAAAAGGAAAGGAAUUGAUGUUUCUUACUCAAAUUGCAGAAGCCUUGUAAGAGUUGAAGAUUCCACGUAGAGAAAGUAAAAUGAAAAGAUGUUAAAGUUUAAUGACUAGAAAAGUUGGUUGGCUACUAAUGUCAUACUCACAUUUGUGAAAACCCCCAUUCGGAUGACUCCAUUUCUAGAUGACAAUUGAUAUUUUUGAGGGGGAAAAAAAGAGAGGAAAGGAAUUGAUAUUUCUUACUCAAAUUGCAAAAGCCUUGUAAAAGUUGAAGAUCCCACAUAGAGAAAAUAAAAUGAAAAUAUGUUAAAGUUUAAUGGCUAAAAGAGUUGGUUAGCUUUAAUGUCUUACCUUUGUGAAAACCCCUAUUUUGAUGACUUCAUUUUCUAGAUGGUGAUUGAUAUUUUUGAGGGGAAAAAAAAAAAGAAAAAAAUUGAUGUUUCUUACUUAAAUUGUAGAAGCCUUGUAAAAGUUGAAGAUCAAGUUUAAUCGCUAAAAGAGUUGGUUGGCUAUCAAUAUCUUACUCACGUUCGUGAAAACCCCCAUUCCGAUGACUCCAUUUUCUAGAUGGUAAUUGAUCUUUUUGAGGAAAAAGAAAAAAGAAGAAUUGAUGUUGCUUACUCAAAUUGUAGAAGACUUGUAAAAGCUGAAAAUCUCACCUAGAGAAAAAAAAAAUGAAAAGUUGUUUAAGUUUAAUGGCUAAAAGAGUUGGUUGGCUAUCAAUGUCAAUGUCAUAACCCUCAUUAUGAUUAUUUCAUUUUCUAGAUUGUAACUGAUAUUUUUGAGGAAAAAAAGGAAAAAAUUGAUGUUUCUUACUUCAAUUGUAGAAUAUCCCACAUAGAGAAAAUAAAAUGAAAAAAUGUUCAAGUUUAAUGGCUAAAAGAGUUGGUUAGCUAUCAAUGUCUUACUCACCUUUGUGAAAACCCCCAUUAUGAGGACUUCAUUUUCUAGAUAAUGAUUGAUAUUUUUGAGGAAAAAAAAAAAGAAGGAAAACAAUUGAUGUUUCUUACUCAAAUUGCAUAAGUCUUAUAAAAGUUGAAGAUCCCACCUAUAAAAUAAAAUAAAAUGAAAAGAUGAUCAAGUUUAAUAGCUAAAAGAGUUGGUUCGUUAUCAAUGUUGUACUUACCUUAAUGAAAACCCCCAUUUUGAUGACUCAUUUGGUAAACCCUAGAUUUAUGUGUUUUGUAAACUUCCAUCACAUGUUAACAUUAAAUAUGGUUGUAACAAUCAACUUUCAUCAAUUAAUUUGUUUUACAGCAAAAAGUGACAUGUGAUCGCAAAUUUGUUUUGCCAUUAAAUGUCACAAAUUAUGUUGUGGCAAAAUUUUAUUUUUGUUUUUUAUGAUUAAAAAUAAUUGCUCAUGAGUCAUGAGCUUUUAUGAUUUUUUUUUACCAUAAAAUACCAUAUUUUAUUUAUUGUAAAAACUCGUGUUUAUUGGAGUGAUAAUAAAUAUAAUUGUUAUUUAUAUUAUAAUUAAAUAAAAUAUAAGUUUAAUGUUUUUAAAGUUUUUGUUUUCAAUUAUCAAGAGGGAACAUUGUUAUCUCUCAUGAUUGUUGUGACUUUUUUUUUCUUUUUUUUGUCACUUAAAAUAAGGUUUCUUAAUAAGUAGUUUUUUUUAUUUAUUAUUUAAUAAUUUAAGUUGAUUUUAAUUGAUAUUUAUUCUUAUUAUUUGUUAAACAUUUAUAAUUAAAAUAUUGUAAAUAGUUAAUAUAAUCAUAAAAUAUUUACUAUAAAAAAUAAGUUAUGGAUGUGGAACUAUAUGGUUGUAAAAUAUAUUAUUAUUAGAUGUAGGCAAAUAAAGUAUCUAUGGCAUUUAAAUUGAGUGGUGGAUAUCCUUCCAAAUUAAUCCCCUACACCAACAGCAUUAAUUACAACCCACCACUGAAAUUGACCCAAAAAUAAAGUCAUACAACCGCCUUUCACUUUCGCAUAUUACAAAAAAGACCGGAAAAAAAAAUGUAUUUGAUGAAUAAAGGCACUAAAUACAAAGUGGCAAUCAAUAAAGGUAUGGAAAUUUUUUCGCUGUUGCAUUAUUCUCAUUAGAAAUUAUAAUUAACUUGGACAAAAUCCACCAACUUUGCACAUAUAGACACUUCACAUUAGGGCUUUAAAAGGUUGAUUGGGCACAAGGGGAACAUCUAUCAGGGCAGCAUCUUUCCAUUCCAUCACCUCUAAUCUCAUCUUGAGCAGACUUUCUAAUGGUAAAAGAGACACUAAGAAGAUAAGUUUUAUCAUUAUUUAGGUGAUAGCCAUGAAAAAAUGUUUCUUGACAAAGAAACUCAUAUCCCAACAAAAAUGUGGUUAUAAUAGGUUUUUUAUUUAAAUAAAAAAUAAAAACAAUUUAGAGUGAUUUGCCAAUAUUAUUUGCUUUGAAUUUGUUUAAGGAAAGUAUCUUGACUUUUAGGGAUUGCCUCAUAAUGAAAAAUUAAGUUAAGAAUACUGAUCAUACAAAAAAUACAAUUGAAAAAGCCCUAGUUGAAUUUCUUGAGGUAGUAACUAAGUCCACUUAGGGAUUAAUGAACUAUAACCAUGUUUGGUUGUUAAAAAGUUUAAAAUAAAAAAAAUAAAAAAGAAAAAGAAAAAGAAAGGAAGGAGAAAAGAAAGAAGAAAAUUAUAAUUGUUUUUUUAUUUUUGUCCAUUAAGAAUUGAGGAGAAAAUAAUCCAAGAGAGUGUUUAUUUUUUAAAACUUAUUAGUAAUAGGCUAUUUGUUUUUUAACUUUUUAUUUAAUUUAUUACUUAUUUUUUAAUAUCUUUAACUAAUCACAAAAGACAAAAUACUUAAAAGGUAACAUUUUUAAAUCCAUUAAAAAAUCUCAACCCUCAAUUCUUGUUAUCAUGAUAAAUCUUUGUCUUUAUCAUUUUCGUCUUCUAUCAACAUCUUUAUAGGCCACCGCAUUUUUCUCUUUUUUCACCACUUUAACUUCAACAACUUUUAAAAUAAUUUUUAUUAUCUUAAAUUUUUUAGAAAUAUAUUAAAUUUUUUUUUUUUUUGAGAUAAGAAUUAAUUAAAAUUUUUUUUAAUACAUUAAGAUGUUGAUUUCUAGCAUAUAAAAAACAAAUAACUUAACACUUAAUAAAAAUAAAAUAUUAAAAAAAAACAACUUAAUGCUUUAUUUAAUUAAGAACUAUUUAAUCUUAAAUUAAAUUAAGUUCUAUUAAAUAUUAAGUUAAAAAUACAAAUACCGCCUACUUAUCAUUUUUAAUAUACUUUAUAUUUUUUAUUUUUAAAAUUUAAAAAUAACAAUAAUUUUUAUAUAAAAUAUAAGAACUCUUUAAUCAUUUUAAAAACUGUUUUUAAAAAAUUAAAAUAUUAAAAAAUUUAGAAUAUUCAAGGAAGGAUCCUCAAUUUUGUUUCACUACAGCAAGUAAAAAUCACAUAACCUGUUUUACAAAGGUAAAACUCCAACAACCUUUUUUUUUUAGGAAUGUUUUUAUUGAAAACAUUCUCACAUGCCCUCCAAGAUCCAUUGAACUAAAGCCUGACAAUGACAUAAUUAAUUUCUCAACUACUCCGAAAACAAAAUUAUAAUGAAAAAAAUAAAAAUGUAAUUGAAUGGUCACCACAAAAUCAAACCUCCAUCUGCCAACCAAUUUGAUAAUGGGGAACUUGUGUUUUGACGGGCCAAUUUGUGAAAUAUAUGGUUUUUGGAACUCAUGUUUAUGAAAUAUGAAAAACAGCUUUUAAUGUGGAAAGUUACAUGUGUUUCAUGUACUUUGAGUCGACUGCCUUUUUUUAUGUCGAGUUUGCCUCUUUGGGUAUCCAGGUCAGCAACAUUCGUAGGCCAUGUCAGCACGGGCUGAAACUAAACUGGUUGAAAACUCCAAAAUAAAAAUUUGAGCUUCCCACAAAAACACCCUAGCCGACGGUUCUUUCUUCUUUUUCUCUCAUUUGAUACACAUUCCUCUCAUCUUUCUUCACUCUAUCACUAAGGCGAUUUGAGAAUCCUGUAUAUUUUUCAACAAUUUCUCUCAUUUCAUUUCAGAAGCCUUUAAUCUCAAACUCCAAUCUAUAGUUUUCUAUCUUCAGCCUCUUCUCAUCUCAAAAUCCUAACCAUUUGAACCCGAUUGUCCCAAUUUUUCUCACCCCUCCGGAUCGAAGACGGUGUAAACUCCAAUCUACAGUUUUCUAUCUUCAGUCCCUUCUCCUCUCAAAGUCCUAACCAUUUGAACCCGAUGGUGACAAUUUCCUCACCCGUCUUGAUCGAAGACGGUGUCAAAAUGUGCAAAUUUUCACACAUUUAAAAAUGUAAACCUUUAAUCGAAAACGUUAAUCUAAAUUUUUGUUGCUUAUGGAAAUUGUAUAGAACCAAAUGGAGCACUUCAUCGAAACAUCGUCUAGUUAAGAAGACAGCUUGAGGAGGGUACAUUUUGAUUGAAAUUCUAUUUUAGGAUAGCGAACCUAAAUGGAAACGACAAUUGUGAUAUAUUGGCUUCAUGAAGAAGAAAUCUCGUAUUCGUCUCAUUGGAUGGCAUUUUGCUCUAACCCCUACAUAAAAUGUGAAGGUAAUUAAUUUGUAUUUAGGGUUGUUUUGUUUUUUAUUUUGUUUUGUUUUGUUUAAAAUGGAGCACAAGAGCGAUUUUCGAGUGGUUGUUGUAUUCCAAAUUUUUUGUGCAUUGGUGAGGCCAUAGUUUGAGGCACAUGUGGAUUUUAGAGCACCUGAUCGGAUGUUCGAUCUCAGUUUUUUUGUGGAUUGGAGACUCAUGAAAUGAAAAAAUAAAAGUGAUAAUUUAUUUUUUAUUAUGAAAAGAAUGUUGUGGAGAUAUAUAGAAAUUGGGUGGAAUACCUGUGUAUUUUUUGAGAUUUUUAUAUUGAUGGUAAUUAUUGAUGACUAUAAUUAGGCAAGAUCAUUUUUUGGCGAAAAACUUGACAAUUCAAUCAUAUUUAUUGAGAAUAAUAACAAUAAUAACAAUAAUAAUAAUAAUAAGAAUUAAAAUGCAUAAAUUAUGUGAUGGUUAGUAGAAAUUGUUGGUAGUGUUUGUGAAUUUGUAAUAUUUGUUGGAUUUUGAGUGUACAUUUUUCGUCAAUGAAGACACAAUUCUUUCAUUGCAUUAUAGAUUAGAGCAUGACAUUAUUAUGUUGUUAUUGGUUACUCAACGUGUAGCUUAUGUAAUCAUCACAAAUUUAAGGUACUACCUUAAUGCACUUCAGGUACUACCUUAAUGACCAUGAGGUACUACCUUAAUGACCUUGAGGUACUACCUUAAUGUACAUCAGGUACUACCUUAAUGCACUUUCGAGAAAUGUUGCUUUUCUAUGACUUAAGCCACAAUUAGUUUAUUGCAUUACAUAUGGCAGCAUGCCAUUGUUAUGUGCUUAUCGAUUACUCCAUCGGUAGCUUAUGUAAUCAUCACAAAUUUAAGGUGCUACCUUAAUGCACUUCAGGUACUGCCUUAAUGACCCUAAGGUACUACCUUAAUGUACCUUAGGUACUACCUUAAUGCACUUUCGAGAAAUGUUGCUCUUCUGUGACUUAAUCCACAAUUAGUUCAUUGCAUUACACAUUACAACAUGGCAUUGUUAUGUUGUUAUUGGUUACUCCAUCAGUAACUUAUGUAAUCAUCACAAAUUUAAGGUACUACCUUAAUGCACUUCAAGUACUACCUUUAUGACCCUGAGGUACUACCUUAAUGUACCUUAGGUACUACCUUAAUGCACCUUUGAGAAAUAUUGCUCUUCUGUGACUUAAUCCACAAUUAGUUCAUUGCAUUACAUAUUACAGCAUGGCAUUGUUAUGUGCUUAUUGGUUACUCCAUCGGUAGCUUAUAAUCAUCUCAAAUUUAAGGUACUACUGUGGACCCGCAUUUUUCACAUGCGUCCCCACUCGAUCGGCGAGAUUCGCUUUUUAUUUGUGAAAAAUUAAUUUUAGAAAAGUUGGAGUCACCACCUAUUUUAUCUUUAUUUUAAAGGGAAAAUAAAACAAGAAAGAAAAACCCUAAAAAGUGACUCCAUAGUUUUGGAAAAAGCAUGUCUUUGAGAAAUCCGAGUCUAGGUCCGGGGAUCAGGUUACUUAUUGGGAAGGUACCUCUAGGAGGUAGCACCCCUCUAAGCCCUAUAAAGGUCUCUACUAACAAAAUUAAGGGAAGUGUGGCCAUUAGUCAGUUAAUUAUGGAUACAUAAGUAGGCUAGGUGAUUUCAAACAUUGCAUGCCUAACAAGAAAACAAACCAUAAGAGAGAGUCGAAGUGCGUACCUGAACAGCUUCUCAAGCGCUAUCAUAAAACAUAAGAGAUUAGUUUGGAAAUAUGACACAUUACAUGUGUUUUAUCUAAGCACAUCAAGCAUGUAUCUGGACACCUAAGAAUCACAUCAUGUAUGGAUCUAAUCACCAAUAGCAUACGUGCUCACAUAAUUCUCGAAAAUAAGUGAGGAAGAGCAUACCUGGGUAGCAAGCUAGUACUCCUUUAUGGGAAACAAAAUUAGCCAAAUAACAUAUCCAAAAUAAUCUCAUAUAUACCACAAAAUGAAGCACAAUCAAUCGAACAAAAAAAUGUUUGAGGAAAUAUCAUGAAUGUCGGGCCCCCCUCCAAAGCCCUAAUUAAUUUUGCAUGAGUUGACUCUAUAAAUCCCAUUAUUUGGAAUCAUGAAUUUUGUUCAUGCUUGAGGAAAAUCAAGAAAAUCAAGAAAAUGGUUGAAAGUCAAAGAAAAUACUGAAAGUGCAUGCCAAGAAGAAAAAUGGCAUCAACGAGUUUGUUAAAAUUUGGAUCUUACUACUUAAGGAAGUAUUGAGGAUGUUUCUUUAAAGUAAGGAUUACUUGGAUAAAAACAAUUUGGAAAAGCACAAUUUAAAACAUGUAGAAGCAUGAUGAAAACGAGAGGUGUAAGAGGAAGAGGAGAGUGUACACCAGGAUGGCCAUUUUCAGAAGGCAGUCUAGGGAUGUGAUUAUGACUUGCAUUGCUGGUGGUCGUAGAUGCUGCUGUUGUUCCCUUUGAAUUCUUCCCUUUUACUCUCUCGCAUAGGAAUGGCAAUUUCGCGGGUCAAUCGGGUAACCCGCCCCGCCCCGCCCCUAUUGGGACGGGUAUGGGAUAAAUUAAUCGGGUAUGGGACGGGUAUGGGAAAGCUUUGUGAAACCCGAAUCGGGUUCGGGGCGGGUAUGGGUUUGUAGUUACCUGCCCCGCCCCGGAAUUAGAAUUACCAAUUUGCCCUUAAAUAUUAUAAAAUACCCAAAAUCUCCUCUGUAUAUAUAAUUUAUCCUUCCUAGAUUUUUAGGGUUUUUCUCUCUCGGAAGAAAGACUUCGUCUUCUCAGUUCGAACGGCCUUGAAAGCAAAAUCUUUGCUCUAAAAACCAGAUUUGCAAUCUCGUAAACAAGUGAUUAUUGGAGUUCUUGUGGAUUCCUUCAUUCCAGGUAAGAAAACCCUAAUUUUUUUAAGCUUUGUUAAAAAUUUGGCUUGUUUUUCAAAUUUUUUUGGUUUUAGUUUAUGGGUUUAGGGUUUUUCUCUCUCGGAAGAAAGGUUUUGUCUUCUCAGUUCGAGUGGCCCUAAAAUCAAAAUCUUUGUUCUAAAAACCAGAUUUUCAAUCUUGUAAACAAGUGAUUAUUGGAGUUCUUGUGGAUUUCUUCCUUCCAGGUAAGAAAACCUUAACUUUUGAAGCUUUGUUAAAAAUUUGGCUUGUUUUUCAAUUUUUUUUUGGUUUUAGUUUAUGAGUUUGAGGUUUUUUCAAUUGUUUAUCAGUAGAUUUGUAAUUUAUAUGCACUCUUGGUUUUCGUUUUAUAUGUAUUUUUCAGUUGAAUCAACUUUCGUCUUUGGCUCUUAUUGUUCAUGUUUCUGACUUUAUUUUUCACCCUGUCCAAAUCAAUUUCAUCCACAUAUAAACUGAUUUUUGGGGUUUAUACAAAUAAGAAUGAUGAUUUAUGGGUUUUUCAUUAUUUUAGGGUUCAAUUUUGGUAUUCACGUUUUUGCAGAAACAAGUUGUUGUAAUUUCAUUAUUUUAGGGUUCAAUUUUGGUAUUCAUGUUUUUGCAUAAACAAGUUGUUAUAAGAGAAUGAUCUAAUUUCAUAGAUGAAAACCCUUUUUUUUUUUUUCUAAACAACUUCUGGAAACAUAUUAUUCAUGCUUCCAGAAACAUACAAAUAGAAUUUUAUUGUGGUUAAAUUGGUUUCAAACUAUUUCAGAAUAUCCUAAGGAUUCAACAAAAUGACAUCAGAAGGGGAGGAAAAUUUUUUCAUGCCAAGUACUGGUUCUAAUCCAGCUACAGGUAGUACUUCAACUACUGAUGGAUCAUUGACAUGUAAAAAAAGAAAGCUGACUUCAAUUGUUUGGAAUGAGUUUGAGAAAGUCAUAAUAGAUGGACAAGAUUAUGCUAUUUGUAAGCAUUGUAAAUCAAAACUCAAGACCGAUAGUAAGAAUAGGACUAAACAUUUGCAUGUACAUUUAGAUAGGUGCAUCAAACGGAGAAAUGUUGAUAUUAAGCAACAAUUUUUAGCAAUAGAGAGAAAAGGCUAUGGAAAAGUGCAAAUUGGUGGUUUCACAUUUGAUCAAGAUAUCUCAAGAGAGAAGCUUGCACGUGCAAUUAUAUUGCAUGAGUUCCCUCUUUCAAUUGUUGACCAUGCAGGCUUUAGAGAUUUUGCUAGUAGCCUUCAACCUUUGUUUAAGAUGGUUUCCCACAAUACAAUUAAGGAUGACAUAAUGAAGAUUUAUGAGUUUGAGAAAGGAAAAAUGAGUAGCUACUUGGAAAAGCUUGAAACUAGAAUGGCUAUCACAACUGAUAUGUGGACAUCUAAUCAGAAGAAAGGUUACAUGGCUAUCACUGUGCAUUACAUUGAUGAGUCUUGGUUACUACAUCAUCAUAUUGUAAGGUUAGAUAUGUUAUUUGUUCAAGUUUUCAAUUUUUAUUUUAUUUUAUUAUCAUUUAAUGAUGUCACUUAUAUUAAUAAUAUGUUUUUAUAUAUCGUUUAAUGUAGGUUUGUUUAUGUGCCUCCUCCACAUACAAAAGAAGUUCUUUCUGAUGUGUUAUUGGAUUUUUUAUUGGAUUGGAAUAUGGAUAGGAAACUAUCUACAAUCACCGUGGAUAAUUGCUCAAGUAAUGAUGGCAUGAUUGAUAUCCUCUUAGAGAAAUUAUCUUCAAGUGGUUCACUUUUAUUAAAUGGAAAAAUCUUUCAUAUGCGAUGUGCAGCACAUGUCUUGAACUUGAUUGUGAAGGAAGGUCUAGAUGUCAUUAGAGUAGAAAUUGAAAAAAUUCGUGAGAGUGUUGCAUAUUGGUCAGCAACACCAUCAAGAGUGGAAAAGUUUGAAGAUGCAGCUCGCCAAUUGCACCUUCCAUGCAACAAGAAGCUAUGCCUUGAUUGUAAAACACGAUGGAAUUCUACAUACUUGAUGCUAUCAAUAGCUAUAACUUAUAAAGAUGUGUUCCCGCGUUUGAAGCAACGUGAAAAGCUCUACACCACAGUGCCAUCAGAGGAAGAAUGGAAUUUAGCAAGAGAAAUAUGUGAAAGGCUGAAAUUGUUUUAUAAUAUAACAAAGUUGUUCUCAGGGCGAAAUUAUCCCACUGCGAAUACCUUUUUCAUCAAAGUGUGUGAGAUUAAAGAAGCAUUGUAUGAUUGGUUGAUUUGCUCAAAUGAAGUUGUAAGCACAAUGGCAUCAAGUAUGUUAGAAAAAUUUGACAAGUAUUGGAGUGGAUGUCAUAUUGUAAUGGCAAUAGCAGUUGUAUUGGACCCAAGAUACAAGAUGAAGAUUUUAGAAUUUUAUUUUCCGAUAAUGUAUGGGUCUGAAGCUUCAAGUGAGAUUGGAAAAUUUUGUCAACUAUGUUAUGAUUUGCUUUCUGAGUACCAAUCAAAGUCUAAGAUGGGUCAACAAACUUCAUCUCAUGGUGCUUCAUCAGUUUCAAAUCUCUUUGAGUUGACCUAUGACGAACAAGAUCCUCUUUCGAAGUUUGACUUAUUUGUUCAUAGUACUAGUGAAGAAGGUCAUGCGAAGUCGGAGUUAGACUACUACUUAGAAGAAACUGUUUUGCCAAGGAUUUCAGAUUUUGAUGUUUUGAGUUGGUGGAAAACAAAUGGUAUUAAGUAUCCGACUUUACAAAUGAUUGUUUGAGAUAUCUAUGCCAUUCCAGUAUCUACAGUUGCAUCUGAGUCAGCCUUCAGUACGGGUGGUAGGAUGGUAUCAAAACAUCGUAGUAGACUCCAUCCAAAUACUUUGGAGGCCUUAAUGUGUGCUCAAAGUUGGUUGGGAAAUGAAAUGGAAGGUAGUUAAUCUAAAAUAUUUUCAAUCUUAUGAAACAACUAUGUUGAAUUUUUUAAUAAAGUUGUUUCUUGUUAUUCUUACUUUUAUUGGGUGAUUCUUUGCUUGUUAACCCAGGGGGCAAACUCACAAUCAUGGAUGAAGAUGAUGAAUCACUCUUGCUGUAGGUUCUUUUCUUGAAGUGAAGUUGGUAUUGGAGAUAUAUUUUGGGACCCAAGAUACACUUUUUAUUUUAAUGCUCUUUUUUAAUCUUAAUGUGGUUAUAUGUAUGAAUAUGUUGGGAAGACUUUAUAUUUAAUGUUUUUUUUUUUUAAUGUUGCCAUAUCCAUGGAGAUUUUCUAUUUUUAUAUGUUGUAGUUGUGAUAUUUAUUUAUUUUUCAUUUUUAUCUUAAUGUUAUAAUUUAUAUUGUUAUAUCCAUGGUAUUAAGCAUCAAAGUUGUAUUUUUUGGCAAAGAAGGCAUUAGUGCUGACCUAAUUGCAGUAAAUGAAGACGUUGGGGCUGCUUGUUGGGGCAUUAGUGUUUAUAUUUCUCCAAUGCCUCUCGGAAUUAUUGUUGCUGGUGCUAGAUUAUUAAAGAACAAAGGUAUACUGCCUAAAUAACUUGGAUGAUUUGGGUUGAUAAAUCUAUCUUUUCUUCUAGGGUCAAUCACAUUUAAUUUGUUCCUAGGAGAUGGAAAGCAAAAGAGAGAGGGCCCUUGUGUUGGAACCAAGGGCUUCCGGGCACCUGAGGUAAGAACUUGUGAUCAUUUUCGUUUCAGAAACUACAUUAUUGUUAUUAUUUUCUAUGCCCUAUUCAUUCGAAUUCUAACCCACUCUAUUGGUCAAAAAGGGGUAAUGAUUGGUGCUAUCACAAGUGGGCAGAUUACUAUGGUCGAAAAGGGGUAAGAUGGAGGAUACUCUGUCAAGAUUGUUCAUAUUUGAGCAUUUUUCCUACACAAACCUUCUCUCACAACUUGCUUUAUUUGUGGGUGGAAUCAGGCCAUGGGGAUGUCAUCCAUGAUUUGUAUAGCAGGAUGGCUCACAAUCUACUUUAUCUUUUGUAGGAUAUCUCCAAUUUUCAAUUAUAAUUUUGAUAUAUUUGUAUAUGCUUUUCUUCAUGUUUUACCCUCUGGAUGUUUCAAUGUAGGGAUCUUUUUCCCUUUAUUUUAGGAGAUUUCUUCAUCUUAUAUGGAUUUGGUGUUCUUUCUUAUGUGGUAUGCUUUUAUGAGAAGUUUCUCUUCUUGGAUAUGAAGUUCCAAUAAUUAUGCAACUUAAGAAGCAUUAAACAUCUCUCUCUUCCUCUGGAUGAACAGGUACCAGUCUUUAUUGCUGAAAUAACACCUAAGAAUCUUUGAGGAACACUAGCAACAACAAAUCAGGUUGAAGUUUUUAUUUUAUUUUAUUUUAUUGUUUUCAUUGUUUUCAGAAGCAAUUUUGUUGAAGAAUAAUUUAUGAUGGAAUGAUUUCAAUAUGACUGUAAAAAUGUGCUUUAAUAUGUUGGAUUGGGUUUAAAGCCUUAGGCAUUAACUUUAUUGAGAGGCUUGUGUGCUCUUAGUGCUUUGGAUGGUAACAGGCUUGUGUGCUCUUACUUGGAGCCACUUACUAUGGGACUGCUGUGGAUUUAUGGAGCACUGGUUGUAUACUGGCUGAACUAUAUGCUGGCAAGCCUAUAAUGCCAGGAAGAACAGAGGUAUCAUUUAUGCUUAUUUAUUUCCCACAAGAUGUGCAGAGUACUGCCUGUUAUUCAUGGAAUCAUGAUUGUGCAAUCUAUAGAUUUUUUUCUCUUUGGAAAAAACACCUAGCAUUUGUUGUUAUUAGAGUUUUGUUUUGAACAUAAUAUUGGAUGUAAAAUACUAACAGUAAUUGAGUCUGAUUUUACCUGCUUACUUUCAGGCAUAUGAAAAAAUAAAUAAAAAUAAAAAUGGUGACAUUCAUCUCAGGAUCAUGACUAAAAUGUUGGAAAAGAGGUUUACUCUUAAUGGCUGUUUGAUGGCAAACUAGUGUUGAACACUGAAACUUUCCAUUUUAAUUUGUGUUAGGUAACAUGUUAUAAUAAUCACUCAUUUUUUUUAGUCUCACUGAAAAUGAGGCUCAACAAUCCAGCUGAAGUUUGCUACCUAUGUGAUUUUAAACGAUAAAGUCCAAGCCCCAAACUUGCCCUCACUUACCCUGCUGGGUGAUGAAUUUCCCUUGCAACACCUUGAAGUUUCUAGUGGUACAAAAUCUGCAUAGAAGAUUUUUUUAUAUCACAUUUAUAAACUGUGAAAUAGUGCCUCAAUCAUUAUGAAAAUUUCCGUUAUAAAUUUCAGAUUGAAAGUGAGAUUCUCAUGUUGGAAUGGUUUCCAAAAUGCAAAAAUUGUGGCAAAUUAUGGUGCAAAUCGGAGAUAGUUUCCAAAGACUUGGCUUAUCAUUGGGUUCAUCACUUUACAUUGAAGUUGCUUUGGAAUUAUUUCUCAUUGGAUGCUAGGAACAGAUUUCAGUGUUUGGAGUUUACAAUUUAUUAGCAUGAACAUGCGGUUUUGUCAAUUAAUCCAUGUUCUUGCUAUAAAAAGGAAAAAGUUAAAAAAAAAAAAAAAAAAAGAAUUAGAGUCUAUUAUUUUGUACAAAACAAUACCACUUGGCUUUCAAUUAAAGUCAGAAUUAUUGAUGGCAGUUAGGAUUUAUAUCAUUGUAAAAUUAAGGAGGGGUUUGAAGUAGUUCUUGGAAAAAAACGAUUUAGAUCUGGAAUCAAAUAAUCCAGUUGAGUUUCACUUUGCAAUUAUAGGUUGUGAAUGGUACAUUGUAGGAUUUUAACAACUAAGGUUGUGAUGGUGUGUAGGUGGGAAGUGGGCUUAGAGGUAGUGCAAUGUUGGUGGUGCUGGUAGUAUGAUGGUUGGUGGUGGUUGCCUGGUGGUGAAGGAAGUUCAUGUUAUGGGUUGACAUGGUGGCAAUACAGUGGUUGGUGGUUGAUAAUGGUAAGGAUGCUUCUGUUAGUGGGGGUGCUAUUAUUGGUGGAGAUGGUGGAAUUGGCAGCUGUAGACUCUAUAGGAUGUGGGCUGGUUUAAAUUAUAGUCUAGCCCAUUAUAACUAACGAAUUGAAGGGAAAAAUUUUCAUUCUUAUAUUCUAUUGUGAGUCUGUUCAUUCUAUUUUUGCUUAUCUUCAUUGAAGAAUUUUGAAUCUAUGCCCUCAUUCUUUCUAUUUAAUUAUUUUGUUGGGCCUGCCACUAAUCAAGUAACAUCUCCAUCUACUUCUUCAACUUUAGCAUGUCCUCAUUAAGUUUGGUUCUUCUCCUUUGUAGGUGGAACAGUUGCAUAAAAUUUUCAAGCUUUGUGGCUCUCCAUCUGAGGAUUAUUGGAGAAAAUCAAAGUUGCCACAUGCAACCAUAUUUAAGCCCCAACAGCCUUAUAGGCGUUGUGUUGCAGAAACAUUUAAAGACUUUCCUACACCUGCAUUAGGGCCUAUGGAAACACUUCUUUCCAUAGAUCCUGCUGAUCGUGGAUCUCCAGCCUCUGCUCUUAAAAGUGAGGUAUGAAAUUCUGGAGAAAUUGGGUCCUUUGGGAGCCCUUUCCUUCUUUUUUAAUUGAUCUCUCUAUUGGAAUUUUUAUGUGUGGACUUACAUAAUCAAUUUAAUAAUGUCAUAAAUCAGUGUUAUUUAUUUUUGCAUUGUGGUCCAUAAUGGGACUGGACACAUAUUGUUGCUUGAUUUUUUAUAGGCUCACCCUAAUUCACUUGACUGGCCCAUUAAGUCAAGUGGUGGUCCAAAUAAUGUGUGUGAUAUAUAUAUGAAUAUAUUUAUUUAUUUAUAUAUAUAUAUAAAAGAAAAGGAAGGGCUCUCUCUGUGUGGCUGGCUCCCUGCUCUUCCUCCUUUGGCUGAAAGAGAGCACGCACUCUCGUCAUGGACUGAAUCUGGGUGUAGAAGGGAAGAGCUCAUUAACCCGUAAUUCUCGCACCAUCAAGCACUGGAGGAGCUUCCUGAAUACCAGAAAAGAGCAAGAAAUGGCCUUUCACGGAAUUAACCAAGGUGAACGUUUCCGUUUUUGCCGUUCACUGCAUGCUUAAAUGUCAACAUGUGAUCUUAUGUUGUUUAAAUUUUCUUCAAUUGGUAUCAAAGCCAACAUGGAUGACAUUUGAGCUGCAAUUUUGGGUUAAUUUUGCGUUUCCCGUUUCCUGUUGUGGAAGCCAUUUUUUUGGAAUUUUAUUUCUCGUUUGAUGUUGAUUCUCUGUUUUCAAGCCCGAUUGUUGUUGGAAACUUGUAGAGAAUAUUGUUUGGAGCAAAACCCAUCAUUUUAUUUGAUUUUUGGAGCUUGUUUGGUGUGAUUUCGAGAAUUAGGGCUUGCUUUGGUUCUUCCUAUUAUGGGUUUUUUGUGCAAAUUUUGGGAUUAGAUUGAAGGUUUGAUGUUUGAGGAUGGAAAUCUAAGUGUUUUUGUCGGAAAAUGCCCAAAUUUUUUGCCGAAAAAGGAAAUUUUUUUUUUCUCCUGCACCAGGCCGUGUUCAGCUGGGGAAGGAGAUGAAUAGUGACGUGAUGACGUCAUCAUGACGUCAAAAAAAAAAAAAAAAAAAAAAAAACCAAAUUUUUUUUUUUUUGUAUGUUGCCUUGGUAUUCUUGGAUUGAUUGUGCAUAUACUAGAAUUAUUAUGCUUUUGUUAAAUUUGACUUUAUUGGGACAAUUAUUAUUAUUAUUGUUCUUUAUGGUAUAAUUUUUCCUUAUAUCAAUAAUGUUGUCCUAUGUCAAUUUUGUUAAAUAUUUCAAUUUAUUGAGGCAAUGAAGCACACUUGCGUGAUUGCUUAUCGCAAUUCCAAGUGUGUCAAAUUGUGAAAAUUAAGAUAUUUUGAAUUUUAUUCAUGACAAUAGUGAACAUAUGUGUGGUUGCCUAUCGUGAUCCUAUAUGUGUCAAAUUGUCUUUGUUGAGAUAUUUUAUCUCCUUCUUUUGAUUGUUUUAUUAUUGUGAUAACUAAGGUCCAUACGGGUAUUGUGAUUAUCCUAUCGAUGAUUAUAAUAUUUGGUAGGAUGCUUGGAUAGGUGAAGGAAAUUAAUUUUAUAUUAUGAAUCGUACUAAUUUUCUUUGCCCUUUCGGUAAUAAAAUUAGUGCAUCUUGGUUGUGAUAUUUAAUUGGUUGUCCUUACCGCCGUGAAAUUUUCAAAAUUCCAAGCUGUUGCUAAAUUGAGAAAUUCUAGAAAUUAGCAAAUGCAUGAUAUUGUAAUAACAUGCAUACUGUUGAAUUUUGCUAUUUUCCAGCUACUAGCAAUCCUGGUAUUACUCUGCAAUUGUCUGUCAUCAAACUUCUUACUGGAAUAAUUUUGAGGAAUGUUUUGAGUCUUUCAAUGUGCAUAUGACUAUGCACAUUUUGGACUGGGCUUUGAGAGUUGAUAAGCCAAGUAAAUUUGAGUUCUUCCAUAUUGUGGCACAAACGCCUAGGUCAUAUUUCUAGGCAAAGAUUAGAGAGAUUGGUUUGAGAUGGUGAGUAUUAUGGGAGAUAUGAUGAGACUGGACGGAAUUCUGGACCAUUCGCUAAGUUUCUGUUGGAAUGCGACAUUGAUGCUAGAUAUGCAAUGUCAGACACUCCUCAACAGAAUGGGGUUGCAGAAAGGAGGAAUCGCACAUUGUUGGAUAUGGUGAGGUGCAUGUUGUCUAAUUCCUCCUUACCAGAAUUUCUGUGGGGUGAAGCCUUAAGGACUGCGGUAUAUAUUUUGAAUCAAGUGCCCAGUAAGUCUGUGCCUAAGACACCUUAUGAGCUAUGGUCAGGGAAGAAACCAAACCUUCAUCAUUUCCAUGUUUGGGGAUGUAAGGCUGAGGUUAGGCCAUAUAAUCCACAGUCAAAGAAACUUGAUCCUAAAACCAUUAGUGGUUUCUUUGUUGGUUAUUGCAUUGGAUCAAGGGGUUCCAGAUUCUAUUGUCCAUCUCAUACCACCAGGAUCAUUGAGUUAGACAGGGUUGUAUAUUUUGAAGAUGUGAGCUCUAUUGAUGAAAGAUCUAGUGGUAUCUGAAGUUUGAUAGUAUUAUCACCCAAAAUGGUUUUAAAGAGAAUACAGUUGACAGAUGCAUAUAUUUGAGGGUCAGUGGGAGUAGUUAUAUAUUUUCUUGUUUUAUAUGUUGAUGAUAUACUACUCGCAUCAAAUGAUUCUGACUUGUUGUUUGAGACAAAGCACAUGUUGUCAACCCAUUUUGACAUGAAGGAUCUUGGUGAGGCUUCUUAUGUCUUGGGCAUAAAGAUUCUUCGUGAUAGGGCUAAUGGAGUGCUUAAAUUGUCUCAAAGAGCCUAUAUUGAAAAGAUAUUGAAGAGGUUCAAUAUGCACAACUGUAAAUCUUCUAAAGCGCCAAUUGUGAAGGGUGAUAAAUUUUUAAAGGCUCAGUGUCCUCAAAAUGAUGAUGAUGAGAUAGAGGAAAUGAAGACCAUUCCUUAUUCAUCUGUGGUGGGCAGCCUUAUGUAUGCUCAAGUAUGUACACGCCCUGAUAUUGCUUUUGUUGUGGGCAUGUUGGGAAGGUACUUGAGCAAUCCUGGGAGUCAACAUUGGAAAGCAGCUAAGAAGGUCCUUAGGUAUUUGCAAGGAACUAAGGACUUAAUGUUGACAUAUCAGCGCACCAGCUUACUUGAUGUAGUUGGGUUUUGUGAUGCUGAUUUUGCUGGCUGCAUAGAUGAUAAGAAAUCCACUACAUGCUAUAUUUUUAUGAUGGCAGGAGGAGCUGUAUCUUGGAAAAGUGUCAAGCAGACACUUACAGCAUCCUCAACUAUGGAGGCAGAGUAUGUGGCAUGUUAUGAGAGUAUGUGGCAUGUUAUGAGGCUUGUUGUCAUGCUAUGUGGAUGCAGAAUUUUAUUUCAGCUUUAGGAGUUGUUGACUCCAUUUCUAGACCGUGGAAAUUAUUUUGUGAUAAUUCCGCAGCUGUUGCUUUCUCCAAGAACACUAGGAGUAUUUCUCGCUCCAAACAUAUUGAUGUAAAGUUCUAUUUUGUUAAGGAGAAAGUGGCAGAGUCUCUUAUUGAUAUUGAACACAUGUCCACAAAAAGUAUGUUGGCGGAUCCAUUAACAAAAGGCUUACCCAUAAUUGUGUUUCAGGAACAUGUAUCUCAAAUGGGGUUGUUGGAAGCCUAGGUUGUAUUAAGUUAGUGGGAGCCAUUUUUUGGUAUUGUAAUACUAUGUUAUUGUUGAAAGGAUUGCUAUUAUUGUACAUUUCCCUAUGAAUCAAGCAAUGAAGCAUAUAUGAUUGCUUUUGAUUAUUUAUUUCUGAUGAGAUUCUAUGGGACAUUGAUUUAUGAUUAUGUGUAUGUUGUAAUGUUUGAUUAUGUAGUCCAAGUGGGAGAUUGUUGGAAUUUUUAUGUGUGGACUUACAUAAUCAAUUUAAUAAUGUCAUAAAUCAGUGUUAUUUAUUUUUGCAUUGUGGUCCAUAAUGGGACUGGACACAUAUUGUUGCUUGAUUUUUUAUGGGCUCACCCUAAUUCACUUGACUGGCCCAUUAAGUCAAGUGGUGGUCCAAAUAAUGUGUGUGAUAUAUAUAUAUGAAUAUAUUUAUUUAUUUAUAUAUAUAUAUAUAAAAGAAAAUGAAGGGCUCUCUCUGUGUGGCUGGCUCCCUGCUCUUCCUCCUUUGGCUGAAAGAGAGCACGCACUCUCGUCAUGGACUGAAUCUGGGUGUAGAAGGGAAGAGCUCAUUAACCCGUAAUUCUCGCACCAUCAAGCACUGGAGGAGCUUCCUAAAUACCAGAAAAGAGCAAGAAAUGGCCUUUCACGGAAUUAACCAAGGUGAACAUUUCCGUUUUUGUCGUUCAAUGCAUGCUUAAAUGUCAACAUGUGAUCUUAUGCUGUUUAAAUUUUCUUCACUCUCCUCUCUCUCUCUCUUGUAGUAGUUCUUGACUUGUUUUGAUUUAUGUUUCCCAGUUCUUUACAGUAAAGCCACUUCCUUGUGAUCCUUCAAGCUUGCCUAAGUAUCCUCACAGCAAAGAGUUUGAUGCAAAAGUACGAGAUGAAGAAGCUAGAAGGUACUUAUUGUUAGAUGGUUUGAGUGCAUAAUGUGAUGUUUAACAAUUAAGUAUACUUAAGGCACCCUGUUUUUCUACAUAAUAUAAUCCUGUUUGAAAGUGGAGCCAUACUUUGGCUUCCCAAAUGAAUAAUGCUUAAGUGGCAUCUAUGUGACAUUUAUAGAGGCGGCAUGUUUUUACAUCUUCAUUCUGACAGAAUCAGGCUGUGGUAACUGUAUUAAAACCACUUUGCCCAGUUAUGAUGAUAAUAUUUGGCAGAUAAGAUAAUGAUGCUGUCAUUUUGUGAAGCAGUCACUGUAGAACUAUGCAUUAUGUCAGAUUGGAUGCUCAUUCUAGAGAUGCGAUUUACUUGUUACUACUGAUAUUUAGGAUUUAAAAUUUUUAGCUAUUAUGCCCCUUCAAUUGCUGAUACUAGUUAUCAUUCCAUUUGUUGGAUUUUAGUGAUUUUAUUGGCUUCAUUUUAUAAUGCAUUAUUAGGAAGAUAAUAUGUUUGUUGCAUUUGCUACUUUGACAUGUUCUUUUUUAUGCUCCAGCCACUGCUAAGGAAAUAAAUCUUGACUGCAAUAUCCUACUCAUGCACUGGAAUAGACUUGUUCUGAAUUAUUGGGUGAGGAAUUGUCUCUUUUAACCAUUGUUUUUUUUCUUUUUUUACCUUGGCCAGAUGGUUCGGAACUUUAGAGGACCUCUUCUAGAGUUCAGGGGAUAUAGAUCUUUGCUUUGCCAAUGAGGAUGAAACAAGAGAGCUGUUAAGGUGAUUGCCAAUUGAUUUUUCCUAACCUAUCAUGCUAAAACAAUCGGUGAUGAAAGAGAAUUAAUCCUCCUCAUCCAGCUUAAAAUUUUUGGUGCAAUUUGUGGUAAAUGGUGUUAAUUUCUCUUAUGAUGGUUGUAGAGAUGACGAAAAUGCUAGUCCUGAGGUUGCUCUUGAAUUUCUUGCUAAGCACUGCCAAUGGGCAGUGGUGACACUAGGUUCUAAUAGAUGCCUUGGAAAAUGCGGAAGAGAGGUUAGUGCAAUGUAGCUACACUGCACUUCUGUUGAUGUCACUAAUAAAAUGCAUUUUACUUGUAUUCAGAUGUGCCCUGUGGAGAAUUAGCUACAUUCUGUUGUUAGUUUGAGUACCGUAUAGAAUGUUCCAUUUUUCUUUUAGAUGGUCUAAGUUCCAGCCAUAUAUUCUGGGACAAGAAACAAAAAAACCAUAAACUUAAUGUCUUUGGUUAAGGCUGCACUUUUUCCCAAUUCCCAGAGGCAUAUUGAUGUAGACAUGUACAUUACGCAUCUGAAGCUUUAUGCUCAUCUUCUGCACAUUGCUGUUGGUGGAUGUUGCACAGUGGACAAGUAAUCGUAUAAGGAUGUAGGUGAUGACGAUUUCCAAUGUUACCCAACUCUGAAGUAUUUUCUGUAUAACAGAGGUGGGUUGCAGUUGCUACAGAGUCCUCCAUUGUGGUCACCAUUUGAAUGGCCACUGGAAGUUUAAUUACUUGAAUGUUUUAUAUCUCAGAGGUUUGAAGUGGUAGGGCAACAUCACAAUUAGCCAUUUCGUUAAUUGUCUAUCAGGUGACAAUGGAAUUUUAGCAAAAAGGAGUAUCACUGGAAGAAUGCUGCUGAGUGGGCACAUGUAGUGGUUGUGGUUGUUAUUUAGGUUGUGUUUUUUGCCAUAGAAAAACAGAUUCAAAAGAUUGUAUAUUUAUUAAAAAUAAAUUUGUGUUUUGCCACAUUGACUGAAUGCUAAAUAGUAUGUGAAGAAAAUGCUAAUUGUUGAUGUUUUUAAGAGUUGCAAUCUAUAUCAUUGUGAUGUUGAAUAAGACAGGAAAAUAACCAUGGAACCUAUGUCACAGAAUUUUUCAAACUAGGAAAAACCCAAUACCCGAACCCGAACCCGAACCCGAACCCGAGCCCCGCCCCGCCCCGCCCCAAAAACACAUUUGGUACGGGGAUGGGAUUAUCAAGUCUAUUCUAAAUGGGAACGAGACACAUUAACCCGCCCCGCCCUUUGGGAUGGGGAUGGGAAAGAGAUUCAGAUAAUUGGGACGGGAAUGGGGUAGGGGUGGCCCGGCCCAAACCCGCCCCAUUGCCAAUCCUACUCUCGCACGCAUUUAAGUGUUUUGCAUCACUAUGUUCUUGAGCUCUUCCUCAUUUCUUGAAACCCUCUUGCAUAAAUCCCUGAAACUGGAGUCAGCUUCUGAAGAUAACCCUAGGUCACAAUCAAAAUCCAUAAAGUCAAUUUCCCUCUUCUCAAGUCUUUCUGCGUGCCCAUGUUCAAAAGUUAGUCUUUCUGCGUGCCCAUGUUCAAAAGUUAACAGCUUUACUUCCUCCUCAAACUUGGAACUCAAGCGAAUUCGCUCGGGUCCUUUGCAACAGAUGAAACAACACCGGGCUGUUAAUUCCUCAAUUUAUGUCAUUAGCGAGCAUUGAGUCAUCACAGGUAAAAACAACUCUUCUAUGUCAGUGCACUGAUCCACUUGUAACACAUCUCAAUUUUCUUUGACAGGUGUUCUUUCUUUUUUCUUUUUUUUUUUGCGUCUGAGGUUGUGGUUCAGUUUCUUUAUUUCUUCUAUUUCUGUAUAUCCCAGAACAGAUCUUGCAAGGGUUGAGUGGAUUCUAACCUCUCUGCCAAUUUAGGAUUUUCCCAACUGCAGUUUUAUUUUAUAAUUCUCUAACUCUUUUGCUUCAUUUUCUAAGUCAAACUGGACCCCACCACUUAUUUCAAUCUUUGAGGUCCAAUUCCCUAUCUGAAGGUAGAACUUUCUGUUCCUGCUGCAAUUGAGACAUCGAAUUAUGCAACUUCUGGGGAGUCAUCUCAGUUCGAAAGAAUUGCAGGCGUUCAUUAUGUGCAAGGGUCUGAAGUUGUUGCAAUCCUUCCCACUUCCUGACAAGCUCGACAGUGUUGAAGGAAUUCUUGAGAAUCUGGAAUAUAUCUGUGAGUAAUCUUGGAAACAAUUGGGCAAUUUGUAGGUUCUUCACCCGCUCUCUUCGCUGAGUUACCCCAUUCUCUAAUACCUGGACCUGCUACCUCUUAUUUGCUUGGAGAUCAUCAACAAAAGGACAAUCAAGGUAAAGUGAGCCAACUGAUUCAUAUUCUUAUUGGUCAUAUGCUAACUUGCUGGUGUAUUCUUUCAAACUAAACGAGCUUGUUGGUGUGUUCUAUUGAACCGGGCGACGCUAUAUUUACUCUCGAAUUUAGAUCUUUUAACCUGAGUUUAGAAUUAGUAGCGUCAUUGGAAAGGGUAGAAGGCGACUCAUCAUCAACUGAAAAUAGUAGGGAAUGCAGACAGGAGGAAUUCCACAGAACCUGAAGAAACCUUUCUCUAGGUUGACCCAACAAUUUGACAGGGAUAUCUCGAAUGUGUUCCUCCUUUUGAGACAUAUUCUUUAUGAGAAAACAGGCGUGAGCAGAAAGAGUAGGUUCUCUGAUCUCAACUUCAUUUCCGGUAUCAGAUAUUCGAUCCUCCAGUCAUGGUACUGUUCUUUCAACAAUUCACAAGCGAAUAACAAUACGCUGCGACUCUUCAAUUGUCGAAUAACCAGUAAAUUUGCCUGAUAUUUUAUCAAUGGUGGAAUCAGGUUCCUUCUCAUGGGCAUCAGAAGCCAACUUGUUUUCUGCAGCUGGUGGGAUGAACAAAGAAGCAUGCUCUCAGGUUGAGUCAGGUACAAAUCCUACUGCAUUUCCUUCCAUAGUUUCAGAAGAAAAUCUAGAAUGGGAAUUUUAGACUUUGUCAACUGGUCCAUUUCGAAUGAUUCCCUUCAGAACCUUGCUUUCUCUGUUCUGUCUCCUUUUCUGUUCCGGCUCAAAAUUUCAACUGUACAAUGGUGUGAUGCAUUUGAUUCUCAUCUGAAGGAAAGAAAAGAAUUUGUAUGUGAUUCUAUUCAUUUAUCAAGAACAAGCUGAUGAUUAAUCCUGAAACCCAACCAUUUCCAGAUAAUUCAAACUCCACUACAAGUUUAUCGUUCCCUUUUCGAUUGGAAGUUAUCCUCAGAUACCUUUCAUUUUUAUGAGUAGUUUAUGCACCAAAAUUAUCGAUAACAGUGUUCAGGAAGUAAGGCUCAUCAUGGGAAGUCUUUCUCUUGUAAGGCUUAAUUAUUCUCUAGUUGCAGCUUCGUCCAGAGCAUCAGUAACCCUUUUCUUGACAAAGAUCACCAUCCCCAUUGUUACCCCUUUCACUGCAUAUCUCACUUAAUAAUUGGUGUCGUCAUCUUUCUGAACAAAACCAAGAAAUGAUGGUAGUCCAGGAAGCUACAUUGCAGAUUGGCAUUCACAAAAAAUUUCUUCACAGCUCGGUCAUUAUCCCUGUAUUUAGCAUACAAAUCAAUGGUGGCAGCCCCCACAAAAAAAAAGUCUUCUUUUCAGUCCUAAACCAAUCAUCCUCUGUAUUCUAGCCAUAUAGGAAGCCUUUCCGAUUGUAAGUCUCGAACAGCAUCACUCAUAACCUCCAGUUCUGAACUCUCGGGGUACAGCCUCUUCAUUAAGCAUUUGUGGUUUCCUUCCCCCACUGACAUCACAGUGGUUCAACUCAGGCAGCCAGGUUAGCAAAUUACACAAGCACUUCUCAGGAAGUUCAUUUAAACUGCAGGGAUGCUUCCCAAACAUUCUGGGGAGUUAUAAAAAGAUUUCUCAUCAAUGGACUCACUGUCACCGCAUAUGUAGAGCAGCAUGACCGUCACAGACAUGCUUGAGGUGAACAUCGGCAUCAAGUUGCUUGCCAUCUUUUUUUUUUUGGAUUCAGCAAACCUCUCAUCUCUGAGAUCUUCAAUAAAUUCUCGGGUCAGUUUGACAUCUUUUCUUGAAUAACUUUCAUUUUGACAGUUUCGGAGUAUUUUGUAGCGAUACCCUCAAUAUGAGCAUUUGCACAACGAUAUAUAGUCAAUGGCGGAAUGCAUAUCAUCUGCAAUUCCAAGUGUAUAAGCCAUGAAGAAGUUAAAGUGCAACCAAUCCUAACUCCAAUUGCCUUUAUCUGGUUCGAAUCUUGAGGGAAAACAGCCUACUGAUUCAAUCAAAGACACAGCUGCAACUUAUGGGUCUGCUCAUGGAGUUUGAGUACACUUCUAGCAAACUGCUUCCGGGGCUUGUACUGAUGAAGCUGACUCUUAAAAUCAUUUGUAGUUAUCCACAAUUCCCUUCAACGGGAAUUCAUUUGGCAUCAGUUUCAGAUGUAUUGACCCACUGAGGUUGAGGAAGGACUAGGGAAGCUUGAGUGCAGGCUCAGUGUGUUGCGUUACCAACAUCAAUGAAGGAGUUGCAUGGAUCUUAGGAGGUCUACAUUCUGGACGCAUCUUCCUUAUAGUAUCUGUAGGGCCCAUGGAGAACUCCAUCAUUUCCAAAAUAUACGAAUUGGAGUGGAGAGCAAGUUAAAGUCUUUCAAAACUUCAUCUUUCUCAUUAAUAAUUAUGAAAGUAUUCUGAAUCUUAUGCAAAAUAAUUCCUAAACCCUCCAUUCUAAAAUUUAAUGCCUGCUUCAUAAUACUUUUCUGAUCAAGCAACUCCUUCAAUAGGCUUCCAAAUCUUCAUAGCGGUUGGAUGAGCGUCGUCUAACGUAGUGGCUUUGGCCUCGAAUAUUUUGACUCCAAAAUUUACCGUAUCCAAUACUCCUAUGUAUAUCAUUGCACCAAGUCCUAAAAGAAUUGAGGACCUCAGCAAUCUGGUCUACAGAAUCAUCAAUAGAAAGUGUGGCUUUAUCAAAGCUGCUGAGUCCAAAUUUUGUAGAAGAUAAAGAGGAUGUAUUCCUGUGAGCAUCAGAUUCUGAAUUGUAUGAAAACUGGAUUGGAUCUUUCUUUAAUUGUGCAGACGAUGUGACUAAAGCAUCCUCCCUACUCCAUUGAAAGCUCUAUUUCAAGUUAAGCUUUUGUUUUUCUUGAGGCUUCUUAGACGAUCAACAGCUAAGGCAUGCUAAAGGGUCAAAUUAUUGAGAGAAGUCUGAAUAACAAGUUAUCUGCAUCUUCUUGUGCUCUAUUAUCAUUACCAUCCGAGACAUGAUUUUCAUUUCUUUCGGCAUUCCUUGCCUAUUAAAUAAUAUAUGCCACAGCAUCUAUUUCAACUUCUAAUGCCUUCACUUCACUAUAGAGUUUUGAUUGGUACCACUCAGCUGCUGAAGUUGCUGCUGCCUCUGAAGUUCUUGCAGCUGCUUGAACAUGAUGUGCUGCUGUACCGACUGAAUAUCAUUAAACCCAGAUGGCUGUCUCAGAUGAGGUUGUGGCAUAAAUGGCUGUUGGGUCUUGAUGAAAUGCUCUGGGAGCUUCAGCACCAUUUCUUUUCAUCCUCACUCCAUAUAACUUUGAUGAUCCAGCAAUAUGUUGCAUCCACAUAAUAACAGCACACUGCUCCAGUACUUUAUUAACAACCUGUUCACUAGUUUGCAGCCACUCAAAGUUAGUAGAUAAGUUUCUUGUCGAUAGUUUGUCAAAACCACCAUGUGGUACAUCCAAAAGACUGACCUUGGUUUGGUUUAGAGACUAGCAAGUCCUCUAGUGCAGCCUUGCAAUGCAUCAAUGGAUUCUUGACAACACCAACUGCCAUAUUCACAGCAUUUCGUCUUUGAUCAUGGAGAAGAGGAAUUAAAUUUACACAGAGACAGUAAUUUAGGUUACCACUUAAUUCAGUAUCAGAAUUGCUGGGUCAGAAUAUUAUUCGUCUGUGAGCAAUUAAUAACUGUAAAUCUGUGCAGAUAGUAAUUCCUGUAUCUUCCUCUGAAGAGUUUAGGGAUUCCUCUUCCUUAGGUCCAAUUUGCAAACCUAAGAGCGAUCAUCUUCUUUGAACUAAUCAAGAACGAUGGCAAGAAACAGAACAAUACCAUACGGUUUGUAUACUUAAUUAUCAAUUGUACAUAAGCAUCAAGCUGUUUGUUCCCUCUGGAGAUUGGAUAAAGGCCUUUUCUAGAUGCUACUCCUUCAAUUCAUCCAUCUUUAUUUGUAAGCUGUAGCAUAAACAGCAAGAAUUCCAGAAUUUUCAGUACAGUGACAGGCUAAGAAAAGCACCCAUAUAUGCACGAUCUGCAAUCACAAUGCAUCUAAAUUGGAUGACCAGUGGCUCUCAUCUUACUUUUCCUCAUCUUCCUCAUCAUCAUGCAAGAGACGCUUUUCAAGGGAAUUCAUCAGCCUGCUAAGGCAUAGACCUUGAAAACUAAAAAUAGACUUAGCAUAUAUAAAGGAGUAGUUUCCAGAAUUGUCUCCAUGACCUGCGCAUCUUUCACCUGCUCAGUAAUAAAGUCAAAAUCACUUCUGCCAGAAAAAAUCUAACACUGCAGUAACGGCAAUAGAACAAGGACCACCACCAAAGCCAAAAUCAUCCAUUUCAACUACGGCAGUCCCAUUAAAUCUUCCUGCUGAUCCCUACCAUACGUUGUUCUCAAAUCAUCCGUGCCCAUAUUCGUUUGCCAAUACAAUCUCAUCCCAGUGCAGGUCCCGAGAUAAUAACCUAUGAUUUUCUCACAAACCUCCAGAAUCUCUACUGGAGGGUUAUACAUAUCAUUUGAUUGAAUUGGCCAAGGCCCUGCUGUGAGAAUCGAGACAGCAAGUGUGGGGUCGUCCUUUUGUUUUUUAGCGAAUGUGCUUGCACAGAAACCCUGCAUUUUCUUUCCAUCUCAUCUUUCCAAAUUCGAAUUCCACGCUCCAGCAGUUUUCAGAAGAUUCCUCACAAGCAAAUGUCGGAAAGAGAGAAUGGCAUUCGAAAACAGAGCAUAAAAAAAAUGAAAAAAACAGAACGAGAAGAUAAAAAGGGAGCCACGUUUCAUGUUUCAAUCCAUUGGCUUAGGAUAGGGGAAUGAUUCAAAACAGAUCAGAUUCAAGAACAGACCCAAAUGCAUAUUGUUCUCAAAUGAAAUCAAUGACAUUGAAAAGAACAAAAGCCUAAAAAUGAAUAAGAAAUCAGAGCAAAUAAACAAACAACCCACCAAUCUCAAUAGAACCAAUUGUGGCCCUUUCCGUCUGCUAGAACCUCGGCUGCAAUCUCUCUUUUUCCCGCUCUUGUGCACCUCUCCACCUUUUCUCAGAAUCACCUCAGUUGAUCCUCUCCUGCGUUCCCAAAGAAUACUCCUUUCUCCCUCUCCUCUCUGCAAUGCGUCCUCUCACCAAACAAAGAAUCUCCUCCCACAAUCAAAAAAGCUCUCUUUCCUCCUCCAAUACGUGUUUUUCCCCCAGAUGAUCCCCUUGCUAUUCGUGCCUCUAAUUCUCAGAAUUUCUCCCAAUCAUCCCAUGCGUGCUGCCCCAAUCCGUGUCCUCCUUCUAUUCUUUUCCUUUUUCUCACCUAUAUAUCUCAACCCUCAAGACCUAAAUUUGUUUCCAAAAUGGAAAAAUCUCUUAUUUCCUUUCUUCUUCUCUUUUUUUUUUUAAAUCUUCCACUCAAAAGCAAUCUUCCCAAUUUCAAAUUCCCCUCCAAAACCUUCCAAGGAGAGUCCCACCUUCCUUAAACCCCAAUGGUAAGUUUCCUUGCAAAAACAUGAAAUUUUUGAAGUUAAACAAUUGCAUGAAUAGAUAAAUAAGUAAAUAAAUUAGAAAAUGGUAAAAAUAAUAAAUAAAUAAAUAAGUUAAGGAAAAUAAUAUAAAGAGGAAGAUAACCAAUAAAAAGUGAAUGAUAAUCAUAAAAUUAAAACUAAAAACAAAAUAAAUAAAUAAAAUAAAAGUCUUCGUAGGCCUAGUGUGCCUAAACGGGCCUAAGGUGAGACUAAGUGGCCCUAGGGUAGUGCCUAAUGGGCCAAGUAUAUCUAAAAGCUAUCCUAAAAAAAAAAAGGUAAGUGGUGAGUAGUACUGGGCCACCAAGGGUCUAAGUUAGGGCUGCCAAGGGUCACAAUAAGGGAUCAAAUAAUCCUUCAACCAAAGUCUCCAAGGUGACUCAGAAAAAGGUAAGUGGUGAGUAGUACUGGGCCACCAAGGAACUACUGUGGAGCACUGAAAACGAACUUAAAGACAUGUGUUAAAGGGACAAAAUUAAGGGUCUACAACUACCUUAAUGCACUUCAGGUACUACCUUAAUGUACCUCAGGUACUAUCUUAAUGCACCUUCGAGAAAUGUUGUUCUUUUGUGACUUAAUCCACAAUUAGUUCAUUGUAUUACAUAUUGCAGCAUGACAUUGUUAUGUGCUUAUUGGUUUCUCCAUCGGUAACUUAUGUAAUCAUAACAAAUUUAAGGUACUACCUUAAUGCACUUUGGGUACUACCUUAAUGACCCUGAGGUACUACCUUAAUGUACCUCAGGUACUAUCUUAAUGCACCUUCGAGAAAUGUUGUUCUUUUGUGACAUAAUCCACAAUUAGUUCAUUGCAUUACAUAUUGCAGCAUGACAUUGUUAUGUGCUUAUUGGUUACUCCAUCGAUAGCUUAUGUAAUCAUAACAAAUUUAAGGUACUACCUGAUUCAUGCCCAGAUUGGUGUCUCAGCUUAUUCGUGUCCAGCUGGUGCUCCUUGAUUGAGGGAGUAAUCAACAAAAUUUAUAACCUAUUACACCAUAUACUAGGGUAGCAAAGAAAAAACUAUUAUAGUAUAGCGGCUCUAGGAUCGUUCACUGGGAAGGAUUAGCAAGCUAUCAAUGAUACCAAUUCCAAGUGAAUUGAUCUUGUUUCAUUUCAAGGUUAGCUUAAGAAAUAAAACACAAACUUUGAUUGGUAAAGAUUUAAACUAACUAACAUAACAAGUACUCGGAAUAACUUAAGAAGACAAGCAUUCCUUAGAGAGUUAGGUUCACUGGGGUGGUUCCUCAUGCAAAAGACAUAGCUCCGGUCAGAUGGUUCCUUUCCUCGUGUUAGAGAUUCAGCAUAUAGUCAAUUCUCUAAUCGGUGUUGUACAGCUACCUCCUUCAAUUAGAUUUCACUUUAAUUCUCUCACUGAUGCAACUUGCAAUGGUUUAAGCCUCUCACUAAGCCGUAACCAUUCAAGGUGAUCUUUAACCUUGGAUUACCCGUCAAAAGCUCGCAAGAGAUAACUAAUGGAUGUCUCCUUGGAGUCCAAAAGCUUACCAAGUGUUGGCUAUUCUAGAAAAUCCUACCUUAAAGUCACCUCCCAGAGGCUCGCAAGGGGUAAACUAGUGCAUUUCCAUGGUUGGAAAUCACUUGUCUUACCAAGUGUUGGCCCAGGUGACUCUAAGGUGUUUUAAGUUAACUAAAAACAUAGAAAUCACUAAAGGAUUUCACUUCCUCUUCAUUAAUAGCUAAAACCACAAAGCUUUGCAUUCUUGCACUUGGAACCUUCCCCGGCAACCUUAGCUCCAAGGAACUAGAUGUUUAGUUACUCAUUCUCUAGGGAAAACUCCUCAGAGAGUUCAUAACUUAGUAAGAAAAUAAAAAAUACAAAGUGAGAAGGUAAGGCAAUACAAAGAACUGAACUUUACUUGCUUACCCAAAACUUUACAAAAAGGAUCUCCUUCUUUGAGAACAGGCUCCCGAGAGGUACUUAUAUGAACAUAAUAUAAAACUAAUUAUUACAUAGAUAUUUACUCUUUUUUUACUAACUUAAAAGCUAAGAAAUCUUGUAAUUGGUGGCUUACAAGGAGUAUUUUGGGAUUUAGACAACAAAAAUCUGAUGUAAAAUAUCUCCCAAUGUCGGUAGCAAAUAUCGGGAUGCUCCAGGAACCAUUUCGCAAGAGAAAAUGGUGUCUGCGAGAUUUCGCAGGCACUCAAGAAGGGCUGCGAAAUCAUUUCGCAACAACAUGCUAUCUUCGAAGGGCUGCAAAGUUGGCUUCCACCUUGAGGUUCUCAGCUCUCAGCUUGCGGCAUAUAUCGGGCAACUUCAGAAGGAAAUACACCCUACUGUACAAAAAGGCUGCGAAAUCACUUCGCAACAAAAGGGUGAUUUCGCAGCACUUUGCAAAAUGCUUCCUUUAGCUUGGAGUGAUUGGCUUGCAAUGGCUGCAACUUCUUCGUUUCAACUCCGAAUUGAGCACCGUUUGAAGAAUUGGAUUGUUGACUUCUUGAGAUUUGAAAUGGUAUAUAGCAUGCAUCAAUUGGACUCCAGAAAGUGCUCCAAAAGUGGCUGCUACGACUGUCAUCAAGAAUAUGCUUCAUGACAGAUUCUCUUUACUUUUUCUCCUUGCAUUCCGGAUUUACUCUUGGCAAAUGACUUCUAAGCUUUACCCAAGAUUCCUCAAAACUCUCCUCAAACUUGAAUUGCUUUGGUGAUCAAAUUACUAACAAAAACACCAAAACUUACACAAAGCAAUUAAAAUUGCUUUCAAGGGUCCUUAACAUGUCAAUUGAGUUAAAAGGCCAAAACUACUACUCAAAAGUAUUUAAAAGGAUUAAUUAUAAGCUAUCAAAUAGCACUUUUUGAGUAGUAGUCACUACUUUAAUGCACUUUGGGUACUACCUUAAUGACCCCGAGGUACUACCUUAAUGUACCUCAGGUACUACCUUAAUGCACCUUCAAGAAAUGUUGCUCUUUUGUGACUUAAUUCACAAUUAGUUCAUUACAUUACAUAUUGUAGCAUGGCAUUGUUAUGUGCUUAUUGGUUACUUCAUCGGUAGCUUAUGUAAUCAUCACAAAUUUAAGGUACUACCUUAAUGACCCUGAGGUACUACCUUAAUGUACCUCAGGUACUACCUUAAUGCACUUUCGAGAAAUGUUGCUCUUCUGUCAAUAUUUUGCUAUAACUAUUUAUUUAGUGAAACAGUUGUUUUCUCUUUUUGGUGUUUAUCUAGAGUUUGAAGGGUUGUGGUUGGAUAUGGAAGGUGAUCAUGUUAACCAAAAUUUUAUUAGUUUUCUAACACAUAUUUAGUUUUGUAUCACAACUUGUAGAUUGUAUGAAGUAAAAGAUAAGUGACAUGCAGAAGCAUUUUGGAACCCUCUAUAGCCCUUGCAAAUGAGGAUGCUCUUACUUUAGGAGAGCAAGUGGCAACCCUACAAGAUGAACAUCAGGAUUCUCAUUUCCCUAUUGAUGUUAAGUUGGGGCCCAGAGAAUUAGGAUAAAUUUUCUUCAUGACUAGGGGCUGAGCCAAAUCUUAAGAACAUGAUGAAAUACCAUAUCAUAAAAUAAAUAUGUCUAUCCAUUGAAUAGGGCUGAACCUUGAUAGAUAAGGAUUUUAAGGCCAUCAGAGAGGAAUAGGGAGAAAGAACGAAAAUAGUGGCAUUUUGGCUGAAUCCGUGAUUUGACUAGGACUGAAUCCAGUCAUUUUGGCUGGACAUUCAUGUCUACCGUGUUUGGCAUUAGAAGAAAUAGUCAGCAUGAAGACAUCAAAUUUAUGGAUGGUUAAGAUUUGACACUAUUUUAGUAGUUAUGUUCAGUGAUUUAAAACAUUCUCUAUUAUUAGUGUCCUGAGUUCACAACUAAUAGGACUUCGGAUUCUCUUUGUUGGAAGGUUACUUCAUGACUACUUUUUAAAAGAAAUCCAAAUCAUAACAAGCAAUUCAAAUAUAUCACAUGGCUUAUUAUUAUUUUUAUUUUUAUUAAUAUUAUUAGUAUUACUAUUAUUAUUAUUUUAAUUAUUAUUAAUAAUAUUAUUUUUAAUAAUUUUGUUGAUAAUCAAAUGCAAUUUUUUACAAACCACACAAAACGAUGAGAAAAAUGGAUAGUUGACAUUUUAGGUAGUGCAUUCUCAUCAUAUCCAGGCAAGGUUGCCACAUUAAUAUGUCACCAUACAACCCAUGUUGCACCCAAUCUCUGAUAUCAAACCUUAAGAUUUGUCUUUCUUUUUCGUGAGAUGAUUUCAUCAGAUUUUUAUUAAAUAAAAGAAAAAAACUUAUGCUAUAUGGAGGAGGAAUUUCAUCGACAUGCUUAAGGCCAUCUCAGCACGUGACAAUCUAAAAAAAUCACCAGUGCCAAUAGUCUUGAAUGAUUCCUUACGAAUACCAUCCCAUGGCUUCACCAUCACCCAUGAGACCUGAAUUUUUCGCCAUGGUUUGUAGCAUUCAGCUUCUACACAUGAUCGUUUUUUUUUUUUUUUUUUAACUAUAGUUGGAGAGGCCACUGGCAUGGAAAGAAUAUCUAACAAAUGCCUGAUCUCCAUUAGGAUUUCGUCAAUAAAACAAAACACAAACAUAGUCCAUGGAAUUUGUAUAUCGGCAAAAUGAUUAUAAUCUAGUCAACAAACCAAAGAAACCUCCAACCUACCUAGAACAUUAACAGAAGAUGCUAUGUAAAAGCUUACACACCAAAUAAUUAUGAAAGGAAACCCGAUAAAUGAUUUACUAAAGUGAGCAUAGAAGAAUAAACUGAAAAAUGAUCAAGGUAAAAACAAUAAUUGUCAGUCUUUGUUUGUUGUUUCCCUAUGAAAUUAGUACCAUGGCCCAAAAAAAGCCUCUCACUUUGGUAGUCAUUUUACAAUGCAUUGUCGAAGCAAUCACCAAUGCACCAUGGACCAGCACCUUUCAUCAACAUCAGAAAUUAACAAAUAUUGACUUUCUCCAUGUUCUUCCUUUAUUUCCUAUACAAUAUUUCACAUUAAUGAACAACCCUAUUAUAGUGAUGAAUCUUCUCAUUUGAAGAGGAUUGAAUAAUUGAUUUAUCUGUGUCCUAAUUUUGAUCAUAUGGAAAAAACGAGUUUGAUUAAUACAAUCUGAAGAAGGAGGAUAACAUAUGACCUGGUCUGAAAUUAGUCCCUCCCGUAGGUUAUAGUAGCAACAUCACCAAGCAAUCUUUCUUUUCCUAAUGUGUUGCCCAUUGUUGUACAUAAAGUCCUGACAUUCAGCAUCACCAAACUCCCACUGUUACAAUGGAUAGUGGAAUACUCAAUAAGAUACAACAUAUAUAGAACAUAAAUAAUGGUUUUAGAAUGGGAACAAAACCCCAUCAGCACACAACAGGAUAACCAUUCAGUCAUUUGUGGACAAACUACAAUCAAACAUUGCUUUAGACGGUUAGUAGCAUCAAAUAGGAAUAAACUUAUCAUCAACUAUGUAGUCACAAUUAAUAGGAGGCCAAAAUUUUAUCUUUGAGAUUGUUCCAUUCAUUGAGUAGUAAUUGCACAACUAGCUGGAGUCUAUACAUGUGCAGCUUGUCCUAUAGAAAUGGGAAAAACUAAUUUCAUGUUAUGGGGGAAAAAAUAUAUAAAACAAUACAAAUUAGGGUGUCAACUAGCUCUAACCUCUGCCAUUGAAGUACUUAACGUUGCCCUAUUCAAAAAUUCCAUGAAUUUAAGAGCGAGAAUACCACAAUCGUGCCUAUAACACAUCACACUUAGUGAUACGUUCCCAAUUGGUGUCUCAGUUGAUUCAUGUCCUCUCAAUGGUCCCUGACAGUGGUACCAUUUGAUUCAUGUCCAGCUGGUGUCCCUUGAUUGUGGUCCUUAGAAGAGAGUAAUCAAUAAAAUUUAUAACCUAUUACACCAUGUACUAGGAUAGCCUCAGCUAGCAUAGCAUAGUGGCUCUAAGGUCGUUCACUAGGAUGGGUUUUCACUUCACAAUUGAUAUCAAUUCAAAGAUGAAUUGGUGCUUUUUCAUUUCAAGGUUAGCUUUAAAAGAAAACAUAAUCUUUGGUGGAAAAAUGAUUGGUUUUAAGCUAACCAAAAAUAAUAAUAACUGAUUUUAAUUACAAAGAAAAAGUGUUUCUUGGAGUUUAGAUCAGUAAGCUCAGAUUCCUCAUACAAAAAUGAGAGUUCUGGUCAUUUGUUUCUUUUCCUCGCAUUAGAGAAUUAACAUAUAGUUAAUUCUCUAACCGGUGUGGUACAGAUGCUUCCCCUUAAUGGGUUCAAACACUAAUUCCCUCUCACUGAUGCAUCUUGCAAUGGCUCAUACCUCUCACCUAGCACUUGCCAUUCAAGGUGAUCUUUAACCUUGAAUUACCUGUCAAAAGCUCGCAAGAGAUAACUAAUGGAUGUCUCCUUAGAGUCCAAAAAUUUACCAAGUGUUGGCUAUUCUAGAAAAUCCUACCUUUAAACCACCUCCCAAAGGCUUGCAAGAGAUAAACUAGUGCAUCUCAAUGGAUGGAGAUCACUUGCCUUACCAAGUGUUGGCCCAGGUGCUUUAAAGGCGUUUUAAGUUAACUAAAAAGAUAAAAACCAUUAACGGGUCACACUUUCUCUUCAUUAAAAACUAAAACAACAAAACUUCCAAUUUAUGCAUGAGGAAACUUACCCGGCUUUCUUCACUCCAAGAGACGAAGAGCCUAGCCUCUCAUCCUCUGAGGAAAAAUCCUUAGAGUUUGAUUGGCUAGAAAGAAAAAGUAAAUAAUAUACAAUACAAUCAAAACGAUAAGGUAAGGCAGAGCAAAGGCUCUGUAUUUUACUUCCUUGCAAAACUAUACAAAGGAUGCGUCUCUGAGAACAAGCUCCUUAGAUUCUUUUUUGUAAAGAAAAUUAUAAACUAUAUAUAAGAGGUUAUUCACCCUUUGUUCUUACUUAAAGACUAAGGAAUCCUAUGAUAGGUGGGUUACAAAGAGAGUUUGGGGAUUUAGACAUCAAAUAUCUAAAGCAAAAAAUCUCAAAAUAUCGGUCGCAAAUAUCGGGAAGCGUCAGGAGAAAUUCCACUGUAAGAGGGCUGCGAAAUUUCGCAGCAAAAGGACAACAUUUUCGCAGCCCAAGGCUGAUUUCGCAGUGGUGCAAAAAUCUUCCUUCAACUUGGAGUGAUCGGCUUCCAAUGGCUGUAACUCCUUCAUUUCAACUCCGAAUCGCGCACCUUUUGAAGCAUUGGAUUGUUGACUUCCUAAGAUUCGAAAUGACAUAUAGCAUGCAUAAAUUAAAUUCCAGGAAGUGCUCCAAAAGUGGCUUACAUGACUGUCAUCUAGAAUGCUUCAUAUUAGAUUUCUCUUUGCUUCCCCUCCUUACAUUCCGGAUUUGCUUAUGGCAAAGGACUUCAAAGCUUUGGUUUUUCAUGUUUCUGAGCUUUCCAUUGCUUUUCCAUGGAUUCCAAAGAACUCUCCUCAAUCUUGGAUUGCUUUGGUGAUUAAAUUACUAACAAAAACACCAAAACUUACACAAUUUGAUUAGAAAUGAUUGCAAAGGUCCUUAAUAUGUUAAUUGGGUUAAAAGGCAAUAACUACUACUCAAAAAAGUUUAAAAGAGUUAAUUACAAGCUAUCAAAUAGCACUUUUUGAGUAGUAAUUACUCCCCCCAACCGACAUAUUGCUAGUCCCUUAGCAAUGAAGGAGAGAAAAAGAAAAAUAAAAAGUACUAUAAUUUACAACAUCAUGCUAAUCAAAAAAACAAUUUUCAAGUGGCAUGAUGAUCUAACUCUCACAUGGAACAUUAAAGAAAUAAAACUCAAACUUCAACAAGAGUUAUCAAAUAACUUGUCUAAUCACAAUUCAUAAAGAGAAGGCAUUAUGCAAAUUUAAGCUUUUAAAAGAGUUUCCACUCCCAAAGGGUCAAACCUUACUCUUCCACAAAAAUCUAAGUGUUAUUUAUUAGCUUCCGAAUAUAGUAUGUUGAACUAAUCUCUCCCCCCAACCUAGUUCUUUUUUCAAAGCUUAGCAAACUGAUCAACCUCCAGUAGGCUAAGAACGCACCUCUUGUUCACAAUUUUUUUAUUUAUUGUAGGAGUACAAGGCUUAAAGGUAUUCUUUUCUAAAUUGUCCAUGUAACGGGGGUCCAUCGAUGACUCCCAACCAAUUAAGGUUUAGGGCAUCAAGUUUUAAGGAUUUUUCAACCACUAACUCCUCGGAUUUUACCUCGGACUUUUGAGAAUGAAUUUCAAUACCCAAGCACCUACAAUGUGUUAAACUCCACCUAUUCACCCUUGUAACGAGCAUUAAGGUCGGUGACUCCCAACCAAUGAAGGCUUAGGGCACCAGGUUUUUAAAGAUUUUCACCAUAUACCCCUCGGACCUUGCUCGGGUUUUAAGGCAAGUAAACAUUUUUCUUUUUUUUUCUUUUUCUUUUUUUUCAAAGACUCAUUGGCCUUUUAUAAGGUGUCCCAACACUAUUAAAUGAGGUCAAAGGUACCAAGUCUAAAUUUUUCCUAAGUCAAAAGGGAAAUAAUUUUUCAUCUUAUAAUCGGAACCUAUUGUGCACAGUGUGUGAAUAGCUUAAGUGGAAGAAUUAAGGUUGAAUUCAAUAGAAGUUUCAACAAUUCAUCAACUUUAGUAAGCAUAAUACAAACUCUAAGUCAAGUAAAAAGACAAAAAUUCAAUUUCUCCCAUUUCAUUUUGAAAAUUUUUCCUUAAUAACCAUGGAGAGUAGAAUAAAAACUUUAAAUUUUUUUUAAAAUUAAGCAAAAAACAACUAAAUUACCAAAAUAACUUAGCAUUAUUAACAAUACUUACUUCCUCAACUCUUCCCCCAACCAAGCUAAACAUUGUUCUCAAUGUGACAAAAACGAUUGAAAAAUAGGGAGUAAGUGGUACCUCCUGAGUGACAUGGAAUCUGAGUCGUAUAGGAGAAACCACAUGUUAAAAAAAAAAAACAACAAAAGAGUUAGUGAGUAGAGGAAAUAGAAAAAUGUCAAGUUUAAACAAAAAUGAUGUCUAUAUAUGAUGUAUCAUCAGUAAUACAUCCAAUCCCAGAAUAUAAGACAUCAAAACAUAGAAUAUAAUAAGUAGAGACAAAAAGUAAAGAGAUUAUCAAGUAAUUGUAGGGUCCUGUGGAGUUGAUGCAUCUAUGGUGGCCUCUUGAGUGGGUUGGAUCAGGACUUUGGCCUCUAUUCUGAUAGUCUCCUUAGAUGGCAUAGUCUCCUCAACUGGAGCUCUCAGUUGGAGCUAUGGGCUUUGAUGGUUUAAGGAGGUAAAAAAUGGAGUGAGAGACUUCGUGUGUGUGAUCUCAGUGAGAGGGCUCUCCUCUUUAGAUGCAUGGUGCGGGGCUUUGUUGGCAUUUUUGCAACUUUCCUUGGCUUUGCACGAUGUUUUCACAAAUCAUUUUGUAGCUUGGAGGCCAUUUUGCAGCCAAAGGAAAAAAGAAACACAUUUUUGCAGCCCAUGGAAAAAAAAUAAACACAUUUUCGCAGCCCAUUUUGAUGCCUAGAGCAUUUUCAUAGCCAUUUUGAAGCUUGGAGAUCAUUUUGUAGCCAUUUGGUAGCCAAAAGGAAAAAAGAAACAUAAAAAAAAAAAUUCGCAUCCCAUUUUUAAAGCUUGGAGAUCGUUUCCGCAGCAAGGGAGGAUUUUGUAGAGGAUGGGGAUUUUCGCAGCCCAUUUCACAGCUGCGAAAUGGGCGUACAACGCUGCGAAGUGGCACUUGUGUGUCAAGGGGUGGUCCUGCAGUUGCGAAACACCCUUUGAAAUGGGGGCGUGGCUGCGAAAUCAAAAAAUUUCUGUUUUGGCUUUGCGCAGUUCAUUUUCAAACGGCCAUAACUUCUUCGUUUCAAAUCCAAAUCGCGUACCGUUUGAAGUGCUGGACUCUUGACUUCCCAAGCUUCGAAGCGAAAUAUGGUAUACAUAAUUUGAACUCCAAGAAGUGCUUCAAAAAUGUGUCCAACAAUUGCGAAAUGGGGUGUGGCUACGACAUUUCAGCUCAUUGUUUGCACAGUCGUCUUCAAACGGCCAUAACUUCUUCGUUUCAACUCCAAUUUGCACACCGUUUGAAGAAUUGGACUCCUGACUUCUUGAGAUUCGAAACGAGAAAUAGCAUACAUAAUUUGAGCUCCAAAAAAUGCUUCAAAAAUGUGUCCAACAGUUGCAAAAUGGGGUGCGGCUGUGACAUUUUAGUUCAUCGUUUGCGCGCUCAUCUUCAAAUGGCCAUAACUUCUUCAUUUCAACUUGAAAUCGUGUACCGUUUGAAGCUCUGGACUCCUGACUUACCAAGAUUUGAAAUGACAUAUGGUAUACAUAAAAUGAACUUCAGGAAGUGAUCGAAAUGUGUCCAAUGGGGCUGCGGUUGCAACAUGUCAGCUCAUGGUGUGCGCGCUGAAGGAUUUUAAGGUGUGGAGAUUUCGCAACUAUUUCACAGCUGCAAAAUGAGUGUACGGGGCUGCGAAAUGGCACUCGUGUGCCAAAGGGUGGUUUCGCAGUUGUGAAACACCCUUCCAAAUGGCGUCUCGACUGCAAAAUGGAGGAUUUCAACGCGUGGAGGUUUUGCAACCAUUUCGCAACUAUGAAACAGGUGUACUUGGUUGCAAAAUGGCACUCGUGUGCCAAGGGACCUCUUCGCAACUGUGAAAAUUUUCACAGAGGAGGAUGGGCGACUGCAAAACCAUUUCGCAGCGGGAGGCGAUUUUCGCAGUGGCUCACUUUAGGCUGCGAAAUUUCGUAGGACAUGCUCUCUCCUUGCUUUUGAGCUCCUGUUGAUUCCCAACUUCCUUAUUUCGCUUUUUUUGACAUUCCUCUUGAUUUUGAUCAUCCAAAAACCUAUGUUACAUCAAAACAAAUUGAAAUCAAAAUUAAAACAAGUAAUAAAUAAAACAAAAAGAUAUGGACUAGCUAGUCUUUAAAAAGACUAAGUCCAUCAAAAAAUUUGAUCCUGAUUCAGCUUGCCCGGAUCCCAUAUGAAGUUUGCAUCCCUCACUUGAGACUCUGUACUUUUCCCUUUUUUCUUUCCUUUGAUUUCCUCCCUCUUUUCUUUCUCUGCUUCACUCUCUACCUUAUGCUCUAGCUUGGAUGUGGGCAGAUCAACCUCUUUACCACUCCUCAAAGUGAUAACCGCUUCAACUUCCUUCACCAUUGAAGAUUCUCCCUUUUGAGCCUUCACUUCAUGGAUACCCUUGGAAUUUUGAUGAGGUUGAGAAGGAAAGUUUCCUUUCUUUUGCACUUUGUUGAGGUUGGCAAAUCUUGAGAUUGAAUAUUGGAGAUUAUCUAUCUUCUGAGAUAGAUCAUUUUGCACUUCAUCCAUCUUUUUGUUCAAUGAACUCUUUACACUGUCAAUUCUUUGACUGAGCUGAGCAUUGAUGGAUUUUUGAGCUCCAACAAAGUCUCCCACGACCUUGCUAAGAUUCACCAUAGCUAGUUCAAGGUUUGAGGCUUGCUGAAGUGCUUGAACAUGUUGCUUGUACUGAGGCGGCUGUGGUUUCCAAGAGAAAUUUGGAUGGUUCCUCCAAUUGGAAUUGUAGGUGUUGCAAUCACCAAAAAUUUCCCUCACCAUUGGAAUGGUAGGAUACUCUUUCACCAAGUGCUCAUAAGAUAGACAAAUGGCACAGGGCACAGGUUGCAAUGGUGUUUGAGAGAUGGCCUGCACUUCUUGCAUUUUCUUCAUUUCUAGCUCUUCCAAUCUCCUUGCCAUAGCUGCAAUCUUUGCCUUCAUGUUUAUGUCGUCAUUCAAAAUAUACAUCUCACCCUUAUCAUUAGGUUGAGACGUCAUUCUUCCCAUAUCUCUAGCAUUUGGUUCAUCACAUUCUCUUGAAACUUCAACCACAUAACUCAUGAAGUUCAUAGAUUCCUCUAUUAUCUCGUAUUCAAUAUGGCAUGCACAACUAGCAAUUUAUGAAUUAAAAACAGAGAAAACAAAACAAAACAAAACAAAACAAAAAUUCUAGAGAAGAAAAAAUUAUUAAGAUUAACUAAAAGCUAUACUAAAAUAUGAACAAAGAAAAUGAAACAAAUAAAAAGAGUUAGUAAAAGGAAAAGAAAAGUCACCAAACUUGUGAUGAAGAUCACAAGUACUCUAGAAAUGUGAUAUCACUGUAAAGUGGCACCAUCCCCGGCAACGGCGCCAUUUGAUACGUUUCCAAUUAGUGUCUCAGCUGAUUCAUGUCCUCUCAAUGGUCCCUGACAAUGGUACCAUUUGAUUCGUGUCCAGCUGGUGUCCCUUGAUUGUGGUCCUCAGAAGGGAGUAUUCAACAAAAUUUAUAACCUAUUACACCAUGUACUAGGAUAGCCUCAGCUAGCAUAGCAUAGUGGCUCUAGGGUCGUUCACUAGGAUGGGUUUUCACUUCACAAUUGAUAUCAAUUCAAAGAUGAAUUGGUGCUUUUUCAUUUCAAGGUUAGCUUUAAAAGAAAACAUAAUCUUUGGUGGAAAAAGGAUUGGUUUUAAGCUAACCAAAAAUAAUAAUAAUUGAUUUUAAUUACAAAGAAAAGUGUUUCUUGGAGUUUAGAUCACUAGGCUUAGAUUCCUCAUGCAAAAAUGAGAGUUCCGGUCACUUGUUUCUUUUCCUCGCAUUAGAGAAUUAAAAUAUAGUUAAUUCUCUAACCGGUGUGGUACAUAUGCUUCCCCUUAAUGGGUUCAAACACUAAUUCCCUCUCACUGAUUCAUCUUGCAAUGGCUCAUACCUCUCACCUAGCACUUGCCAUUCAAGGUGAUCUUUAACCUUGAAUUACCCGUCAAAAGCUCGUAAGAGAUAACUAAUAGAUGUCUCCUUAAAGUCCAAAAGCUUAUCAAGUGUUGGCUAUUCUAGAAAAUCCUACCUUUAAACCACCUCCCAAAGGCUUGCAAGAGAUAAACUAGUGCAUCUCAAUGGAUGGAGAUCACUUGCCUUACCAAGUGUUGGCCCAAGUGCUUUAAAGGCAUUUUAAGUUAACUAAAAAGAUAAAAACCAUUAACGGGUCACACUUUCUCUUCAUUAAAAACUAAAACAACAAAACUUCCAAUUUAUGCAUGAGGAAACUUACCCGGCUUUUUUCACUCCAAGAGACGAAGAGCCUAAUCUCUCAUCCUCUGAGGAAAAAUCCUCAGAGUUUGAUUGGCUAGAAAGAAAAAGUAAAUAAUAUACAAUACAAUCAAAACGAUAAGGUAAGGUAGAGCAAAGGCUCUGUAUUUUACUUCCUUGCAAAACUAUACAAAGGAUGCGUCUCUGAGAACAAGCUCCCGAGAUUCUUUUUUGUAAAGAAAAUUACAAACUAUAUAUAAGAGGUUAUUCACCCUUUGUUCUUACUUAAAGACUAAGAAAUCCUAUGAUAGGUGGGUUACAAGGAGAGUUUGGGGAUUUAGACAUCAAAUAUCUAAAGCAAAAAAUCUCAAAAUGUCGGUCACAAAUAUCGGGAAGCUUCAGGAGAAAUUCCACUGUAAGAGGGCUGCGAAAUUUCGCAGCAAUAGGACAACAUUUUUGUAGCCCAAGGCUGAUUUCGCAGUCGUGCAAAAAUCUUCCUUCAACUUGGAGUAAUCGGCUUCCAAUGGAUGUAACUCCUUCAUUUCAACUUCGAAUCGUGUACCGUUUGAAGCAUUGGAUUGUUGACUUCCUGAGCUUCGAAAUGACAUAUAGCAUGCAUAAAUUGAACUCCAGGAAGUGCUCUAAAAGUGGCUUACAUGAUUGUCAUCUAGAAUGUUUCAUGUUAGAUUUCUCUUUGCUUCCCCUCCUUACAUUCCAGAUUUGCUUAUGGAAAAGGACUUCAAAGCUUUGGUUCUUCAUGUUUUUUAGCUUUCCAUUGCUUUUCCAUGGAUUCCAAAGAACUUUCUUCAAUCUUGGAUUGCUUUAGUGAUCAAAUUACUAACAAAAACACCAAAACUUACACAAUUUGAUUAGAAAUGAUUGUAAAGGUCCUUAAUAUGUUAAUUGGGUUAAAAGGUAAUAACUACUACUCAAAAGUGUUUAAAAGAGUUAAUUACAAACUAUUAAAUAGCACUUUUUGAGUAGUAAUCACUUAGGCUUGUCAUGUAGAUGAUUGAAAUAUGAGAAAUAUAAUUGACUACAAAUGUCUGUUUUGGUUAGACUAUAUGAAUAUUUUACCCAUUAAGUUGUUGGACAAGGUGUGGUUGCACAUGCACAAAUGUUGAGACAUCCAGGUCCAUAUGAAUUCUAUAUGUGUGCAGUGCUUUGUGGAUUGCCACUUAUAAUCAUCUUGUUUAUGCACUAAUGUUGUUCCCCCGCCUUAAUGGCAAAGAUGAAAUAAUCUCAACUCUCCCAGAUGGAAAAUUGACAACAUGUAUGUGCCAGUGAUUGUUCUCACAUACAGGGAGAAACAUCUGCAUCAUCAUUAAAGAGUUAUUAUUAGAUAACAGCCAUGCCCAAUACCAUUGCAUAUAUUACUAAGCAAAUAAACUUUAACAACUGUUAUUUACCAUGUCACAUGUCCCCAAAUCACGACCCAAUAUGUCAGCAUCCAGAUACAUGCGACAUCUGUCCAUGAUGACUUGGCUGGUUGCAUUAGCUUUCAGGUUGCUGAGAACAACCUAUUCAAGGAUGGGGUUAAUCAAUACAAACAUCAAGAAAUACUAUUCUAUUUUGACACCAUGUAAAUUUAGGAUAUUAGAAGGUGGAUCGAGAAUGAAUGAUCAAAAUAGUGUGCGCGCGCUAGUGGUGUUUGCUAUCCAUUCAACAUGCGGGACAUAAUCGCUACAAUCUGCAAAAGUUCUGGAAAUGAACAUAUAUAUUUUACAACCUCCAUCAACACUUUAUUCAUUCAUAUGACCUAGUAAUUGUGAAUUCAAUUCAACUAAAGGAUAAGUAACUUACCAUUAAAUUAACCCACCGCCCUGUAUUAAGACAAGAAAUUUCUUCUCGAGUAAUGUACAUCCCAUACAUCUCGCUCAAAAUCUCACUACAAUGACAGAAAAUGAAAUUUGCCAUAUUGAUGUGAAGUUAUUCACAUAUUAAAUGAUUGUAAGAAUGAUUUUUAGAACAAAUAAAUGUACCUAGGAUCACCAAUUUGUGCCAAAGCAUAAUCUGCUACUACCCUAUCAGCAUGGGGGAUUUUAGAGAAUUGUUUAACACAUUAGGCAACAAACGAGCUUUUGCAAGUGGGAGAACGCUUCACAAUCCUCUUACCAAUCCAUUUAAAUCUCCUCAUAAAUGAAGGUUUAAGUGUUUGGCUACCACUUCCACCUGGCCCAUCAUAUUCUUGCGCUUCUUCUACUGUCACUUGUGGUGGAAGUGAUGCCUCUACUUGAGACUAUGGGGCCACUGGCUGAGAAUGAAUGGCUGCUAGUGAUGCUUCCAUUCAUAUUGGCAAGUGAGGGGUUCGUGCGAGGCUGUCUUAUGGUUACAUUUUGUCAGCUAAAGGCUGCCUAGCCGAUGUCCACCGCAUUGGUUGAUAUUCAGCUUGGUGCUCUAUGUCUGGUCAAGGAACUGAAGAAUUCCCCUCUGAUCCACUGCGGCAAGAACAUAAUGCAGCAACAUCCCAUGCCAAAGAGGAAGCUAAUUCGAGCAUAAUCUCCGAUGUCUCAAUGACACAAGCUUUAAGAACCUAAUACAUAGUGGAAAAUUUUAUAUACUUGUAUGCAUUGUAUGGAAGAACUUGUAUACGUGGUUAGUGGGCAUGGACUACCUUUGUAGCAUCGUCAGAAGCUAAAGAGGUUGAAGCUACUAAUGGUACAUUCAUGUGAGAUGUGCUUUAUGGUUGCUCUAUGCCUGCGUCUUGCAUCAUCGAUUGAAUGAGAGAAUCAACAAAUUGGUGAUAACUUGAAUAAACUAAUAUUGUAAUUUAACUAGUAGGGAAAGCUUUGUUGAGUUAAAGCAUACAUGCACAUGUCCAUAACCAUUGAAUGUUGAUAUUUCAGUUGCUAAUCGGCGUUUGAUUACAUCAUCACUCCAUGCGGCAACUAGCGGGCUUGUGACUUCAACCUUGACUGAUGGCAUGUAGAAGUAUGCCAUGUAGAACAAUUGUCCAAGGGUAGUAUAUGAAACAAGGAGCAUUAAAAGAGAAAAUUGCAGUAAGCAUGACAUUCAAAUUAAAAUGUAAACUAAGUUCAGCCUAAUUUCAAAAUGGGUGGGAGCCUUGACUGUACUUGCAGGAACAUGAGGCAACCUCAGAUGUAAGUAGGCUGAUUUUGGCAAUAUUAUCUGAUUCCAUCUUCUAAGUAUUGCAGCAUAAACUUAGCCCAAUUCCUUUGGACACCAACAUCACCAUCCCAAAUGGUGUCCCAAAGGUCAUGGAUUCUUUCAAGCUUUGAGUUAGGUGCCAUCAGAGUGGCACAUGAAAAAAUUAAAAAUGUUUUUAAGAAAUCAUCACAAAUGGGCAAAUUCUCAAGGUUUUGCUCCAGUACCCUAAGGGUGUAUGUGAGAUUGGACGAGCUUGUUUUCUUAAGGAUAACCACGUCUGCCCCGGAGCUAGGGAUGCCCAUGACUUUGCUGACAUGUUCUUCAUUGAUAGAGACAACAUUGUUGGUUCCCAUAUUCAGUCUAUGGUAUGCAAAGCCGUAUUGAGAUAUGAGCCACCCACAUAGCUCAUACCUUAGUUCGUGACAAGCAAAGGUUAGCAAUCCCCCAAAGCCCAUCUCCCUAAUGGCUUGCUAUUUUUCUGGUGCUAGGCAUGUAAUAGCAGUGAUGAAUUUCUUCUCGGAACAGCGAGACUUAGAAAGCUUAUCCUACAGUAAAAAUGAAAGAUUGGUUAGUGACAGAAAAAAACAAUAUAUGGAAAUUUGCAAUAAGGGUGAAAUUGAAUAUUCAAUCCAUUGUUCAAUGAAAACUGUUUUGCCAACCUGUGCACAUGUUGCCGGAACAUGCUCCUUCCUUUUUCUCCACUUUGUCGCAAUGUGUAUAAUAAAAUAAUCUUAUGUUCGGAUGGCAAAAUCGAAAGCUCAAGUUUAGAAACCCUACAAAGUAAAGAUUGUUAUCGUAAAGUGUCGUAUGGUAAUGCAUAAGCCAUGAAGAAGUUCAUUUACAAAUAAAUUGUUAGCGUCAAGGAAAAAUAAACAUAGACUUGGGAAAAAAUUGAACAAUACACUAAUCAAUCGAAGCUACCAAUAAGGAAAUUAACUAGUUUUCUUCUUAUGGACAAACCAAAUAGGUUACUAUUAAGGACAACAACACUAACUAGUAGUUGCACAACUAGUACAUUAAAGUAAAACAAUUUACAAUUUAACCAUUAGAUGGAAUUUUCUAGGUAAUCAAUGGCCUUAUGAACAUUAAAGUGUAUGGAUAUGAUAGCUGUACAAGGGAGUAAAAUUGAGACAGCUAUGCCUUUCAAAAAGAUGAUUGUGAUUUAUGUGAGUGUGAUUGGUUUAGCACAAGUCCAACAGUUCUGAAACAUCAAGAAGAUCGACAGGUUUUUUAAGGGCAUAGAUAAAAGUUUUGAACAUGAUAUUGCUGUUGGCGAAAAUAGUGAACAAGAAAUAUCAAAACUUUAGUGCCCUUCUUAGAAUUUCGGCAAGUUACUAAAGACAAAUACAGUAAUCUUGGGAACCAACGUUCAAAUUUUAAGAUUGAACAUUCCUAGCAACUGAAAGCUACUUAUCUACAUAAGAAAACAAAAUUUCAAUUUUUCACUACAUAAAUUUUAUAGAUGCAAUAUAAAUCAAAUUUGUUUUGUCAACAACAAAAACAACUUUACACUUAGUUGUGGCCUAAGCAACAGCUAUAUGUUGCACGAAUUCCAAUAGAACAUUAAAAAAUGGGAUAAUAACCACCAUGUAUGUAGUUAGACAAGAUAAGUUGUGGUGGCAAGAGAAAGGGGAAAUGGUGGAAAACAUAGUAUAACAAAAUACAUGGAUUCAAUGGUAUAGAUUUCAGGUUGGUGGGUUAGGGUAUAUAUAUAUAUAUACUGCAGUUUGCUUAAACUAGUUUAAGCAAGGUAAUGGCAGCAAAGACAUGCAGUUGGAGUAAAUGCCAAUAAAACAAGAUGUGUUGCAACCAUAGUUCCAUCAUUGUGAAAGAAAAUAAUAAUCAGAUAAAUAUAAUUUAACUCAAUGAACAUAGCAAGUAAAAACAAAGGUACAUAACAUUGAAAUAGUAACGCUCAUUUGGUGAGAUCAAGUUCACUUAAGUUAGUUCAAAUACAGUAAUACAAGAUCUGCAUAAUGCAAUAAGGUGACAUAUAUACACUUAGGGCAAAGGAUUCCUGCACGUUUUUAUGUUGUGGCCGGACAUAUGACAACAAGAGCAAUAGACCGUCCAUUUAUCUUGAAAUUGGGACUCAAUGCGCUUCUUCCUUGGCCUUCCGGGAGGGCGCUUUGUAUGUGAAGGAUUUAGAGAGAAGCGAACCUCCCUAGUGAUAGAUCGAACCAAACCAUCAUCAUCCACACUGGGCAUGUCAUGGGUCUUUGUUCCGGAGAAAGAGCCCCCAUAUAUCAACUCUUGCAUUGGGUAUUUGUAGCAAUCAUCAACAAAAUUAGUAACGUUUUGGCCAAUGGAAAUAAUAACGGUUCCAGCAUGUUCACAAGGGAUUCCCAAUAUUUGCCAAUCCCUACAAGUGCAUGUAUGGUUCAUAAUGUCUACAUUCAACAAGGCUCUCCCGAUACAUACCCCAAAUACUCCAUUCAUGAACGGAGUGACCGGAUACACCUCACCCUUUACGAUAUUUUGCAGCACCUUAUCUUCAAUUUUUGGGCCUAUACACCCUUUCCAAUUGUUAGACUCUUCUUUAUACUUCACAAGCAUAUAACCUAACUUGGACAUGUGCUCUAAUAAAAAGUUACAAAUGGAGUGAUGUCUUUCAAUUUGUAACCAAGCAUUAAAUGACUCGGCAAGGUUGGUAAUCAUUUUAUCACAUCUUUGUUUUUGGAAUUUUGACAUGGCCCAAUGGUGCAAUGCAUUUUCUUCAACCCAUUUGGCUAAAGCCUCAUUGUAUUUUUUUAGUUCAAACAUGGAAACGUUAUAAUCAUGUUCUAACCUUUCAUACGCAAUACUAUCUAGGAAUUGCAAUGCAUUUUCUUUACCCUUGUUCCCUUGUGUGUUAUGCUUAGACAAGAAACUAUUAAAAUUCUCUUUUAAGUGAUGGUAGCAAUAGGUAUGGUUUUCAAUGCCAAACACCUUAGGAACACAACGAAGAAGAGCAAGAUGUCUAUCUGAGAUAAUAAUAACUUCCUUGUUUCCCACAACUAUCUUCAAUUUUUCUAAGAACCACAACCAAUCUUCAUAAUUUUCUAAACUCAUCACUCCAAAGGCUAAGGGGAACAUGGAGUCAUUAGCAUCAUAGGCGGUGGUUGAAAACAAAAGCACCGCCAUAAGGCCCACUCAUAUGGGCCAAAUUAAUUGCAAUGAUUGGUCGACACCCCCUUACAAACCCUUGGAUAGAUAUUGAAUGAGCAACAAAAAGCUGCUCAAAAUGGCCAUCAUCGAAAUAACUCAACUCAACACUCGAUCCCGGAUUUGUUGCAAGCAUUCUUUCACACAUCUAUGGCAACAAUUUGUAAUAAUUUUUGGGUAGUCCAUCAAUUCUCUCUUUUGCAUUCUCCUUCAUUUUCCAUGUUUCAAGGUAAGUCAACUGGAUGCCUUGUUUCCUAACGAAGUCCUUACAAAUUUGUCGUGGUUGAUAUUCAGGAGUAGAUCAAAUGACAUCAUCAAUGACCAAUGAGGCACGAGUCGAUCUCACUAAAGGCUGAGACAAGGCAACAUCUUCCAAGUAAUGGUUAUGCACAUUUCAAAAUGUGUGUACUUGAACAAUGUUCGAAUCCCCUAUUACACGGGCAGUGAUUUUCCAAGGACAAUCUUCAAUUGUGCUUACUACGGUCAUGUGUUUUGAACUAUUCUUUUUGUAAGAAUAUCGGAAUUUUCCAGCCAAAGACAUUAAAUAGAUUGCAUCUCAAAACUCCGAGGCAUUUGAGAAGGUAUGUCCACUACCUAUAAUUGAAUGUUCGAACCGGCUUCGUUCAAGUUGAAUGAUAUUUGUUUCAGCACAUCUUUGGGAAAACCCAAAUGACUCAAUCGUGGCCGACUCAUUAGACAUGUGCAAUAAGGGCUCGCCAAUGAAGGAAACAUGAGUCGAGUUUGAAGCAACAAUAGGUGUUGGGGCACUGCGAAAAACACAUGGAAAGAAAUUGCUCAUCCAUCGACCUAUAUGUGAAAAGUGAUUAUACAAAAGGGGAAAUUCUUGUGGAAAAACAUUAGGUACCUAGUAGGGCCAAUGAAGCCAUCACCACCUUCAGUACAUUGGAAGACAUAGGCACGACAAAACAUGUCAUUGAAUUUGAACAUCUUAACUAUGCCGACAUCAUCAUGCAAUGGGAGUAGACAUGAUGGGUCAAACUUCAUUGUGAAAUCCAAUUUAAUUGAAUUAGGCUCCAAGUUCAGUUCACCACAUACUUUUGAAACAAAUUCAAAAUGUGAGAUAUUCUUGCUAACAACAAUGCAAUUGGUCCGAGCACCCUUAUAUUCGACAGACCCAACAAAAGUCUUAACAAGCUCACCAUCUUCAUGAAUGUAACAAAACAUCUCCUCUUCCAUUUCCUUAAUGACAUAAAGAUUGGUUACGAACAAUACAACAACGAAAGAUUAAGGAAUUAUGUAUGUUGAUUCCAUCUACUUUUAUGUAGGAAAUAUAUAAACGUCAAAUACGCACUUGCGAAGCUUCUAACAAGGAACUACGUAAUUAAGUUUCAGACAUGAUAAUUGGAUAAUGCACACAAGUAGUGUGCAAGUGCAACUAUGGUAGUACCUAAGGAUCACUAACCUAGUACCUAAAGAUUACUAAGGUUGGACCUAAGGCUAAUUAAGAUAGCACCUACAAUACAGUCUAUAGUAAAGGUAAGGAGAACCAAAUGAGCAGAGUAAUCAAACACAUAAUGUCAUGAUAAGUUGUAUGUGGAAGUGAAUACAAUUUAAUUUAUGCAUGGAUUGAAAACAGCGUGUGGGUCCUAUGUUUGAAAAACUUACCCCAUUGGGUUAAAAAAUAAGACUAUUUUUAUUCACAUAUGAAUUAUCUGAAUCUUCAUAAAUGCAUUUUCCAGUUGUCAUACAACUAGUACUCAAGGUAGGCUCAGGUAGUACCUGAAGUUGACUAAGGCAGUACCUAUAGUCAAUUAAGGUUGUACUUUCAGGAAUAAUGAGUUAGUACAUAAGGUUAACUUAGCAGUAGAAUAAGGUUAAUCAACUAAUUACCAAAAUAAAACACGAUGGGCUAAGGUAGUACCUAAUAGAUUGGUAAGUUCUAUGCGCAAUUGAGUAUGUUUUAUGCAUAUAGCCUAUGCAAUGUGACUUAUUGGUUAUAUCCUUGCAAAAUGGCCUACUUAUUGACAAAGGAAUUACGUAAUGUUAAGGAAUGAAGUUACUAAGGCUAAUAUGAGAAGUGAACAUUUUCUUUCCAACACACCACUACUAAAUAUUUGGUCAGCCAUAAUGACAAACAAGGUUUUGUUAGCUCAACUUAUUUUUUUACGGCAUCUUCAUCAAGAUUGGAAGUUUGUAUUGUUACAGUAAAUACAAAACCAACGGAAUCUAAACAGGUUUAUGGUCAGCCAUGGAGAUCUGGCUCCUCCCCAUACUGUUUAUUCAUAAAGAACCAUUUAUCUUAAGAUUAUAGUGUCAUCAAAUUUUCAUUUCUUAAUUUACGUCAUUGAAAAUUUAGUUACUUCAUUUGAAGGGUUACAAUUCUUACAUGUACAUAUAAAAUAUAAAUUUGACCAAAUAAUUUAACUGCUGAAAACCCAUAUCCUUUUUUCUAAGCAUUUAUAGCAAUUACCUAAUAGUUGAAGUAAUUUUAUAAGAAUAUAUGAAAAUCAAACUGAUAAAAUUAUCAAAUCUACAUCAUUUUGUGCUAAAUGGGAGCAGUCACAAACAAACAAAACAAAAAAUAUAUAGAUCAAUAUGCAUUUCAUCCAUUCUACUUGCAUUCCAUAGUUCCAAAAAUGUUAUGAAGGAAAUUAAACCACUACAUGGAUACCAACAGUUCCUAUAUAGCAUUUCCUAUUUCCAUAUUCUAAAAGAGAUCUUUAAAUCAAUAUCAAUUACUAAUCAACAAGAAGAGUAACAUAUACUAACAAAAAAUAUUUGAAGAAAUGAGACGUGAAUUUAAACUAUACACAUAAAAAAAAUAAAAAAAAUAAAAAAAAACAACAACAACAACUUUAGCACCCAUCAACCAUCAAUAUCACAAGAACCCAAAAAGCUGAGUAACUUGGAAUCUAAAAAUCACCAUUUCAGAAGCACUUAUUUCUCUCUCAAAAGAAAUACAUCCUCCCGAAAAAGUGUUCCCUUUUGGUAAUCCACUGCAAAGCCCAAUCCAAAAACACAAUCUAAUAAAUGGGUUUCACUAAAAAUCUCAUAUUUCCCAACACCCAAAAACAGAAGGGAAAAAACCAAAAUUCCUUUUUGGCAAAUCAAUUCAAAAUCUAUUUUUCUCAGUUCAAAACCACAACCAAAACAAAUGGGUUUUUCAACAAAACGAUUCCCUACCCAUAUUCUUGCCUUCAUUUGAUAUCAAAACAGCAGAGUUUCGGGAAUUUUCCAAUCCAAAUAAAACCGUAGAAACUCAAAAAAAACUCAUGGAAUUGAAAAUACGGAUGAUGAUUCAUUACGAACAGAUUUAAAAACUCAUUACGAACUCCUAAAUGCCAAAAUUUGAGCCACACAUAGUUGAGAAAAAACCCAGACAAAUAGCAGAAUUUUCAUGAAUGUGAAUGCGAAUGCGAAUGCAAAACAAAGGAAUGGGUUAGCUCGAGAGAGAAAAUCUGAGAUGAGACAAAUGGGAUUAAGGGCUUCUCAACUGAAAUGACAGAAAAUUUUUAAAACUCUACACGGUUCUCUGCUUUGCCUCGGUGAUAGAGUGAAGAAAAAUGAGAGGAAUGGGUAUCAAAUGAGAAAGAAGGAAGAAAAAACCGGUGGCUAGGGUGUUUUUGUGGGAAGCUCAAAUCGCCUUGGUGACAGAGUGAAGAAAGAUGAGAGGAAUGGGUAUCAAAUGAGAGAGAGAGAAGAAAGAACCGGUGGCUAGGGUGUUUUUGUGGGAAACUCAAAUCGCCUCGGUGACAGAGUGAAGAAAGAUGAGAGGAAUGAGUAUCAAAUGAGAGAGAGAGAAGAAAGAACCGUCGGCUAAGGUGUUUUUGUGGGAAGCUCAAUUUUUGAUUUUGGAGUUUUCAACCAGUUCAGUUUCAGCCCAUGCUAACAUGGCCUGCAGAUGCUGCUGACCUAGAUACUCGAAGAGGCAAACUCGGCACAAAAAGGCGGCUGACUCAAAGUGCAUGAAACACAUAUAACUUUCCACAUUAAAAGUUGUUUUUAAUAUUUCAUAAACAUGGGUUCCAAAAACCAUAUAUUUCACAAAUUGGCCCAUCGAAACACAAGUUUCCCUUUGAUAAUAAUUGGCCUUCAGCUUUGCAAAAUACAAAGCUAUACUGCAGACAAUGGCCAGGAUGGGUCAAGAAUUGCCUCCUCCUUUUAACCCUAGGCUCACAACCCAAGACUUUGAGGCACGCCAAGACCAAUCCUAGCUUACCUCUCAUCUCAAUUCAAUUUUUAUUUUAGAAUCUAUUAUAAUUAUUUUAUAAUUCUAAUAAAAUUUCUAUUGGAAUAAAAGUUUUGGUCGAAAAUCAUGUGAAAAAUCAUUCACAUAAAGCUUAUCAUCUUUUUCUUUAUUAUAUUUUAUUUUUAAUUUUACAUAGAUUUAUGGACAAAUUAUUUUUAUGAGUCAGAAAUUGGCCCCUCCCUCGAGUAUUUCCUGAGUUGUGCUACUACCAUAUAGUAUAUAGACUGUAUGCUCUCCAAAAACAAUUAAACAUUUUAUAAUUAAAUUACUAUAUUUAGUCACGUCCUUCCAUUUGCUCAUUGGGAGUCUAUAUAAAGAAGUGACCACCUUUCUCGCAUCUCAUCAACUCCUCAACCUCUCUUCGCCUACAUCUUCCACAAACAAAGUUCAGGUUCAUACUUCGUAAUUUUUUUUUUCUAUCAAAUGAUUAUUUACAUAUAUCGCUUCUUUAGAAUUCUAUGCAAAAACUAACUUUCUGGGUAGGUUUGUUUUUGAAUUAUAACAUGCAGCUUCCUUUUUUUUUUCUUUUUUUUUCUUUUUUUUCUUUUUUUUCUUUUUUAACCUGGAAAAAUCAGUUUUUAAAUCAUCUCCUUCCGUUUCUUCUUCUACUUCUGCAAUUGUCUGCAUGUCUUCUUUGUAAAAUUGGAGUCGGUCUUGUCUUAAACUAUGGGAAACAAUGAUCUCGUAUUUCUAUACUUGAUAGUAUAUGGUUAAUGGAUAAUAAUGUUACUGCAUGAGCUGAAGUGAUGAGGAUUUUUAUAUAUAUAAACAAAUAUGUAGUAUGUGGAAGCUCAAAAUUGCAGAAGGGCAUGGUCCAUGGUUGUACAGCCUCAACAACUAUGUUGGCAGGCAGAUCUAGGAGUUCGACCUUUAGGGAAUUAAACCGAAUUCCCAACCCAUGAGAAACAAAAAUUAGAGAAAACACACGCCAAAAAAAAACAAUCACAUGCACAAGACAGUAUUUACGUGGUUCAGCAAUUUGCCUACAUCCACGGAGUUGCAGAGAUAUCACUAUUAUCAGGGAAGAAUACAAAGUACAACUUAGCAGCUACAAUAUUCUCUCUAUAUAUAUAACACGGCAACCCCACCAUAUAAAAAACCCUAAUUACAAAAGGUGGUUCCAUAAUGGACUAAACGGGCCUAACAGGCCUCAAUAAAUCUCCCAUUAAAAAACCAUGCAAUAUUAUUCGGGUCGGGUCGUCAAACUGGAUCAAACAAAACUAGGCUCCACAAAGCCCAACAAAUCUCCCACUUGGAGACUAGUCCAAUCACCAACAUCAAACCGCUAUCCUCCAAGAAACAAUCCCUCAUCCCUACAACUCAUCCUCCUGUCCUCAAGCUAGAAGACCAAUUGAAGCUGCGCACAACUUCAACUUCUCAAUAGUGGCACCCUUAGUCAACAUGUUUGCAAGGUUCUUAGAUCCACAAAUCUUCUCAAGUAUUACCAGUUUAUCCUCAACAAGAUAACGGAUAAAGUGGUAUUUUGUUUGUAUAUGUUUCGACUUUGAAUGAAAAGCUGAAUUUUUGGCAAGAAAAAUUGCACUCUAAUUGUCGUAGAAUGCCCAUCUCCUACUUCUUACCCAAUUCAUCUAAGAAACCAUGUAGCCAAAUCAUCUCAUUUCCAACUUCAGUUGCUACAACAUACUCAGCUUCUAUAGUAGACAAAGUAACAAUCUUCUAUAAAUUUGAAGUCCAUGAUAUAGCUGUACCACCUAAAGUAAAAACAAACCCAGUAGUACUCUUUCUACUAUCAAUAUCACCAGCAAAAUCAGCAUCUACAUAACCCUGCAGUUUCAAACUUGCACCUGUGAAGCAAAGACAUGUAUCUAAUGAACCCUUCAGAUAUCUUAAAAUCCACUUGACUACCUCCCAAUGUUGCUUUCUAGGCCUACUCAUGAAUCUGCUCACAACUCCCACUGCAUGUGCAAUGUUUGGCCUUGUACACACCAUAGCAUACAUCAAGCUGCCAAUAGUUGAGGCAUAAGGCACCUUGCUCAUAUGGUCCCUUUCUUCUUCUGUCUUCGGUGACUGUUCUUUGCUUAGUUUGAAAUGACUACCCAAGGGUGUGCUCACUAGUUUAGCUUCAUUCAUGUUGAACCUGUUGAGAACUUUCUUCACAUACUCUGAUUGUGAAAGCUUCAAUGUACCAUUAGCCUUGUCUCUAAUGAUUCUCAUACCAAGGAUUUACUUUGCAGCUCCCAAAUCCUUCAUUGCAAACUGUUUGGACAAUUGUUUCUUCAAAUUAUUAAUCUUCUCAAUGUCAGACCCUACAAUAAGCAUAUCAUCCACAUACAACAAUAAUAUGAUGUAAGAAUUGUCAAAGGACUUAACAUAGCAACAAUGAUCAGCUUCAUAUUUCUUGAACCCAAUUCUAUGCAUAAAAUUGUCAAACUUCUUGUACCACUGUCUAGGAGCUUGUUUAAGGUCAUACAAGCUCUUUCUCAAUUUGCAAACUAGAUUCUCUUGUCCCUGAACAACGAACCCUUCUGGCUGAAUGAUGUAAAGGUCUUCCUCCAAGUCACCAUGAAGGAAUGCUGUCUUCACAUCUAACUGCUUAAGAUGUAAGUUUUCUGCAGCCACCAUUUCAAGUACAAGUUUAAUUGUUGACAUCUUCACAAUUGGAGAAAAUAUCUCUAUGUAGUCAAUGCCCUCCUUCUGUUGAAACCCUUUAACAACUAAUCUGGCCUUGUAACGUUUGCUACCAUCAUGCUCAUUCUUUAUUCUGUAUACCCACUUGUUGUGCAAAGCCUUCUUUCCUACUAGCAAUUCAGUUAGUUCCCAUGUCUGAUUCCCCAAUAGGGAAUCCAUCUCAUCCUUCAUGGCUAACUCCCACUUGCUUGAAUUCUCAUCUUGCAAGGCUUCAUCAUAACACUCUGGCUCACCACCAUCAGUCAACAGGAGAUAAUUUAAAACAGGUGAAUAACGCUGCGAAGGUCUAAUGUUCCUGGAAGAUCUGCGAACUUUAGCUACAGGUGUACUCAAAUCUACCUGUGAAUUUACAUUCUCUUUAUCUUCUUCACUCCCUUUUUGGACAGUACUUUCAGUCAAUUCAUCUAAGUUAACAAACUCAGAUUUCUUUUGAUCUAUCUCUGUAACAUCUGACACUACAGUUAACCUGUCCUUGUACAUAACCUAUUCAUUAAAUAUCACAUUUCUACUUCUGAUGAUUUUCCUGUUUUGUUCAUCCCAAAACCUAUAGCCAAAUUUCUCAUCACUAUAGCCAAUGAAAAAACAUAUUUUUGACUUUGCAUCAAGUUUACUACAAGCAACAGAAUCAAUAUGAACAUAAGAUACACAACCAAAAACUUUUAAAUGUGAAAACUUCACCUCUUUACCACUCCAAACCUUCUCAGGAAGUCUGAACUCCAUGGGAACUGAUGGUUCUCUGUUUAUCAGGUAAGCUGCAGUGCUAAUAGCAUCAGCCCAAAAAAUUUUGGUAGUCCAACAUGCAACCUCAUACUUCUAGCAUGCUCAUUGAGAGUUCUGUUCAUGCGCUCAGCCACACCAUUCUGCUGUGGUGUCCUAGGAAUGGUCUUCUCCAUUCUAAUUCCCUGUGCAGUACAACACUCACUAAACCCUCCAUCUAUGUACUCUCCUCCAUUAUCUGACCUCAAACAUUUUACUUUCAAACCUGUUUCUGUCUCAACUAUGGCCUUCCACUUCUUAAAAGUUUUUCCUCCCAUAGAGAUAAUCUUCAAUCUGCAUCCUCCAAUACGCAAAGUCUGUGCCAUCAAACUUUUCUAUUUCAGACGCAUUUCCUGCUUCCUCUGCCAUUGCUCCCACUCAAACCUAACCCUAGGCUCUGAUACCAGUUGUAGGGAAUUAAACCGAAUUCCCAACCCGUGAGAAACAAAAAUUAGAGAAAACACACGCCAAAGAAAAACAAUCACACGUACAAGACAGUAUUUACGUGGUUCGGCAAUUUGCCUACAUCCACGGAGUUGCAGGGAUAUCACUAUUAUUAGGGAAGAAUACAGAGUACAACUUAGUGACUACAAUAUUCUCUCUAUAUAUAUAACACGGCAACCCCACCAUAUAAAAAACCCUAAUUACAAAAGGUGGUUUCAUAAUGGGCUAAACGGGCCUAAUAGGCCUUAAUAAAUCUUCCAUUAAAAUGCCAUGCAAUAUUAUUCGGGUCGGGUCGUCAAACCGAAUCAAACAAAACUAGGCUCCACAAAGCCCAACACGACCCUGAAGCUGGGACCCCAGAAGAGCGAGAAGAGGUCAGGAAAGUCCAGGACAAUUUCACAAAGAAUUGGUUUCGCUACAAACCUAAUGGGGAUCUCCUAAUGAGGAUGCAGGUAUACACUCUUUUAUUCAUGAUGGUAUCUUUGGAUGAAAAAUUUUCCUCCACCAUCUUCCAGCAUGGUAUUUUGCUUCUGAGGUUGAUGAAGUGAUCACAAUAAAAUUUAAUAUUAAUUAAAG
rnacentral:lncRNA from 1 species